UAUUUCGUCUCCGAAAGCUCAAUUUGGAACCUUCGAUGAAAGCAGUUAUGUGGAGAAUCCUUUUCUCUUCGGGCCUCCCCUGCAUAAAAAUUGCAGCGACCUUGAUUCACCCCCGACAGCAGCACCAAAUACCUCAAACAACGAAGAAAAAAGUGGUUUGAUGGACAAGUAUGUUUUUUGGGUGACCUUUUUUGUUUCUUAUGUAAUUGUAUUACUGGUUAUUGUAGUAUGUUUUUUGGGUGACCUUUUUUGUUUCUUAUGUAAUUGUAUUACUGGUUAUUGUUCUCGUCCUGUAUAUAAAUAUCCUUAUUGGCGACAAGCAUGGUUUUUUUUUUUUGUUGAACACUGCAUCAAGACCUACCAGUAUUUUAUCGAGGACAAUCUUCUACGAUUUCCCAUCUUCAAAAGAAGCGGGUAGCCUUGUGCUUUGGUGGUUUACAUUUGUAUGUAAUUGCUUUUCAAAGUUUGUUUGGGUUAUUUGCUUUAAAGUUUUUAAAGGUAGAACGUAAUAUCUUUGUUAUGUAAUAAUUGAUAGUGUAUUAUGAGAAAACUAUAUAAAAUGUUAUGCAUUACCGAUUAAAACAUUUAAUAAUGCUUUACAAUUUUCAGCAUUCUGAUAAACAUUUUGUAGCAUAUAUAUAUAUAAUUUAUAUCUAUCUAUAUUUUUGUAGUCAAACAAGCUAUUGAUGUUGUGGUAAAAAUUUCAUAUUGUUUCAAACCUUAGUGUAAGGAAAGAGAGAAAAGAUUAUAUGAAACUGUGAUUUCACAUCCCUAUCCCUUUCAAAUAGGAGAAUAAUAAAUUAAAUUUUUCCUCCUGAUUUUUAGCACUUUAGUUGGAUUUGAAUUUUUUCAAGAGAAAAAAAUUGGAAAUCAGGAGGAAAAAUCCGAUUUAUCUCGUAUUGAAAAGGGAUAAAGAUGAUGUGAAAUCACAAUUUCAUACAAUUCCUUGUCAAAGAAAAAUCUUCUGCCACUAAAUCAUAAGCUCAAACUUAUAUAUAUAAAUAAGGCCAAACUUCAUAUUAACUACUAAAUAUGAAUGACAAAAAUAGUCUUUAAAUUUUUAAAUGAUAUAAAUAUUUUUUAAAUUAAUAAAGUUAUCAUAAAUAAAUAUGUAGUUGCAUUAUUUUAUUUAAACUCAAAUUAAUAAAUAUUUAAAAAUUUAGUUCACACGAUAUUUAUCUAAUUUGAAAUUAAUAAAUUUGAGUAACAAUAAAAUUGAAAGCCUCCAAUCUCCCCAUAGUAUGUGUUGAUAUGUUUUAGAAGAGCUUAAUUUGGAUUCCAACUCCUUCACAACAACUUAUUGGCACAGUUUAGUGGGUUUUUCAAUCUAAAGUCAUUGAGAAUAAGGAAUAACCAAUUUAAAAGAUCAAUAAAUAUUAAAGGUGAAAUUACUUAAUAUAUUUAAUCUUCCUUUAAACGAAACAAAUUAAUUGUUGAGUUAUUGCAUUUAUUCUGUGUGAUUUAAUUUUAAAUUUUAUUUGUCGAUCUUCACAGAAUUAUUAAAUACUUUGAGCAACUUAGAGGAGCUAAACAUGAGUCGGAAUGAGGUGAAAGAAUUUGUGCCAAUAAAGAAUAAAGGUAUAUGUAUCAACUAGGGAAGUCUUACUAAUUGUUUGCCAUUAAAUAUCUAGUGAAUGAUGCCAACCACUAAUUUGACUCUCAAAAAAUGGAAGUUUGGGAAAGCUAAAGGUUGCUAUGUUAGACUAUGUGUUCACCGGUGGAACUACUUCUCUAAUACAGCUUCUGUAGACAUUCUUAUCUAUUAAGACCUUAUAUUUGAGAGGCAAUUACUUCAACAACACAUUUUCUACUCAAGGUAUAAGAUGUAUGUGCGUGAAUAUAUAGUUUUACAAUUUGGUUCCAUUUAAAAAUAUUAUUGUAACACCCCAAAAUUUGGGGUUAAAUUAGGAGAUUAUUAUUAUAAUUAGUCUCAAAUGGUGUAGAAAAAUAGAAAGCUCAAGCCAAGUCCGGCAAAGUUCAAGACAAUACAUGAGAUAGAAGCUUGAAGAGGCUUUAUUUGACUUAGAAAUAAUAUCUAGAAAUUUUGUUAAAAUGCUUUGGUAUGAAUGAAAAACCAAAACCUGUUAGUACUUUCUUUGCUUUUCAUUUCAAAUUUAAUGUUACUAUGUUGCCAAAAAAUAAUGUAGAACGAGAAUACAUAUUAAAGAUAUCAUAUGCAAAUGUUGUUGCUAACUUAAUGUAUGCUAUGGUACGUACAAGAUUUAACAUUUCACAAACAAUUAGAGUUGUGAGCAGAUAAAUGCAUGGUUCAGGAAAGGAUCAUCGGCAAGCUAUGAAAUGGAUUUUGCGAUAUAUCCUUAAUACAAUGGAUAUUUGAUUGAUUUUUUAGUAGGACGAUAAUCAAGGUGAAUGGAUAUUUGAUUGAUUUUUUAGUAGGACGAUAAUCAGGGUGAAUGGAUAUUGUGAUUCAAGCUAUGCUAGCGAUCUAGACAAACGAUGAUCGACUACUGGUUAUGUGUUUACUCUGGCAAAGGAGCCAGUUAGUUGGAAGUCUACUUUACAGUCAACAGUUGUCUUAUCUACUACAGAAGCGGAGUAUAUGGCAAUCACAUAGGCUGUAAAAGAGACAAUUUGGUUUCAAGGGUGCUUGGUUAAUUGGAAAUUAAGCAGAAGUACGUCAAAGUACAUUGUGAUAGUCAGAGUGCUAUUCAGUUAGCAAAGAAUCAAGUUUAUCAUGCAAGAACGAAACACAUUGACAUCUGAUAUCAUUUUGUACGAGAGAUUUUAGAAAAAGUAGAAUAAAGACCCAAAAAAUUUCUACCACUAAGAAUCCUAUUGAUAUGAUGACUAAGAUUGUGAUUGUGGUUAAGUUCCAACUAUGUUUGGACCUAAUCAUUGUUAAAACUUGAAGGUUGAAAUUUGAAGAUACUAUCAAAUAUUGUUUGACAAUGUGAAGAUUUAUUGAAGUAGUACAAUCCCACAUCUCAAAAAUACAAGGUUAUGGAGAGUUUAUAUUACUAUAAAUAGGGGUUGUUUUCCACCGUUAUUAUCAUUUUCUAACAAUUAAAUUUUCUAGUACAAAAAUUUACUUUCUUACUCUAUUCACACAUCACCUUCAUAAAAUUUUGCUUUCCAUAUGAAAAGUGACUACAAACAUUUACUAUCUAUAAGGAUGAUUUUUUAAGUUGAAUUUACAUGAGGGUUAAAUUAGGAGAUUAUUAUAACUGAAAUUAGUCUCAAAUGGUGUUGAAAAAUGGAAAGCUCAAGUUCAUUAUGAUAAAAGUAGAACAUCAAUAAGAGAAAUAAAAUAAAAUUAUUGUUAGAAACUGUCAAUUAAUUCUUACUCACCACCAUGCAUACUUUGGGUAUUAAAUACCCUUUUACCUCAUUUUAUUGAUGAAUCAUGGCCUCUCUAUUAAUUGUUUAAAACAUAUAUUAAAAAAGAAAUAUCAAAAUUAUAUACGAAAAUGAUUUGCAACAAAUAAUUUAUUUCUAUGAGAAAAAAAAAAUGGCUAUUUAUAUUUAUUUUUUGUAAAAAAAAAGGAACUUGUGGAAGUGUUUAACCUAAGUAUCUUUACAAGAGUAUAAACCUUAUCUUUGCUUUAUAUAUACACUGCUUUGAAUCUGAUCCAGACUCAGCUUCUUGCCUCCUGCUUUUAAUUGGUUUAUGAGCGUUUAUUAGACAGAUUCAAGAUUAUGGGCUAGUAUACCAAAAUUUACUGUAAAUACACUAGGCCUUAGCUCUCUCUAGGGGGGGACAAAACUUUCAUACCGAGCUUGCGACCGCUGGAUCGACUAGUUGGAUUUAUUGGUUCGAUUAUCGGAUUAGCAAUUCUGAAGUUGGUUGUUUUCUAUUGUGCUCGGCCAACUACAACCAACAGACCAUCCCAGAACGCCCAGGAUUAGAUCGAGCCUCGAACACGCAUUAACCUGAAACAAAACCGAGCCAUUCCUUGUGUCAGUAUGUAGUUCAUUUCAUGUCAUUCUAAAGCGUUAUUGGAUUAGCAAAGUGGGUCUGAACACAGUACCAAAAUUUCAAGGUUGGCUUCGACAUGCAAUAACAUGACUGCCAUUCCCCUUCCUCUAUCAAUCUCAGCCUGAAACGGAAGAAAGUAAAGAUGUUACAGAACUAUCAAACUAUUAACAUAAUCGGCGUUGUAUUUAAACCAACUCACCACACAGGCGCAUAUUGUGAUGCCUACAGCUGCCAAUGCUGUUGUGACCUCAGCCAUCAUUCCUAAAAUCAUAUGUGCAAUUAGCAAAAAUAAAAUGAUUAAGAAAGUCUGAUGCAACCUAUAAUGGCUGAAAAAUGAAAGCAUAUUGACCUUAAAUGCCUGGUUGGAUCUCGAUAAACAAGGUUCCAAGACUAUAUGUUAUUCGAAUUCAAGUGUGAGACUGUGAGUGCAGGUAUGUUCAAGUCUUUGUAAAUUUUCAAUGUAUGUGGAGCAUCCUUGGAGGAUCAUAUCCCCAUAUACCCAUAUCCAAAUAUGUGCUUGACAUGGGUAUAGGAAAAUGAAGAGUCGGAGCAGUAUGGACUAAGACAAAUGUCUAUGGGAACAGCUUGGUAGGAUGAUCCACGUUUCCUUUGAAGUCCAAAGAAAAAGGAAACAAGUUAACUAAAGGGCUGUAAGUCAACAGUCUCAUUGGAUCCGUAGCUAUUUCAUAGCAAAAUGUGUCUACUUUAGUCAUUCAAAUUUCUAAGUCACUAGCAUCAAUAUGCCACCAAAUAAGUGUAAAAUAACCUGAACACAAUAGCCAAAAGAUUUACCUCGUCGGUCUAUACAAACGACAGAAAACCACUGGAUAGAAUGUCCUUCAAGAUUGUGCCACGAGGCGAUUUUACUGGCUUGCCAACUUUCCAAACCAGGCAAGACCUCCUUGUGAGGUGGAUUGUUUGCAGGUAUCAUUUUUGCAGCACCAUUGCCCAGUGAAAACAAGUAGCCAUUGGCCUUUGAACCCACAUCCUGUACUUGUUUGUUAUGUUUCCCAUUGACCUUAGGGACCCAAAUACUUCCAUUUUUUGCCGUCAAGGCAUCUUCAGAACUUCUUCCUGGGGUUGAAAAAUCCACAAUGUUCUUCAGGAUCUUCUCCCAUAGAGGUCUGCUCUGUCUGGAACUAUGUGAGAGGUCUUCCAUUUCACUAUCCUCUUCAGAAUAAGCAAUGAAGUCGUUUACUCUAUCUGUUGUUAUUUCCACAGCAGAAAGUGCAGCUUGCUCCCUCAAGAACUAAUUAUUAGAAAUUUAGACAGUCAGUGCCUCAACGGUUAAAGAGAAAAUAAAAAAUAUAUAUAAUUCACAGUUUCAUACUCCAUGCAAUUCAACCUACUUUCAUGAUUUUGUGCCUGGCACUACGUGUUUUAGCAUGUUGCAACCACUGUUUAUGCCUUUGAAAAGCUGAUUUGCUUGAGAGUGCCUGGAACAAGAGGCAAAGAUGUACAUUACGAAAGAACCAGGGUAAUUGCUUGUGCACAAAUGAACUAUAACAUCAAUAUGUUAACGUGGUCAAUUUAGGAUAGCGGGCAACCGAGAAGGCAGAUAAGAAUAUUUGACAGCAAUGGAAGUGGUUCAAUCUGUAACCAAGUCUUCUUCUCUGUCAUAACUGACAAAAUAGUAAAUAUCUCUUCAAUAUUAGGUCCAAUGACCUAUAACCGUACUCUGAAUUCGGUGCACUAACUGCUAGUUUCAAAUUUUUGAAAGAAAAAGAAACACAAAUUUAUAUCAUCGAGCAUAUGAAAUACGAGUUGUCCCACAAUCUAAAUAUUAUCAUGGAAGCAUGUUCUAUUAUAAGCUCAGCAAAAUGGACAUUGAACCACGUUCAAUAUAUACUAACAUUAUAGGUGAUAAUCUCCACAACUUCUGCAUUGGCAAGCACAUGCGUGGGAGAAACAAGAUUACCAUUGACCUGCAAUGAGAAAGCCAAGCAUUGAAUUGGUGCAAUUUGUUGUAGGCUGACACUAGAAUUAGAAAUUAGCAACAUGCAAUACAAAAGUACCUUCGCCGCCACCAUUUUGUUUCCAAUGUCGGUGUGUAUCAUGUAGGCAUAAUCAAUAACAGUAGCCCCUCUAGGCAAAUUUUUAAUCUUCCCAUCACAAGAAAUUUUUAUAAGAGCACUAGUUCCCACAAAAUUAUGGUAAUAUUUUAGCAGAAAUAAAAGCACAAAUUAUGGUUUAUGAAUUAUCAUACCUCUCCCCUUGGGGUAAAGACAAAGAUACGACUGCAUAAGAGAUCUCUGGUUAUGGUAUCUACAAAUUCUCUAGAGCUCAUGUUGCCAACGAACUCCUCUUGCCAUUCUCUGAUUGCAUUGAGCCAACCAACCUGGAGAAAAGAGAAAGCUUCAUCCAUAAAAUUAGCAUUCCUGUCAGGGGCUUUAAAAGGUCUGAAGGAAGUCCUUUAAAGACUAUUCCUAAUGACAACUUGUCAAGGAAACUAGGUAUACCCUGAGUGCUAUGUUUGCAUUGUUAAGGCAAACUAGUUUCCCUCUUGAAUUUCUACCAUUUGGCACAGCAUGCCCAACUAGACCAGUAACAAAGACUCUCCCACUAUAAUGAGCAGCAAUGCCUCUCUCAGCUAUCAAAUCCAUCUCUUCCGUUCUAAUCUGCCAGAAACCAACAAAAGUAAUUUAAUAAAAUAUGUUGCAAAUUUCAAAAAAGAAACAGACUAAAUUACAAUAAGCAUUAUUUGGACUUUCAUUUUUUGAUAAAUUACUAACAUAAAUGAUUCAUCCAGGAUUCAAAAUUGUUUUGAAAGAACUUAAGGAUAUCCUCACAUUAAGAACUUUAUUCCAAAUAAUUUAACUUAGCAAAAAGUUGUUCUAGAAAUAGCUGAAAGGAAUAUUGAGAAUGUAAGAACCUGAACUUCCAGGCGAAACAUGCUUUCAUACAAAAAUGGAAUUACGUUUGUAUGAAGACUUUGAUAGCCAUUAGGUUUUGGUGUUGCUAUGUAGUCUUUCAUCUGUUCAAAAGACAGACCAAUAUUUCACAAAUUAUCAAUAACCUAACAUCAAAAGUACACCAAAAUAGAGGAGAAAGAAGGAUACAUACAGCUCUAGGAACAGGAGUCCAAAUACCAUGGACCAAACCAAGAACAUGGUAGCAAAUCUGCAUGAAGUAAAUGCAUUUGUUACCGAACUACAUAUGCAUUCUUAGACAACUACGUACUUUUUUAUUGGCAAAAAAUGUCACCUGUGAACUGCACAAAGGCCCAACUCCAACCGAUGGCUUUGGUUUUAUGAUUACACGAAGCUGUUUAUAACCAAGAGGAACAAUGUGUCAAUAAGCAAAAAUAAACCAUAAGAAAGUUUCGUGUUAGAUGUCAAGAUGGUUCAAGGAAAUAUCAAAACAGACCUGGGCUAUUUGGUUAACCUCACUGAUUGAACCCUUAGAUUUGAGCACAGAUUUGUACAUACUGUGAUCCAAGAAGAAAAAUUGCAUGUAAGGAAAUUAUCAUUCAAACAUCUGCCUUCAAAGCCAUCAUAAAAAAGCAGGCCACAGGGGAGUGGAAAAUUAGCUACAAGUAUUCAAAGGAACACCACAUUCAAUAUAGAAAUCGAAACCGAUAUCUUAAAUCACACUCAACCUAAUUGUUUUCACGUCUAAUGCGCACUUCACCCAUUGUCACCCACAAAAAUUUCUUAAAACCGUGUCAUAGGUCUUUUCUACUGCAUUAGUGCAUGGUCCCCACUUAAUCAGCUAAGGCAAAUAUUAAUGAAAGUACAGCAAGAAACAUUGCAUAAUGACAAACCUAAUAAACCCAUUCGCUCUUGAUGAUAAGCAUAAAAUGCAGCUUAAAAUAAUUCCCAAAACUUCUAGACAUGUGUAUCAUUAGGACGAAAACUAAAUAAAUAACAACCAAAAACACAGGAAAAAGUGCUUCACCUGUAAGGUUCCUUGCACACUGCACAAAUUUCAGUUUUAAGAGUCAUAAGUUCCAGGAAUUGAUCAUUCUCAAUCUUUUUCAUCAAAAUUUUGUUUGCCUAGUACCCAAAAAAGAAAAAGAAAGAUAAUCAUAACCAAAUAGAUUUGGUAUCAGUUGAAGAACCUUAAAACUUGACACCUCAUAAAAUGGACUUUCAACAUUUAAUUACUAUUUCAAUUAUCAAUCGAUAAUGUUUUUAGAGCUCUUUCUAAAUAAUUUUUGUGAAAAGAGGACAAUGUUUACCUCCAUGAGCUCUUUUUCAUGUUCUUUGUAGAGGUCUGCAAUUCUUCUCUUCACUUUGGCAUAAUCUUCAGGAUUUGUGUACAUGAAGGAUAAAUUUUCAAGUUCAGACUACAAAAUACAAUCAGAUGUGUUAAAACCAAAUAUAAUCUUGAAUUCAUGAGAAUAAAAUAGAAAUUGUAAUUUUUUUAAAAAGGAGCAUAAGGAUGUACCUUAAUUUUAUACAUCCCCAACAAUUUUGCCAAAGGUGCAAAGACCUGCAAUGUCUCCAUUGCAAUGCUGGACUGAAAUAAUACAAUAGAGUCAAAACGAAUAACUAAAUGGUCUAUUUCUAGCUAAGGUUCAUCUUUACCACCAACCUGUUUAUGUGGAGGCAUAUGUGAAAGAGUGCGCAUAUUAUGUAAUCUGUCAGCUAAUUUGACAAUGAUGACGCGAACCUAAAAGGAAACCAUUUGUUUAGCACAUUACAUUCCAUAAAAACAUCAUCAAAUAAAAAAAAUUCACCUCCUCUGUCAUGGCUAGAAACAUCUGCUGCAGAUCAUCAGCUUUCACAUCUUGUACUGAAUCAUUUUCAUUCUUAUACUUCAACUUUCCCAAUUUGGACACCUGAUUAGGAAAAAAAGAUAAAAAAAGAUGCCAAAAUGAGCUAAAACUAUCUAGUGUUUUGUCUGACAUGGCAUUGAGCUAAAGGAUAAUGACUUAUGUUCAUAAAAGUAUAAACAAAGAACCUUGGUCUCUCCUUCUACAAUGCGACGUACAGUAGGACCAAACUCCUCCUCUAUUCUCUGAAAUGUAACAAUAUUUGUAUCUUCCACAGUGUCAUGAAGCAAUCCAGCUGCAAUAGACUCCCAAUCCAAUUCCUAGAACAAUAGUUGAGGUAAGUUAAGACUUCAGAUCCCCAUGCAGAAUCAAUUUUUCAAUGAGAACAAACUUCAAAUUAACUCACAAGUUCUCCAAGAAUACGUGCAACUUCAACUGGAUGAAUGAUGAAAGGUUCUCCACUCCGUCUCUUUUGACCAUCAUGUGCCUCAAAAGCUAGCUGUAUCAAACAAAAAACAACUUAUAGAUAUACGUCAAAGAGAUAAUCCCGGAAAGAACAUGGUAAAACAUUUUGCAAACUGAAGGCCUUACCUUAAGAGCAUUAUGGACCAACUCCAGCUCAUUAGGUGAAAGGUAUGAUAUAGCAGGCUUCAGACCCUAAUGCGAUUAUAAAAAUAAUCAGUAUAAGUUUGAAGAUACUAUAGUAACAGCCUUGCUUGCAGAAUAAUCAAUAUUGUUAUAGACAGGAGGUUUGGUAACAGCAAUUUUACCUCCCACAAACUUUCAGGAGAAAUAUCAUUAGAGGUAUCUGAAGAGAAAGAUGAUGAACUACACAACUGCCACCUUUUACAACCAACAUGAAGCACACUUGAUCUGUAGAGUUUCCCAAGCAGUAUAAACUCAGAAACAUCCGUUGAACACCAUCCUCCUACAUCAAGAGCCUGGCAAAAACACAAGAUUCGACCAUCCCAAAAUUAGGAACAACCAAUGCCUUUGUAUAAAAGUCAUACAUAAGGCAUUGCAAUUCGAUUAAAAGAUAAUAUUUCACCUAAAGGAGUUGGAAAAAAUUGCAUGUCUAUUUCUUUGUACAUAUAUUCUACACCUUAAUCUAAAACAGUCCAGUUUCAAAAUUCAUAUACCAGCAAGGAACUUUUGAACAAUUCCACGCACUCAAGAAAUACAGCAACUUGCAGUAUCUAAACUCAGCAAAUCAUUUCGUUUUUGUCAACCUAACGUUAACUACCCUUCCUAUAUACCAGUUCGCAAUCUGAUUAGAAAGCAGAUAACAAAAAUCAAAAGCAAUACUAUGAAACCAAAACAUCAAUUAUAAUUAAAUCAAGUCAGCUAAAAAAUGCACUAAAUACAAUAAACUCAAUCAAAUAUCACAGCCAAUGUAAGAUAUAUCUUGAAAAACUGAGAAAUUCUAGGAAUCCAAUAAACACUAAGAGGGAAAAACAGAAAUAAACUCACUGGUUUGAUCCGAUUUCUUCUCCCAUGGCGAGCGUAACCAAAAGGGGAAGAAUGAGAAGGAUUAGCCGUGCUUGCAAGGAAUCCAGUUAAGACUCUUGGAGCUUUCCAAGCACACGAAAGCAUGCUACAGUCAUACCUUCCACUUCCUUCCCCUUUCGUAAACUUACAUAUAUUCACACAUUCCACAGAAACUGCAAUCAAACGAAACAAAGGCAAAAAAAAAAAAAAAAAAAAGGAAAGAAAGAAAUCAGUGAACACACAAAUAAAAUCGGAGUUAAAAAAGAUGUAGACUUAAUUUCAUCACACAGUUUCUUCGGUAGCUUCAAAUUUGAACAAAUUCGAAAUUUAACGAAGAAACGAACAGUCGAAAUUCAAACAUAUUUAAACAGCCGAGAACUAAAAUUUCUUUAAAUUUUCCAAAAUUUCUUAUAGAAACAAAGUUCAUCGGAGAAAAUUAGAAAAUCAAAAACAUAAAAAUAAAUGAAAAAAUUAAGGAAGUGAAAAGGUACCGGAUAAAGAAGGAGCAAAGGCCAUGUCUACAACAGCAGAGUAAUCUCAUUGAAUCGAACUAAGCAUUAAAACAGUAACUCAAUCAACAAUCCAUCACAAAAAGAAAAAAGAAUCAAAGAUAAAGGGAAAGAGAAAGGAAUUUCGAGGAAUUUAUCAUUCGAAAUUUGGAAUUGGAGAUGGAAAAUUGGAGCAAUAAGCGAUGGAUUUGAAGCGAGGAGGAGAAUACAAGAGAUAAUCUAGAGAGAGAUAUUGAAGCCACACAAAUAUACCCUUCUCUUUCAGAUAUUUCCUUCUUUUCCUUUUUGGUUAAAUUAUUAAAAUAGACCGUAACUUUUAUAAUUUUACUUAAUUCAACUUUUAUAUUUUUAUUAUAACUAAUUAAGCCCUUUUCAAGUGUCCUAUCAGUAAAUUCCACUUCAAUUCAGAUUUAUUUUGGUUUAAUUAUACUAUUUGUGCUUAUUUAAAUUUGUAUAUAUAUUUUUAAGUAUUUUUUGGAUCGUUAUAAUUAUUUAAAUAUAAUAUUUAUGAUUACAGUUAAAAGAAUAUAGUUUUUUUCAAAAAUAUAUAUAGUUUAAAAUCUUUCUACUAUUUAUUAUUUUAAACUUGUCUUAUUAAAUUUUUAAGUGGAAAUUUCUUGAAUUAAGUAUUUUAAUUUUUUUUCCAAUUAUUAAUUGUGUUUUUAGGUUUUUUUAUCACUCGUGUCCGUUUUACUGUUCAUGUUCAGAAUUUUUGACUGCCCCUCCCAACAAUAUUAUCUUUGAGAUUUGAACAUGUGUCUCUCCUUUAGAAUACCAUGUGCCUUACCAUUGCACCUAGAGGUGUUCAUGGCCCAACAAAAAUUUUUGGCCGGUUUGCUAAGCCUCAAGUCCAACCCGCCAGUAUUAAUUUUUAAUAUAAUUUUUUAAAAAAUAUAUAAUACAUCAAAAUAAAAACAUUAAAAUAAAUGUUUUCCAACAAAUUGAAAAUAAAAUAAAAAAAAUAUGUAUACUUAAAUAACAUUAAGAUAAAUAUAACUUAACAAGUAAAUGUGAAAAAUAGUAACAAAAUUCACAAUAAAACAAGAGUUAUACAAUAUCCAAAUAAUAACAACAAAAUAGUAGCAACAUAAUUAUAAAAUAGUAGCAAAAUAGUGAAGAAAAAAACAACAACAAGAAAAUAGCAAAAAACAGUAAAAAGAAUAGCAUUUAUUUUUGUUUUCAUAUUUGGGCCGGGCUUAGGUCAAAAAAUAUUACCCAAUGUAUUGUCUGUUUUCUAAAUAGAUCUUAUUUUUUGCCCAAAUCUAUUUUUCGAACUUAUAUUUUUACAGAAGCCCUCCUACUUUUCGAACGGACCUUUGAGUCUAGUCGGAUGGCCUGACCUACGGACAGGUCUAAUUGCACCCAACAUUUGAUAUUAUGUUUUUUUUUAUACAAAAUUUAAGAGAUACAUAAAUAAAAUAAAAUUCGAAGCCAAAAUAAUAUUAACUUUACUUUCUCAAUUUUAUCAUUUUAACUAAAAAUAUAUUUAAUAUUCCUUACAAAUUUAUUAAUUAUUUAUUUUCAUCUUGAGUCUAUUAUAAUCUAAUUUUUAUUAAUUGUGGUUUUUUUUUUCCUUCUUUUCCACAGUAUGUUGUUAGGUGAGUGGAAUUUUACUCAAUCGGACAGCUUCAUCGUAAAAACACGUUUCCAUACAUUGGAAUUGACGUUAAUGCCCUUCUUUGCACUAUUUUCCUUUUGUUUACACUAAUAUUUGAUGACAUAAUUGCAGACCUCAGAAAACAAUAUUUUUAUUAAUUUAUUAUAUGGUACGAAAAUAAUACGAAAAAUAAUUAAAAUGUUAUAUAAAAUGUUACAUGACAUAAAAUAAUAAUACGAAUAUGAUAUUAUAACACGUAAAUUCAUGUAAAAACAAUAUGAAUAUAUAAAUUAUUAAAUCUAUAUAAAAAUGAAUAAUAUCUAAAAGUCGUAAUGCAACUACGAUAUACUUUGAUAUUGUAUUUAUUUAUUUUAUAAUUCAAAUUUAAAAAAUGAUUACAUGUUUUAUUUUUAAUUAUAAUUUUAGGAAAAGAAAAUGUAUUAUCUAGACUUUUCUAUAAAUAAGAUCUUCUCCCAAGAUUUUCAAUUUGUUUAUUGGCAUCCUUCUUUGAUCCAAAAAAAAAUAAUUCAAAUCAGUAUUUAUUAUAAAAAAUAAAAAAAAUUUAUUUGCAUAUUAAUAUUUAUCAAUUUUAUAAUUCAAUUUAAAUAAAAUUGUUAUUAAACAUUAAUUCGAGAUGGACAAUUUGAAUUACAAGUUUCCUUGUUAACGACCCAUUCCAUGCAAGCUGCAAUGGCUCCACAAUUGGAGGCAAAAUGAAACAAUCGCUAUAGUUUGAGGUUAAUUUUGCAAUUACGCCAAUUUUAUAUAACAAAACUUUUUUUAAUAAUAUUUUAAGUAUAAUUAUCAAAUAAUCACCCAUAUUUUAAAAUAUACAUACAUAAUUGAAUAUAUCCAAUGAUCGAAUUUGAGAUAAGUGUCGAUCAUGAGAGAAACCAAAAAAAAAAAAAUUAUGAAUCAAAAUUGAAUUGUCAAAAUCUAAAUUUAUCAUUGUAUGAACUUAAAUUUACAAUUUUAGAAGGGUUAAACUAUAAAUUUACCAUCUUAAUUGAAUUAGAUUUUUUUAAAAAGUACAAUUUAAUUAUAGAUUUUAUGUAUAGUUGACUAUAAAUAUAAAAAGAUUGACUUUAGAUAGAGCAGGGUCAAUUAUGAAAUUAUGAGGGUCAAAAAGUGAAGGCCAUGUGGAUAAUGCAUCACUAUAAUGCAAAUUACAAUACUGUACUUUGUUGAAUUAAAACGUGGUUCGUCCAUAAUUUAUUGAAAUAUUCAAUUAAAAUUCAUAAUCGAUGACUUUUUUAUCACAAUCUUUGCAAUGUAUCAAAUUUAAAUAUUUAAGUUAAAAUAUAUCUUUCUUUCUUUUCUUUUCUUUUUUUAAUUUUGGAAUUUAAUUUUUGUAUUUGUAUUUUUGUUCACCCCUACAAUUUAGUAUUGAUACUCGGGUAAGGUAUCGAUUCAUUGAUCCAAGUAUUGAUAUCUUAUGAUUUUGAAUUGACUUUAUGAACAUCGAAGCUAAAAACUGUAUCGAUACCUAGUCUGGGUAUUGAUACCUAUGCUCAUACUUUGAAAAGUUUGCAGUUUGAUCAUUCUUCAGGCUCGGGACAACUUAAGAGCUUUUGUAAGCUCGAUUGAGUCCCGAUUUUGAUUGUAUUACAUAAUAUCCAUGAAAUUAUGUCAUGAAUCAAUAAUGGAAUGAAUUAAUUGCUAUGAAUUGUAUGUGGUUUUUUCCGAUAACUGUAGUAACAUUCCAUAGCCUGAGUCCGGCGAUCAGACCAAGUGAGGAGUGUUACAUUCGAGAUAUGAUAGUAAAGAUUGAAUGUUGAAUAUGAUAUGUUAAAUAGUUUGAACUAUGAUGUUUAGUUUAUGAGACAAUAAACGAAUUUGUGAUAUAAUUAGUAUUUGGAUUUCAUAUGUAUGUACUUGGUAUUUUUGCUUGUAUGUGAUUAAUGCUUUAAAUCAUGUUAGGACCACUGAGCCUUAUUGCUCAACAUACGAUUUUGUUUAUUUCUAUGUGUAAGUAUCGUAGACCUCAAAGUCUCAAAGUGAUUAGUAGCAUCUAGACUCAACUUUCAACUCAACAAGUUUGUACAAUUUUGUUAUAUUAAUAGCAAGUGGCAUGUAACUAAUAUUAAAGUUGGUCCUUAGGUUCAAGUUGUCAUUUUGAUACUUAUGGUUGGAGAUGUUGUACUUAAAUAUGACCAUAUACGUUGAUGAUGAAUAUGUGUAUUAAUUUGAAGGUAUAAUGAUAUGUUUGCUUAUCCAAGUUAUGUGAUGCUAUGAAUUGAAAUUAGAAGGUUGCUUGCAUGCUAAGUAAAUGGUUGUGAUGCUUGAAUCUAUAAUGAAUAAGUAUGUGCCCGGGAUGUGUUUGAAAUGUUGAGAAUGAUGUCGUGACAUCAUGUCCAUGUCAUCAAAGUCGCAAUAUUCCCUUGCUAAAGUUGUGACAUUAAAACCUUUGCCAUCAAUGUCGCAACAUUCUCCUGUUGAAAUCGCGAUAUCAAGUUACUAUCUUCAUGGCCACAACUCAACCCUAUUGAAGUCGCGUCAAAAAGUACUGUUCUCAAUGUCGCGACAAUACCUCUAUAUUGGUUUUUUUUACAUAUUAGUCCAUCAUUUAUUACUGAAGUUUCAUAAAAGCUUUAGUAAGCCUACUUAUAACCCGAAUAUGAAUAAUUAAUGUUAAUAGAAGUUUUAGAACUUAAACGUUUGCAUGAUUUGUCUUUUGAAUAUUGAAAUGAAAAUUGUAGUUGCUUCAGCAAUGAAUGUGACAUCUCAUAUCUUGGACCGACGAUCAGUUCAGGUGUAGGGUGCUACAGAUAAUAAUGGGGAAAAAUGAGGAUAUUGAAUAAAUUUGUUGAGAAAUAUAAACUUGGAAUAGAUUGGACACAAUGAAAGUAGAAUUAAAUUUGGGAAGUUUUUGAACUAGUCGUCCAAACAUCUAAAUGUAUAAAGUUAGUGAGGGUACAAAUGUGUAGUUUUAUGAAAACAUGAUAAGAAAAAUAAAGUUUUUCACUAAUCCUAGUAUUGAUUAUGAAAAGAUAUAAUAUUCUUUUGUAGUGGAUGAAAUGACAUUUAGAUAUCUUAUUGGUUUGGCGGUUAAUGAAAAUUUGGCAUGCAUCUAAUGUUUGUUGUUAUAGACUUUUAUAUGAAUCAUUAUAUAGUGGAAAUUUAUAUUAAAAUCCUUGAAGGAUUUAGAAUACUAGAAGCAGAUAAAAAUCUUGAAAAAUUGUUCAAUAUGUUUGCGUAAACAUUUAUAUGAAUUGAAAUAAUUUGAACAUAUGUAGUAAAUUUGACUUAUUGAAUAGUAGUUAAAGGAAGAUUAUAUGAUCCAAAAUACUUAUAUGUACUUUUAUAAAAGGAUUAUGAUAAAAAUAUGUUAUGAUUAUUGUUGGAACUCCUGAAGAAAUCAAAAUAUAUUUCUCCAAAAAAAUCUUCCUCACUCGUGACUUUCAGAAGAAUGAAGAUAUAAACGUUUAGCAAAUCCAUUCAGGUGAUCAAGCUAGUAUUCAAGAUUGAAUACGUAGAAUGCGAGAUAUUACGUGAUGUUGUCAUGAGAGGGAGUAAAUACAUGUUUUACUCUUUUUCCCUUAACGGAAGUUUUGUCCCACUAGAUUUUUCUAGUAAGGUUUUUAAUGAGGCAACAUGUUAUACAUAUUAUAGAUAUAUAUACUUUUUUUCCUUCACUAGCAUUUUUUCCCCCACAGGGUUUUUAUCUUAAUAAGGUUUUAACGAAGUACAUUAUCUACCAAACAUCCAAUGGAGAAUGUUAUGAAUAUUUUGUUAAUAAGUGAAUCCUCAUUAAGAUAAAGAUAAGUUUGAUGUACUUUAGGACUCUAAUAUUCAUUAAAAGUUGAUUUUUAUUUCAUUUAUACUUUUUAUAUCUAUAAAUAUAGACUUUAAAGAAGCAUUAUAAAUAUUCCUAUUAAUCAAUAAAAUUCAGAGUUGUUGUUUUGUACUUUGUUCUCUUUGUUAUUUAUUUCAUAAUACAAACCAAUUAAAUUAAUUUAUGUUAAAUUUUUUCUUUGAUGUCGGCCGAAUUAUUUUUUUUCCCAUGGUAAAUAACAGAUGAAAAAUGUUUUAUUUAUCAGAGUUAAAAAAAGGGAUAAUAUUGUUGUGAGUUUAAAAAUAAAUUUGAAUUUGGGCGAUGUUAGAUGGUUGAUUCAAGUCUAGUUUAAGUAUGAUAUUAAAUUUUUUAUAUUCAUUCAAGUUUAACUCAUAUAAAAUAUAAAUCUAAAAUUUUUCUUAAGUUCGUCUAUAUUUAUAAAUAUUUUAAUCAAAUUCAUUUUAGGCCCAUUCAUAUUAAUUUUUAAAUUUUCUAAAGAAAAAUUAUAUUUAUAUUUAAUCCAAUAUUUAAUCAUUUAUAUAAUUUUAUUUCUUAAUUUUCUUUUUGAAAGACAUUUAUUAAAAUAUUAUAUAUAGGCAAAUAAACAUUUUUUAAUGUUAAAAUUAACUAUUAUAUAUUACUUUAUAUUUAAUUUUUACGUGUUAUAAAUUAUAUAAUAUUUAAAAAUAACAUAAUAUAAUACAUUAGAAACUUAGAAAAUGAGCCGAGUCAGACUCGAACCUUAAAAUUUUGAACCUGAGCCUAAGCCCGACUUAUAUUUUAGGCGAGCUUAAUUUUUUUAUAAACUUAAUUUUUGGACUUAAUAUUUUUGCUUAAACCCUCUCAAAUAUCGAGUGAGCCUUUAAACUUUGAUGAGUAACUUCGCCUCAAAACUUUUGUUGAAUUCAGUAAAAGAAAUAUAUUAAACAUAAAAAGAAAAUUUCCGAAGAUGCUGAAUAGAUUCAUAAAUAAAAUCUUAUUUUGACGGAAUAGAUAUCACUUUAAAUUUUAAUUUAAUCGGUUCGUACAAUUAUUGCAUUUAAGUAGCUAGAUUGAUAUACAUUUAAGAAGUGGUCAAAAAUAGAACGACGUCUAACGCAUUGAUACAUAGUUGUCGAAACAUGAUAUUUCUAUGAGGCAACUCCAAUUGAUUCCCUGGCAUUUUCCUCAACCCGUUGUCGCAAGUGAUCGCGUCAUCAAUGGCCGAUUCCAAAAACAUUUUUGUAUCCUUGUAGUUCUUCGACACCAGUGAUGAUACCGCGCCAUCGAGCUGCUGUGUCGCCGAUAUGUAAUUAUCUUCGCAAUCCUGGAAGUUCUGCUCCACUGCCGGCUCCAGUUUCUUUGUGUCGAGUGUCUUCUUGAUGUAGAAAGAUGUGUUCGUGCCAUUAUUCGACGCCACCUUGAUCGAUAUCAAGGCAAGCAUGGCUAAGUCAGCACUUUUGCUGGCAUGUUCUGCCAUGAGGCUCGAGAUGCAAAGAUCUUUCGCCUUCACCUUCUCGCAAGCCUGCGCAACUAACGGGUUGUUCCCAUUGGCAGCAUUUAUCGGCGGUGAAAAGGAGAGGUAAAGACAGAAAAUACCUACAAACAAUACAACAUUAUUUAUGACAAGCCUCAUUGUUGUUGUCUCCUUAUAGUUUUUGCCCUCUUUUUCCUUCUCGGGUUUUUUUAUUCGGAAUUUUGUAAAAUUUGAGUUCGUUGUGUUUUUAAAUAAUGAAAAAAAAAUGAUAGUGUGAUUUUUUUCUUUUAAACAACAAUUCGAAGUCACUACGUUAAGUGCAGGAAGCUUCAAUGAUAUCUAAAAAUGAUGUGGUAAUAAAACAAAUUCAAGAAACAAUGUUUGGACGGUAAGAUUCAAAGAGAUACGCGUAGCCACUCGAUCAUUAUGAAUUGGAUCCGUUGUUGAAGGGUUUGACCCCUAAAUUUAUUGUAUUCUGAUUUAUCGGAUCCUAAUAGAUAGUACAAAUUUGAAUAUAUCUUAUUUGUAUAUUGUAGAUUUAAAUAAUUCGAAUUUAUAUAAUCUUUGAUUUUGAAUAUUUUAAUUAUUAUUUUUAAAAAUUUUAUUUUUACAAAAAUUGCAUACCCCAAAUCCAGCUACCAUCCCAAAUACAAGGCCUAGAGACUCAUCAAGGUGUUAAAAGUAUUUUGAUCCCUUUUUAUUAUUAAAAUCUCUUUAUUUAUUUUUUAAUACCAUUUAUAUUUAUAUUACGGUCUAUUUUGAAAUUUUGUCCCUUUUAAUAAUAUCAACUACAUAAAAUUGCACAACUUGCAAGAAAAGCACUUUAUUUUUUUAAAAAAAAAAAUCAGAAUUUAUCUUAAUGGAUUUUUGUAAUAUUUAUUUUUAUUUGCCGGUUGUAUUAUUGAUAUAUUUAAUCACACUAAAAAACAUAUUAUUAUCAGAUGUUUAAUAUUAUGUUAGAUUGCUAUUUCCGCAUGAUAAUCACGAAAAUGUAACAUCAUUUUAGUUAAUAGAUUUGACAAUUACCAUUUAAGUAAUGAUUGUAAUUUUAAAACACGACAAGCAUAAAGACUAAAAAUAUCAAAUUGAAAAAGAAGAAAAAAACUAAAUCCGCAAGUUAGCAAAAAUCGAUUUGCUCAAUAAAUCAACUUGCUUGAGAUCAAAUUGAUUGUACCCAGAUGAAAACAAUCUGCAAAAUACUUGCAAAACAUCUAAGAUUCCAAGUAAAGUUACCGUUAUAUUAGCUGAUCCUAACAUGGGGCAACAUAAUCUCUCAUAUUUAAUUCUGAAAAUGGAAACAAUGGAUGGAUAUCCAAAAUAGAAAAACAUGUUCAAUCACACUAAAAAAAAAAGGGAAAAUACCCAUUUCGGUGAUGAUAGGUUGAUAGCGGUGAACUCAAACCCUGAAGCCUUUGCUGUUCCUUCUUCCUCUAGCUCUCUCGAAUUUCCUUCCAUUUGACCGCACGUAGGGCUUGGUGUGGCUGUGUGGCACACCAGGAGCUGGUCCGAAGUGCUUCACAGCUUCACGAGCAUUCUUUGGACCUCGGAGGAGAACCUGCAUGGUAUAUUUCAACCUUAAAAUCUCAGUCCAUUUUUAUCAUUCCACAAUAUUGAUAAGUUAGCAAAUGCAUUUCCUUUUCGUAAACCCCCUAAUUAAAGCUAGGGUACUCAGACUCGAGUGUUAUAUCCUAUACAUGCUUAACUUUUUUCUACAUUUUUCCAUGUAUUUGAAGGAUUGUACCUCCCUACCCGUGUCUGAAAAUGUAUCAAACAUAAAUGCUUCAAGAAAAUGAAAUGCCAGAGCAGCAUAGUAUUAGGUUGCCAAGAAAAAGAGAAACAGGGGUAAUCUUUAAAAAUCCAAACAUUUCAUAAGGGAGCUUCUGAAAAUGUUUUUCAAGCCUUCUAAUCAUUACGGUUAAUUAUAAAGUCGAACAUUCAAAAAAUCAUGAGUAAAAGAAAACGAUUUAAGUUGAGCCCAACAUAGGAAGCAUGAACACAGACACAUAAUAAGGAUAACACGUACACGAAACAAUUUAUAAUCAGUGUAAAAGCAAAAGGACUGCCUUUACAACUAAAUUAUCAAAAAUGAGUUAAUACAUAUAUCUAUACGGAGAUCACAAUAAAUGACAGAUGAAAGAAACAAAUAACAGUUGCAGUAGGAAAUGCUUAUCAGCUCAAGAAUUUUGAUUAAAGCUCAAUAAGCACGGAUACGGACACACAAUACUGGCAACAGGUAUGCUCAAACUAAUGAUUCUGCUACCCUUAAACUAGAACAUGAAUUGAUAUAAUCAUAUAGCUGCAUGAAGAGCUUUAAAAUGUUUAUCUUCUCUCUCGAACUAGGAUGCCAAAUCUCGAAACAUUUUUGGGUUCUAAGUCAUUAGAACAUUGGAACUUCAUACAGAUCAAACUAGCAGGUUUUAUCAUAUCUAUUACCUGCCAAAAGCUAGCAAAAAACACAAGCCAAAACAUUCCUAUCCAAACAACAAUGGUGGAAGCUAACUGAAGUAAAAAAAAGAAGAUUUGGAAGAUGAAGCAAAUACCGUGUUCUGCCCAAGAGGUGCUCGAAGAGCAAGUUGGUCAAACGUUAAACAUUCCCCACCGGCCUUCUCGAUCCUUGCCCUCGCCGUCUCAGUGAACCUUAAUGCAGUAACCUUCAGUGCCGGAACUUCAUACACUCGAAUGUCAUCGGUGACGGUCCCAACUACCACAGCGAUCUUAUCCUCCUGAUUGAUCAAACCAAUAACAACAUCAAUCUCUCGUCAUAUGAAAAAAAACAAUCAUAUUUUUAAAAGAGAAAAUUACCUUGCCCUUCAUGUAUUGAAUCAAUCUGGAGAGAGACAAUGGCGGUUUGUUGACUUUGCUCAUGAAAAGCCGCUUCAAAAUCACGGCAUUGAAUUUGCUCCCAGUCCUCCUUACUAGAAACCUGUAAAGCUGGCCGUAGAUCCAACACAUACGUUCGAAAAGAAAAUCAAAAAAUUUCUCCGUUAAACAGAAGAAAAUAAGAUGAAACGACUGGAGAAAGCGCGGGAACCUUGACGAGGAGCUUGAGGUAGAUAUCAUCAGACUUCGGAGCAGUUCGCUUUGUCUUCUUGCUCUUGCCGCCGGCGACCAAAUCGAUACCCUGAAAUUGCAACGAAAAUUUUGUUGAAAGCUUAAAGAGACAGAAAAGAGAUUAAUUGAUGUUAGGGAUUUGGAGAAGCUGGAGAUACCAUUGCCGGUGAUCACUGCUGCUUCGGGGGAAGGGGGUGGGCGGCGCUGCUGAAAGAACAAAUGGCCUUAAGGGGGAGAAAGGUAGGGUUUUGUUAGGGAAAAUGGUGAAAUUCCGUUCAAAGCUGAAGUCCAUUGAUUUCAAUGCAGCCUAUAUUUUUGGGCCGUUAGAUCUGAUGAUCCGCUAUAUCUGAUUAUACUCCAUUGAAGGGUCCGGCCCGCAUGGAAAAAUUGCCUCUAAUGAUUCAAUUGCUUGCAAGUCCAAAUAUGAUUAAUUUACCUAUAAAAGUCCAUUUCCAAGUAUAUUUACGGAAAUGGGCUAAUUUUUGUAUUAUUUAUUAGAAAGGGCCGAUUUUGGUAAAACGCGUCCACGUAGGAGCGUUUUAAGGUGAAAUUUCAGCAAAACGCGCCCCUGGAGGAGCAAUUUUCCAUGUCAGCACAAAACGCGCUGACGUGGAUGCACUUUGUUGACGUGGCAAAAUCGCUCCCCUAAGGGUGCAUUUUGCUCCGUGUUUUUUUCUCCAACAGCUAUUUUAUUUUUUGACUGUUGGGGGGUCCAACAAUAAAAAAAAAAGAAGUAUAAAAACCCCCUCAUAUUAUUUCACAUAAUAUUUCUUCAAAUUUUGGCAAAAAACUCUUUAAUUUCUCCCUAAAUUUCUCAAAGCUCUCAAAUUUCUCCUUAAAUUUCUCAAAGCUCUCUUUAAUUAAUUUUUUCCUUUUAAUUUUUUUCUAAAUUAGUAUUUUUUUACAAUUUCAAAAAUAUUUGAUCAUGUUAACAAUGGCUAGGGAAUUAAUUCGUCUCGAUCAUAAACAUAUCUCUGUCGAAUAAAUGAAAAUGGUAAGGGUUAAUUUUAAUUUUUGAAUAUUGUUUAAUAUUUUUUCAUUUAUGUAAUUUUAAUUAAUUUGUAUUUUAUAAUUUUUUAUAACAGUCUGUAGAUUGGGUGUUACAAUGUUAUAUUCGUAAUCUGUCUGAUCCUCCAUCAUCGUUGAUAGAAAAUUACUUGAGGGGAGCGGGUUUUGGCACAUGGGCAUUAUAAUUCGAGGGUGCAAGUAACUUAUCAGCGCGUUAAUAAAGAGGUAGAGACCCGAGACGCACACAUUUCAUCUUCCAUGCGGAGAGUGUACUAUCACUUUUGAGGACGUGCAGUUAUAAUUAAGAUUGUCGGUGGAUGGGUUCGCACUCACAGGGCCCGUUCAAUCUACUGAUUGGGGAGCCAUAUGCUACGAUCUUUUAAGUGUAAUUCCGGAUAAUAUUUAUGGAGGUCGGAUGGAGAUGGGCUGGUUACGAGACACAUUCCCGGAGCCGGAGAAUGAUUCGAAUGAAGUAGAAAGAAUACGAUAUGUUAAGGCAUACAUCCUUGAGAUGAUUGGAGGUUAUUUGAUGCCGGACUUGUCACGAAACCUCCUACAUCUGAGGUGGCUGCUGAAACUCAUUGAUUUUAGAGCAGCUGGCGAAUUUAGUUGGGGGUUUGUCGUGUUGGCAACAUUGUACCGGAAGAUGAAUGGGGCGAUGCCACCAAAUAAAGCCAAAAUCAGAGGUUGCCUAUCACCACUACAAUUAUGAGCUCGUUUCGCUUUCUAUUUUUACGUCUCCGAGUAAACCACCCAUAUACAUUUCCACUCAUAACGAGGUAAAUUUUUAUUUGAUUUUACAAUUAUUACAUAGAUUUAAAAUAAAUUUGUAUGCUAACAAUUUAUUUAAUUAGGUGGAACCAUCCGGUGAGUUAUGUUGGAAUACCUACCGCUCUUAAAGAUAUACGACUUCUAUUAGACCAACGGUCGGAAGUGCAAGUAAGUAUUAAAUAAAAUAUAUAUACAUAAAAUAGUUGUUUCAUAUUUAGUAUUUAGUAUUAUGUAUAUAACUAAUAUUUUUAUCAUGUUCAUAUAGUUUCAAUGGACACCAUAAGAGGAUCUGACAAUUUGGGCAGUAAUUCUGGAUGAAUUCUUUCAAAUUUCGAACAUUUGGCAUGUUAAGGUCCCAUUGGUCAACUAUGCUACUGUCAAGAUGCACCAGACAAAUAGAGUGUUACGGCAAUUUAAAUUCAGACAACAGAUUUUCGAGGCACCUAAGGUGCUCGAAAAAGAGCACAAAAUUGACUUAUGGUAAACGAAUGUGAUUUGGUCGGUAUUUUUCUCAGAAUAUAUCAAAAUUUUGGAAAAUUAGUAUGAUCAUAUACCUACUCACGAACCGAUCAUCAUUUUAGAGUUAGCAUGCGCGGCGGAUUACAUAUCAUGGUUUUAGGAUUCAUGGCAAGUCAUAUUUGCUGUCGAAAUAGCAGAGGCGUCAGUAAAUCCGUGUGGAAAGGGAACGACGGGGCCCUUUAAAUCCAAGAAUAAGGGAUGACGGCACGGGUCCAUCAAUAGUGCCCACACAAUCACCGAGUCUAACGCCUCAACUGACGACACCCAUACCACAGCCCUUCAGAUUAUGCCAAGUGUGUAUCCUAGCCCUUAUAUGUAUCCUAACCCUUAUAUGUUUCCUUUUUCCAGUCCUAUACCAAGUUGGAAUACAUGGCCUGGUGUAUCUCCUUUUCCGAUGACUUCGACUCAACCGACGAUAUAUAGGCCAUCGUCGCCGGAGGGAUCGCACUAGGUAUCGUCGAGGAGCUUAUCUCAUUACCAAUCCCCAUCGCCUUAUGAGAUUCAAACACCUCCACCGUGGGUGAUGCAAACACCUUCAUAUUCUUUAUUUUAUCAAUGUGGGUCAUCCUCCCAACACCUACAACCGGAGCAACCACAACCCCCGCCGGAAGCUAAACCAAGGAGGAAUCCAGCGCGUAAUCGUCGACCACCCCAUAUGGCACUGAUUCCAACUGGCACAUACAUUGAUUUUUUUAAUAUAUCUGUAAAGCUAUUUUUAUAUUAUUUUAUUUAAUAAAAUGAAAGUUACAUUUAAUAUUUUAAUAGUAAAUUAUUUUUAUAUUUUUAAUAAAAUAGAAGUUAUUUUGAAUAAGGCAAUAGAAAUAAUGCAACAUAGUUUCAUUACAGCAAUGUUGCACUGUACACUUAGCCUCAAACUUCUCGAAUUUGGAUUUAACCACGUUGUAGUUAACCCUGUGAUUUAUGCUAUGUUAUUUCAAUGCACCAAGAAAACUAUCAUUACUGGAAAACUCCUUACCAACUUCCAAUUCACCUGAAUCCAAAGAAGAACUUGUACGGUCACGGUCACGGUCACGCCUUCUAUGCGGUAGAUCUGGAAACUCCAACGCAUCAUUUGUUGAUAUAUCGACAUUAUGCAUGUGGGCUGGAGGCGAGUACGCCCUGAAUCGUGGAACUUCAUCAUCAUCAUCUGAACCCCCUUCAAUGUCUUCAGGUUCGGAUGGAACAAGUCCGAUUCAGAAAAUAAUACAACUUCUGCACCAUCGAGGCCGAGAUCUCGAGAUGGAUCCACAUCAGACUCAUCAUCCAACCCACCAUCAUCUGUAAUGUACGAGGUCCCCUCACCGGUGGACGUUGUAGGGAGUACAUCAUCCCUUUUUGUGGACGUUUUGUAACGUCCCUAAUUAGAUGUGGAUUGCCAACCACUAAAAGUUGAUGUCAUUCCCCAAUAAGUAUUUCUAGCAUCGAACAUCGACCCACCAAUAUGCAUGUCCCAACUACUAACCGAGUGUCGUGUAGGAGUUGUAUAUUACAUACUGCCACCCAACAUGGGCGCUUUCGUGUUCUGCCUCCCACUAACGGAGUGUCGGAUAGGGAUCGUGUAUUCCUCUCGAACAGCAGUAAAUGUUGAAGUCACAAAUGUUUCAUUUAGCGAGAAAAUUGUACAUAUAACUCAAGAUAGGGCAAUCCACUAGCGAGAUGAGUCUGCACUAUCGCCUCAAAGCUACGACCACCUUUGAUAUCAAAUGAGUCAUAUACACGGGAUCAAUCGAAGCACAAAAUCAAUACUUAAUAGAAGAAACACUCAUUGGCGUCGUUCUGAAGAUUUAGCGCCUAAUUCUUUUACAAAAUUCUAUCAAAUCUAUAGUCUAGUUAAAAACUAGUCGCAUUAUUUUCUCUGAUAAAAAAACAACACCAUUCUAGAUGUCACGGACCUCACCAUCAUAGUAAAUAAUAGCAUUAAUAUGUUCACUCAUCUUCAAUUUCUAUUCUGCUUAGCCUCUCUAAUUUUUCUUACUGUAACUUAUGCAACAUGAGAAUGAAAUUUGACUCAUUUAUAGCCUAAGACCAAACAUGAACUACUGUAGAAAUAGAACGUCGACUUGGGAGUUUUUUUCAGUAAUUUUGCUGACAAUGCAUCCUGCUUGAAACGUUUUUGACACUAUUUGUUCAGAAACGUCUUCUCAAAAUUAUUUUUUCAGGUACUAUAGAAAAAGAAUGUCCACGUGGAAGCUUUUUUUAGUAAUUCUGCUGACAGUGCAUCCUGCUUGAAGCAUUUUUCACACUAUUUGUUCAGAAUUAUAUUAUCAAAAUUAUUUUUUUGGGAACUACUGUAAAAAAAAUAAAAUCCUUAUUGUCAAUAUAAUUUUCCCUAAACCCUAAACCUAAACACAAUAUUAUUUUAAAAAAUAAAACCUAAUUUAAUUAAUUUUUUAAAGCCCUUAAACCCUAAUUUUAAUAAUUUUUAAAAAAUAAUACUAAAUCCUGAUUUAUUUUUUAAAAUUCCUAAAACCUAGAACCCUAUUAUUUUAACAAAAUCAUAAACCCUACAAACCUAAGCCUAAAUUAUUUUAACAAAACUCUAACCCUAAAAACCCUAGGGACUAAACAUGCAAAAAGCCCUAACCUAGAAAAAAUACGGAGCAAAACACGUCCUAGAGGAGCGAUUUUGCCACAUCAGCAAAAUACGUCCACAUCAGCGUGUUUUGUGCUGACAUGUCAAAAUCGCUUCCCCAAGGGAGCGUUUUGCUGAAAUUUUACCCUAAAACGCUCCUACGUGGACGCGUUUUGUCAAAAUCGGCCUUUUCUGGUAAAUAAUGCAAAAAUUGGCCCAUUUCCGUAAAUAUACUUGGAAAUGGGCUUUUAUAGAUAAAUUAGUCUCCAAAUAUUUACGUGAAAUAAAAUAUUGUUUUUUAAAUAAAAAGCAUAUCAAAUAUAUAUUAUUUUUAAUUUUCAAGACAUAUGCCAUGUUUUUAUUGGUCGGUAGUAUAAAAGUUAACGACGUUAAUCAUAUACUUAAAAAAUAAGUAUUCAAGUCGAUUAAGUCUUAGAUUAAGUUUGAUUGGCAUGAACAUUAUUACUGAUAUUAUAAGAAGAUUUGGGUUUGAGUGCAUUGAAACACAUUAUCUUCCAAAUGAUGUUAAGUUAUUUUAAUUUUUUAAUUCAUAUUUUAAUUAAGUGAUGUUUUGUUAAAAAAUAAAUUAUUUAAAUUACUAUAUUUAAUUUUUAUCCACAACUAUUGAAAAUAGUAUAAAACAUUAUAUUAAUGAAGUUUAAAUUAUAACAUAAAUUAUUUUUGAAAUUUAUUUGUAUCAAACAAAAAUUUUGUACUUAAUUUUCACUAAAAUAUAAUUUUAAUAAUUAUAAAAUUCGAUUAAAAAAUCAGACUAUCAUAAAUAAUUAGUACUAAUUUCUUAUUGCUUGGUUCGGAAGUGAAGAAAAAAAUAUUACAGCAUCAAAUCAAUGUCGUUGUAUACAAAGAAUAGUGCAGCAUAUACCAUUCUUCCUUUAAGACACCGCCUCCGGCAGAUAAAAUCGGAACAGAGUCACGGACACAGCCUCGUCAAUCCAUUGUAUUAUUAACGAUUUUAUUGUUUGGUGUACUUUAUAACAUAUUUAGUUCUUCUUCAACAGCACGGCUCUGAGCUGGGCGACAUCAAUCUCGUUCCCACAGUUCUCCGGUCUAUAACAUCCGGUAACCGGGUCCGGAACCCACGAAACCUUCUCUUUUGUCUCUUCCCUUGCUUGCUUCGCCACCGCAGCGUUGCUUGCCGCUCCUCCUCUUACUCCACUCGAAACAACACCUCGUGACGCUGACGCCGCCGCCGAAUAUCCUCGUCUGAACAAAACAAGAACCCAACAACAUCAUACACAGCCCUGGAAUGCAAAUGAAAAGAACUUAUAUUAAUGGUACCUGGAGAUAGCGUUAAAGAUUCCAUUGACAACCAAGGUGGAGAAAAGCUUAGCCAUUUUUUUUUCUUAUAAAAAAUCAAACUCUUUUCCCUAUGGCAAAACUGCAAAAGCUUUAAACUUAAUAGUUAUGGAGUGUUUGAAAGAGGGGAGUCUCGUUGCCUUUAUAUAGAGACCCGUGAGAGAGAACGAUAACGUGAAACGGCAACGUCGUCAACACAAACGACAGACCUCUCUUUUGCUGACACCUGGCUCUCAUGUAUUUAAUUAGGUGACCUAUUUAAUUAUUAAAUAGAUCAAUUUUCCUAUUGAACCAAAGAGGGUCAAGGACCCUGCUUAUCCCUCGUUGGUUACGCUCCCGUUUACAAUUCAACUUCAAGCUAUAUAUUUCAUCCAUAAAAUUAUAAAUAAAUAAAUAAUCUUCAAAAUAUAAACUUGUUAAAUGAUAAAUUAUUUUUUCAUCAGUAAAUAUUAUUUCUAUUCAAUUUUAAUUUAUUUGAUUAUUUUUAAUAUUAUAAGGACUAAAUUAAUUCUUUUAAUAAUAUAAGGAUUAAUUUAAUUUAGUUAGCAGCACCUUGCAAAUAUAUUCACCGAAUGGAACUAUCAACUAUCAAGCGAGCUAAAAAGAGGAGUCUUUAAUGGGUUGAUUAAGAAAGAAGAAAGGUCGAGGUGAGUCCUCUUAAGUUGACUGAUUUUCUAACCGUUGAUUAGGAGCUGAGGAGGAUAUCACGUCCGUCCACGUUUAGAAAAAGAGUGGUUAGUUAGAAAACAGACGCGGCGGAGUUGCCUCUUCUUUGAUGAUGAACAAUGCAAGGGGGUCAUCGUAACUUCCUACACGCGUCGCCCUUGGGGUAUAAUUGUUAUUAUGAAAUUUAUAUAUAAAGUUCAACAACCAAUUGUUGCUAAGGUCUACUAAUUUUGAGGUUUCUAACACACAUAUAUAUCAUUUUUAUUAAUAUUUUAAUAUUAUAUAUUUUCUAAAAUAUUUUUUUAAUUAACAACAAUUGCAUUGAAAAGUUAUAAUACUUUAAUUAAGGGUGAGAUUGGUUGAAUGGCGGGAUAUGAUGCGUUUAAUUUACUUUUUGUCUCACCUGCUUUUACACUAAAUGUACCGUCCAUCCAAACUCACCCUAAUUGUGUUGUAUAAAAUCAUAAUUUAUAUUAAUAAUUGUGUUAUGUAAAAAUUAAUAUUACGCAAUAACACAAUUAUUUUUGGUAGAAUAAAUCAGUAUUAAGUGAUUACAAAAAGAAAAUCAAAUUAAGACAUCAUAGAACCAUUAUAAUCAACCUAGGUUCUUACUAAAAGUAGUGACUCUUCAAUCAAUUGUAAUCUCAUGAAACCUGUAACAAUAUACUUAGUCAAAUGAUUCGCAACAUCAUUCUAAAUUCUUAGAACAUAGCGAAUACGAACCUUUCAUUUUUGGUUUAGCAGUUGAUAAAUUAGACAAAAUUCUACCAAUCUACUAUCGGCGACUUCACCAGCUAAAAUCUUCUCCACUAAUAGAGCAUUAUCACAUUUCAAUUCCAAUUGUUUGAAUCCCUUAUCUAAUGCUAAAUUUAUGAUCUGUAAUUUUUAUUAUUCUAAUUUUAAUGUUUUAAAGAUUUUAUAAAAUCUUGAAAGUAUAAUAAAACUUUAAAGAAAAUAUCUUACCCCAAAGUUUUUUUUUUAUUACUUUACUAACAAAUUAUGCACGUUAUGUUGUUAAUUGAUGAUAAAUGUAAGUGUGUUUUCCCCCUAUACAUUAAACUGAGAAAAUAUUUAACAAAAUAGACAGGAUUUUUGAAUAUUUAGCAAAAUAAUAUUUUGCUACAGUGUAUGGGUUGAAGUUGGAGCUAGGAGGAUUAGACUUUAAAAUUGUGGUGUUAUAAUAACGAUAGAACGAUCAUAAAGUAAUAAGAAAAUAAAAAUAAAAACAAAAACAUACAGAUUUUACGUGAAAAAUCAUUUUAGAAAAAAUCACGAGCAGGGUAAGAGAGAUUUACUAAUGUUAAAAAACAAAUAAUAUACAAUAAGAGUUUCAACUACAUCUAUUUAAAAGUUGAAAAACUCUAUUCUAAUUAAAGUUAAAUAGAAUAAGAAUAGUUUUAUACGGAUUUAAUUUAUUUGAUAUGAUCUAUUAAUAAAAUAUAUUGUUGUUUUUUUAAGAAUUUAAAAGUUAGAAUUUUGGAAUAAUUUUGAUCAUCCAUUUAUAUUCAUUAUAAUGGUGGGAUGUAGCUUGGCUUAUAAAUAAAAAGGCAACAUAGCAUAUUGAGGUGAAUAACACUUGGUGUACUUGUAAGGGUCUAAAGACUAGCUAAUGCUUCUCAAAGUGGAUAAAGGGUUAUCAUUUUAUAGAAAGUUGACUUUGAACAUACGUCGGUGUCUGUUUUGUAGAGCUAAAAGUAUUCUAGAAAGAGAUAUAAUAAAUAUUAAAUAUAUAACAAACUAAUUAAUGAUAUUAUAAGUAACAAUAUGAUGGGUAUAUUAAGAUAUUAAAUUUCGGUUUUUUUAAAUUUUUGAAUUAAUUUUUUUUGAAAAAAUAUAGAACUAAGUUAAUUUUAUAGAAAAAAUUAAGGAACUAGGCUAAUUUUAAAGAAAAGUUAUUAGAAGCGUUUUUUAGGUGAUUUGCAGAAAAAACACUUUCUAACUUGAAAUAUUUUUUGUCACAUCAGCACAAAAGUGGCAACACCAAUAUUUUUUUUUAUUUUUUGGUUCCACCUAUUAAUGUGGAAAUAAAACUUACAAAACAUGUAUUUAUAUAGACCCCGAGUCUCAUUUCCCUUGUUUUCUUAAGCAAUAUAAGAUAUGAGUAUAUAGAGACUUAUAAUUCAUUUACAACUUGUUCCUAGAUAAUGUGAGAUUACUUACUCUUUCAACUAACAACAUAAGAUUAAAUGUUAUACUUAAUUUUUAAAAAUUAAAGACAAAACUUUGUAUAACAUUAAAUCUAACAAAAUAAAAUAUUAAAUACUCCUAUACAAAUAUUAUUGUUAUAAAAAAAGUCCAAUAAAAAAAAAAGACAAAGUUACAAAUAUAAAAAUUCACUAUAUUAUAAAACCUUAUUUUUUUAUAUAUUUUAUUUAUCUAAAUAUUAAAUAUUUUUUUAUAUCUUAGUUAUAUUUCUUUUAUAUUAUAUUAUAUUAUAUUAUAUGUUAUAUUCAUUCUAUUAGUAUAUUCUAUUGUAAUAUAAUAUUACUAAUAUUAUUGACUUCAUUUUUAUUUUCUAGUUUAGUAUAUUUUGCAUCCAAAUUAUAUAGAAAUUUUUUUAUAUAGAUGGAUCGAUUUAAUAGAUUUAAUAUAGAUUAAAUUUGUUUCUAUUUAGUUUAGAGUUCUAAAUAGAGAUAAUUGGAGAUAUUAUGCGUUACUAUAUGUGUAAUGUAACCUUCAAAAUUUUGAACUUUUUUUAGUAAAUUUUAGCAAUAAUUAAGUCUUCAUAUCUCUGGUUAAGGACUUUAUUUAUAUGUUUGAGAUUAGGGGUUUGAGUAAUUUUUUUUGAAAUUUCUCUAUUUAUAUUGACUUAACCCUUACCUUUAAACUCUCGACUUUAAAUUACUUCUAUGUUAAUCUGUGUUAAGAAUGAGCUUGCUGGUUCUGUAACACUCCUAACCUGUAUCUGUCGCUGAAACAGGAUUACGGAGCAUUACCUAAAUUUACAGAUCAAAUACAGAUAUUUCGUAACAUUUAACAUUCAUAUAAAAAAUCAUUCAUAAUGAAUCAUAUUGUCCCUUAAAAAUUUCAAAAAUUUUCCAAGGUGCAAGGAACACACGCCCGUGUGGGCAUUCGAAAUAGGGCACACGACAGUGUCCCAGCUCGUGUUCAUACCCGUGUAACUCUCUGACUUAGGUCACACGAAAAAGUCACACGCCCAUGUGCUAGGCCGUGUGAACACAAAAAUUUACAUUAAAUAAGUGAAGGGGUCACACGGCCAAGCUACACGCCCGUGUGCCAGGCCACGUGAUUAAUUCUGAACAUUCUGUUUUGAAAUUUUAAAUAUGCAAGGGACACACGGCUGAGACACACACCCGUGUCUCUGCUGGUGUGGAAAAAAUAAGGCCAUUUUCUAGUCAUAUUUCUCACCCAAACUUGUCUUCCACCUACAUUAACUCUUAAACAUACUCUCAAGCCAAUACAAGACAUUCAAACCCAUUCAAAAUUAAGUCUUAUACAUGAUAUAAUACCUUUUAUAACCAAGUAUACAAACUUACUUAACUUACCAAAUUCACAUAUAUGCAUAUUUUACCAAAUAUGCUAAUUCAAUUUAUUCAUUAAUAUACCAAUAUGAUUCUAUCAAUCAACCAUUUCAAACACAUAUCAAACAUGAUAUAGCCUCUUAUAUUCACAUCAAAACAUGUCCAUCACAAGUCAUUCCAAUGGCUAGUUACAACCAAAACAUUUAUAUACCAACAUUGGCCAAGUUAACUUAUACAUGCCAUUAUAACCAAAGUUGAUUUACUAAAUAUACCGAGAUGAGCCGAUGGAUAGUGUGAUGAUAUCUCCACCAAGCUUCCAACCCAACGAGCUCUUGAAUUACUAUAGAGCAGAGGAAAAUAAAACAGAGUAAACAUAUUAUGCUUAGUAAGUUCGUAUUACGAGAAAUUAACUUACCAUUCAUUUUUAAAAAAAUAAACAUACAAAAAUGACUCCAAAGAAAUUUGGCAAUUAGCCUAAUCACAUAUAACCUAUCAAACAUGUUAGUCAUGUACUUCAUGUAAAUAUCAAGAAACAAGGAAUCAUCAUGUAACAAUUUUCAUAUAUAUAUGUUUUCCACAUCAAAUAUUCAUAUAACUUGUACAUUUCCAUAAUAAUCCAUCUCAAGUUCAGAUUAUUCCAUGUCGGAACUUUACCCGUUAAAUUUAUUUGAAAUAUCGAUGGAUACACAAGUAGUACACUUGAAGUGUACAAAACUGUAAUCCGUCAAUUCAUAUUCAGGAAUGCUCAUACGAGCACAUAAACGGGAAGAUCUCUCUCGAUCCAUAUAAUAGGAAGCUCAUGUGAGCUGUAUAAUAGAAAGCUUAUCCAGGCUGUAUAACAGGAAGCUCAUAAGAGCCAUAUUCAGGAAACUUGUGCGAGCCAAUAACGAGUAGCUCUGAAGAGCCAUUAAUCAGGAAGCUCCGGAUAGCCAUAUAUCGAGAAGUUUAAGCGAGCUAUAUCGGGAAGCUCCGGAGAGCCAUUAAUCAAGAAGCUCAUAAAGAGCCUUUAAUCGGGAAGCUCACGAAGAACCACAUAUCGAGACGCUCAUAAGAGUUGUGGUGUGUCCAUAACAUAUACAGAGUCACUACCAAUCGGGAUGCUUCGAAGAGCUAUUAACUGAAAGCUCGCAAUAACUAUAUAACAGGAAGCUCGAGAGGGCCACAUAUCGGGAUGCUCAUGAGAGCUAAUAACGGGAUGUUCUUUUGAGCUGUGGUGCGUUUGCAAUAUAUGCAGGACCACAACCAAUCCGGGAACCCUAUAUCCAUCGAAUUUUAUUUAUUCAAACGAGACUUAAUACUUGUCGGACAUUAUUGGAUAUGUGAUCAAUUUCAUAUAUAUAGCAUUUAUAUAAUUCACAUAUACAACAUUCAAUUCAAACAUAUAAAUAUACACAAAUUAGUUACACGAACUUACCUUGACAAAUGUUCGUGAAUUGUAAUCUACUAAUCCGAUACUUUUCUUUUUCUCGAUUCAAUUCGUAUUUGGUCUAUCCAGAUCGAUACGAGUAAAUUUAGCCCAAUUUAAUACAAUUCACAUCUUAGGUAAAAUUACCAUUUUGACACUGUACUUUUGAUUAAUACAAUUUCAUCCCUAGGCUCGAAAAAUUAAAUUCAUGCAAUUUAAUCCUUAUACCAAGCCUAGCCAAUUUUUACAUGUAACAUUCGCAGCCCAUGUAUUUCAUAAAAUUCAAAAAAAUUUCAUGAAUUUUACAACUUUUCAAUUUAGUCCCUAAAUCACAAUUUCACCAAAAUUCUCUUUACUCAACAACCUUUCAUUUUCUACCAUAAAACUUCAUAAUUCAUGCAUACUCAUCCAUGGAAAAACCCUAAUACUUUGAUAAAUUUACAAAUUAAUCCCCGAGAUAGCUAAAUUAAGCUUUUAUGACCUUGGAAACAUAAAAAUAAUUAAAAACGUGACUUGAAUACUCACCUAAUUGAGCCAAAAUAAUUUACUUGAACUUAAGUUUCUAUAACUGGGGUUUUCAUCUUUUUAAUUUAGGAAAGAUGAGAAUAUGAUGAUAUUUUUCUUUAUUUUAUUAUUUAUCAUCUUUUUAUCUCUUACUUUCCAAUUUAGUCAUUUUCUUUAUUUAAUUUUCCAUGGAUGAAUCAUCAUACUUAUCUACUAACUCCUCUUAAUGGUAUAUUUUCCAUAUAAGGACCUCAAAUUUUGAAUUCCAUAGCUAUUUGAUACUUAUAGCUAGUAGAACUCAACUUUUGCAUUUCAUGCAAUUUGAUCCUUUUAUCAAUUAAACAUGUAAGCGGUAAUUUUUUUCUUAACAAAAUUUUUAUAUAAUGUUUCUAUCAUACGGUAGACCAUAAAAUAAUUUUAAAAUAAUUUUUCUUACGGACUCGAAUUUGUGGUCCCGAAACCACUGUUUUGAUUUCAUUGAAAACGGGUUGUUCCAUGUUCAAUGGUUAAGCUUUUGUAUACCCUUUGGUUUUAUGUUUGAGUCUCUGUACAAACAAUAAGGAAAUAUUUUUGUUAUUAAUCUGUUAGAGUAGUUAGUUUUUAUUUUGAAAGUUAAUCGAGUAUUUUUUUUACAUUUCUUUCCUCAUUCUUCCUCUCUUCUUUCUUUUUUUUCUCAUUAUUUUCUUUUCUUUUUUCUUUAUUCUUUUAUUGUGUUCCUUGUGUGUUGCCAUAUCUUGCUACUGUUACGAUAGGAAAAAUCCAUAUUCUGUUGUCUUUGCUUGUCGAAUUAAUUGUGUAAGUUAAUGAGAAUGUUUUUCGGUAUUUGUAGUUCAUUUUGUCGAAGUAAGUUUGCUUGAUUGCUUGAAUUUGUUGGUUUAAGUUUCAAUUGGUUUCUUUUAGGCAAGGAUCGUGACGGCAUCGUCCCUCCAUUGAGUUAAUUUCGCAUAAUACUGUUCGUACGAGGGUGAGCGUGUGGGCCAAAGUACUAAAAAUUUUCCUAAGGCCAUAAGCGUCGUUCGAAUCAAACGUAGGCCUUCCAUAGGGUUUGUAUGCUCUGAAUUAGACUGUAUAAAUUAAUAUCCAAUAUUAUAAUGUUGAAUAAUCAAUUAUCUAUACGUGUAAUUAAUGUGAUAACUGUUAAAUGAUAAUAAUUUGUAUUAUCUGACUAUGACUUAUAUGUGAAUAAUUGUAUGUGCAUCAUUGAUAUCUGUAAAUUGUAUCUGUAUUGAGUGGGAAUGAUAUAAAAAAUGAAGUGUUGGCAAUUUAAUGAUUUGCUGUAACACUCCAAACCCGGCCUAGACAUUAUGGCCGAAUCUAACGAUGUCACAUGGUAGUGCUUUUCAAAAAAAUAUGUCGUCGCUAAAUCCCAUUUUCUAUUUAACCAUUUUUUUUCAUUUUCUUAUGUUAAUUUCAAACUGUGUCGUUCGUUUCCAAAACAUUAUUCAUUUAUAAAUCGUUAUUCAAUUUCAAAAUAUUUUUUUAUUUUUAUUGCGGAAGCUUUUAAAUAGUUUGUUUAUUCGUGGUACUUUUGAUAAAACAUUAAUUUCAAUUGAAAAUCCAAGUUUUACCUAACACUAGUAGAUUUAAAUCAUAAAACCAUAUAAAGUCCAAAUUUUAAACCAAAAUUCGUAAAGGCCAUAAUUACAGCAAAAUACUCUCAAAUAAAAGUAAAAUCAUAAAUAGGUAAUAAAUAGUGUAAAAGAAGUCGUGUGGCCACCACUGAGUCCUCUGCCGCACCGAUCCGCCUAUAUCUGAGGAUUACCUGUACUGAUUAAACAGAAUGGGUGAGUUUACGUAAACUCAGUGUGUAAUCCCCAUACAAAUGUACAGACAGUAAACAGAUAAUCACAGUCUGGGCUUAAGCUCUUUUCAGUAUCAGUAUUAGUCCAGUUUGGGCCUUAGCCCAUCUCAGUACAAAACUAGUAAUGAAGUAGAACUUUAGCCCAUCACAGUAUCAGUAGCGGUAAUAGAUAUGCAGUCACAAAAGUCCUACCCAUCCAGACUCUACACACCAUCUCCGUCCAAUCCUACACUCCAUUGAGGAUAUAAUCAACCCACCCAUCACUACGCUCUAAGUAGUACCGAAUGCGGCACUAGACAGUAGUUUGAAGCAGAGCUGCCAGUAAAUUAGGCUCGAGGCCUUUCAGUACACUUCCUCUGAACAUUAUAAUCUCCCAACCCAAUGUAAUGCAAUAUACAGAUAUAACAUGCUAUAACAUAAUAUCAUGCAUGUAAACAGGGCAUAUAGUAUCAAAUCAGUGGGACAUCAUCAAGCUUAGUCAUAUCAGUCAUACAAUCAUUUCAAUCAAUUAGAGGUCUAGGUAAACUUACCGACCCUACAAUAGGUUCACAGUUGACUUGGGCGACCCGUGCAACCUUAUCAUUCAAACAGUGAAAAUGGGCCUACAAGCCCAUGAUGUUCGCCGUGUGGCCCACAUGACCCAAAUUCGCCUUGGCCUCGUGAUCCAUUUUAAUGUAAUCCGUACUAGUUAAUUAUUCAUAUGUGUUUCCACAAUUUACUUAUAUGAUCCUUCAAAGUUGUCUACUUGAGUAACUAUUACUAAAUUAUUUGUAUCUUAAGCUACAAAAUUCCAAAUUAAGAUCCACAAUUUUUUUCUGAAACCAGACUCAAAUAUCUUCUUACCAUAAAAUUUUUAAAAUUAUUAGUUUAGUCAAUAAGUACAGUGAAUGAUAUUCUCAUUUAUUUCUCUUGAAAGUAGACUCAUUCAAGACUUUAAACAUAUAAAUUAUAACACAUAAUUAUUUUUAUACAAUUUUUAAUAAUUUUCCAAAGUUAGGACAUGGGAUUCCAAAAUCAUUCUGACCAUAUCUCACUAAAAUUCAAAUAUCUCAUAAUAGGAAAUUCUUUUGCUUAUUUCGUUUCUUCUAUGAGAAACUAGACUAAAAUAUAUUUAAUUCCAUAUUUUUUUCAUUCUCUAAUUUGAUUUUCAAAAUUUAUGGUGAUUUUUCAAAGUUAGCCUACUACUGCUGUCCAAACAGCAAGCAAUUUCGACUUUUCGCCGAAUCCCUUAUUUUUGUGUUUCGAGUAUACACCUAGUUUUGUUUGAUGCUAAAACAGUCCUCGAGCACAUUUACGAAAACAAGUAACACCAUAAUCAGUCUUACCUUGCGAUUAAUCAAAAUCCCAAAACCAAAAUACUUACCCAUAAAACGAUGAACACUUACCGCAAAACUUCAAAUCGGUACAUUUACGAAAAUCACGAUGAGUGCCUUAAUCUUCACGAAAUGCUACUGCCAACACCCCGGAAUUAGACUAUUGAACACAAAAUAAUAUCUUAAAAUGAUACCCAACAACUUACUGAAUUUGCACAAGUGCUGCUUAACGCUAUGAAAUCAAGAUGAAAGAAUGGUUUAAGGGGAACAAGAGAAUUUUGGUAGUAGAGGAAAGAAAAGAAACGAUAAUUGAGUAAGAAGAAAAGAAGAAGAAAAUUUCUGUAGAGAUGGGUGAGAGAAAAUGUGAGAAAGAUGGAGAGAAAAACGACUCUCUUUUUUCUAAAAAGGAAAAAGUGAUCAAAUUUUGGAUAUUCUCCCCUAUAAUCCCCUAAUUCACUCCUAAAUCACUCCCUCACUUCCCACUACAUAUCCACCACUCAAAAACCCAGUCUAGCACAACUCUUGCCGAAAUUAGGAGCAAAAAUACAACAUUUGUCGUCUUAAAGAUUCGAACCCAUGACCUCAUUCACACCAACACUCCACUUAUCCACCAAACCAGCAGGCCCAUUCUGUUAAUUAUUUUCCAACUUUUACUUAAAAGCCUACUGACCAAAGAUUAUUCCUAAAAAUACCAAAAUUUGCCCAAGUCCUGACUUGAACUUGGGACCUCCUAAACACUCCCAGAACACAUAACCACUAAAGCUGACAAAUAUUUGUGUCACAUAUUCACAAUACCCAAAAUUAAAAUUUUGGGGCAUUACAUUUGCCGAAUCAAGUGGCUAAGCCAUAAUUUGUAUCUGAUUCUAGCGAUUUAUACCAUACUAUUUUAACAGACAGUCUGUAAUUAUUCUGAAAUGUGCCAUACCGACACUAAUUGGUGUGUAAGGUUGGAUUGGUACUUGAUACCCUAUACAGUGUGUUGGGAUGGUCGGGAUAGCGUGUAGCAAGUGAGGGUAGAAAAUUACAUUUGAUUAUGUUCUGUAUCCAUGUCUGAUCUAUUCCGUAUUUUUAUCUAAGCUAUAUGAAUAUAUUGAGUACCAUCUGUUUCUGAUACUGUAUCUGCAGUGUGGGGAAUCGCUGCUACAUUUAUAUUGUUGAUUUGUUUUUAUACAUGCUACACACAUUAAGUUAUAAGCUCAUUCCUAUUGUUGCCUAAAUUUCAGGUAAUCCACAGAAUUAGAAGGCUUGGCGUGUUAACUCAGAUAUUAUAUGUUAGUUUAAAUGGCUAAUUGCUUUCUAUAUGAUAAAUUUUAAAUUACUUAAAUGUUACUUUUCUCUUAAACGCUUUGAUGUAACAUUCAGACUUGGUCUUAACGUCUAGAUCGGACAUGGGGUGUUACAUAUAAGUUUGCCUUUAUUUUUUUAUUGGACUUUUUUAUAACGAUAAUAUUUAUAUAAGAGUUUUAAAUUUUUAAAAAUUAAGUGUAGCUUUUAAUCUCAUGUUGUUAGUUAAAAGAGUAAGUAAUCUCACAUUGUCUAGGAACAAUGUGUAAAUGGAUUAUAAGUGUUGAGAAAAAAGUAGACAGUUACCUGGGUAGUUAGGCUCAGUUAGUAUAAGUUAGUUUGUUAGUCAGUUAGCAAGUAAUAUAUAAAAACUAAUGAGUUUAUAAUUAAAGAGAGACUAAUAGUUUUCCUACUGAAUGUACUAUUUUUUUCCAUUCAUCAAUAAAUUAUUGAUCAGUUUUUCAACAUGGUAUUAGAGCUCUUGUGAUCGUUGUCUUUUUGAUUGUUUACAAUUGUUAUUUUUUUGAUCAUUCACUGUUGUUCAGUACUAUUUCUAGUCAUUCUAGUUUGCUCAGUAUUGUUGGUUGGUCUUGUUUUGUUUUGGGUUCUAUAGGUUGAUAGACAAGCCCAUUUUCUGUUGGUUUUUACUAGCCCAAAUACAAUUGUUAGGCAAAGUUUAGUUGUUAAUCUAGGGCUUUUUUCACUUGUGGUGUUUCUUCUUGUUCUUGCCUGUUGAAUUUUUUUGUUUUUAACAUCGGAGUUUUUUAAUCAUUGUGACUUCUUCUGAAUCAGUUAUUGAUUUUAAUCAUCCUCUUUACCUGCAUCUAUCUGAUACUCCAGGUACCUUGUUGGUGUCUCACCAAUUGCUUGGAGUUAAAAAUUAUAAUGUUUGGAGUCGAACCAUGAAAAUUGUGUUGUUGGCCAAAAAUAAAUUGGUGUUUGUUGUUCUAAGGAUUCAUUACCAGAUGAGAUGGGCUAUCAAUGGGAGCGAUGUAAUGCCAUUGUCUUGUUUUAGAUUUUGAAUGUAGUUAGCAGAGAGCUCUCAGUAGUGAUUGUUUUUGCAUCUAGCACAGCAGCGGUAUGGAACGAUCUUGCUGAAUAGUUCCAUAAAGUUGAUGGUUCUAGAAUUUAUUUUUUGCAUCAUGAAAUCACCUCGCAUCUUCAAGGUAUUGCUUCCAUCUCUGUGUAUUUUACUAGGUUGCGACUGUUUUAGGAUGAAUACGAUACUCUUGUGCCCUUUUCUUCAUGUGGAUGUGUUCAGUCAAGAUAGAAUAUUAAGCAUGCUUUGCAGUAGUGUCUAUUCCAAUUUCUAAUGGGAUUGAAUGAAACAGAUAAUUCAGUGCGUAGUCAAAUCUUGUUAAUAAACCUAUUACCAUCUGUCAAUCAAGCGUACUCUAUGCUUGUGCAAGAAAAAUCACAAAUAUAACAUAGCUCUAGUAUUGUUGGGUCUGAUCCAGUCUCUUUUCACCCAGCACACAUGGUACAAAAGAAAUACUUUACUGAAACCUAUGAUCAUUGCAAGAUUAAAGGGCAUAAAAGGGAAAGUUGUUAUAGGAUAAUUGGUUACCUUGCAGAUUUUAAGUUCACUAAGAAGAAGGCAACCAAUGUUUCUGGAUCCGUAGUGAACAAUGUUUAUGUUAACGAUCCUGUAAGUGGCAAUGAAAUGACUAGUGAUGUUGGUUUGUCUAGUCUACAAGCACCUGUGUUUACCCAGGCACAGUAUCAACAAAUCUUGAGUUUGUUGAACAAUGAGGCUAUAGUUAAAGUUGCUGCAAGCCUAGCAGGUAUGGUUGGUGUAGGUCAAAAUUGGAUUAUGGAUACUGGAGCUACUGACCACAUGCUUUCUGAUUUCCAAUCCUUAGAAUCUCUUGUUGCAUGUGCAUCGCAUUCACCCUGUGUUCGACUCACAAAUGGCUUUUAUGUUUCAAUUACUCAUGUUGGCACCUGUACUGUUCAACCAAAUUUUCAGCUUACUAAAGUUCUCUAUGUUCUAAAUUUCCAUUAUAACAUUCUUUCCAUUGCUAAACUUACUAAUGAUCUCAAUUGUUUUGUUUCAUUUUAUCCUUAUUUUUUCCUCAUAUAGGAUCUUUCAAGUGGAAAUAUUAAGGGAAUUGGUAGGGAGCGAGGUGGUCUUUACAUCCUAGAACCUUCUCGACAGACUAGUGUAGCUGUGACUCAGUCUGUUGCAUCCGCUGAACCACCAUUUCAUUGGCAUACUAGACUUGGCCAUGCUUCUGGUUCAAGAUUGAAUAAGGUGUUUAAUCUUCCCUGCACAGUUUCGAAUAGUGAUAGCAUACAACAAUGUCUUGUGUGUCCUCUUGCUAAACAAACUAGACUUCCAUUUCCUAUAAGUACAUCUCGUGUCAAUACUAUUUUUCUCUUAUUCAUAUAGAUUUAUGGGGGCCCUAUCGAGUUUCUACUCAUAGUGGCCAUAGGUAUUUAUUAACCAUUGCUGAUGAUUACUCAAGAAUGACAUGGGUGUAUUUGUUAUGAUAUAAAAGUGAUGCUCUUGUAUAUCUCAAAUAGUUUUUUGCCUUGGUUAAGAAUCAAUUUUACACUAGCAUCAAAUUUGUUCGUAGUGAUAAUGGGUAUGAAUUUUUUAAAAUUGAGUGUAACGAAUUUUUUACUAUGUUAGGUGUUGUACAUCAAAGCUCGUGUAUUCACACUCUUCAGCAAAAUGGAGUUGCUGAGCGUAAACAUAGACAUUUGCUUGACGUUGCUAGGUCUCUCAAAUUUAAGUCUCAUAUGCCUAGUAAAUUUUGGGGUGAGUGUGUAUUAACUGCAUGUUUUUUGAUAAAUCGACUAUCUACUCCUCUCUUGCAUUGGAAGAGUCCUUUUGAACUUUUAUAUCGUAAACCUCCUGAUCUUUCUCUUUUAAAAGUGUUUGGAUGUAUUUGUUAUGCUACCACACCCAAUUAUCAUGAUAAAUUUUCUCUUAAGGCUAUUCUUUCUAUGUUUAUGGGAUAUUCUAUUAUUCAGAAAAGUUAAUUGUUAUUCAAUCUUGAAACCAAAAAUUUCUUUGUUAAUCUUGAUGUUGUAUUUCAUGAUACCGUGUUUCCUUUUCCCUUUCCUACAAAACAUUUUUUAUUUUUUCCUACAGCUGAUAGCUCUACUUUUUUUAAUCUGGAGCUUUUGUCUUCCAUUCCUAUCAUUUCUCCAUCACCUAUUUUGCCAACACUUUCUUCUUCCCAAACUUUACCUACUAAUACUGAACCAAUUUCUCUCCUGUUAAACCCCUUACGACGCACCACACAGUUUAUCAGGCCACUUGCCUCAAUGAGAGAUUACAUCUGUUCCAACCAAUCUUCUGCUUCCCUUGCUACAGGUUCAUAUCUUAUUUAUCAUGUUUAUUCCUCGUUGCAGUUACCUAUUCACACACAAUUGUUUGUAUUCUAUAUUUUUUCACUGACUGAACCCCAAACAUAUGCUGACACCAUCUCGGAUGCAAGAUGGGUCGAUAUUAUGCAACAAAAAAUUUGAGCUUUGACAGACAAUGGUACGUGGGAGGUCAUUUCUUUACCUGCUGGUGCUAUUCCUAUUAGGUGCAAAUGGGUUUAUAAGAUCAAGUAUAACUCUGAUAGCUCUGUUGAACGAUUUAAAGCCUGAGUGGUAGGGAAAUGGUACAAUCAGCAGGCUGGUAUUAAUUUUCAGAAGACUUUUUCCCCUGUGGUUAAGCAUGUCAUUGUUCGAACUAUUGUUAGUAUAGCUGCCAUGCAUGACUGGCCCCUUUUCCAAAAGGAUGUUUACAAUGCCUUCUUGUAAGGAGAUUUGUGUGAAAAGGUUUAUAUGGACAUUCCAGACGGUUUUCACACACAGGGGGAGCACAAGGUGUGUCUUGUGCUCAAAUCAUUGUACGGUUUGAAACAAGCUUCUCGACAAUGGAAUUUAAAGCUUACUGAGGCAUUGUUGCAAUGAGGUUACACACAGAGCAAAUAUGACUAUUCAUUGUUUUCCAAAAGACAAUGGGGUAACAUAGUUAUCCUACUUCUCUAUGUUAAUGAUCUACCAAUCACAGGAAGUGAUAUUGGUAUGAUAAAUGAGCUUAAAAAAAUCCUGCACUAAAUUUUAAGAUGAAAGACUUGGGUGCAUUGAAGUAUUUUCUUGGAAUAGAGGUUAUAAGAUCAAGUGAAGGGUUGAAUCAAAGGAAGUUUGGAGUUGAUAGCUGAUGUGGGGUUAAGAGAAGUGAAACCAGCAAGUACGCCUCUUGAACAAAAUUAGAAACUCAAUUCAAUUGAGUAUGAUGAGUUUAUACAAAUGAGGGCUGAUGGCGAUGAAUUGAUUACUGAUGUUGCAGUAUAUCAAUGACUUCUGGGAAGGUUGCUAUACUUGACCAAUACAAGACCAGACAUAAUGUUUGCAGUUCAACACUUAAGCCAGUUCAUGCACAAACCAAAAAAAAUAUCAUUUGGAGGCUGCUUUUCAGGUGGUUCUAUAUAUAAAAAAAAUCCUGGUCAAAGUAUCUUAUUGGCUGCAUUUAGUAAACCACAACUUAUUGCAUUUUGUGAUUCCGAUUAGGCUUCAUGUCCCAUGUCCAGACGAUCCGUCACUGGUUUUUAUGUUAAGCUUGAAGAUUCUCUCGUUUCAUGGAAAUAAAAAAAAACAAACUACUGUUUCUCGAUCGUUAGCAGAGGCUGAAUAUAGAAGCAUGGCAGCAGUAGUAGCAGAGGUUAUUUGGUUGGAUGGCUUGUUGAAAGAGGUCUGUCUUAGUCAACUUGAUAAGUCUUUACUUUUUUCAGAUAGCGAGGUAGCACUACAAAUUGCAGCAAACCUUGUUUUUCAUGAAUGCACUAAACAUAUAGAAACUGAUUGUCAUUUUGUACGAGAUAAAAUUGGAGAAGGUUUGAUUAAAAUGCAACAUAUUGGUACAACUGAACAUCUUGCAGAUUUGAUGACUAAAGCUCUUGGAAUCAAGCAGCAUGAAUAUUUGGUGUCCAAGUUGGGGGUUAAAGAUUUGUUUCACCCCUCAACUUGAAGGGGGUUGUUGAGAAGAAAGUAGACAGUUAGCUGGGUAGUUAGACUCAGUUAGUAUAAGUUAGUUUGUUAGUCAGUUAGCAGGUAAUAUAUAAAAACUAAUGAGUUUAUAAUUAAAAAGAGACUGGUAGUUUUCUUACUGAAUGUACUGUUUGUUUUUUUUCCAUUCAUCAAUAAAUUCAUGAUCAAUUUUUUAACAAUAAAUUUUUAUAAAAUUGACCUAGUUUCAUAAUUUUCACAAAAAAUGCCUAAUCCUAUAAUUUUUUUUUUAAAAAAAAAGAUGACAUUUUUUUAGCAAUUUAGUUGGUUUUUACAAUGCCAAAUUUUCUUCUCUAUUUGAAAAAAAUUAUGAUAAUAAAUAUGUUUUUGUUGCAAGUUUUUUGGUGAUUAAUGAUAACUUUCAAGUCUUUACACCAUUACAAUUAUUUCUAGAAUUGUUUUCAACAGUAUUGAAUGCCAUAGUAAUUAAAAGUAAAUAAUUUUAAAGAUCUAAAAAGUAUUGCAAUAGAUUAAAGAAAUACAAAUUAAGAAAAAUAAAUAUGAUUUUUUAUUCAGUCAAAAGCAAUGUUAAUGACUUAAAACUUCACAAUAAAAUUAUGCUAUGCCAAUUCUAACUUUAAAUGAAUUUCAUUCAUUACUUCCAAUUGCUUUAAAUCUAUCUUUGGAAAAAGCAAUAUGUUUGGUCAAAUAGCAGGAUGAAUGAAACCCAAAUUCGCUACUUUCAACCAAACAAUCGUUUAGGGUAAGUAAUUAACAGCAAAUUAGAUAAUUGAAUCGGUUGAAUCGGUAAUAGAAAAUAAAAUAAAUUGUUAAAAAUAAAAAAAAUCAAUAAUAGAAACAAAAAUGUAACGAUUCAUCCGUUUAUUAAAAUUUCGUCUCUUUUAUAUAUUUUUGUUUUUAUUUAACAAUUGUUGAAUCAUACCGAUUAAACUAAAAUGCAAUAGCGAUUCGGCCACUUUAGAACAUUGAUAUUGAAUUACAAAACCUUCUUUCAUCGAUUCUUAUAAAGAGUAUUAGGCAUGCUCAUUUAAGAUAUUUUGAUAAUUUGAUAUCCUUGAAAUUAAAUUUUGUAAAAUAAGAGACGGUAUUACUGAAAUCAGGUCUGUUCGAAUAAAGAGAUUGAAUUGUUCACCGAGCGAAAUUUUUAAAACUGAUUAAAAACUCUAAAAUUAAGGUGAAAAUCGACAAUUGAACUGCUUAAACUAAUUUAUAAUUUUUAUUAAUUAUUAAUUAAUUAAUUAAUUAAUUAUUAGACUAAUAAUCAAAUCAAUUAUACUGAAAACUGAUAAUUUAACUGAUUCAACGAAUGUGAUUAUCAUUAUAAUUGGUUCAUUUUCUAGUACCUCUCACAAGAUUCAAUAUUUUAGUGGUAAUUAUCUCUCCUGUAUUUGGUGAAUCCCACUUGUAAGUUGUACCUAAUGUUAGUAACACAUUAUCAUUAAAUAAAAAGUUGGUUUUGGAUAAUGUGUGUGAAUGGAUAGGAGUGCUUUAAUUGGAUUAGAGAUAGAAUUAGCCUAAUGACAACUUGAAAUAGCUAGUUGCCAUAGCCUUUAAACUUGCCUAAGUUAUGUAAAAACUUGUACUUAUCCAGGACAAGUUGAAAUUCCUAGGUAUUCACUUUAAAUUUAAUAAUAUUUAACAUCAUACAAUUAUAUAAAAUAAAUACAAAAUAAAAUAAAAUUUAGGUUGCGUUUGUUUCAUUGAAAAUAUUUUCAUCAAAAUGAUUUCUAAAAAAUGGAUUGACUCUUUAAAAAAAAUUGAUAUUCUUUCCUGAAAUCAUUGUUUAAAUGUUGUUCUUAAUGAAACAAAAUAUAUUUGUUACUUGAAAUUUGAAAUUUAUUUUAUAAUAAUCAAUAUCAUAUAUACAAUGUGAUUUGAAUCAAACCGAAUUGACUGGUCGGACCGGGAACUGACUAGAUUAGGAACCGAUAUGAACCGGCUAAAAAACUAGUUGAAUCAACAAUUGAACCAGUGGUCGAAUCGGUUGAAUAAAAGUUUUUACUUUUUUAUAAAUUUUUAAUUGGACCGAUGAAUCGAUGGCCUGAUUGGUUCAACUUAAAAAAAAAAACAUUGCAUAUAUAAACUUAAUAAUAAUCAAAGCCUAAUUAAAACUUAAUUUAGAUUACAUAUAUGAGUGUAUAGUGGCACAUUAGAGUUGGGAUAAAUAAAGCUAAACAUGAUUUAAACAAAUACUCAUAUUCAUGGGCAUAGCCAGGGGGUUGGUAGGGGCCCCGACCCCCCUAAAAUAGAAAAUUUUCCAUUUAGGCCCCUUUAAAAUUUAUAAAAAAUUAAAUUAAUAAAGGUAAAAUUACAUUUUGAUCUCCUAAAAAUGAUAAAAGUUUGAUAUAAUCUUUUAAAAAUUAUAAAGAUAUAGAUAUUAAAAUGGUGAAAUUGUAUUUUUCAUAUCGUAAAAAUAUACAAUUUAAUUUCGGCCACCCUAAAAAAAUUUUCUGACUUUGUCUCUGCUCAUAUUUAUAUAAUUAAAAUAUUUAUAUUAUAUACUAUAAAACAUUUAUUAUUAAAUAUUUAUAAAUUGUCAUAUAAAUUUAUUGUUAAAAAAUUAAUAAUAAAUUAUAUUAAUAGAUUUUUUUUAAAGGUUAUAUUAUUGAAUAUAAAUAAUUAAAUAUAUAUGUUUAAUAAUAUUGAGCAUUGUAAUGUUUGAUAUUAAUAUUAUAAAUUUUUAAAUAUUUUUAAAAUUUAUGAUAAAAACUAUUAUUAUAAUAUUAGACCUGACUUAAAUUAAUUUUUAUAUAAAAAUAAAAUUACUCAUAAAGGGACUCUUUUCUAAAAAAUGAUUUAUACUUUUCAAAUUAGUAAGUCAAUUUAGAAGAAAAUGGAUUUAUUUUCCAUUGAUCAAGUUGUUUUCCAUAAAAAAAAUACAAAAAAAAUAUAAAAAACAUUUAUAAAUUAUUUUCUGUUAAACAAACACACCCUUAAAACAACAAUAGAAAUACAACAUUAUGAAGUCAGGGGCUCUAUCCCUCAAAAUGGUAAAAUUUCAUUUAAUUAUUUUUAAUGCAAUAAUAAAAUUAUAUUUGGUCACCAAAUGAUAAAUUUUGAGUUUAAUCUCUUUAAAAAUUAUAAAAUAAUAAGUAAAUAUAAUGAUAAAUUGUACUUUAAUCUUUUUAAAAAUUUAUAAAUCAAUUUUAGCCCCUAAAUUAAAAUGUUGGUUAUGUCACUACCUCUAGUAUAGAGAUGUUUCUAGCUCGGGUCAAGCUGGGUCUAGGUAUGAUAAUAACAUACUUCAUGCUUGCCUCAACCUAGUUCGACUCGAAAUAUAGCUUAAAAUUUUCCUCAAGUCUGUCCAUAUUUGUAAAUGGUUAACCCAAGCUCAUUUUAAGCCCGACCAUAUGAUUUUUUUAAACUUUUAAUAUAUAUAUAUAUAUAUUUAAUCUGAUUUAAUAUUUAAUAAUUUUAUAUAAAUUUUAAUUAUUUUUAUAUAUAGUUAUCUUAAUUUUUUAAUGUUUACAUUAAAAUACUAUUAUAAAAUACUAAAGAUUUAAUUUUUAUGUGUUAUAAAUUAUAUAAUAUUUAAAAAUAACAUAAUAUAAAACAUUACAAACUUAAAAAAUGAGUUGGGCCAGGCUCGAGCCCUAAACUUUCAAGGCUCGACUCAUGAAUAAGUCUACUCUAAUAUGGUUAUAUUUAUCAUUUUUUGGUAAGGUUUAAAUAGAUUAAUAGUAGGGUUGAGAAAAAAAUUGAAAAAUUGAAAAUUGAUCUGAACCAUGAUGUUUUAAUGAUUUUCUAUUUACAAAUUAAAAGAUCGUGAUUAACUCAACCAAGUUGAUUUCUAUUUUUUAAUUUAUUUAAAAUUAUUUUUGACUUUUCAUGAUAUAAAAUUAAUUAUAUUAUAUUUAAAAUAGUGAAAAUAAAUUUAAAAUACUAUAUAAAAAAUUAUAAUAGAAGGACUAAAUCCCAAAAAAGGCAUAGAACAGGGAUCUUCUUCAGAAUUUGACCUAGCUUUCAUAAACAAAAAGAAAAAAAUGGAAUUGGGACCCACACGUAAUCCAUGGGUAGCCCGUAAACCCGUCCGUCUUGCCAUUUGGUCAUUUAGUAAACCCACCUGAAACCAUCGAGUUUUCUCGCUCGGCAAAAUCACAUUGAAGUUGGAAAUUUUGCUUCAAAUUCACAUUCCAUCUGCUCUAAUCAAGUGAAAGAGGGUGACAGAGAUGGCAUCUGGUUGGGGAAUCAACGGCACCAAGGGCAGGUGCUACGAUUUCUGGGUCGACUUCAGCGAGUGUAUGUCCCGUUGCAGAGAGCCCAAGGACUGUGCUCUCCUCCGUGAAGACUAUCUCGAGUGUCUCCACCAUUCCAAGGAGGUAAGAUUUCUGCAUUUCAAAUCCCCCCCCAAUAUCCUAAUUCUUUUUGUCCAAUUAGUUUUCUUAACCAUAUUUCAACUGUAAUUUAUGAGAAAAUUUCCUUGAAUUUGAUGCUUUGUUAAUUAUUGCCAAUCAUCCUUAAGGCUUCAAAGUGGGCUGGGAUCGGCCUCAAUUAGUUUAUUUGAGAAUCAUUUGCAAUUGAAUAAUGUUAUAUUGUUUUGUUUCAAUCAUAAUUCUGAAUCCAAGAUACUGCUGGUUGUAGCGUGUUUAGAUUCUGGCAUUCCCUUAUUUCAGAAAAGGGUGAGUUGGAUCAAUGUAGAUGAGCCUAGUGUUAAUUAUGAAUCAUUAAUAGUUUGAGCGCCGGCCUUGUUAAUGUCUUAGUUCUUCAGUUCAUACUGAUUUAUGAUCCAGUUAUAGAUAACUUCUAUAGGUGCGAGUGCCAGAUACAGGUAUCUGUCCUAGAGAAAUAUGUUCAAUUUUCUAAAAUUUGGAGGGUCAUAUCCCCAUAUUCGUGUCCAGAUACGUUUCAUGAUACAUUUUGGACACAAGUAUCAAACAUGAGCACUUCAAGAAAAGUGAAGGAGUUGGAGCAAGCUUUGAAUAGUUUGGGAGAUCAUUUACCCUUAGUGAGUUACUUUAAACUUUCCAUGGUAUUGGGUAUACCGACUCAUUUUUCCUCUUCCAAUGUAGUGUAGAUGUAUGAGGCUAGUUUCAAGACAUCUCUACACUGGCACGCUUUUCGUUUCUGAGUUCAUCAGAUUCGUAGAUUAGUUUUUGCAAUCAAGGUUGGAUAAUGUGGUUUUUUUUUUUUCACAAUUCCCUUCCUUUUUUUACCUUAUUCAUUAUAAAAGGGCAAUAUGCCAUAUUUGUUUCAAUGUAAUUCAGUUUUCAAGAAGAGAAAGUGUAGCGUCAACUUAAAAGCGAGGGAAAAAAGGGAAGAUAUGAUGUUAUAUCUCGGGUUUUGCUUAUGUAUAGAUGUGUUAUACCCCCACCUGUGUUAGGACACGUGGCAAGUUUAGAGGACACCUGAAUAAUAAACCUGCCACCAACAAGCCGGUAGGUCACCUUGUGAAAUCAUCCUCCUUAGAAGACUACCAACUGGACAACAGAUGACCUGGUCUUCAUUGUUAACAUGAAGUUGUUAGGUCACCACACAUCACGUAUCAAUAAUAUGCUUUACUUGUAAUUCAACUCGUAUAAACUCAUAAGAUAUCCAUGCCACGGUAUCUUUAGGGGCCUUCAAGAAGGAUUCUUGAAUACCAUCUUUACGUUCCUUUCUUGAGUUGCUACUACAUUUAUGUUGUUGCAAAUUGAUAAACAAUGUUUCUUGGACUCAUAUGUUAGUGUCAGAUAUAGGUGUAUGUGUUAAACAUGGGUAUGCUUAAUUUUUUCUAAGUUCUUCCUUGUAUUGACGUUUGAUAUCUUGGUCCUCAUGUCUGGAUACAAAUCAAGUAUGGGUACUUCAAGGAAAAAAGAAGAAUUGGAACAAUACAUGCUUUUCUGCCCAUGUUGCUAUUAGUAUCCUGCUAACUUAGUAUGUAGUUCAAAAGGCAUUAGAGCUACAAACCUGAUAUCUCAAUCAAUAUGGCUGACUUUGAGGCAGCGGUCUGGAAUUUGUGAUGUUUUAGUAGUUUUGUAGUGGCAGCCAGUUUGCAUAGACAAUCAUGUUGCCUUCUAUCAUUCUCUUCUCCGAAAACUUUGUUAGAUGCGAGCUUCAGUUACAUGGCACAUCGUAUAUUGGAUUUAGAUCAAUUUUGUUUUUCGUUCCACAAUCUUUGGUGCAUCGAAAUCAAUUUGUGAUCAAUCUUGAAACUAUUGCAGUUUCAACGAAGAAACCGAAUUUAUAAGGAGGAGCAACGUAAACUAAGAGCUGCAGCACGAAAGGACAAGGAAGGCGAAGCUGGUGUUCACCAUCAUGGAUAGUGAGAAUUUGUUGAUCCUUCUAAAUUCCCAAGAAUAAUAGAAUGGCAUGGAAGUUGCUUCAUCUUUUAUUGGGAUUGAUCUUCCAAACUUUUUUCCUUCUUACUUUGGGUUUCUCUUUCCUUGAAAUGAAAUCUUGUUGUUUUGAGCCUAUGCCAAGAGGCAUUAAUUAAUCUUUGCUAGCAUCAAUGAUUUGGGAAUUUGUUGUGUCCAUUGAACUCUCUUAUAAUAUUGCAGAUGUUUUGGAUGUUAAAAGAAAAUUACGAUCAACACAAUAUGCUUUUCUUAAGGGGAUAAUCAUUAAAAAGCAAUGGAAGUUGUGUAAGGAACAUGAAGAAUACAAACAUACAUGCAAGGACAAGAUUUAAUGAUGCCAAACCAAACUUGUCUUGUGACGUCUUCCAAUCUCUCAACCUUUGAAAUUGACUUGACUUUGCUCUAUAAAAACUUCAACAUAUUUAUACUCCUUAUAAUGUUUUAGUUCUUUUUUUCUCGUAAUUAUACUAAAUGUUAGUAAAGCACGUCACUUGCAAUUACCAAACUGAUUUAAUUUCUUUUAUGUUUUUGUGUUUUGUAUAAAAAAUAAAAAUACGCUUAAAAAAUGUUUUCUCCAAUUUAGAAAUAAAUCUAAAUUUGGUUGCAGAUUGAAUUCUGAUUCGAUUGGUAUUAAUAUUAUUAUCUCUGUAGGACGAGUUGCUGAAAUACAUUUAUUCUUCCAUUAAAGGGUAGAGUUGGAAAGAGAUAUGGAUAGUUUAAUUAAAAAGAAAUAAAAUUUGAUUUUCAUAGUAUAUAAUAAAUAAAAAUUAGUUUAAUUAAAAUAAUUGUUAACUUAUGAAUCAAAAAUCGAUCAGCCUAACCACUUAUACGAGUGGAAUCAAUUUCUUUUUCUUUUCACAAUGUCGAAACCGUUUUUUGAAAACAAAAAAUUUUGUUGUCGACUUAAAAAACAAAAAUUGGAGUCGCCACCGAUCAUUUAUUAAGGUGUGAUCGGCGCACCUUAAAAAUAAUUUUGGUCUGCGAAAUUUGAGAAAACAAGUUCGGGAGUCAGUUACGCACGAGGAAGGAUUAGCACCCUCGUAACGCCCAAAAUUGAUACCAAAUUGAUUUUAUUUAUGCCUUGGUGUCGAAAACUUGAAAAGAUUUUAAAAGGAAACUUUUUUUUAUUUCAUGAAUGAGUUAAAAUGAUAAGACAUUCUUAUUUCAAAUAAAUAAAACACCACACCCAGUGAGUUAGGGCACAAUGUUUUUAAAUCCUCAAAAUACCCGAAUAUUGCCUUUUGCUUUUGAAAAUUCUUAUUUCGAGAAGAAAAUGUCAUGACCAGUAAGUUAAGACCCAACAUUUUUGAAUUCCAGAGAAUAAGCUUUUAUUUAAAAUUUGCGAAUUUAUUGCAAAACAAAUACUUGGCUUUCUAAAUUCAUCGAAAAAUAACCGCAAUCCAGUAAGUUAGGACACGAUCUUUCUCAAGAAUCAUGAAUGCCAAAUAUCUCGAAAAUUUAUGAAAUAUCAUGAUUUUAAUACUUUAAUGAAACCAAAAUAUAUUUCCCAAAAGGUAAGUUAAAAGUUAAUGUAUAAUAUGAAACAAAAACCUAAAUUUAAAGCACAUAUGAAUAUACAUUUACAAAAUAUACACAUGAGUAAAAUAUACAAAUAAAUUUGCAAACAUGUGUGCAUGUAUUUUUUCAAAAAAAACAUAUAAGUAUACAUGUGAGAGAAAAGGAAUGAAAUAUAUAAACAAAAACCUUGUAAUAAUUUAUAAAAAAAUUAUGUACUUAUGUACAUGAAAAUUAUGAAAAUAAGAUUUUUAAAAAAUAUAUGUAUAUGUAUAUAUAUUUACAAAAAAAUGUAUAAGUAUAUAUAUAAAAUAUAAAGUAUAUAAAAUUUAAAAAAAAUAUAAAAAAAACGUAUGGAUAAAAGAUAUGCAUAUGUACAUAUAAAAUAGAAAUAUACGAAUAUAUACGUAUUUACAGAAAAAAAUAAUUUGAAAACAAAAGUAUGUAUAUAUAAAGAACGUUUGUAUGUACAAAAAUAUAUAUAUUUAAAAUCUUUUAAAAAUAUAUGUAUGUGUAUUAUCUAAAACAUGCGUGUAUAUGUAUAAUAAUAAUAAUAAUAAAAGGUUAAAUUGAGCUAAAAAGGGAAAAAAAAACUAAAUUCGAAGUAAAUUUGAAAAUAGGACCACAUUGAAUGCGUGCGCAAGAGUGGAGGACCAAAAGGGAAAUUAUUCCCUCCCUCCAAAAACGCUGCGCAGCAGUGGGCUAAAUUGAAAAACAAAUAAAAAUUGCGGCUCAAUUUAAAAAGAAACAAAGCAUGUUUAAUUGCAACGCGCCACGAACAAGAGGGACUCAAUGCGCAAUUUACCCUUUAAAGCCAAACGCGCAGAUCCUCCCCUUUGGGUCGGGUCACCACGCGGGUCAAGGCUUGGAUAAAAUGGCGCCGUUUUGAGGUUUCAAUAAAACCCAACUUUUCCUUUUAAAAAUUUCAUAACCCAUUUUAAAACAAAAAGAAUGCUGCACCCCUCCUCCUUUUUUGUUCUCUGCUAGGGUUUUACACCCAAGCCGCCGCGCCGCCGUUCCACCGUGCGCCACAGCUCCGAUCGCUACGGAGGUGGUGUCGAUUGACGCUUUCGGCCAGAGAGGGGUAAGCUUCCCUUCUUCUUUUCUUAUUUGUUGCGCUUGUGUCCCUCUUUUUCGCAGGUUUGGUGACCGUAAAGUGCGUGCGACGAGAGCGGAGCGACAAGCGCGGCGUGUGGGCGCUGUUGCGGCGUGCGUGUGGGAGCUGCUGCGCCUAGGGUUCCUGCUAGUGUUUUGGGCUCGCAAGCUUGGUUUAGUAACUUGGGCCAUUGGGUUUCAAUUAUUGGGUUUUAGUUUACAUUUGUUUUUUUAUUUGUAUAUGGGCUGGGUUUAGUAGGUUGGGUCUAGCAUUUGGGCCUAUUUAUUUUCUUGGGCCCGGGCAUUAUUGGGCUUGUACACACAACACUAAGGGUGCGUUUGGUUCGCUGUAUUGGAUUAGAGGUGUAUUGGAUUAGAGAUGUAUUGGAUUACUGAUUCAAGCCGUCCGGAGAUCUGACGCCGUCGAGUCGGAGAAGGAUGCAAAGCUGAAAUCGGGAGCGGGUAGAGGUUUGGUUCGCUGGCACGUUCUGUUUAUGUUGGGAGGGAGAGGGUCGGCUGGAGGCGAUUUCAGCAAGGGAAGGGUAAAUAAGACACCGAUUAGCUAAUCUUUGCUGUUGCAAGGGAUUACAAAUCGGUGGUGAAGCAGCCAAAAUGUGGAAUCCGUCCGCAACGGAUUAGAACAGUAUUAGAGAAAACAGCGAACCAAACGCUGUAUUCAGUGGGGCCACCGAUUCGGGGUGUAAUGGAUUAGCCAUUACACCCAACCAAACAAAGCCUAAUAAUUUGGGCUCAUAAGAUUCUUUAAAAUAAUUUAGGAGAAAUUGUGCUAGUAAUCACUCAAUUAUUAGUAUAUAAAUUUUUGUUAAUUAAAAAAAUUAUAAAAUAGUUACUCAAUUAUUAGUAUAUUUUUGUUUUAGUCACCCCAUUAUGAAAAGUUCCAAAAUGAUUACUCAACUAUUCAAUUUUGUCUUGUUUGGUCACUAGCUGACUAAUGGUGACGGUUUUUAAAAUUGGCAUAAUAGCAACUUUAGCCCUCUACAUUUAUAAAUUAUGUCAAUUUAGUCUUAAUUCUAAAAAAAUUAACUCUCAACAUUUGCAAAUUGUGUAAUUUGAUAUCUCUUUCUUUUUUUUAAUUAUGUUUCUCUUUCUGACAUUUAGGGUUAAUUUUAAAAGAAUGAGAAAAGAUGAAAAUUAUUAUCUUAGAUUUUUUUGUGUUUCCAUUUUUUUUUGUAUAUUUUAAAUUAAAUUUAGUUGAUCAAUUUGUUUUUUUUAGUUUUUUAAGUGAAAGGGUCACAAAGAAGAGUAAAAUUGCAAAAAGAAAAAAACUAAAUUACACAAUGUGUAAAUAUUGAUGGUUGGAUUUUUUAGAAUAAAGACUAAAUUGACAUAAUGUAUAAAUGUUAAGGCUUAAAUAGAGGUGUUCAUGGGCCGGGCGGCCCGGCCCGGCCCAACGGCCCGCCCGAAAUAUGGGAGGGUUCGGGUAAAAAUAUAGGCUCGAAAUAUGGGUUUGGGCAAAAAAAUGAGGCCCGUUUAAAAAAUGGACCGGGCCUCAGGCACGACUUUUUUGGCCCGGGCCCGGGACCGGGCCCGGCCAGAAUAUAUAAUAAAAAAUAUAUUUUUAUAUUUUUUAAAUUUUAAAAUAUUCUAAAAAUAUUUUUAAAAUACUUUUUUUAAAUUUUUUAAAAAAAUUGGUGUUUAUUUUUUAAAAAAUGGGCCGGGCCGGGCUCGGGCCUAAGAAUUUUUUUCCUGGCCGGGCUUGGACAAAAUUCUAGGCCCAUAUUUCGGGCCGGGCCUGGGCCUAGUAUGCGGGCUGAAAUUUUUUAUGGGCCCGACUGGGCCCAUGAACACCUCUAGGCUUAAAGUUGCUAUUAUGUCAAUUUUAAAAGUUGCCACCAUUAGCCCACUAGUGACCUAAAAAGAUAAAAUUGAAUAAUUAAGUGACCAAAAAAGAAAUUUACUAAUAAUUAGGUGACCACAUUGUAAUCUUUAAUAGCUGGGUGACUACUAAUGAAUUUACCCAAAAACUUGAAAUAAAAAUUCAAAUUUAUACCAAAAGUGGCUAAUGGGCAAACCAGACACCUUUUGUUGAUGAAGAUGAUGCUGGUAACGAUUUUGAACCGUCAGAUGUAACAAGAUCAAACGACACCGAUACAAUGAAAAAACCUUUUUUUUUCUCUUUAAAAAUUAUUCAAUAAUAAAGUUUCGUAAAAGAAAAAGAAAGUACUAGAAGAAGGAACCUUUCUUUACUCACAAAUAUAAGCGAAAAAACCAAAGGGCCAAAACCUUGUCUUGUUCCAUUGCAGUUUCUCUUACACACUAUCAUCAUUAUUACCGGUUUGCUGUUUUUCUAGGGUUUUUCAAUCUAUACUUCUUCUCACUAAUCAUGAGGUAACCUUAUAAUCUUAAUUCUUUUUACAUGUUUUGAUGUUUUGUUUUCGUUUGGUUUUAUGAUUUUGACAUUGUUUCUGUCAUUGUUAUUAUCUGUUUCAACAUGUUCUUAAAUCUCUUCUUUCAGUAUCUUUGUCUAAUAAUGAUUUUAUUUUCUUUGCUUUUACUUUUCAUAGGGAAAAUAUGAAUGUUUGAACAUUGUCGAUUUUAUUUCAUUAAUUUGGUUCUGUUAUUUAAUUAUUGGUAAAUGAAGGCUGUAAUGGGGUUUUGAUUAGGUUGCCUAUCUGGGAUUUUUUCACAUUGCCAAUUUGCUCUUUUUCUUUUAAUUGUUCUUUUAUUAACCAUGUUUAAAACUUGAUUUUUUUUUUGUAGUCGUCAUCCAGAGGUAAAGUGGGCUGAAAGAGCUGACAAGGUUUACAUUACGGUGCUAUUACCGGAUUCGAAGAAUGCGAAGGUCAAUCUUGAACCCGAGGGAGUGUUUACUCUUUCGGCUAAUGCCGGAGCUGACAAUAACCUUUAUGAAUUGAAGUUGGAUCUUUAUGAUAAGGUCAAUGUGGAGGUAAGAUUCCGACAUCUAGUUAUUUCUGAACGUCGGAUGAAACGUCGUGUCUCGUAUUGUAGGGUUUUCGAGUCUUCAAUGAUGAUGAUUAGUGAAUUGUGUUGUUAGUAUUGUCCUGCUGAUUCGAUGUUUAUAAAUGAUGAUCAUGAUGAUAAUGAUGAGUGUAUGGUACAUAUGAAUGAUUAUCGGUGGACGGUACCAGCAGUAUAAUGCUGCUGAUUUGUUGUUUUAAAAUGAAUUUUGAACAUUUGCAAGUCGGUUCUUUUUGAAGCCUGCUAGAUUUUGUAAUCUCGAGUUUCAGGUGUAUCAGUAUACUAAUGCUAUUUGAUUAUACGAUCGAGCAAUAACUUUUAUUUUACGAACACAACAUGUCUAAAUCUAGCUUUUUCCUGGAUCUCUUCAUAGUGUAUCCUGUUUGCAUACGGUGUUUGCUACUGCAGAAUGCCCUUGAUGUAUGCAUGUCUGAUGAUAAACAUUUUGCCCUCCGGACAUUUGUCGGUUGUUAGUGUGAUAUUGAUUUCUGAGCAAAGUACAUUCCGAAAAUUUUCUUAUUGUAUUUCUAUUGUUCUCUUUUUGGACAAAAGGAAAGCAAAAUUAGUAUAGGAGUCCGGAACAUAGUUUGUGUGUUGGAGAAAGCCGAGAAAGUGUGGUGGAAAAAACUAUUGCGCAGCGAAGGAAAGGCCCCCCAUUAUAUUAAAGUGGAUUGGGACAAAUGGGUCGAUGAAGACGAAGACAAUGGUUAGUGUUUUUAUUAUUGAUGCUUCUCCGAUUCUUUCUUCUUCUUUUUUCUGAAAAUACCCGUUUUCAGUACUUCUGUCUGAUGCAUAUUCGUAUACGGUAUGGGGAUAUGAUCAUUUACUAAUUGCUAAUACUUUUAAAUAGGUCCUGGUGAUAUUGACUUGGGAGGAAUGGACUUCUCGGUACGCAUAUAUCUAAUACUUCAUCUGUAUUUUUCAAAUUUUAUAAUAACUUACAAGUAUUUCCUUUCUAACCGAAUAUCAACGUGUCUUGCAGAGCUUUGGCAAUAUGGGAGGCAUGGAUGGCGGUGGCAUGGAUGAGUUUGAGGACAGCAGUGACGAUGAAGGUAAGAACCCUGCAAGACAUUAGCAUUAUGUUGCCAUUGAAUCGGUUUUGACGUUGGCUAAACAUUCCAUCCUUUGUAGAGCAAGAAGUGACGAAGCCAGCUGAGCAAGACAUGAACAAGGCAGAUGGAAAUGCUAAGCCGGAGGAGCAAGGUGCCGGGACUAUGGAAAAGAAGGAAACCGAUGCAAGCACAUGAUGUGAUUGUUAGCUGCCCGAUAUAACAACAAAUUCUAGUAAAAACCUAUAAUUAUCAAAAGUGUGCUGUUUGUAUGAACUGAUUGAGGGCAUAAUUCAAGGUUCUAUGGUUACAAUUUAGAAAUGAGAUUUUCGAUUUCAUCUUCGUGUUGGGAUUAUUUUAGUACGAUGAUUAUAACCUAAGCAGACUUUCGUGUUUGUGAAUUUUGUUGUGUCAUAAUCGUAUUUUAAGUCUAUUUUAUAUCAAAGGUGUAAGCUUUUUUUUUUUGUGGGUCUCCGAUAAUCAAUUUGUUUUGAUGGUCAAGGUGUUUAUCGCUCUAGGCGCGAUUUGAGUUUGAGUUGUGCUAAUCGUGUUACUAUUAGGACUUUGCUCUCCUCUUAUAACUUAACCCCAAAAAAAAAAAAACAAAUUUUAAUGAAAUAGAGUUCAAACAAGUGAUGAGCAAAACAUUAGUCUGUCUCACUUUAUUGUUAUCCCUAUCCACUUAUUAUUACCAUAAUUUUAUUCGGUUUUUACUCUCACUUUCAUUAACCCUCAAUCGAAGUAAAAAAAAAAAUCCCUGUUCUUGAAACCUAAAGAAAAAAAAAUCUAAUUUGCUUAAAUGUGAAAUACUUUGUUUAUAUAACAAAUUAUGUUUUUAAUAUGUUCAAAGUGUUCUGUUCCUAUGGACUUUAUGGCUUUAAUAUGAUAUAUAUUACCUUACUUUUUAGUAAACUCAAUAUCCACCAUUUUCAUUUCCUUAUUUUUGAUAUAUUUGGAACAAUUUUGUGCUCAUCGUCCUCUUAUUUCCAUUUAUUUAUUAGUUUUUCUCGAUAAAAUGAUAUAUUUAUCAAGAAAAUCAUAAUUAAUCAACUAACAAAUGAUGCAAUGAUAAAUAAUUUAAGUAACUUCAUAUCUCAAGUUCAAGUUCGAGUAACCAUUCUCUUACCUCUUGUCAAAUAAGAAUCAAAACAUAUUUAUCAGCACUAAAAAGCCAACAGAUUAAAACUAUAAUUCUAGUAAACAAAAGCAUUUAACCAUGGAUUUAGGUAUUGCCAUAAAAGGUAGGUUUUCCCUCUCCACUUUCUGGUUCUUCUCUUUUUCUUGAUUUUUUAAUUGGUCUUUUAGCAAAUGAGUUAAGCUAAAUGCUAUCAAGCAAAAACAUGUGCAUAAAUAAAGUCGGUUUUACUAUUACUUUGUCUACUUUAUUUUUUCAAAAAGCAGCAACAACAUUAGUAGUUAUAGGGUUUUAGUGAUAUUUUAAUUGUUUCUUUUAAUCUUGUUCCAUGGAAGGUUCGGCCAUUUGAGGACUAGUUUUGUGCAUCAUAAGCUAGACUACACUAUUAUUAGCAAUUGAUACCGAUAAUGCAUCUCCAGUAGUUUUUUAGUAGUGCUAGUUUAGCCCCAUUCUUGUUGUAUUCAUCUUUUUUGCCACUUCAGCCUCCACCGAAUGCAGUUAAUCUAGUGAUUUUUUCUGUUUGUGCUUAUUCACAUUCUAGUUUGUUAACCCAUGAACUUUUCUAUCGUAUGAUAUUUCCCUUAGUAAAAAAAAUGGAUUUUGGUUGUCAACUAACAUGGUAGAUUUAUUAUGAGUGAUCAAUGAAAGUGCCUGACACCCUUGCAGAUAUAUAUAUGAAAUUGAUAAAUAUAUAUAUAUAGGGUGUACUUGAGAACUAAAUAAACCAAACUGUUCAAUUUGGUUCCUCACGCGACAGACAAAUAACUAAACCACGAAAAGAAUAAUAAAAAAAAAAGCAAACCCAACAUAUGAGUACUCAAAUGUGUCAAAACAACACACCUAACACAAUAUAUUGAUAUAUCAAAUAUGUGAAACACGAUAAUGACACAAAUACAUGGCCAAACUCUGCUAUACCUUUACAAAGUAGAGCUCUUUUUUCUUAUUUCGGGUAAAUUCAAUAAAUUCAUCCCAUUAGCAAGCAGGUAAACAACAGAAGAAAGGCACAGAGACCAUCAUUAACUUGAACCAAUAAAUUUAACAACAAUUCGUCUUUGCAAGCUAUUAACUCAAUAACUAAAAAACACAGUUAAAUGAUAAAAAACCACAAUACACUGAUCCUUAUAUGACUUAUGCAAUGUACCUAACAUUUGGCACUUAAAAGGCAAACACUUUUUGAUAGAACUAAUCCUCCAACUUCAGUCAUUUGGAUGCAACCUGCUUCUUAAAAUAGCCCAUGUUACCCCCUCAAAACAAAGUAGAGCGCUGCAUCAACCCCGACCCCGGCCACUACCUGCCAAAACGAAAACAAACAGCAAUCAAUCCAUCAGUCUUAAUUUAUCAAAUGUUAAGCCAGUCAUAAUGGAUUAUUCAAUCAUCUGCAGAGCUACAAAACCAGGUUUCGGGGCUUUCAGCAAGUUUACCUCUGCCUCCAGUGUUUUUUCCACCUGAACCACCCCUCCCUCGGCCUCCACUUGUAGUCCUAGCACCAUCAUCUAGCCCACGCCCAGCUCCUUUUGGUUGCCUUCCACCAGGACCAUCUUCUCGACCCCUGCCUCUCCCACGGCCUACACCAGGAGGCUUCCUAUCUGAAAAGGUAAGCAAAAUAAUAAAAAAGCCAGGUUAAAAAAGUACCCAUGUCAGACGCAUACCAAUAUCCAGCAGUCACACGAGUUCAAAUAACAUAGGUAUAUAAUACGGUUGCCACACAAAAUACUCUGUACCCCAAAAAAUUGAAUACCAAGAUAAUUAUCCAUCCCAUCCAGUAGUUAGCAAGAGAAUUAUAAAUCAUACCUGCACGACUCUUUGUUUCUUCCUGAACUUUAUCAAUUACCUGAAAUUCAAAUGGGAAAGUUACUAAUAUUAAUGGAAUGGCUAAAGGAUACUAAAAUGGUUAGAGGACAGCACAAGAAAACUAUAACAAAAACAAGCAGCAAUUUACAUGAAACCUUUAAAACCCAAAGCUGAUCAAGUAACAAGAACUAAAUUUUGCAUUUUACAGAUCCAAGUUUAUCAACUUGUUGUAUAGUAAAUCAAAUUACCGACUUAGCUUCAGAUAAAUGAAUACUACUUUUAACACCACAGAAGACAAAGAAAGCUUAUUCAACAAUGAAAUAGAUAAAAUUCCACUCUAUCCUUUCAUGGAAGCAACUAAAAAUCAAGCAUUUACAAAAUUCUAACAUAAACGAAGCUAAAAACACAUGAUAAAUAAUCUCUAUGAUGCAAAGUUAGUAAUAAAACAACAGCAUAUACAUGGAAUAAAAGAUACCUCAUCAGGAACUCGAAGAUACUUAAUUGUAUUUCCACGGAUAUAGCAUUCAGGCAUUCUCCAAAACCUGUCUCCAUCCUACAUUAUAUUUUCUCAAUCAAACCCUGACCAUAAUUUAUAAAAAAAUGUUUUAAAAAACAACACCCCUACUUUUAUCAUAAGAAGAAAUAAAUAAAACAAGAAACAUAGAAUGAAUGAAUUCAUUUUUGCACCUUUGAAGUACAGAUAACUUCACGAAGAUGGAUGUUCAUCCAAGUGUCGCAAUUGACCAAAUGUCCAUUAUAUGUCUCCCCAUUUUUCAGUUCCACCAACUAUUAGCAAAUAGAAAUAAGAAACACAGACACAAAAACACACAAUUGUUUUAAAAAUCAAUUACUGAAGAGAACUUUUUGUACCAUAUGUAGAGGCAUACGAGGAAAUGUAAAUGUUCUUACCAUAGGAUGACCCUGUGCCGUUUUUAGUAGAGAAAGAGGAAGCUGCCAAAGAUUUGCAUAAUAGAUAAGACAGGUGAGUCGAGCAAAGACAACAAAGUAUUCAAAAACACCUUAAGAAAUCAAAAUUAACCCAAAAAUCAUCUGAUAGCGUCUCAAAAGUUGCUUCUUCUUUUUUUGUCUCUUUUUCCUUUUCUUUGAAUAAAAACAUUACGAAACCAAAGUUAAACCAAAAACCCUUUGAAUGCAUAAGAAAGUUGUUUUUUAGAAUUUCCCAGGCUUUCUAAGCAACCAAACAGACAAACAAGGUAAUUUAAAAGACUAACCUAGUAUCCUUUUCUUUCUCUUUGAAUGAAAACACAUUAAAAAAGCAAAAUUAACCGAAAAACCCUUUGAUAGCAUAUGAAAAGUUUAAUUUUUUUUUUCCGAUUGCCUAAUUUUCCAGGGUUUUCUAAGCAACCAAACAGACAAAGAAGGUAAGUUAAAAGAGAUUAACAUACCAUCUUUUUCCUUCUCUUUGAAUGAAGAAUAACCCUAGCGAAGAACAAAAAAAACCUGCAGGACAAAAAAAAAAGGAAAAACAGGCAAAGGAAUCAAGAACAAUGUCAAAGAGAGUAUGAUAAAGAAAACAAAGUAUUUAUAAAACCUUGGAAUUGAAAUCUUAUUAACUGUACAGCAAUUACGCUUUACGCCUAAACCCUAGCACGAUCGGAGAAUAAUAUAACGGGGUUUUUAUAAAUAAAUAAAUAAAAAGAAAAAAAAAAGAAGCUUUUUGUUGGUAGCAAAAAAUGAGGGAAGAGAGAGAGCGAUAAUCAAUCGGCUUAAAAACCCUAAAUUAAAAAUGAAAAAGAAAUCGAAAAUACCAACAAGAGAAGAAACAGGAUCUCACUUCGGGUUUUUUCUGUUCUUAUUUUUGUCCGAAUUCGAUUUCUCUCUCAAGUGUUAUUUAAUAUUAUUUUUACUUAAUUAAAUAUUAAUUUUUUAUAUGGGAGUGAAUUAUACUUUUAUUAAUAGCUAAAGUGGAUAAAAUUUUAUUAUAUUAAAAAAAAUUUUAAAAAUAAAUUUAGAGUUAAUAAAAUUAAAUUAUUCGAAUUAUUUGAGUCAACUUGAAUAACUCAAUUCGAGUUUGAGUCGAGUUAAAUUUUACAAUUCAAAUAACAGAUUGGUGUAAAUAUUUUGAUUCUCUCAACUUUGAAAAUGAACAAAUUAGUCUCUCUCCCAACAAAAAUUACAAAAUAAUUAAAAAAUUUUAAAAAAUUUCAAAAUAUUUAUAAAAAUUUCAAAUUUUAUAUAUUUUUAACAAAUUCUAAAAAAACAUAUAAAGGAAGUUGAAAUAUUAAAAAUUUUCUAAAAUAAUAAUUUUGAAGAACUAAAUAAGUUAAUUAAUUAUUCAAGUUUAUCAUAUUAAAGUAUCUAAGUUUUUAAACAUAUUUGGUUUCAAAUUUAUGUGCUCUACCAUGAAAUUAGGUAUACUGUAACAAUAUUUUAAUUUGACAUGUUUAGUUUUUUAAUUUAAUUCGAAUAAUUUCACUCAAUUUUACUCAAUUUCAUUUCAUUCGAGUUAGAUUCGUAGAAAUUUCAAAUCAAGUUAGAAUAAUAAAAUAGGACUUGUGAACUCGAUUAACUCGAAAAUUUUUUACUUGAUUCGAUCGAACACUCACCACUAUUUACUGGUAUAGAAAAUAUAGUUAAAUAUAAUAUAUUUAAACAAAAUAUAAUUUUAAAAUUAAAAGUACAAUAGAAAUUUUUGUAUUAUGAGUCGUAUUGCAUUCUAUUUAUUCUAUUAAAAAAUAAGUAAAUCAAUCUAUAUACUUAUUUUUUUUGUCAAAAAUUUCAUUCAUUUUAAGUUAAUCCCGCUAAUUUUUAAUGGAUAAUUUUAAUAAAAAAUUAAUUUACUUUUAUUUAAAUAAUAAUAAUUUAUUUUUUUUAAAAAAACAAAAUAUAAUAUUACUCUUGUAAUAAGGCUUUAAUGAUUCUUUUUUUUUUACUUUGUGGUGGUGGUGUAGAUAAAAGAUGUUACUGAGAGCGAGGGGUGUUGGUGGGUAGAUUAUGAGGAAAGUGUUGGGUUUUGGGGAUGAGAGGUUUACUCGCAAUAAUUUCCUCCAUAAGAUUCUUCUCGCUUCUAACAUGCUUAAAUACAAGAACUAAGCAGCAGUUAAGUCCCACUCAUUCGCCAUAAUUUCCCUUAAUUAACUCCAUGGUUGCCUUCUUAACGAAAUUCAUAAUAAUAUUUUGGAUUUUGGGGUUGGUUGGGUAAGUUUAUUUGGUUUGGUGCAUUUGGAAGAAUAGAAAUUUAUUCGUCUUUCAAGGAUUUACAAGAAAUGCCGUUGAGAUUGUUGAAGUUUUUAUUCCAUUCAGAGGUAUCCUUUAUUAGAUAAUUAGGUUCACCUGCAUACUGAUGCUGCAGUUAAUUUGACUACAAGUUUAACGUCUGCAAGGAGAGUGGUGCAGUAUCAUAUAGGUGAUUGGAUUUCAGGUUUCAAUCAUUUUUUGGAGGAAUGCUUGUCUUUGAUGUUGAGUUAUGAUGUAUUUUAGAUUGACCGACUCUUUUACGAAAGUGGGGUGUGGACAAGAUUUUGAUUCAGACUAAUAAUUCUGCGGUAAUCCAAGCAAUCCAAGGGAGGAAAUUUAGAAAAUUCGAGUUUAACUCUGGCUAGACGUGUUCAGCAACUGAUACAGAAUAAAGAAUAUUAGGUGGCAUAACAUGUCCCUAGAGGUUAAUUGUGUUGCCGAUCAGAUUGCCAAAAUAACUGCUGCUAAUGUGUGGGGAGUAAAUGGGUUGACAACUACUUUUGAAAGUUUAAUUGAAGCCAUUAAUAAUGAUAAGGGUAGUGGUACUUUUGAAAUUGUAAAUCUGGAUUAACUAUUUUUCACCAAAAAGAAUCAAUAUUUUAGAUUCAGACAAUUUUUUGUAAAUUAAUUAAAAAUAUAUGGUUAGAUUUUUUCUUAUUUUGUAUUUAGCAUUAAUUUUGACAUUUUCCAAACAGUUUAUAGUACAUGCACACUAUUAUUAUCAUAAAAAUCAAAAUUGAGAUAUGUUAUAUUACAUAUUUCUAAAAAUUUAUAUGUGAUUUUACGAAUUGAGUUGGUGUUGAAGGUUGAUACCAACUCUAUCCUUCUAUUUACUACAAUUAACAUUUGGCCCCUUUAGAGGAUAGUUUUUUUCUGGUUGUAUUUUAUAAAUCGACCAUUAUCCAACUUCAGUUUUUUCAUUGUUUAACCAUUUAUAUAAAGAUUAGAAUUCUAAGAAUAGAGAGUUAAGAGAAGUUAAAAUUUACAUACACAACGAUAUCAAGGGAAUGUGACUAUAUUAACCUUCGAACACCCAUUAUCUAAAUCCUCUUUACUUCUAUAAUUUGCAAUUCAGAUUAGCUAUACUAUAUAGUGGGCAUUCAUAUUCGAACCCUCCAGACAUACAACAAAAUAUAAAGAAAAAAACUUGAAAAUAAGAAAAUUGAACAUACCCAUGCUAAGCACAUUUCCUUAAUAUAGGGGCUUAAGCAUUAAACAAUGAUUUUACCACACCUUGGAUGUAACAAAUCUUCAUAAGUGAAAUAAGUUAAAAAUUAGAGAAAUUUGCAACCUGGGAAACUCAUAGAAACCUAAAGUCAGGCUACAACUUUUUAAUGGAAAUGGUCCAAAGAAGAUCAGUAUCUGAUUGCACUGUGACUUUCUCUCCUACGACUAUAUUCGACGAGCUUAUUAAACCACCAAACCUCAUCUCCGUGUUAUCUGGAACAAGAAAAAUAAGAUAAACUCAUUACGGUAAUGUCAAAAAAGCUGGCUCCUGAUGGAAGUAUGAGAACAGCGUACAAUUGAAGAUCAUUGUUACCAUAAUUUUGCAGCCAAGCUAAGUAGAAAGGAAUAAUCCGGUAUGCUAUCAUCUAGAUGUGAAUACCACAAAAUAGACUUAAGACAGCAUACUAAGGUUUACAUUUACUAUAAUAGAAAGGCAAUUCAAAGGAGUCACUAGUCACGCUAGCUCAGUAGUUCCAAAUAUUUCUAUCUGAGUAGCGUGGUAGGAAAGAAGCUAUUUUAAGUGACAUUUAAUAUCUCCAAAUAUAUAUAUCUCCUUGGUCCUUUGGAUCAUAAUGAAAUGACACAAAGAGGUAACAGAUUCUAAACAUGUAAAAGAUUUACCAAUGUUUAUUGGUGAAUGUAAGGGAUACAUUGUAAAGCACAUAACAUAAAAUUAGCUUCUUUCUCUACAUUGACAUAAUAAGGCAUGUAAAACUUAUGACAUGAGUAAAGCAUGAAAUUGUGUCCACUUCAGUUCAAUAGCCUAGUAAAUGGAAAGCAAACACUAAAGUAAAGUACUCAUAUACUUACUCAGAUUCCACUGGAGCCCAGUUGUUGUACUACUCCUCGAUGGCACCCCGAUUGGGAUGAGUCCACAGUGUGGGCCCUCAACAGAUGUUUGAAUAUGAAUCUCGUGAUGAUGAGUCCUAGGAAGAAGAUAGAUGAGACUAUCAUCCGACAAAAGGACUAUCCGCAAGGAGGAGAAACAAUAUAGAACGUUUAGGUUUCCCAUCUCGUGGUCAUAUCGUCCACCAAGUGCUCCGGCAACAAGAAUGCAAAGCUGCCAUUAAAUCCAGAAAAAUAAAAGAUAAACUAUCAAUCAAAGCACAUAGACUAUAGAUAAAAAUGUAUAGCAGAUGGUAAGAUCAUGUCCUAACUAUAACAAAUACCAGCUCCGAAAACUAAUAUUUUGGUACUAAUGAUAAUAAAGGUAAAAUGAAAGUAAAAUGAAGGUUCACAAACAGUGACACUUCAAAAAAGAAAAAAUACUAGAGCAAUUAAGUUUAACAUACACUAGACUUAUUCGCAUCGGGAGCGAAGUCCCAGAUGUAUGUUAUACAUUUAUGUAGGUCCGUGGUGUCUUGAUCAUGGGAUUUAUCAAUAAUCUUCGUUCCCUGCACCAAAGAAGCAAGCGAAAAAUGUCGAGUGGUCGGAAUAUAUAAACUAGAGAGAUGUAAUGCAUUAACCGCAAGUUAAAACAUGAGAUUGGUGAAGAAUAAGUGAAAGCAAGCUAGAGAGUCCUAAAGGAAAACAAGAUCAACAUGAUGAGCUAAAUGGUUCUACAAAAGGAAAUUUGAAAACUUACAAGGCUCCUAUAAAAAUCAAGUACUUCCUUUCGUAUUGAAUCCAUAUCACCGUUAAUUACAUCCGGUUUGUAUCUGCAAUGAAACAAAGCACCAUGUUUAUAAAUCAUUUUAAAAUAACAACUAAAGCAUUAGCAUCAGUUAACAUCAAUUUAAGGUCCCAUUCAGCAUUGCAGUGGGCAUAACUUUUAAGGUCAGCAUUUUCUUAACUUUUAUUAUUAUUAUUAAUUAUUUUUUAAUAUUUUGUACUUUUUCACGUCAAUUUCAAUUCUUCAAACACAUAUCUUUUCAGCAUAAAUAUUUCAACGCAAGCUUUUGUUAAGCAUUGCCUGGAUCAAAUCAUGAUGAAACUAAAAAGAACAUACCGUUUAACUUAUAUAAGAGUUCAAAUCAAAAGAUGCCGACAGAGGCACGUAAAUCAAUUUCAACAGAGCCAUUAUAAGACAAACGCAGAAGCGGUAAAUAAAGACAAAAAAAAAACCUGCGUCGAACAUCGGAAGCAUCUUCCUCAGGGAACAACAGAGGCAUUUCAUCGAACACACGGUUGGCGCCACCAUCAGCACAGAGACGAAGCUGAGCUGCACUAAACAAAAAAGUAAAGGAAAAAAUUAAAUCGUCAAACAGAAACAAAAAAAAAAGAGAGAGAAGAGGACGCAGGAUAAGUACCGUGUUUCCAAAGCAAAGGGGCGAAUCUGGGGAGGGUUUGGUUAAGAACAACAAGGGCGUACGUUAGAGAAGGGCGGUGGUGUAGGGGAAUCGUAGGGAGCAGAAAAGUAGAAGAAUGAUGCAUUAGGUCCAUUGCCUAACGUGCGCGGCGCCGUGAGAGAAGCGGUGACAGAGAAGAGAAGAGGAUGGGAAGACGGUGUUUGAAUUGUAUCAUAAUUAGCGAGAUCAAAUGGAGAUUUUGAAAAAUAAAUAAAUAAAUGAAAAAAAAAUAGAGACUCUCUCUCAAAUAAUUGACUUUUUCUUCGCUCUUUGCCUGUUUUUUUAUUUGUUUAAUUUAUAUAUCAAACGAGGGCUUCAGUCAAAGAAGGCAACGCGACCCCACAAUCUGAUUGCGUCAAUAAAAUAAUUUUAUGAAUAAUAAUAUUAAAUUAUUUAAAUAUUAUUUAUUAAAAUUAAGUUUUUAAAAUAUUUGAUGUAUAGACAAUUUUAUAAAUUUUAUACUUUAUGUGUUGUUAUAUUAAACUAUUUAAACAUCAUAUAACUUAAAUAAUUUUAAUUUUCUAUAAUUAUGUCCAAAAAUAAUAUUUUAACCUUAAAUUAAGAUUUUUAUAAUAGACUAUACUUCACAAACCACAUUUUUUUGAACACUAGUAAUUUUUCUAAACGUUGUAAAAAAAUAGAUCCUUAACAAUCAGGGUAACAAACUAUAAAGUAGUAUGAAGAUAGAGUAAUUGUAACAUCUCUUGUUCGGGUUAAAUCGAUAACUCGAGGAACGAAUGUCACAUUAGGCACUAAGUCACUUAAAUAUCAAAUAUAUCUUUUUUAUACUUAAUUUUAUUUUUAUAAAGUUCAAUUUAGACUUCUCAAAUCAUUUCUAAACAUUUACUAACAUAUUUAGUCCUCAAAAUGUAUUAAAUUAACAUCCAAAAUAUUAUAUUUUCAUUCUUAUUACCAAAUACCAUGUAAUUUCCCAAGAUUGUCAUUUAAACAUAGCAUAAACACCUUACGUGCAUUGUCAUUCUAUGUCCAAAAUCGUAUACCAAAACAGCUUUGAAACUUUGAGGGUUGAUAUGAUCCUUGUGAAGAAGUACUUCUCGUAUUUUUAAUCUACUUUCUUUCACCUACGUGUUUAAAUAAACGCGUUAAGUUAUAUGAAUAGCCUAGAAAGUAGUCAACUGAAUUCAAUCUUACCAUAUAUAUAUAAUUUAAUUAAUUUUUAAUAACAUUUGUCGAAACCCCUUUUUAAAAACAAAAAUUUUUAGUUUCGACUUAAAAAUAAAAAUUGGAGUCUCCACCAACCCUUUAUUGAUGUGUGAUUGGAUCACCUGAAAGCAAUUCUGGUCUACGAGUUUUAGAGAAAAUAAACGAAUUCGGGAGUCAGUUACGUACGAGGAAGGAUUAGCACCCUUGUAACGCCCAAAAUUGGUACCAAAUUAAUUAUUUAAUGUCUUAAGGUCGAAUGAAUAAUUUGCUUUCGUUUUAAAAACUUGUCUCGAGAUAAUAAAAUGUCACAUCCAGUGAGUUAGGACACAACCCUUUGAGUUCUCGGGAGUAAAUUUAAAUCCUGAAAUGCUUACAAAUUUAUUAAAAAAGAUGUUCGGCUGUUUAAAUUCAACAAAAAAACUGAAGCCCAGUAAGUUAAGGCACAAUCUCCUCAAGAAUUUCAAACGCCGAAUAUUUUGAAAACUCAUGUAUAAAAUAAUUUUAGUAGUUUAAAUAAAUCAAUAAUAUAUUUAAAGAAUAAAAGUAUUUUAAUGCAAAUUGCUCACGUAUAUAUAAAACAAUAUUAUAUAAAAAUUACUUUCAUAUAAAUCUUUGAACAUAAAUAUAUAUAUAAAAUAGAUUUUUAAAGAAACAUAUUCUGCAAAAGAAAAAGCACCAAAAAUAUAUGCAUUAUACUAGAUUUUUUAAAAAAAGAAAUAAAAUAAUACAUUAGAAGAUAAAAUAAUAAUAUAUGACAGAAAUAUAAAUAGAAUAAAAUUAUGCAUGCAAAAAAAAAGGUUAGAUAAAUUGUUAUAAAAAUAUAAUAACAAUAGUAAUAAUAAAGAUAAGAACGAUAAUAAUACAGCUAAUAUUUCAAAGCUUUAGAUAUAUAUAUAUAUAUAAAGUAAUAUAAACAAGUACAGUACAAUAAUAAAUGUAUUAAUAAUAUUUAAAUCAAUAAAUAAACAAGAUGACAUAAGGGGAAGAAAAAAAACCGCACCAUGGGCAUAUAUAUAAAAAAAAUGUUUUAAAGUUUAUUUCUUAAUGCAAUGAUUGAAGGAAUAAUAAUAAAUAAAAAUGUGUAUAGGUGAACAGAUAGGAUAAUAGAUAAAUAAAAACCUUGGAUUAAAAUGUAAUUUAAAUAAUACAUUGGGGGCCAAUCUAGGAAGAAAAUAAAUGAUAGGGUCGAUUGGGGGAUUAAAACAAAUCACGCGCACAAGUGCGAGGACUGAAAAGAAAAUUAUUCCCAUCGCCCAUGAGCACCGUUUCGCACAAGGAUCUGAUUGAAUACCAAGCGAAAUUAUGGGGCCAAAUUUAAAAAAUUUAAAAAAAUGGGAGGGAGUAAAUUAAAAAAAAAACGAAUAAACGCGGGAGGGCCAAGGUACCGCCGUCUGCGGUGGCCGAAAAACGAAAGUCAUCAUUUUUCUGAUUUUUCCGUCCCCGAGCCCAUGGAACGCCGAUUUUUAUCGGAAUCGGCACCUCUCUUACGGAAAAGGUAUUAUAUUUACCCUUUAUUUUUUGUUUUCUUUCGAAAAUAAUAAAAAAGUAAAUAAACAAAAAGUAAAUAAAUAAACUGAAAAACUACCUUUGAAAAAGGUUUGUACUUGAAUCGAUUUUGCUCUAUUUUCUUUUCAUUCAUUCGUCCGUAUCCAAAAUAUACAAAGAUUCGGGUCUUUAUAUAGCCGAAAAAAAACUAUUAUCCUAUUUUUUUGUUAUUAUCUCCUACUAUUUUCUCUCUAUAGGACUCCUUUUUUGUUAUUAUCUCCUACUAUUUUCUCUCUAUGGGACUCCCUUUUUGUUAUCUGGGCUAUGUAAAUGGUUUUUUAGCCAGGCCAAAAUUGGCCUAUUACAACAUUUAUUCACACAGUUUCUUUUACUAAUAUACUUAAAACUUUUAAUUAAUUUCCAAAACAUAAAAUCAUUUAAAUAAGCUUUAUAACUUAUAAUUUUUAAUUUAACAUAUAUUAUCACUAAUUAACUUUUACAUUUACAUAUCAAAAUCUUUCUUUCGUUUCACAAAUAUAACAUAAACACUUAAUUCACAUAUGUUAUUUAACACUUAAUUUACAUGUUCACUUUUAUCUCUUUUUUCACAUAUUAUUAGACAUACACACGCACUUUUACUUUCACACUUCACUUUUGCAGUCUUUAGUGAGUCUCAGAGAAGUUUCAAUCAAUCAGAACAUAUGAUAUUUCAGAUCAUGCAAUAUUUCAAUAAAUUCCAAAGCUCCAUGCCAAAACAAAACUCUUGGCCUUUAAGAGAACUCUAGAAAACAUAGGAAACUCCAUUAAACAUAUAACAUAACUCAUUUAUCCUCUCCUAAUCUCCUUUAAACCUCAACAACACUAGCCUAGUUCCCAUUCGAACCCCUUGAUCUAUCGUAAUUUGAUACGUCAAAACAAGCUCUCUAAAACACUCGAUGAGCUUAUUCUCAAGCAAUUUACGAGUUUUUUUUUCUAUACUUUUGUUGGUUUUUAGUAUUUAGUAUUAAUAAUCGUUUUUGCUUAGCUUUACUCCGUUUGAAACCCAAGUUGGCAAAAUGGUGUCAUUGGAAGCCUAAUGGUGCGUUUGAGUUGGUGUAGGGAAAAGAUGAUGGCCAAACCUUGAGGAGAACUACAAUGGAUAUGGGUGUCGCAACAUUGAGCCUUCACUACUUCGCAGGUGCAAGACUUCAUCAUGGAGCAAACUAUCGAGGGUUACAUGCAUUUUCCUUGUGGAUCACCUUAUUACCUAAACACUCAUGGGUUCAAUCCUUGAAAUACUCAGAGUGUUCCAUUGUGACACUUAUAAAUAUUACAACUGACCUAUCACACUUGCAGCACACCGCUAUAUUCUAAUUGUAUUUGUUUUGAUUCAUAAUCUCGGCACACGCACGCCGAGGUGCGGUCACCCAUAGCCCCUUUUAACCCCAAAAUCAUUUCAUAUCACAUAUUAUAUAUCCUUUAAGCUCAUUAAGUCAUUUAUUCACACAACACUUUAUUCAUUCAUUUUAAAUUACAUAAGCAUAUACAUAAUAUUUUCAUUUCACACAUUCACAUAUUCACUUUUGUAUAACAUACUUGACAUAUCACAUAUAUCACUUUGUUUGUGUCACCUUACUUAUUCACUUUGAAUUAUAUAACCACAUGCACUACAUCCUCACUUUAUACAUUAAUUCACUUUCAUAUAACACUUUGCUUUCAUAAAACACUUCACUUAAAUAUUUAUUUCACUCUUUUAGCACACUUGGUAAUUUUUUAACAUUUUACAAUUUAAUCCCUAAAUUCAUGAAAAUCCAAUAUUUACUUUUAUAACACUUAGUAUCACUUUUCACUCCAUUUAAACCUUUAAUCACAAUAUUUGUUUCACAUAUCAAAAUUCACACUUUUUUACAACUUAGUCAUCUCUAUAGUAAUUUCACUAUUCUACAUCUAUCUAUUCACUUAUAAAAAAUGACAAAUAAAUAACUUUUCACUUUUUAUAAUUUAAUCCUUAGUUUCAUAAAAUUCACUAAUCACUAAAUUAUCACUUUAUCAUUUCUUACAUUACUAACAUUACCUUUAAUUACAUAUUCACUACUAAAUUCAAUAAUCUUAAUCAUGUCUAAUUUAAUUAUUUCAUAUUAAAAUUUAAAUACUCAAAUAACCAAAUUAAAAUAAACUGACUUUAAUUCAUUUAAGUACUUACCUUUUUCUUCACUUGAAAUUAAUCAUUCCCUUCGCUUUCAUCUUCAUCUAAGUUGUUUCCAUGAUUGAAAUAUUUUCAUAUCACUCUAGGAUAUGAAAUUAAGUUUGGUUUUAAGGAAAAAAACUCAAGAAAAAUGCAUGGGAGUUUUCCUUUUCUUUCUUUCCCCCUUUUGUUUCUUUCCCUUCUGUUUUUGCUGCCCCAAGCGAUUGCCGUUUAGCCUCCCAAUUGUGUAGAAAAUUUUACAAUUUUCCCUUUUCUUUUUCAAUUUAGUCCAUUUAUUCCAUCAUCGAAUCAAAUUUCAACAAUUUUCAACCUCAAUUUCCAUAAAUUUCCACAAACUUUCCACCUCAUCAACUAUGAGAUUUUAAUGUCAUCAUUAUGGCUCUAAAUAUCAAUUAAAAUUGGAAAACAACAUUUAGGUCUCUCCUCUAUGAAAUGGGAAAAUUCCAUUUUAGUACCCAUUCUUUUCCAUUUUAUUCAAUUUGAUCCCUAUCUCAAUUUUCCAACUCCACACUUCAAUACAUAUCCAUAUCACAUUCAUAAAAAUAUUUAUUUGAUUUCACCUCCUUUUCAGAAAUGCUCAAUUUGCACUUGUAGUCCUUCAACUUUUUAAAAAAAUGCAAUUUAGUCCUUAAUAAAUUCCAUUAUUCAUACUUUCUCUCCAAAUACUUAAUUCACCUUUAAAAUACUUAUUCAUUUCAAAGGCUAAAGUUUUGGGGGGAAUUACAAUAAUUUGGUCUAAAAUUUCAAAAUUCGCAUAGAAUCUUAAAUAACCUCUUUUUUGUUCAACAAGAAUCUUAAAUAACUUAAGAAAAGGUUGUGAUAAGAUUAUAUCCUAUAUUACGACAUAUGUUCAAGAAUGUGAGAUUAUAAGAUGACUGACACUAUAAUUUCAUUUAAAAAUAUAACAUUGCAAGUCGUAAUAUAAGAUUCAAUGAAAACAUUAUAUUAUUAUAUAAUUAAUUAUUUUCAUCGUAUCGUGUAACGUGAUGUAAAUUAAACCAUUUUCAAUAAAUUUUUUGAAGGUGUUGUUUGUAAAAUGUAAUAUAAUAAUUAAAAUAUGAUUUUCUUUCCAAUUAUUGAUAUAUCAUGAAUUAAAAUUAAAGCGAUAAUAGUAAAUAAAAGAAAAAGAAAUUAUGGCAGCAAUCAUAUCGACUUUUCUCAUACAUCGAGGAGUAAAUAAUCCCAAUAUAAUAAUAUUUCCAGAAAAUAAAAACUAACAUUAUUUGAAUAAAAAAUUGGAGAACAUGCAAGAAUUCCAGAUUUUGAGCAAAUAAUUAAUUUUUUUAAUUUUUUAAUUUUAUUUUAAAAAAUAAAAGCGGCAAUACAAAUAGACAUCAUGUCAGUGCUAACAUGCAAAAUAAUAAUAACACCAUGUGUCAUGUUGUUAACUUGUUAUUUGCUAAAUAUACCAACCCAUUGGUUUUUUUUUUUUUUGGGUUAAUAUAAUUUUUUUUCAUUAGUUUAACUAUUUUUUUUAUUUACUUUAACUUUUAUAUCUGAUACUUAGGUCCGUAAAAAUAUCAUAAAAUUUCCUGUACUAUAUUCUAGAUAUAUUUUAAUCAUUUAUUGAAAAAUAAAUAAAGUAAAAUCGUCAUUCUGUUAAAAUUGCACCGUUAGAUAUUUAUUUUGGUGUUUAUAUAUAAGGUAUAAUAAUAAAUUUAGCUCUCAAUAUUUUUACAUUUAUUCAAUUUGACUCUUACUCUUUUAUUAGAAGUAAAUUAUAAUUUUUUAAAACUAAUGAGGCUAAAAGGUAAAAAAAUAGUUUGUAUUAAAAAUAACAAUACCAACCCAUUAAAUUUUAAUGGUUAUGAGAUUUAAAAGAAAAUUGACCCGUACUCUUUUAUUAGGUUGAAAUUGUAAUUUUUAACUAUUUUAAUGUGUUCAAAAUGUAAAUAAUUCAAUAUAAUGAAAAACUGUAAUUUUGACCCCUUUUAAAAAAAUGUAAGAAAAUUUUUCAACUUUUCUUCUCUUAAAAUUUUUUAAUUUUAUAUCAACCAUAUCACAUAAUUCUUGACCGCUCUCCAUUACGUUUUUUCAACUUUCAUUUUUUUUAUAUUAAAAAAUAAUCAUCUAUGUUAAAAUGCUAAAUAUAUAACCAAUAAGAUGGUAAAAUAUUGGAUGUGGAUGGAAUAUUAUAAAAUAAUAAAGAAAUUUUUAUAAGGUAUCGGUAAAUGAAAAAUUGAUAGUGAUGUAAAAGGGAAUGAUUCACUUAAACAAACAGAGAACUAAAAGAUACAAAUAAUUGAAGAAGAGGAAGACAAGGGACUUAAAGUUAUUAAAAGAGUGAGAGAUUUGACAAUUGUUCACUGUAUAACGUCACAUCAUCGACAAUUAUGGAAUAUGGUGAAUGUGUGAUCGGUCAAGUGACAAGACCAUUAUAUGUGUUAUCAUACUUAGAGAUGAUGGUAUUCUCGCUAUAAGUGGAUGGUCUAAUUGCAGGUGAUUUAUUUGAGUAAUGACUAGUUAGGACGUGAAAGGAAAAUGAUUGGAGAUGUUGUUUAGAUAGCUUAUCGUGAUACCAUGUGUUGAAAUUAAAUUGAAGUAUAAUAAGAAUAAAAGGGUAAUCAAUUGGUGAUUAUUCAAAGAAAAAGUGAAAACCAUAAUAGAGGAAGUGGGUGAUAUUAAGCUUAGCUUAUUGGGUAUGUUUAGGUGUCGGUCGACUUUAUAAAUUUAAUUUAUGAUUCUCUACUAGCUUAAGCACAUAUAUUUGAAACAGAAGUGAAAGUAUAUGAAAUCCAACUAAAGAAAUCUGGAAAAGACAAAAGCAACCCUCCCCUCCCCGACACAUCGCAUCGGUUCUCCACAGCUGUCUUCAACUCUCCCGGUCGGAAAUUAAAUCACUCCCACACUUAACGACGCCAUUUUCAUCAGAGAAAUCUAAAUAUCUCCCCCCCCCCCCCAAAUUCCUAGGGUUCUCUCUCAAAUCCUUUCUUUCCAAUUCCGUAUUGUUAGGGAUUUGAAGCUAGUCCGGAUCGGGUAACGAACUGGAAGAUGAUAGACAAUUGCUUGGGAGCUCAAAGAUCUAGAAAGAUCCAGAGAGCUCUCCGUCAUUGCAAGGUCACCAUCCUCUGCCUCGUCCUCACCCUCGUCGUCCUACGUGGCACUAUCGGAGCCGGUAAAUUCGGGACUCCGGGACAGGACCUCGCCGAGAUCCGCGACCACCUCUAUUACCGGAAACAAGGCGAACCGCAUCGCGUCCUCAAAGAAGUCCAAACGACGUCGUCAGAUAACCACGACGGCGCCGACACCAACGCCGGCACCAAUAACUACAACGAGUUCGACAUCAAUAAGAUCUUAAUCGACGAGGAACCAGACGUCCCGAAACGCGAUCCCAACGCGCCCUAUUCGCUCGGGCCCGGAAUCUCCGAUUGGGACGAGCAACGCUCUAGAUGGCUGCAAGAAAACCCUAAUUACCCAAAUUUCAUCGGUCCAAACAAACCGAGGGUUCUCUUAGUCACUGGUUCAUCUCCCAAACCUUGUGAGAACCCUGUCGGUGAUCAUUACUUAUUGAAAUCGAUCAAGAACAAGAUCGAUUAUUGUAGAUUACACGGGAUCGAGAUAUUUUACAACAUGGCGCUGUUGGAUGCUGAAAUGGCAGGGUUUUGGGCGAAAUUGCCGUUGAUUCGAAAGCUUUUGCUCUCGCAUCCGGAGGUGGAAUUCUUGUGGUGGAUGGAUAGUGACGCCAUGUUUACUGACAUGGCAUUUGAGGUUCCUUGGGAAAGGUAUAAAGACUCCAACUUUGUUAUGCACGGUUGGAAUGAAAUGGUUUACGAUCAGAAGAAUUGGAUUGGGCUAAACACUGGGAGUUUUUUGUUGAGGAAUGGGCAAUGGGCACUUGACAUUCUUGAUGCUUGGGCUCCAAUGGGUCCUAAAGGCAAGAUUAGGGAAGAAGCAGGGAAGGUUUUGACCCGGGAGCUUAAGAAUAGACCCGUUUUCGAAGCCGAUGAUCAGUCUGCAAUGGUGUAUUUGUUGGCUACUCAAAGGGAGAAGUGGGGUGAUAAGGUUUACUUAGAGAAUUCUUAUUAUUUGCACGGUUAUUGGGGGAUCUUGGUUGAUAGAUAUGAGGAAAUGAUUGAGAAUUAUCACCCAGGUUUAGGGGAUCAUCGUUGGCCGUUGGUGACCCACUUUGUGGGGUGCAAACCUUGUGGUAAGUUUGGGGAUUACUCGGUGGAGAGGUGCUUGAAGCAAAUGGAUAGAGCAUUCAAUUUUGGGGAUAAUCAGAUUCUUCAGAUUUAUGGGUUCACUCACAAGUCAUUGGCCAGUAGAAGGGUUAAGAGAGUUCGAAAUGAGACCAGUAAUCCGCUUGAGGUGAAAGAUGAGCUUGGACUGCUUCAUCCGGCUUUUAAAGCCGUUAAGGUAUCCUCUUCUUGAGGAUAUAGGCUUUGUAUGAUAUCUUAUGCUGCUAAAUUAUAGGUUACAGUAUUCAAAUGUUGUGUAUGCAGUGGGAAUUUUGUGCUUACGGUCUGGAUAAAUAGUAUUCUUUUGUUCCUCGUCUUUAAAUUAUGAGUUCUUUAUAUGCUUUCCGAAUGAAAACUUAGCUCAUUGUUCUUUCCACUGCUAUUCAUUUUUUGUUGCUUAUAAGCAAACUUGAUUCUGUCAAUGUUUUAACAUGGUGAUAUAUGUUACUGCAUUUGUAAUUCAAUCAUUAGUCUGCAAUGUUUAUCGAUGUUGGGAGCUGGUAUACUUUCAUACUGCUAGGGUAAGCCAGUGAAACUAGGCCGCUGCAGGUACUCUGUUCUUUGAAACUUUAGCUGGAUGAAUAUAUAGUGGGGUUGAAACUUAAUUGUUGUGGUUAAUUGCUUGUUUACGUGGUUCAAAAGAAAGUGAGAAACAUUUCACUGAAUGAGGUAAGCAUUGAUGAUCAUUAGUCUCGUUCUCUGUUUCUUGUUUCUUUGAUUCGUACUCUUUAGAUCCCCAUGGAGGAAAAGAGUCGAGUCUUGCUAGGAAUAGGAUGAUAACGAGCUGCAGUUUCCUGCUUUUAUCAUUUUAAUGGCUGAUAUUUAUGUUGCUCCGAUUCUUAUUUUUCUUCAAAUAUCCGUGUCCAAUGUUCUUGUCUGACACACAUCCGUAUAUGAGCGCCGGAUAUGAUCUUCUAACUACAUGGAAGAACUUAAAAUAGUUGGACAUAUGUUUGACACACUACUAAAAGCUGUCGAUACUCAUUUACUCCAUAACUUAGUUCACUAGUAUUGAUAGAAUCUGUUCAGCAAUGGAUUCAUCUUUACAAUUACUUUAAGUAUCAAUGUUUGACAUCUAUGUUCUAUGCUUGUUGAAAUAUGAAUAUAGAGAUAUGGUCAUUUAAACUUGUGUUAACCACGUGCCCAUGUCCGAAUUUAUAUUCGACACAUGUUUUCAACUGCAAUAGCUCUAGAUGUCCUAAACAGGGUUAUGAAUUUCCGAGACACUUAACGAUUAAAUUGUAAUUUUUUUACUUAAAUAAUUAAAACAGAAGCUUACCUAUAAAUCCAUAAUUUACCCCUAAACCAGAACAUGUCGGACCAGUCAACCUUCUAUAAUAUGGAUAGCACAAAAUUUCAAUAUAAUAUAAUAAAAAUAGAAACAAUAAAAAUGGGAUUGAACGACAUUUUUUUUCUUAAAAAGGUAGGACUUUAUUAACAUUUUCUGGAUUUUAAAAAAAUGGUCUUAAGUAACACCUUAUAAUUAAAUUUGGUAAGUGCACUGGGCCCGGACCUCUCAUGACAAACUCGUGGUCUUCUCCCUCUUUGUGGAUGGCGUGGGGUUACCAAUUUUUGGAAAUUAAACCAAUAAUGGAGCUAUCCAUUUUUCAUUACGUUAAUGACAAAAAUAAUUAAUUAAAAUUUAUAAAAAUUAUAAACCAGUGCAAUUGAUUCAGUUAUUGAUUUUUUUUUCAAGUUUUUCAGAUUUUUAUCUAUUCACAAACAAUUUAGUUUAUAGUUAACUUCAUGUCAUCGAUUAAAUCGUUAAAACCAUUGAUUUAUGGUUUAACCGAUUUAAUCAGUUGAUCUAGUCUAAUUCUAACAUCUCUCGGAAGAUCGAUUUUUCCGGUGGCCAUGCUUUUGGAGACUUGUUCCUUCUGAUGGGACCUUUCGAGCUCUUUAAGUUCUGUUUUUAUUACUUGAGCUUUUUUUACCAUUGUUUCAGGUGAGGGCGUUCAGAGAUGAAUCAUGAAUUUUGGGGACUCAAAAUAUAAUUUUAACAAUUAUACUAAUUUGUAAAUUCGUAAAUUUGUAAAGGAUUAAAAAAUACAUUUACCAUUUUUGGGGGCAAGGCUACAACCUUCUCCUUUAUCUAUGCCUUGGUUUCAGGGUGUUGCAGUAAGUCCAUCGCCAAAAAGAGUGAGGGUCUCAACCCAAACUCUUGUCCAUCAUGUUUUUGCUUUACCCUAAUGCUUGUUCCUCUAGGUUAUCGACAUAAAUCUCCCUCUCUUUGCUUUCAUGUUGAUCUAUGUGUAGAAGGGGGAGUUGCUCGUUGCCUUCGUGGCUUAGGAUUAGGGUUUUUAGUAUCUUUUAAGGUCAUUUUUAUAGUUUAUAUUCGAGAUUUAUGAUUAUUUUUUUAUAAUGUUGUUUCCAAGCAUUUAACUUUCCUAACAUUUAUUUGCUUUUUUCUUUUGGCUUUUAUCUUUUAUGGUAUUCAACAUUUAUUUAUUCAUGUUCGUGUCUAUAACCGAAAAUAAAUCUAGAUAAUUUUUUCAACAACAUAAUGAUACAUAUACAUAUACAUACAUAUAUUCAUCACACUAAAGGGGAAAAUAAUUAUAAUUCUCACAUUCACUUAUUGCUAUAAAAAAAAUCUAAAAUUGGUUAACUUGUGAAUUGAACUAAUAGUUGAACUGAUUUUUAUAAUUUUUUUUUAUUUUAAUAAUUUAUUUUCUUUGAAUUGAUCAGAUUAGUUGUUCUGGGAAUUAAUUGGUCGGAUUAGUUCGGAAUUGAUUCAACUAGUUUUUUAACUCGAUUCAACUAGUUUUUUGACUCAAUUCAACUAGCUUGUACUGUUUCAUGGGUCAAUCGGUUUUUUACCUAUCACCAUAGGGGUGUGCAUAAUUCGGGUAAAACCGAAAAAAUUCGGUUAACCGACUGAAUUCGGUUAAUCGGUCGGUUAACCGAAUUUUUUCGGUCGGGGGUCAGUUAAUUUUUUUAUGAUUUUUCGGUUAACGGUUAAUUCGAUUCGAAAUCGGUCAGUUAACCGAAAAUUUUCGGUUAACCGAAAAAAUUAAUAAAUAAAAUUAUCCAACCCAGCCCAAACUCAAUUACCCAACCCAAUAAAACUAAAACUAAAGUUUACCCAAUUACCCAAUUACCCAAUUCAAUAAAACUAAAACUAAAAGACAACCCAAUUUACUAAAGUCUAAAACCCAAUUUACUUUAAUAAUUUAUAAAAUUUUUUAAAUUUUAAAAAUAAAAAAAUAAAAAAAUUCGGGUAAUUCGGGUAUUUUUCGGUAAUUCGGCUAAUUCGGGUAAUUCGGGUAAUUUUUAACCAAAAAUAAAAAAUACAUAAUUUUCGGUUAAUUCGGUUAACCGACCUUAUUAACCGAAAAAAUUUCGGUUCGGUUAAUUUUUUUUAAAAAAAUUGGUUCGGUUAACGGUUAAAAUUUUUAGAAGGUCGGUUAAUUCGGUUAUAGUAAUUUCGGGUCGGUUAACCGAAUGAACACCCCUAUAUCACCAGAUUGAUACCCCAACCGAUUUUUGGUCCAAUUAGUCGGUAUAGUCCAAUUUAAAUAAUAUUAAAUUUUGACUUUUUUAUAUUUUUAAAUUCAUUUUUAUUUUUUCAUAUUUUUAUUUUUUUUAAAAUUAUAAAUUCGUAGUUUUUUAUUUAAAAUAUAAAAAUACUUUUUAAAAUUUCUAUAUACUUUUAAAGGGUAAUGACCAAAUUAAUAAAAAAAUAUAAAUAUGAAGUUAAAAAUGUUAUUUUACAUUUUACAUCAUUAACUUUAGUGGAAAAAUUAGACGGAGGGUGCAAGAUUUUUAAAGGGUAAACUACCUAUUUAGUCACCGAGUUUACCUAUAUUAUUAUUUUGGUUACUCAUUUCAAAAUUUUGUUAUUUUGGUCCGUAUUAUUAGAUAAGUUAUCAAUUUUAGUCACUUUACCAUUAAAAUGGGUUUCAUCACCAAACAUAAUGCUGAUGUGGCUUGCUAUAAUAAUAAAAUUAGCCCUUAAUGUUUACCCAUUUAAUUAAUUUAUUCUUGAUUUUAAAAAAAUUAACCAUUAAUAUUUACACAUUAUAUAAACCCAUUCUACAAAUUAAGAAAAUAUAAAAUAAAAUUUAAAAAUAAAUAAAAAUUCAAAUAUUUUAAAAUUAAUAAAAAUAUACAAAAUACUCAAAAAAAAUUAUAAAAAAUAUAUUUAAAAAUUGUUUUUACUUCCCACCUUGUGGCUUUGAUGGUUCCCGCAGCUGUCGCUUGUGCUGCCUUCUUCGUCAACUUCUCGCAAAAUCACAAGUAAAAAGCGAAGAUGCAAAAUUUACGCAAUAAAAAGAAAUUAAAAAGAAAGAGGGAACCUUUCAUGGAGCUGCCCAAGGUUACUGCCUCUUUUUUUUCUUUAUAAUUUUUUAGUAUUUUAUAUAUUUUUGAAUUUUUAUGUUAAUUUUAUAAAUUUAAAUUUAAAUUUUCUUAAUUUUUAGAAUCAUGACCAAAUUGGAAUAUUGUGUAAAUAUUAAAGGUUAAUUUUCUUAUUUUUUUCAAAAUAAUGAUCAAAUUAAUAAAAUGGGUAAAUAUUAAGGGUUAAUUUUGUUAUUAUACCAGGUCACUUCAGCAUUCCGUUGGGUGAUCAAAUCUAUUUUAACAAUAGAGUGACUAAAAUUGACAACUUAUCAAAUGGGAAUGACUGAAAUAAUAAACUUUUGAAAUGGGUCACCAAAAUAGGAACGCGGGUAAACUCUAGCGACUAAAUAGGAAGUUUACCCAUUUUUAAAUAAAAAAAAGACUCAAAAUUAAAAUUAUAAGGACUAAAUUAUAAAUUUAAUAAGAGUAGAGGGACUUUAACAUAUUUAAACCAAAAUAAAUCACACCGACACAUAACGCCAUUUUUAUCAGAGAAAAGAGUAUCUAAAAUCUCCCCAAAUCUUCCAAAUUUCAUUUCCUAGGGUUCUCUCUCGAUUCCCUAUUUUCCAAAUUGGUAUUGUUAGGGAUUUGACGCUAAUCCGGAUCGGGUAACGAGCCGGAAGAUGAUAGACAAUUGCUUGGGAGCUCAAAGAUCUAGAAAGAUCCAGAGAACUCUCCGUCAUUGCAAGGUCACCAUCCUCUGCCUCGUCCUCACCCUCGUCGUCCUACGUGGCACUAUCGGAGCCGGUAAAUUCGGGACUCCAGGCCAGGACUUCGUCGAGAUCCGGGACCACCUCUAUUACCGGAAACAAGGCGAACCGCAUCGCGUCCUCAAAGAAGUCCAAACGACGUCGUCAGAUAACCACGACGGCGCCGACACCAACGCCGGCACCAAUAACUACAACGAGUUCGACAUCAAUAAGAUCUUAAUCGACGAGGAACCAGACGUCCCGAAACGCGAUCCCAACGCGCCCUAUUCGCUCGGGCCCGGAAUCUCCGAUUGGGACGAGCAACGCUCUAGAUGGCUGCAAGAAAACCCUAAUUACCCAAAUUUCAUCGGUCCAAACAAACCGAGGGUUCUCUUAGUCACUGGUUCAUCUCCCAAACCUUGUGAGAACCCUGUCGGUGAUCAUUACUUAUUGAAAUCGAUCAAGAACAAGAUCGAUUAUUGUAGAUUACACGGGAUCGAGAUAUUUUACAACAUGGCGCUGUUGGAUGCUGAAAUGGCAGGGUUUUGGGCGAAAUUGCCGUUGAUUCGAAAGCUUUUGCUCUCGCAUCCGGAGGUGGAAUUCUUGUGGUGGAUGGAUAGUGACGCCAUGUUUACUGACAUGGCAUUUGAGGUUCCUUGGGAAAGGUAUAAAGACUCCAACUUUGUUAUGCACGGUUGGAAUGAAAUGGUUUACGAUCAGAAGAAUUGGAUUGGGCUAAACACUGGGAGUUUUUUGUUGAGGAAUGGGCAAUGGGCACUUGACAUUCUUGAUGCUUGGGCUCCAAUGGGUCCUAAAGGCAAGAUUAGGGAAGAAGCAGGGAAGGUUUUGACCCGGGAGCUUAAGAAUAGACCCGUUUUCGAAGCCGAUGAUCAGUCUGCAAUGGUGUAUUUGUUGGCUACUCAAAGGGAGAAGUGGGGUGAUAAGGUUUACUUAGAGAAUUCUUAUUAUUUGCACGGUUAUUGGGGGAUCUUGGUUGAUAGAUAUGAGGAAAUGAUUGAGAAUUAUCACCCAGGUUUAGGGGAUCAUCGUUGGCCGUUGGUGACCCACUUUGUGGGGUGCAAACCUUGUGGUAAGUUUGGGGAUUACUCGGUGGAGAGGUGCUUGAAGCAAAUGGAUAGAGCAUUCAAUUUUGGGGAUAAUCAGAUUCUUCAGAUUUAUGGGUUCACUCACAAGUCAUUGGCCAGUAGAAGGGUUAAGAGAGUACGAAACGAGACCAGUAAUCCGCUCGAGGUGAAAGAUGAGCUUGGAUUGCUUCAUCCGGCUUUUAAAGCCGUUAAGGUAUCCGCUUCUUGAUGAUAUAGGCUUUGUAUGAGAUCUUAUGCCUACUAAAUGAUAGGUUACAAUAUUCAAAUGUUGUGUAUGGAGAGGGAAUUUUAUGAUUUAGGUCUCGAUAAAUAGCAUUCUUUUGUUCAUUGCCUUUAAAUUAUGAGUUGUUAAUGCUUUCCGUAGGAGAACUUAGCUCAUUGUUUUGUCUUCCGCUAGUCAUUUUUUUGGUAGCUUAUAAGCAAAAUCGAUUCUGUCAAUGUUUAAACACAGUGAUACCUUAUCGCUCGAAUAUGUUGCUGCAUUUGUAAUUCGAUCGUUGGUGGUAGCUGGUUUACUUUCAUACUGCUAGGGUAAGCCAGUGAAACUAGGUCGCUGCAGGUACCCCGUUCUUAGCAACUUUAGCUCGAUGAAUCUAUAGUUGGGUUGGAACGAUUAUCAUUAGUCUCGGACUAUUUGCGACGAGGAGCUCUCGCUCUGUUGAACCCGCAGUACUAAUCUAAACAAAAUGUCUUUGUUUUAUGACUUUUAGAGAUUAUUUGAUAAAAAUUGAAAGUUUUUUUCAAAACUAUUUUUUAAAUAUUCAAAUAAAUAAAGAUAAUGAAUGCAUCUUAUAUAGUAUUUUUCAAAAAAUAGCUUUUUUAUAUAGUAUUUUGAGUUAUUUUCAUUCCAUUAUAAAAAAUAGAAUUUAAUUAUAAAUUAAAUAAAAUAUAAAAUUCGGUUAGAUUUGGAUAAUCAUAAAUUUUAAUUCAUUAAAAAAAAAUCUAUACAUCAUCGAUUCGUAUGGAUUUUUAGUUUCUCAAUAUUUUGCUUGCUCAGCCCGAAUAAAAUCAACUAUUCUAAAUUAAAUGGGUUAAAUCAUAAAUUAAAUUGAUUUUAAACAAUUUUUCUCUGAUAUAUAUAUAUAUAUGGUUGGGAAAAUACGAGUUCAAUUAAAAGUCCGAGAAAACUCCAGUCUAUAGGAACCCAAGUCCGAAAUAAUUAUAUGAUAUUACUUAAAAUAAAAAUAAAUGGUAAAGAUUUAUUUUAUAAAUAUGUAUUCAGAAGCACUUUAAUUAUUUUAUAUAAUAUAAUUCUAUUAAAUAUAUAUAAUUUAUGCUUUUCAUAAGGUAAAUUAGAAUUGAAUAUUUAUAACGUAAAAGAUUCAAAAUCAUUUGAAUUUGAUGAAGAUCAUCUUGUUCAACCUGAGCCCAAAUCUUAAAAACUCUAAAUCUAAGGGUGGGUUUAGAUAGUUGGUGCAUUUACUUAUAGUUACUAUAAAAACAACAGUGACGAUGAUAUUAAAUAUUGUAACGAUCGUGUAAUGUGUAAUAAAAAAUAAACUAAGCACACUGCACCAUCCAUUCAAACCUACACUAAGAAAAUUUGAACUUAAACAAAUUCUAGAAAAAAAAGAUCUAAACCUAAAUUCAUCCCAUCUAAAAAAAUCCGAAUCCUACAAGUUAUUUGAACUGUUAUUUUGGUUGGACCAUAUAUUUUUACUUUGUAGUAUUGAUGUUUUUACCUUCCUUUAUUCAUAAUUUGCCAUUGCGUGCUGCAGUUACCAAACACAAAAAGGGUUGACCUCAGUCUCUUCCCCUAUCAACCAAAACAUGUCCGAUCAGUCAACCUUCUAUGAUAUAGAAUAUAGAUAGCAUCAAAUUUUAAUAAUAAUAAUAAUAAUAAUAAUAAUAAUAAUAGAAACUAUAAAAAUGAAAUGAGAUGAGAAUUAAAAAAAAAUUAUAAACAUUUUUUGGAUUUUAAAAAAUGGUUUUAAACAACUUAUUAGAAUUAAAAUAUUUAUUAUUGAUUUAUCACUUAAAUCAUUCAGUUUCAGUUUAAUUAGAUCAAUCCAUCAUUUUUAACAACAAUUAAAUAUAUUACUAAUUCAUACAAAUUAGUAAUUUUAAAAAUAUAUAUUAGAAAUUUAUAAACUGGAUUAAUGAUUUUCAAUUUUUAACGAUUUACAAAUGACUUGGUCUAUAUUCGAUUUUACAUUAUCGGUUUAACCAAUGGUAUCAUUGGUUUAGUUUGGGCCUCCUUUAGAUAGAGAGUGAUUAUGGUGUGAUAAAAUUUUUUAUUUCAUAGUUAUAAUUAAUUUUACCGUCAUCGUCAUUUUUAACUUUAUUGAAAGUAAAUACACAGGUUACUCCAGAAGGUAAGAAAAUCUAAAAGCAGGGAAAUUAACCAACGACAACAUAUCUGGAUAAUUUCUUCAACAACAUAUAUACACAUACAUACAUAUAUAUAAUAUACAUAUAUAUUCAUCACACCAGAGGGGAAGCUUCAUAAUUCUAACACAUCCACUUAUUGCUGCUACAUACCUAUAUCUUACAAUUUUUUUUUUAAAAAAAGGACGUCGGCGAACAACCUUAACGACGGCAGCGAGUAAUGGUGCUGCAACCUCGUGUGUAAGGGUUAGCUUCGGCUCCUGGCCGACAGUUAUAAUACGAAGCGCCCCUUCGAGAGCACGGCACGGUGUCCCUCUGAAGUGCUUUGUAGCUUAUGUAAGUGGUGGUUUGCAAUAUGCGCCUCUUGAUCUCGGACCCUAUGUCGAACUCAUCAUCGUCCACGUUAGCCAUGCACUCCGCCGUUGAGUCCUUGCAGCUACCGGACUUGUUCACCGUCGCCGGCACCCAGCUCAAGUGAUGCACACCACUUGAUUCGGCGGCCAACACGGCGGUGAUCAGGGUUGUUGUGAGGAGUAAGGAAAUGGCGAGCAGAAAACCCGAGGGAUUAGCCAUUUUUUUUCUUUUCUUUCUUUUGUUUUGGUUUAUUAAUGUCGGGACAAGACACGAAUGGAGGUGCCAACUUAUUUUUAAGGCUACUGGUAAAAAAGAGUCGAAAGAAUGACAUUGGCUAUCUCUUUAUUUACUAUAAUGCCACUUUGCUUUCAUUAGAGGUAAAAAAAAAAACUCAAUUUUACAGUUUGGUAACUUUAUUAUUAUUAUUAUUAUUAAUGUCACUUUAUUUACCUUAGUCAACAGAUUAAUCCGAUUUUUAAUCAUUCUUUCUUACAAAUGAAGAAGAAGAAUUUUUAUUUAUACCUUUCAAUUAAGCCCUUUUUUUUAGUUUAAAAUAACAUUUUUCAUCUAAAUUCUUUCAAAUAUUUAAUAGUUUCGAUUCGAUUUAUAAAUAUUUCUGAUUAUUAUGUUUUUUCUUUGUUUAAAUUAAUAUUUAUGUUUCGUUUUCAUUACACGAAAUAUUAUCUAAGACUAAUGAUGUUAACUUUUUCAUAUUUUCCAAUAAAUACUUGAGAUAUGAUAAAUCCAAUAUUUGAUACAUGGCGAUGAUGCAAUCAAAAUAUAAAAUUUAAAUAUAAACUAAAAUCUAAAAAAAACUUAAAUAUAUAAAAAUAAUUUUUUAAUAAAAAUCAAAAUUUAAAUUUUUUUUAUCAAAAUAAAAUUCUUUUCAAUUUUUUUAUAAGAAGCUUAUAAUUUUCUACCAUUCCACGAGAAUAGACCUUUUCUUUUUGAAUCGAAAAUUUCUAAAUGUAUUUAUAUUUAAAUCGAAAUUUUUCUUACACAAAUUAUAACCUUUUCUAAAUAUAAGUUUUUCUUUUUGAAAAAAAUGGUUGCCACAAAUUUUUUAAAAAUAGAAUAUAAUUUUUUUACAAAACAUCAUAAAUUUAAACAUAAAAUUAAAUUAUCGAUUGAGUUUUAACUCGAUUGGUAUGCACGUUAUUACUAAUGUAGGAAGACGUGAGUUCGAAUACUCUAAAAUGUAUUAUCCUCCUGUUUAUGGGUUAGAAAGGGAUUAUAAAUAAUUUUAGACAUUGUAUCAAAAAUAGCAGAUAUAAUUAGAACCUAUAUAAAAUAAAUAGCAUUCUGAUACCUGAAUAGACAUCCUUUUGAAAAAUAUUGUACACUUUUUUAAAAGAGUAAAUUAAAUUUAGAAAUAUUUUGUUUUUUUUUUGAAUAAAAUAGACUCGAAAUUUUUUAGAUAAUUAUUUUCUGUAAAUAUAAUAGAUUUUCAAUAAUUUUUAAAAUUUUAGAUUAUGUCAUCACAAUGAUGUCAUAAUCAUCGUAUGAUAAAUAUUUAUUGGACCACAUUGAAAAAGUUAGCAUCUUUUGCCCCAAAGAUCAUUUAGUAUAACAAAAACCAAACAUGGAUACCAAAUUGAACAAAAAAAAAAGAAAAAGAAAAGAAAAAGACAUAGAUGGCAAAAUGGAUAUUGAUGCCAAACAUAGGUACCGAAAAGUAUAUUUACCCUUCAAAAUAUUGUAAUUUAAUAAUGUUCUCAUUUUUAAUAUGACUUAAAUUCAGGAUUAAGGGUGUGUUUGUUUUGCGGAAAAUGAAUUAUGAAAAAUAUUUUUUUAUAUUUGUUUUAUAGAAAAUAGCUUGAUUAAUGGAAAAUUAAUCUUUUUUUUUUAAAUUAAAAAGUGUAAAACAUUUUCAAAAAAAAUAACUCCUUUGUGACUAAUAUGAAUUUUAGAUAAAAAUUAACUUGAAUCUAACCAAAUAUUAUUAUAUUAGUAAUAAGUUUUUAAUUUUAUUUAGAAAUAGUAAUUUCAAAUAUUAUUAAAGCAAAUAUAUAUUUAAUAAUAUAUAAUAAAUUAUUAAUAUAAUUUAUCAUUUUCAUAGAACUAUUCAAUAUUACAAAUUUAUUUUAAUAAUAAAUUUUAACAUUAAUAAUUUUAAAUUUUAAGUAAUAUUUUUAAUGUUUUAUUGACAAUACCAACAAGUGAUGUAGUGAUAAGGUAAAUUGCACUCCCAAAUAGAGAACAUAAGUUUGAACUUUGGAGACGAUGUUUUUGGAAAUGACAACCCCGAACAUGGACCAUAAAGUUGACAAAAAGAAUAAAAAUAAAAUAUUUUCUAUUAUUAUUUUAAUAAUAAAUACGGAAAAUCAUUUGAUACACUGCUAGUAGAGUUUUUUAGACUUCUCCACAAGUGGGUUGAGGGUUUGACAAGCGUAUUAUAAGGUGUGGUAAAAAUUUUAAAAAACAAUUAUACAAAUACAUGUGACACUCGUUAUACUCUCAACCCACUUAUGGAGUCUAAAAACAGAGUAUCAAAUAAUAACCCUAAUAAAUAUAUAGAUUAGAAUUUAUAAAUAUUUAUCAAUAAUUUUUAAAAUAUAAAAUAUGAAUACUUUGACAAUAUAAUAAUGUGAUUAUUUAUUUAAAUUCUACUCAACUUCAUUUAUCCCUUCUAUCUCCAAUGUAGCAUUAUCCCUCUUAACUUCAAAUUUAAGUUUUAUUUAGGCAUAUUGAUUAUUGUUACGUCUAUAUAAGAUAAUAUACUUAUUAUAACAUAAAUUUCAGUUGUAGACGAUAAUGCUUCAAUAAUAUUUAUUUUAAAAUAUAAUUAAGCACUGAUUAUUAUUAAGUUCAUAUAAGAUAGUAUAUUUAUUAUACAAUAAAUUUUAAUUGUUAAAGGGCAAUGCUUCGAUAAUAUUUUAUAACAAAUACAACUUAUGUUAAAACUGUUUCAAACAAUAACAAAUAUUUUACACGAAAUCAUCGAAAACACUAAUAAAUAUAUAUAUAUAUAUUUUUUCUAAAAAUCAUAUUUCGAAUUUCGAAUUUCUUUUCAAACUAACACAACAUGUAAGCUACUUAUUUUGUUAAGGAAAAUCAGAUAAUGUCAAAUUUUAUGACAAAUCCUCCAUGGGUAGUUUUUAUGUAUAUAUAUAUAGAAAUCCUAGUUGAACCAACAACCUUAAAGAGUUUGCCUGUCCUAAUCCUUUUGACUAGCAACAAUAAUAAUGGCAAAGAAUAAUCACAAGGCUUAACCUAACCCACCAAUGGAAGAAAAAUGAAUUUUUUUAGUGAUAUGGUUUACUCCUUUUUUAUGAUUUCUUUGUUAAAUCUCAUUAGUCCAAUUGACGCUUUUGCAAGUUCAAAAACCCCUAGAUAGCUAUUUAGAAAGUUUAGGGUAACCCAUUUUUUUAAAAACAAAUUUCUAGGAGACUCUUUUAAACCUAAUUCAAGAAAAUGAUUGAAAUGGUGAUGUGAGGAAACCCUAAUUAAGGGUUUCAAUUGAAAUUCCAGUUUUUACAUUCUUUUUAAUUACUAAUAGUUUGAGAAUAGAAUAAUGGGUUGUGGAUAAUAAUAUUUGAGAUAUAUUAUUUUAAAAAUAUUUGUAUGAUUAAACUGAAUUAGGCAUUGCUCAUAUGGACGGAGUACAUUUUUUUUUAUCUAUUCCUUUAUUGAUUCUAGGUGUCUAAAUAAAUAAACUACCCAUAACCCUCCUAGACCCAUAAAUAGGAGGAUAAUGUGGUUCAAGGCAGUCGAACUCACGUUCUCUUGCAUUGACAAUAAUAUCCAUGUCAAUCGAGCUAAUAUUCGAUUGGUAAAGUUGAAUUAUCCUUAAAUUUAUUGGAUUGGAUUCAACCAGUAAAGCUGAAUGUGAAAUUUUUAGGAACACCAUUUUUUUUUUUCAAAUUUGUAGUUUUAAGAAUCAAUACAUGUAUUAAUGGAUGCAUUGACUGUGGUCUCAAUUAAUUAUUUAAAUCUUAUCAAAUUCUUGGAAAUGAUAUUCUUAUAUUUGAGUUUCAAAUAUAUAUAUCUAUAUAAAGUUUCAUAUAUUAAUAAAUUUUGUUUAAUAUCUUUUAAUAUAUUCCUGUUUUAUAUUAUGUUCACGUUAUUAUUUUUCAAAAGGGUUUAUUUUUAACAUAAAAAUAUGUAAAAAAAUAUAUAAACAUUUGAUAAAACUUAAACUUAGGAUAAUUUAAUUUUACAAAAUUCGAUGUUACCAUUUCAAAGAAAAAUUCAUUUAUUUUUAUAUUAAUUUUAAAAAUAUAAUUUUUGCAUAAUUUAUUUUACCCAUAAGUGUAGUUAUAAGUUUGUGUCAAUUUAAAUUGGAAUAAUUUUAUUUUAUUAGAUAGAAUUGGAUUUUCUUUUGUAGAUUUAGGUCCACAUUGGAUAGAAUUUGGGUCGUUUUACUUUUUGGGCCAUUUAACCAUUGAUAACAAGGGUUGUUUCCUCAUGCUUUUGGGCUUCAACUAAAACCAAUUUACUUAAGAUGUGGGUUAAUUCAUCAAACAUCCUCAAACUAUCACUUAAAUUUUAUAUUAGUCCUUAAACUUUAAAAUAUUAUAAUUGAGUCCUCAAUGGUUAUGUUAACCUACCUAUCCAUUUAAGCAUUUAUUUGGAUCUAACUCUUCUAUUAACCUGCCUAUCAAUUUAGGCAUUAAAUGUCAAUUUGGAUUUAAUAGGAAAAAUCUUUAAAACACUUAUGUAGCCUAUCACAAAGAUAGUUUUUGGAUUAACGUGUUAAAAUAAUAGGUAACAUAAAUAAAAUUUAGGAACAAAUAUAAUACAAUUACAAUACAUGUACAAAUAUAUGUCGAACUAAUUACAAUGUAGAAUCCAACUAGUAUAGCGCACAAUGGAUGAAGAAUUGGGUAAAACUGAAUCACUUUGGAAAGAACUGGACAAAACUCAUCAUGAUACAUGACAUAGGAGCGACAAUGACAUAUUAGUUAGAUUAGUUAGCUCACCUUCAAAAUAAAAAAAAAAACAAUAUAAAAUGACAAGGGAAAAGAAAAGAAAAACAAAUCAUGCAAAACAGAUGGUAAAAUUUAAGAUGAAAUACAAACAAAUACUAAUUUCAUGCAAGCAAUACAUUAAGCCUCCUCCGGAGGCCAUUAUUUAGAUAAAUUAUAAACAAAACACCCAUCUUAAAUCAUAUUAUAACAUUAUCUUGGAGCUUUCAAAUAAAUCAAUUCAUAGCCCUCUGGGUUUAUCAUUAUUGAGGUAUUCUCUAGCAAUUCCCCCAUUAGCACCCUUAGGGAAGAACCCACCCGGCCUAUGCUCAUCACCGGUACCGUACAUGAUCCUCAUAAUCUCCUUCGGUGUUCUUGAGUAAGAGAGCGAAUCCGAUCGGCCGACAACACGUUGUUGGUAGUUCGACUCUCGGCACCAUGCUUCAAAGGUACGAUUAGGCCUUUAUCCUUGACACCACACUUGCCUACCUCGUUCCUUAGCCUCGAGAUCAUGUUUGUGAAUUCAAACACCGUUAUGUCGUAAGGGUCCACUUUUUCUUCACCUUUCUCAUAUAACAUUGUUCUUAGAACUGCAUCUUGUCCAGCUUCCACUCCCAACAACCCUGCAACCAACCAUAUGACUUCGAAAAACAUCUAUUAAGCAUCCAAUUUAAAAUUAAAUAGAUUUGGGUUGAUUAAUAUAAGAUCUCAUAGUUAAAUCGAUUUAUGAUCAUUUUAAUGAGUCUCAAACUCACAAUCAUAUGUAGGUAGAGACAAACUUGAUUAUAACAUAUGGGCAAAAUCCAAAAAUAAUAUUUUCUUUACCCCAAUGAAGUCAAAAUUAACCUCAAUUAUUUUAAUUAAUUAGAUUUUAUAAUAUAUAUUUAAAAGGUACUUUAUUGAAAAACAUCAAUAGGCUCGCAAUCAUGGGAGCAAAAAGGGGUUGUUGCCAUGAAUAGUAAUGAAAAUAGAAAGAGAAGUAUAGCACAGCAAAGUGAUGAUGGAGUAGCCAUUUUACUAGCUAUGUACCAUAAAUUUAUUCAUUAAAAUUUAUAUAUUUUGUUAAUUUAGUUUUUAUUUUUAUUUUUGAAUUAAAUUUUGUUCUUAAUUUUUUAAAAAGAAUCAAUUUUGACCACCAACCUUCCAAAAAGAGUCCAAUGGAAACACUGACCAUUAAACUUAACAAAAUGCAUGCAAUCCAUGUAUAUUUCAUUUUUUUUAAUUUUAUGAACUUUUUAUAAUUUUAUGAAUUAUGAUUUUUUUUUAAUUUUAAAUUAUUUGUUGACAUGAAAUAUAAGAUAAACAGUGUCAUGUCAACAUAAAGUACACAUGGGCUAUCAUGUAGGUUGUCACAUCAAUAUCGUUAAAAAAUUAAUGUUUUAUUCAACAUUUCUGUUAAAAAUGAUUUGAUUAUUUUUGAAAAUUUAAAAAUUUAUCAUUAUUUUUGAAAUUUUAUUUCUGUUAAAAAUGAUUUAACUAAAUUAAAAAAUGUAAACAUUAUUAGCCAAAUUUAUCAUUAUACUUGAAUUUUAAAACUUUAAUUUAUAUCAAAACAAACAUUAAAUAUAAAUAAAAGAAAUAUAUUUUAAGGCUUUUUUUUAAUAAAUAAUCUAAUAAUAUUAAAAAAUUAUAAAAAUUAACCUUAUACUAAAUUAUUUAUGAAAAUGACCUUAUUUCUACAGUGUUAAUGAGUACCACCACUUCCUAAUAUAGUAUCACAUCAAAAUGUGAUAGAAUCAUUGUCUCUUAAUUACAAAAAUUAUUAGAUGUGAACUUUUUUUUUUGUGCUGUCACUUCCCAAGAUGGCACCCAUGUAAGUUUUCUAAAUACAUUGUAUCUUCGUGGGUAUUUUUGGAGUUAAAUGGAAAAAAAAAUUAUUAAUUCUUGGCGUCACAUCCUUUAAUGAGGCACCAAAUUGGAUUAAAAAAAUAUUUGUUGGUGCCGCCUCCUUCAAUAGAGGCACCAAUACCAAUAACAUUGUUUUUUUCUCUCUAGUGCCGACUCCAUAUGUGACGGCACCAUAAAUUUUUUUAGAAUUUGUUGGUGCUACCACUUCAUAUCGAGUUAUCAAAAAAGUUAAAAGAAAAUUCUUGGUCCCUACUCUAGAGUCUAGAUGUGCGGCACAAGUAAUUUUUUUUUGAAUUUUUUGGUCUCGCGAGUCACCAAAAAUUGUAAAAAAAAAAAAUCCCUUGGUCCCUACUCCAGAUGUGCUAGCACCAAUAAUUUUUUUUUUUAAAUUUUCAGUCCCAUCACUUCAUAUAAUCACCAGAAUGAGUAAAAUAAUAUUUUGGCACCAAAAUUUUUCGGCAUGAGUAUCAGAUUAUAUGGAACAAUGCAUUUCUUUUUCUCAUCAUUGAUUGUAUCUUAUAUAUAUAACUAACGAAUUAAAUAUUGCUUAACACAAUUAAAAUUCAAUUAAAAAAAUUAUUGGUGUCGCUACAUCCAGAGCAGGAAACAAGAAAUUUUUAUUUUUUACUUUUUUGGUGACUCCAUGUGAAGUAGCAACACUAAAAAAUUCCAAAAAAAAAAGUACCACCACAUUUGGAGUAGGCACUAGGAGAGUUUUUUUUUACUGGUAUUGGUGUCUCCAUUGAAGGAGGCGGCACCAACAAAUAUUUUUUUAAUCCAAUUUGAUGCCUCUAUUGAAGAAGGUGACACCAAAAAUUAAUCAUACAUAUUUUUUCCAUUUACCUCCGAAAAUAUCUGUGAAAAUACAGUGUAUUUAGAAAACUUAUUGUACAGGCCCAUUUUGACCUAACCUAUUUCAGCCCACUACCCGAGCAAAACCCAAUUACAACCCAAACCACAAACCCAAUUAACCUACCCAAUACCCAAAACAUAAACAACAGACCUUAAACAAAUUAAACCCAAACCCACCUAAAACUAACCCAAAUACAGCCCAAACCCGAACGGCCCAAUAAACUUAGGCCCAAUUACCAAAUUCAGACUAGGGUUUCAGUCUCUAAAACCCUAGCGCCGCAUGCUUUGACCCUUGGUCUCUGCCACCGUCAAUCACCUCAGCCACUUGCCUCUGACUCGCGCCGCUCGUCCAUCACCCUGCAAACAAAGAAGGCAGCAACAACACGCAACAGAAAAAAAAAAGAAAAAUAGAACAAGUUGUAACAAUGGCUAUAAAAAGCCAUUCAAGCAUCUGUAAUGGGGCCCCUCUUUCAUUUUUUCAAGAAAUAAAAAGGGCAAAGAAAACAGAUUCAAGAAAAUUUUAUUUUAGGUAUAAGCUCUAUUUUCUUUUUAUUUAUAUUUUUCUCUUUAUUUUUCUUCCAUCCGAAACUGUUUGAUUCUUUAUUCUUAUUUUUAUUUUUAAAAACAUACAUAUAUAUAACAUAUAGAUUUUAAAAUAAAAAAUAAUACCUUUUUUUUUUUAAUUUUCCACGGUGGCCGGCGCGGCGGCGUCAAUGGCGGCCCUCCUCGCUGGAUUCUGGGCUGAGAGUGUAACACCCCGACUCGUGUCCGUCGCCGGAUUAGUGUUACGAGGCAUUACCGAUCAAAACCCGACUCAAUUUUUUUUAUAAAUAAAUUAAUCCAUUAUAUAUAUACUAAACCAUAAAUCCUAAUCAAUACACAUUUGAAUAUAUAUACAUUCGUUUACUCUAUCAAUACGCCAAACGUAAUUAAUCACCAACAUUUACAAGCAUACUUCAAUUUAUAAAUCAUCUCCUAUAUUCACUUAACUACUAAAUCCAACCAAAUCAUAUAUAUUUCAUAUAUAAUACGUAACCUAGACACUUAACUUAACAUUAUUUAUCUUAAUGAAUAUAACAAACUUACUUACUUCAACCACAUAAUUACCGAAACACUUGAAUGAAAUCACCAUGCACAUAUAUAUAUUACCAUAUAAAUACUAACCAUAAAAUACUAAUCCAUGAUUAAAGUAUGCGUAAACCAUAAUUCAGCCCAAAACCGAACACAAACAAGAAAAUUAAGCCAUUUUCGCAUGGCUUAAUAUUACAUAAUCUAAAUUCAAGUAUUUCAUCUACGCUAUACAUGCCAUAAGAUCGAAUUCAAAAUUUACAAAAUACCGAGAGGAGUCGAUAGUGUGAUAAUCUUCUCUGACGAUCCCCGAGCUCGUAACCAACUUCCAAAAAUCUAUAAAACGAAGAACAACAUACACACAGUAAGCUAUUUAAAGCUUAGUAAGUCAUAAGCAAAAAUUCAUUUAUAUAUAUAUUAAUACUUAUUCCAUCAUUAAGUUAAAAUAAACCAAAUAUCAUAAUAUUUUGUACCAUAUAACACUUUAAUAAAAAUCACAUUGUAUUUUCAUAUAAACAAACCAUAUGGCCAAAUACACAUAAAUAUUUAGCAAAGCCGAAUAUUCAAUAAAUCAUUAUGCUAAAACAUGCUUAUACUCAAAUGAUUAACUCAUACUCUAUAUUUCAUUUGAAACUAUUAUCAAAUUAAAAUAAUCAACUUACCUCAUCAGCAAUUAAGCAAAUGGCUAACACAUACCUGAAUAAUUUAACUUUCUUAACACAUUUAUUUGCUUUUACUAUUGCUCCUAUAAAAUUUAUAAAACAUAGAGCCCUAUAUAAAACACCGGCAUAAAGCCUGCUAGGCACAAAGCCCGAUUCAUUUCACCGGCACAAAGCCUGCUAGACAUAAAGUCGGAAUUAAUUCACCGGCAUCAAGCCUGCUAGACAUAAAGUCUAAAAUAAUUCACCGGCAUCAAGCCUGCUAGGCAUUAAGCCUGAAAUAAUCCACCGGCAUCAAGCCUGCUAGACAUAAAGUCUAAAAUAAUUCACCGGCAUCAAGCCUGCUAGGCAUUAAGCCUGAAAUAAUCCACCGGCAUCAAGCCUGCUAGGCAUUAAGCCUGAAAAUCUCAUAUACAAAGAUGAUCUUUCGUAUAAUUCUUUAUGUUUACCUAAGUCUUACUCAAUAACCGUAUCUCCGUAAGAAUUGAAUUAUAUUCAAUUCUCCAUAGCAAACAAACAUUCGAACCACAUAUGUAUAAUUUACAACAUUAAAAUUCAGCUCAAAGAAUUUGUAACCUAUAUUCGAACCACAUAUGUAAGUAAAAUUCAUACAUUAAAUUCAGCUCAAGAACUUUGUAACCUAUAUUUGAACCACAUAUGUAUAUAAAAUUCAUACAUUAAAUACAGCUCAAGAACUUUAAAUAUAUAUAUUCGAACCAUAUGUGCAUAUAUAUAAUUCAUAAUAUUAAGUUCAACUCAAAGAAUCAAAGAACUUGUAUCAUACAUUCAAACUUUAUAUAUAUAAUUCAUAACUUUAAAUUCAACUCAAGAAAUUAAAUCUUACAUUCGAACUACAUAUCCAUGUAAAUUCUACUAUUAGUUUCAUAUCAUUGAACUUAAAGCAUACUUUAGCUAAUAUACAUGUAAUUUAUACCAUUAAUAUCAACCUCCCAAAAUUAAUUUCUAUGUUCGGCUAUCACAUAGAAAAAUCACCAAGUUUUAUUCAAUUUAUAUACUUUUAGUUCCAGCUUACUAAAUGUAUGAUAGAUAUAUUUAUAUAAAUCCCAAUUUAAUAACAUUUAAAUUGCUAUUAGACUUACCUUGGAUGUCGUCGACUGUUAAAUCGGCUACUCGACCACUUUUGUAUUUCCCCGAUCCAAAUCCGAUUUCUUUAAUUCUUGAUCUAAGCAUAUUCAAAUUAAGUUUAUUUAAACAUCAUUCUAUUCAAUUUAACCUAAAAACACAUAAAUAGGCAAAUUACAAUUUUGCCCCUAACAUUUCACACUUUUUACAAUUUAGUCCUUUUUGCUCAAAACACAAAAUACACAAAAUUUGACUUCACUCCUUAAGGGCCGAAUAUUCCUAGUGUCCAUACAAGCCCACAUAUUUCAUUUAUUUCACAUUUUAGUCCCUCAAAAAUUUAUUUUUACAAUUAAACCCUAAUUACUCAAAUUCAUCAAAAACUCAAAGACACGACAUGUUAAUCUUUCACAUAUCUUUCAUAUUCCAUCAUCAACUAUCACAAAGCUCAAGCAUUCAUCAAUGGCAUUUCUCAAAAUCAUCAACAAUUCACAAAAUUAAGAUAUGGGUUUUGAAGUAUUCAAAGCAAUGAUCUCAAAAACGUAAAAAUUAUCAAAAACCAAACAAAAACCAACCUUGAAUUAAGCUUCAAAAUGGCCGAAUGUUUCAAGCUUUCAAACCUUGUUUUUCUUUUCUACAUUCGGUGAAGAAAGAUGAACAUAAAAUGGUGGCUUUUAAUGUUUUGUUUUAUUAUAACAUAUAUUAUUAUAUUAUUAUUUUAACUUUUAUUUUAUAUAUAUAUAAAUCACAUAUCAUCAUUAUGCCAUCCACUACCUAUUACUAUUGGCUAAAUUACAACAUAAGGCCUCAAACUUAUAAAGACAACAACAAUUAGGCACUUUCUUAAUUAACCAUCAAAUUUUCAUUUUACGCGAUUAAGCCAUUUUUUUUUAAAUUAAGCGCACAAACAUAAAAUUAAUUCACGAAACUUUCACAUAUAUAAAUUCACACAUAAUUAACACAGAAAAUAAUAUUAAAAUAUUUUUCAGACUCGAUUUUGUGGUCCCAAAACCACUGUUUCGAUUAGGGUCAAAAUUGGGCUGUUACAGAGAGAGAGAGGGAGAGAGAAACUUGAGAAGAAAUUUUGUUUGUUUUUUUUGGAGAAGGAGAGAAAAAUGAAUUUUUUAAAAAAAAUUUGAUUUAUAUAGGCUGGCAAAACGCACCGUUUUGCCCAGCCCUUUAAAAAUCCAAAAACGGCGUCGUUUGGCUCAACCCGCGGGCGACCCGACCCAUCCGGCCAGGAUCCGCGUGUUUUUCACUUGAGGGGUUAUUUACGCAAUUGGCCCCUCCACCUUUGCGGCGUUUUAAAUGCGGUCCUUAUUGCAUUUUCUAAUUUGGCCACAAAAUCUUAUUUCUGUUUCAUUUUAGUCCAUAGCAGUGCAGCGUUUUGGACGCUUGGUCUAUUUACCAUUUUGGUCCCCCUGUUUCUGCGCGUGUCGUAGUUCGGUCCUUUUCAACUUUUUAUUUGAAAUUCGCCCAGUAUUUUUGUUUCUAUUUUGAUUUAGUCCUUUUUUCUGUAAUUUUAUUAUUAUUAUUUUAUCAUUUUUAUUAUUUAUAUUAUUGUUACUUAUCAUAUUAUUAUUAUUAUAUAGUAGCUUAUAUAUACAUGUACAUACAUUUUUUUCUAACUUAUUUAAUACAUAUAUAAAUACCUUUUUUAUUAUAAACAUAUCUAUGCAUAUCUAUAUAUUUUUCUUUCACGAAUAUGGUAUAUACUUAUUCAUAUAUAUAUAUAUUAAAGUAUGUAUAUAUAUUAUAUAUUUUAUCUUAUUUUUUAUAUAUAAUCCACAUAUAUAUUUUCCUUAAAAUGUACAUACACAUGUUCAUAUUUUAUAAUUUUUAUCUAUUUUCCUUUAUUAUUUUUAUGUUCAUUUAUGUAUUUAUUUAUGUGUUCUUUUUUAUAUACUUUAGUUUAUUUAUUUAUUUAUUUAUUUGCUAUGAUUGAUUUAUUUUAUUAUUCGUUUUUGUAUUCAUUAUUUUUAUGCAUAUUAUUAUAUUUAUUAUUCCAUUAUGCAUAUUAAUACUAUACUUCAAAAAAAGGAAAUUUUUUCUAAAUGAGGCAAUAUUUAGCCUUUGGAAAUUCGAGAAAACAUGCCCUAAGGUUCUGGAUGUUGAUUUUUCUCGUUCAACCAAAUGGCUUAAUAUCCUUUUAAAAAUUUUAAAAUAAGGCAAUGUUUUGCGUUUAGAAAUUCGAGAAAACAUGCCCUAAGGUGCCGGGUGUUGAUUUUUUUCGUUCAAUCAAAUGGCUUAAUAUCCUUUUAAAAAAUUUAAAAUAAGGUAAUAUUUUGCGUUUGGAAAAUUCGAGAAAACAUGUCCUAAGGUGCCGGGUGUCGAUUUUUCUCGUUCAACCAAAUGGUUUAAUAUCCUUUUAAAAAUUUUAAAAUAAGGCAAUGUUUUGCGUUUGGAAAUUCGAGAAAACAUGCCCUAAGGUGCUGGGUGUCGAUUUUUCUCGUUCAAUCAAAUGGCUUAAUAUCCUUUUAAAAAUUUCAAAAUAAGGCAAUGUUUUGCGUUUGGAAAUUCGAGGAACAUGUCUUAAUGUGUUGAGUUUCGAUUUCUCGUUUAACCAAAUUGCCAAAUAUCCUCUUGAAUUUUAAUCCAUGCCAUUCAAGUUUUUUUAAGGAUCGUAUUUUAAAUUUCUUUAAAGUUUUUAGUUUUUCGACACUAAGACAUUAAGUAAUCAACUAGGUACCAAUUUUGGGCGUAUCGAGGGUGCUAAUCCUUCCUCGUGUGUAACCGACUCCCGAACCCGUUUUUCCCAAUUUCGUGGACCAAACCUGUUGUUUUAAUAAAAUCAAAUUGUUUAUUAAAAACAAUCAUUUUUCGAGGUGAUCCGAUCACACCUCAUCAAAAAGUAUCGGUGGCGACUCCCAUUUUCGUUUUCAUUUUCCAAAACCCAAGUCGACCCCGUUUUCAUCCAAAAAAAUGGUGUCAACACUUAUAUGGGUGCCGCAUUGGAAAGUGGAGGCACGAAAAAAAUGAUUCUUUUACAUCUAAUGAUUUUUGUAAUUAUGAGACAAUGAUUUUGUCACCUUUUGAGGUGGUGCGGCCUUAAGAAGUGGCGGGUAAAAAUAAGGUCAUUUUUAUAAAUAAUUUGAUACUAAAUCAUUUUCAUAAUUUUUAAUAUUAUUGGGUUAUUUAUCUAAAAAAAACCAUAUUUUAAAUAGGGAUAAAUUACUUUUCUAGAAUGUCUUUGUGAUACACGUUUAUGCUCUCUCUCUCUCUCUAUGUAUUGGGUAAUUAAGUAAUGUUUUUUUUAUUUUAUCUUUUAUUUUCCUUAGUAGUGAAAGCAAUUGUACGUUAAACGAAAAAAGGGAAAAAUGAAGUGAAUUAAAAAAUGGGUUGUGUUUAGAAAUAGAUUAAAGUAAAAUUUGUGUUGGAAAAAUAUGCUUCAUAUAUAUAUAUAUAUAAAUUAUUAGUUUCAUGAGAGCAAUACAUUAAGUCUUCUCCGAGGCCAUUAUUUAAAUAAAGUAUAAACAAAGCAUUCGUCUUAAAUCAUAUUAUAACAUUAUCUUAGAGUUUUUAAAUAAAUCAAUUCACAGUCCUCUGAGUUGAUCAUUAUAGAGGUAUUCUCUAGCAAUUCUCCCAUUGCCACCUUUAGGGAAGAACCCACCUGGCCUAUGCUCGUCACCGGUACUGUACACGAUUCUUAGAAUUUCUUGCGGUGUUCUCGGAUAAGAGAGCGAAUUCGGGUCAGCCGAUAGCACGUUGCUGGUGGUUCGAUUCUCGGCACCGAGCUCCUUGGGUACGAUUAGGCCUUCAUCCUUGAUACCACACUUGCCUAGCUCGUUCCUUAGCCUCGAGAUCAUGUUUGUGAAUUCAACCACCGUUAUGUCGUAGGGUUCCACUUUUUCAUCACCUUUCUUAUAUAACCAUUCUCUUGUAGCUGCAUCUUGUCCAGAUUCCACUCCCAACAGCCCUGCAACCAACUAUGUGACAUCGGAAAACAUUGAUUAAGCAUCUGAUCUAAAGUCAAAGAGAUUUGGCUUGAAUAUAAGAUAUCGUAAGUAUUUUAAAGAGUCCCAAUCAUAUGUAGAGAUAAGAGUAGCUGAUUACAUGAUAAACUUUAAAGGAGAAUAACAUAUAGGCAAAAUUCAACAAUUAUAAUUGAUAUUUUUGAAGUCCCAUUAUUUUAAUUAAUUAGAUUUUAUAAUAUAUAUUUUUAAAAGUCACUUCUUUGAAAAAAUUUAUAUAUAUAUAUAUAUUUUGAAAUUUGUAUCAACAAUAAAAGGUCAAUGUUGAAAAAUCUUAAUUAUUAAAAGUCAAAAUGUGACAAAGUUAGUGAAUAGGGCCCUGACCUCCUUAACUAAAUAAAAAUAUUGCUUUCUAGCCCCCCCAGAAAAUUGUGACAUUCAAUUUAAAUCUCUUUAGUCUAUGAUUAAAUAGAAAAAUUAUAUUUUUUGCUGCUCUAUAAAAUGUUUAGCUUUGACUCUCAAGGCCCUUAAACAAAUUCCUAACGCCACCCCUAGUGGCAAAGUUGGCACCAAAGCUAGUGGUCCAACCCUUGGUAAUCCAUCUUCUCCUCAAUUUUGUAAUAAUUCUUAAAAAAAAGAAAAAAAACAUUUUAAUAGGGUAUCAUGCCAUAAACUUACAUAAAUCAUCUAACAGAUACCAUAAAAUAUCUAAUAAAAAAAUAUAUCAAAACUAUAUAUUAAUUUCAUGAAAUUUUGUGUAAUUUUAAUCAUAUUGAUUCAAUUUUCACAAAUUACUAUCAAAAUUUUUGAAUUAGCACCAUUUUAUGUUGAUAUAUUGUAUACGCAUACAAUUAUAUAAAUUCAAUAUGAAAAUAAAUAUAUGUAUUCAUUUCUUUAAAUGUGUACAGUUGAAUCAAAAUCAGAGUUUCAUGUAUACAUAUGAAAUAAAUUACACAUUGAAACAAAAUUCAUGUAUAAAUUUGAUACUUAUCCCAAAAAAGAAUUACCAAUUUAAGGAAAAUUAAGGUACUUAGAACUGCAAUAUCACAAACAAUUCAAAGAUUUAACCAAUAUGAUUAAUAUAUCCUUUAUGUCCGCUUUAAGGAGAAUGAGAUUUUUAUUUACCUGUUUCGAAGCGAAUUUUUUGAGGCAAGGGGUUGUACCAACAUAGCCAUUGAGUCCCACAUAGGGGAUAGCAUAUACUGCUAACAUAUACUUGAUGGGAUCUUCAUAAGGAUCAAAUGGAGGAUCCAAAUUGUACCCUGCUGCUUUAUCAAAUAAUUUUGCAAAGUUUUCAGAGCUAAUAUCAAUCAAAGGCCUUGGAAUCCCACCGGUUCUUCUCACAAUUUCCCUACCAAGGUAACACAAAAUCAACACACUCAUCUAUAAAACCUUAAUCAUCAGAGCUAUAUAUUUUCGUUGAGAAAACUUACCUAUUAUGACCGAUUUCUUGAUAACCGAAUUCCUCGAUGAUCCGACGGGUAAGGUAGUCGAGAUUGGCCCGUUUGCCACCGAUCGGAGGUGGUCCGCCUUUAGCAAAUUCGGGUUCAAAGGCGUCGAGGCCUUUGCCAAGUGCACCAUACAAGAAGAACUCAGCUUCAAGGAACUCUAAGUUUUGAGCAAAAUGAAAUCGAUCAUUGUCAUCGGCAUCAUUAGGCUCGCAAUCACCGGGGCAAGAAGGGGUUGUUGUUGCCAUGAAUUGUAAUGGAAAUAGGAAGAGAAGUAUAGCACAGCAAAGUGUUGAUGGAGUAGCCAUUUUUCUAUAACCAAAUUUGUUACUUAAAAUUUUGUUUCCUUCCUGCAUGAAAAGAAAGGACCACUAGCUAUAUAUAAUGUUUUUUUGUUUAAAGGGUAACUAGACAUUUGCAUAGGUUAGUAGUUUGGAUAAUUUUUUCCUAUUUAAACUAUAUCAGAUAAAUUUUAGACGAGAUGAUAAAUUUAGUCAUUAACGUUUACAUAUUUUGUUAAUUUUGAUUCUUAUUAUUAUUUUAGCUAAAUUUUAUCCUCAACAUUUUAAAAACUCAAAUUGUUGUUCUUUUAAUGGAAACACCGACCAUUAAACUUAACAACAUGCAUGCAAUCUACGUGUAUUCCAUUUUUUUUAAAAUUAUUUAUUAACAUGACAUAUAAGACAAAUAGUGACAUAUUAAUAUAAAGUACACAUGAGUUACUACGCAAAUUUCCACACCAAUAUUUUAAAAAACUAUUGUUUUAUUCAAUAUUUCUAUUAAAAAAGUAAUUAAUUUUUAUCAAAACAACCCCUAAACAUAAAUAUAAAUAAAAAAUGAUUUCAAAUAAGGAAAAAGUAGUUUUCUAGAAUGUAUUGGUGAUAAUAUACAUAUUGGGUAAUUUAAGUAAUGUUUUUCAUUUCAAUUUAUUUAUUUUAUUAUUCUUAGUAGUGCAAGCAAUCGUACGUUAAACGAAAAAAAGAAGGAAGUGAGUGGUUAGAAAAUGGGUUGCGUUCAGAAAAAGAUUGUAAGUACAAUUUGGGUUGGGAAAAAUAUGCUUCAAAUGACCAAAUCCAAAACCUUAACUUUGAAACGCAAGUCAUUGCUUGAAAAAGGAGAUUUAAAAUUGAAAUUAGCUUAAAAUUAGACCAAAUUCCUUCAAAUCAUUAACUUUUCUUUCGUUAAGAGUUGGUACUACGUAGGCAUUGAAGUUUCAACUUUGGUCAAUUAUUUGAACAUCAUCAAUUUCUAUUUGUCUUAAUCCGUAACAACUCUAUCAACUCUCCUUUAGAAGGUAAAUGAGAUAAGGUCUUGAGUUUCUUGGAUUCUCCUCUCAUAUUUUAUGCACAUUUGAUUAUGCGUUUAGAGUUUUACUUGGAGAAUAAUUUAUCAUAAAUCAGUAAGUAUAGACUCUGCUUUAAAUUCGAUUCACUUGUCCAGUUGCAACUUCAUUCUUAUAUUUAUCCUCUUUUUUCCUUAAAGUUUAGUUAUCAAUUGAUGAAAUACACAACUUGUGGAGUUUUUAUAGACUCUAGAAGCUGGUUAAGGAUAUGACAAUUGUCUCAUUUUUUAAAUAUAUCUUAUGAGACAUAUGUCACAUCUUCAACUUGCGGACUUUAAAAUACUCUACAAGCUUGUAAAAAAUUUAGUGCAUUUAAAUUUUUUUUUCUGUUUUUGUUUUUAUUUUUUAUUAAGUCAAAUAAUUUAGUUUCAUAUUUUAUAGAAUUUGUGUAGCACCCCACCCACGGCCUGAACGUUAUGGCUGAGAAAUUACAUAAUUUCAUUUUAAACUCAGAUUUUGAAUUCAAAAACAUGAGUUUUGACAAUAUUAACUUUGGUAAAUUGCUAUCCAUUUUUUAGGAAAAAUCUCGUUAAAACUAUUUAUUUAUUUUUUACAGGAAAACACCUAAGUGAUUACUUUAUUGUGAAGCAGAAAUUUUAGAGUAUUAAAUAUUGAAAUCGCGACUUUAAUUUGUGAAAACAUAUAGCUUUGCAGUUACGAUAAAAAUAUUUUAUAGUCCGACAAAACCAACCAAAAUGAGAAUUAAAGUCCAAAAUAGUUUACAGUCCAAAAAGUUCGAAAAAUUCAGAAUAAUUUAAAAAAAACAUAAAUCGUCUUAUUUAUUUAACCAGAGAAACAAUUCGAGCUCCCGUGCGUCGCCCGAUUCUAAGUUUGUUGAUUACCUGAGAAGUCAGAAAAAUUGGGUGAGCUUACAAAGUUCAGUGUGUAACUUAGCCCACACACAAAUAGAACAUAUGUCAACUUCACCCAGAAGUAAAAAAUCGAAUAGAAUACACUGCAUGAUAUACCAUGCAAUGCAACAUAAUAAUAAGAUUAGAUACGAAUGACAUGGCAUAUCAUGCGAUGCAACACUUAUUACAUAAUAGAUACAUAUCCUACCCCCAUCCGCUACACACCAUCUCUGUCCAUCCUUACAUACCAAAUAGGGUAAUAAAUACCCAUCCAACCCCAUACACUAAUAAGUGAGCAUAUGUCACUAUAUAGAGUAGUGCAAUCAAAGUUGCUAGACAAUAAUGCGCUAAUCCGUCAUAAUUAGAUAAGUGUGGUCAAGCCACCAGAACAGAUAUGUAGUUAAAACCAAUAGAUAAGGCAGAUCAUUAAACUGCCAACACUUCUUCCAUCACAUCAUAAACCUACCCCAAUGUACAUGCAAUCACUAUCCAUAUAUCCAAAUACACACAAAUCAUACAUGCUUUACACAUCAGAACAUGCUAACAUGCUUUCAAAAGUUACAAAUAUAGAAGCAAAAUAUCAAAUUUCAUAUAUAUAAGCUAUACGUAUCACAUAACAGACUCAACAGGGUGACUAACCUCGAAUUGCACAUAAUAUAACCCUAACUAAAAUUUACAGAAAAUGGGCCCACAUGACCGUGUGGCCCAUAUUGCCUAUCUGGCUGAGCUUGUGUGGCUUACAUGAUCUGACACACGACUAUAUGGCUCACAUGUUCUGGCACACGGCUGUAUGGUGUUGACAGUAGAUUUUACGGCUUUACUUUGUAAACUAAUUUUUGGGAUUAUCGUUACACACCUGAUCAUUUUUCGAUGCCAAUGCAACAACAACGAUACCAACACCUAAAAAUGACUUUCAGAAUAAACUAUUUAGCAAAUGUCAUACUAAAUCCGACCAAUAAAUCAACCGUAACGCUAAACAUUCGGAUUGAUUAUUUUUUUAACACUAAGAUUCGGCCUUAACAAGGCAUUGAUCACUUACCCCAACGGAAGAGGAAUUUUGUAACGCUUCUAAUUUUUCGAAAGACUAGCCGCUUCUAAUUCUUUACCUAAAUCACAUAUUUCCAACCAUUCAAACUAAUAUUGCCCAAAAUAAGAAUUCAUAUCCAAACAUGUGAUAAACAACUCCUUUACAGAAUACAAGCCUUAAAUCAACACCCUUACCACCCACGGCCAGCAAUCAAGACUGAAAAGGAUGUUAGCGCAAAAUAACUCAAUAGUAGAAGAGACGAAAAGUAAAGGAACGAUAAGAGGGCAGAACAAUAUACGACAGUAACACAGUGGCAAAAAACAUCUUCAAAAAGAAAGAAAAAGAGAUUGGUUAUGGAAAAGAUAUGGAACAGAACAAAAAGAAAAGAAAACCAACAGAGAAAGAGUGACAGAAACUUAUUGAAACCCAAAAAAACAAAAUAGGAGAUGGAGAAGUGGACAGAGAGGACAGUAGAAAGUGGAGAGAUUUUAGAAAUAUUUUUUGGGGAAAUUUUCAAAAAAAAAAUUUAGAAAAACUACCUACAUCCUAACUAACUCUGAUUAGUUAUCAUUAUCAGAUUUUUCUAACAUAGGACCUCUAGGUAAGCUGAAGCUUUACCACUGAACUAGCAAGGUCAUUUUUGUCAAUAGUUGAGCAAAAAUAAUAUAUAAGCUAGAUGUUCAAGGAUAGGGGUCGAAACAAAAAUUAAUAAAGACUCAAGGGAAGGGAUGUGAACACAAUACCUUAGGCACAUAAACAUAACUCUUAACCACUAAACCAAAUCAGUUCACUUGACACUAUUCCUACAACAGUUGUUCUAAAACAAGGCGUGACCUUUUUUGGUUCAACAACCCAAUUUCUACUAACCCAGCUUUUGGAACAUGACAAUUUGUUUUAAGUAGUUGUACUUUUUUAGGGGCAGUGAGUUAGUAUUUUUAGCCUAUAAAUUUACUAUGCUUUGUUGUAUUUUUCGUUAAGUUCAAAAUCAAUUCAUCAGCCUUUCUCCAGUUUAUUUGUACUAUUAUUUUAUUCCAUUUUGCAGCAGUGUUUUUUUCUCUUUUUGUUUCAUGGUGUCAAGAGUUGUGUUGAAGUUUGAUUUACUUGCACUUUCUUUCUUCUUAUCUAUCAAGUGUUCUUUGUCUUCUUAGAGGAGAUCGAGAUUUGGGAAAAAGAGAUGGAGUUAACAAAUGUAGGAAGCAAUUCAAACACACAAUACGGUGUUAAGAAGCUUGUAGGUACAAACUACAAGUAUUGGAGAAUGUGUUGAGAAGCAUACCUUCAAGGUCAAGACCUAUGGGAUUUGGUUGCAGGAGCUAGUGAUGAAAUUUUUGCAAACACUAAAAUUCUAAACCACGUAGGAAAUGAAAGAUUAAGUGCGGCAAAGCUCUCUUUGCAUUAAGAACUUCAAUUAGCAAAGAGUUCAUCGACCGUGUUUAGGAUAUCAGCUCCCUAAGAGAAGUGUGGAAGACACUUGAGAUACUAUUUUCCAAAAAGAGUACAACAAUAUUGCAGUUGUUGGAAAAUGAGUUGGCAUCAUCAACUCAAUGGAGUAUGUCUAUUUUUGAAUAUUUCUUAAAAGUUAAAAUUAUUUGUGCGGAAAUUUUAGAAUUAGAUACGAAUCAGAAUAUUUGUGAUGCCAGGUUGCGGCGAUUUCUCAUUCAAGGAUUGAAGAAGGAAUACAUUUCUUUUGUUACUUCCAUUCAAGGGUGGGCAAUGCGACUUUUAGUUGAAGAGUUAGAAAGUUUACUUUCUAAUCAAAAGGCUUUAGCAAAGCAAAUGGCUAAGGAUUUAGACAUCGAUUCUACCCUCUUCUCCAAAGUGAAGCAUAAUAAGAAAAACAUAUCACCAGGGAAUAAAAAUAAUGAAAAAGGUGGUCAAGUGUAGGAAAAACUGUUGAUGGUGGCUCACAAAAUAACAACUCUAUUAAGUGUUACAAGUGCGACAAAAUUGAGCAUAUCAAGAGGAAUUGUAGAGUCAAGCUCUCCAAAGCAAAUGUUGUAAGUCAAAAUAAAUGACAAGAUCAAUUCAAAUGGGAGCAGUGAUUUAUCGUGGAAAUUGUUAAAAGUAAUAACACAAAAUCAACACUUGCUCAAGAUCUCUUCAGCCAUGAAAAUUGCAAAGAAGAGUGGAUCAUUGAUUCAGACUGCUUUCAUCGUGUAACUGAAAAUGAUGAGCUACUCUCAGAACUGCGUCAACACAUUGAAGAGCGGGUUAUUGUUACAAUAGACAAUUCAACUUAUCCAGUAAGAAAAUGAGUGGUGAAUUUUGGAAAAGAUGAAAUGAGCAUAGCCAAGCUAAAUGACGUUUUUCAUGUUCUAGUUUUGAAGAGAAAUUUAAUAUCGAUUUCUAAAAUUGCAUAUUCUGGAAAAUAUAUUUUGUUUGGGCCUAAAGAUUUAAAAGUGCCUGAUCACAUGAAAAAUAUAUCUAUUGAUGUUGUUACCUCUGGUGAGAGGAAAUAUUCUUUAUUUGUUAUGAUAACAGGAAAAGCCUAUGUAAAGAAGACAAACCAGAUGAAAGUGUAGCGAUUUGGCACACUUGGUUAGGUCAUUUAGGCUAUCAACUAUUACAGAAAACCUCCUCAAACAAGUUGGUGGAUGACAUGCCAUCCUUGAAAAAAGUUCAUGAAUGUGUAAUUUGUCAAGGGUGUCAAUUUGACAAAUCACAUCAUCUUUCGUUCACAAAGUCAUCAAAUCGCAAAUCUUCUCUGCUUGAUUUGGUCUAUAUAGACCUGAUGAGACUAAUAAAAACACCAAGUUUCAGUGGGUGUUGCUAUGUCAUGUUGUUAGUAAAUGCCUUCUCAAGGUAUAGUUGGGUAAAAUUCUUUAAAGAGAAAAAUGAGACUGUAACAAAGUUUGUCAAAUUCAGAGAUACUACAAAAAAAGAAUUUGGGAAGAAGAUUAAAUGUUUUCGGAGUGAUAAUGGUGGAGAAUACACGUCAGAUGAUUUUUUCCAAUACUACAUUGAUAAUGGAAUUUUACGGCAGAUGACGUGUCUGAUUACGCCUUAACAGAAUGGCAUUUCAGAAAGGAAGUUGACUUAUCUUAUCUCUAUGAAUCCCUCGUGGCUGCAUGACAAAAAUAUUCCUUAAGAGCUAUGGGUUGAAGUUAUGCAGUGUGCAUACCAUGUAAUAAAUCGCCUACCUCUAUGGCUAGGUAAAGAAAAGGCUUAUUUUAAAAUUUUACAUAAUGUCAAGCCAAAUGUAAAUUAUUUUCAGGUAUUUGGUUUAAUUUGUUAUGUUCAUAUUCCAAAAUCUAAUAAAACCAAGCUUGACUAAAAGCAAAGAAGUGUAUUUUUGUUGGCUAUGACCAUUGUAGGAAAGGAUGAAGAUGUAUGGAUCCAAAAAUAAAGAAGUAUGUCAUUUUCAUAGAUGUUUUCGAUAAAUUAUCACCCUAUUAUCAAAAGUUGUUCAUGAUGAUGAGAAAAGUAGUUUACAACUACUUCUUGAAAGAAACAUGGAAGCUCUAAAUGAUGAAGACCCUUUAACAUCUGAUACCUCAAAUGUGGAAGGUGGUGAGCAAGAACCCCAAAAGAAAUCCACAAGGGAGAAGAGGCAACCACAAUACUUGAAAGAUUAUGAGGUGCAAACCAACAAUUGCUCAAUUACUUUAUACUUCUUUAUUGGAGAAAUGGAUGAAGAAGUAUGUCAUUUUCAUAGAUGUUUUCAAUAAACUAUCAUCAUAUUAUCAAAAGUUAUUCAUAAUGAUGAGAAAAGUAGCUUACAACUACUUCCUGAAAGCAACAUAGAAGCUCUAAAUGAUGAAGAUCCUUCAACAUCUGAUACCUUAGAUGUGGAAGGUGGUGAGCAAGAACUCCAAAGGAAAUCCACAAGGGAGAAGAGGUAACCACAAUACCUGAAAGAUUAUGUGGUGCAAACCAACAAUUGUUCAAUUACUUCAUACUUCUUUAUUGGAGAAAUGGAUGAAGGAGUAUGUCAUUUUCAUAGAUGUUUUCGAUAAAGUAUCUGUUGAGAUUGUGUGUUUAAGAUUGUUACCAUUUACUUUUUUUUCUUGUUUCUAAGUUUGAAUAAUUCUCUUUUACUUUAGGAGCUUAGUUUUUUUAUUUGUUUGGUAUAUUGUUACCAGAUUUUUAGCAGAUUUUUAGAACCUCUUUUUUUAUUUUUAGUCUUGAACUUUUGUAUUUAAAUUGUUGAGGUGCAAAUCAAUUAUCAUUCUAGUCUUGAAUUAUUUUUCUAUUUUAAAACUUCAUUUCUCUUUUUUCUGCUUCAAAUCUCUCAAUCAAUCAUCAAAGUUCGAGUUCUAAUCACCAACAAAUUGGUAUCGAAGCUGUUUUCUUGAGGGAUCUGUGAGGUUAUUUGCGUGUUAAGAUAGAAGGAAGGUCCAGUUUUUCAAUUGUUGUACCACCAGUCUUCGAUGGAGACGAUUACUAGAUGUGGGCAGUUCGCAUGGAGACUUACCUAGAAGCUUUGGAUCUUUGGAAAGUUGUAGAAGAGGAUUACGAGGUCUGACCACUUCCAGCAAAUCCUAUUGUGGCACAGAUUAAAGCAUAAAAGGAAAAGAAGACAAGGAAAUCAAAGGCAAAAGCUUACUUAUUUCAGUUGUGUAUCAAAUUAUUUUCACACGAAUAAUGUCUCUAAAAUUAGCAAAAGAAAUAUGGGAUUAUCUCAAGGCUGAGUAUGCAGAAGAUGAGAGGAUUCGUGGAAUGAAAGUCCUGAAUCUAAUCAGAGAUUUCAAGUUGCAGAAGAUGAAGGAGUCUGAGUCGGUGAAAGAAUAUUCUGACAGACUUCUCAGCAUUUCCAACAAGGUGAGAUUACUUGGUUCUGAGUUGAACGACUCUAGAAUCGUAGAAAAGCUACUAGUCAUUAUUCCAGAGAAGUUUGAAGCCACUAUUACUACUCUGGAGAACACUAAGGACCUGUCAAAGAUCUCUCAUGCAGAGCUCUUGAAUGCUUUACAAGCACAAAAGCAAAAGAGAUCCAUGAGGCAAGAGGGAGUGAUAGAAGGUGCCUUACCUGUCAAACAUCAAGACAACAACAGGUAUAAAAAGAAGAAAAAUUUUAAGAACCAGUCGACGAGUGGAGAAAAUUCAUCAGGCAAUUAUUAGAAGAGCAAAAGAGGAGGUGUCAAGAAAUCUUACCCACUUUAUCACCAUUGUGAGAAGAAAGGUCAUUCACCAUUCAAAUGUUAGAAAAUACCUGACGCUAUAUGCUCCAAAUGCAAUCAAUUUGGACAUGAAGUAGUGACUUGCAAUGUUAAAGGCCAGGUGCAAGAAGUAGAUGCUCAGGUAGCUGAUCAAGAAGAAGAAGAUCAAUUGUUCGUGGUUACUUGUUUCUCAAGUAGAGAAUCAAGUGAGAGCUGGUUGAUUGAUAGUGGGUGCACAAAUCACAUGAUGUAUGACAAAGAGCUCUUCGAGGAAUCGAUAAACACUGAAGUCAAAAGAGUGAGGAUUGGAAAUGGUGAGUACUUGGAAGUCAAUGGAAAAUGCACAGUAGCUAUUACAAGCUAUAAAGGUAUAAAAUUCAUUUAAGAUGUUUUGUUUGUACCUAAAAUUGAUCAAAAUCUUUUAAGUGUUGGUCAGUUACUAGAUAAAGGCUAUAAAGUGCCAUUUGAGAAUAAGUAGUGCUUGAUCAGAGUUGCUAAUGGCAGAGACUUGUUCAAUUUCAAAAUCAAGGGAAAAAGUUUUGCUCUUAAUCCAAUGGAAAAUGAGUAAAUGGGUUUUAAAUCCAAAGUUAGUACUACUGAGACUUGGCACAAGAGACUUAGGCAUUUUUACCAUCGAGGAUUGCUUCAAAUGCAGUCGAAGAAGCUGGUGAAAGGACUUAUAAACAUGAUGAUGAUUUACCUCAUUGUCGAGCUUGCAAAUUUGGGAAACAACAUAGAUAACCCUUUCCUAAAUAAGCCUGGAGAGCCUCGAAGAAGUUACAGCUUGUUCAUACUGAUCUUUGUAGUUAUCAGAGAACGCCAUUGUUAAAUGGUAACCUCUAUUACAUAGCAUUUAUCGAUGAUCUAACAAGAAUGUGUUGGAUUUUCUUGUUGAAAUAAAAAUUAGAAGUUGCUGGUGUGUUUUGGAAAUUCAAAGCCAGAGUUGAGAAUAAAAGUGGAUGCAUGAUUCAGAUUUUAAGAUCUGAUAAUUGCAAGGAGUACACUUCAAAAACCUUUAAUAGGUUUGAAAAGAGGUUGAAAUUGAGCAUCAGUUGACAGCGCCAUACACUCCACAACAAAAUGGAGUCAGUGAAAAGAAGAACAUAUUCAUAAUGGAGAUGACUUGAUGUAUGCAUUAUGAGAAGAAUCUUCCAAAAAGCUUUUGGGGAGAAGCUGCAAACAUUGCUGUGUUCUUGCAAAAUCAGAUUUCAACAAAAGCUGUAAAUGAUCAGACGCCAUUUAAAGCUUGGUAUGGUUACAAACCUUCUUUAAAAUUCCUCAGAGUGUUUGGCUGCCUGUGUUUCACUUACAUUCCACAGGUCAAGCGUGAUAAGCUUAACAAAAAGGCAGAAGCUGGCAUUUUUGUUGGGUAUAGCACUGUAUCUAAAGCUUAUAGAGUCUUUCAAUGACACACUGGACAUGUUAUUAUGAGUAGAGAUGUUUAUUUUGUUGAAAAUGAACAAUGGAAUUGGGAAGACUCGACCAAGAUGAACCAAACUUCAAGUGUACCAAAUUAUUUUACCAUUGGCAGCACGUUAAAGGAGCUUAAAGAUGAAGGGUAAGAUGUUUUAGCUGAUGAUACACCUGUCAGAGGUACAAGACUACUCUUCAACAUUUAUCAUAGAUGUAACGUGGCUAUUUGUAAGCUUGCAGGGUAUCAUGAUACAAAAAACAGUCAACAUUGGAUGGCUGCAAUGAAGGAGGAGCUUUCGAUGAUCGAGAAAAAUAAAACUUGAGAGCUGGUUGAUUGACCUCUAGACAAAAAGAUAAUUGGAGUAAGAUGGGUGUUUAGAACGAAACUAAAUCUUGGUGGUUCAGUUAACAAAUUCAAAGCAAAACUUGUUAUGAAGGAAUAUGCAUAAGUCUUUGGAGUCGAUUAUUUAGAAACAUUUGCACCUGUUGCCAGACUUGACACUGUAAGGUUGCUGCUUGCUCUUGCUGCACAAAAGAACUGAAAAGUUUUUCAGGUAGAUCUGCAUUCCUAAAUGGAUUCUUACAAGAAUAAAUCUUUGUAGAGCAACCUGAAGGUUUUGUAAGCAGAGGCAAUAAAGACAAAGUUUACUUGCUGAAGAAGGCUCUGUAUGGCUUAAAACAGGCUCCACGAGCAUGGUAUAAUAGAAUUGAUGAUUAUUUGGUGGGCCUUGGCUUUCAGAAAAGUCAAUAUGAGCUUACACUAUAUGUCAAGCAUGAAGGUACAAACACUUUAGUCAUUUCUCUUUAUGUAAAUGACUUAUUGAUUACAGUGAGCAAUCUCGAUCAAGUUAAUCAGUUCAAAUUAGAAAUGAAAAAGGUCUUCGAAAUGACAGACCUUGGUCUGAUGUCUUAUUUCCUUGGCAUUAAGAUCAAACAAAGCCAAGAUAAAGUGUUCAUCUGUCAAAGAAAGUAUGUAAAGAAGAUACUUAAAAAAUUUCAUAUAGAAGAUUGCAAAGCAAUUAGUACUCCUAUGGAUCAAAAAGAGAAGCUAAUCAAAGAUGAUGGUUCUGCCAAAGUCAUUGAAGCUGAGUUUAGGAGUUUGGUAGGUUGUCUAAUGUACUUAACAACAACCAGACCCGACAUCUUGAAUGCUGCAAGUAUUUUCUCCAGAUUCAUGUAUUGUCCCAAUGAGACUCACAUGAGAGCUGCGAAAAGAGUUAGCAGAUACAUCAAGGGGACCUGGAGUUAUGAAGUGAAGUUUUUAAAGCAUAGGGAAUUGAAGUUAAUUGGUUUCUCUGACAGUGAUUGGGGUGGGUCAACUGAUGAUAUGAAGAGUACAUCUGGUUAUUGUUUUUGUCUUGGAUCAGGCAUGUUCUCUUAGAGCUCGAAGAAGUAAGAAACUGUAGCUCAAUCUACUGCUGAGGUAGAAUUUGUGGCUGCAACAGCAACAGUUAACCAAGCUAUCUGGUUAAGGAAGAUUUUUAUUCAUCUAAACAUGGAGCAGAAGUAAAGCACAGAGAUUCUAGUUGAUAACCAAGCUGCCAUUACAAUCUCUAACAAUCCAGUCUUUCAUGGAAAGACUAAGCAUUUCAACAUCAAGUUAUUUUUUGUUCGAAAAGUUCAAAAGAGCAGUGAUGUGUCUCUUUGUUACUGUAAAUCUGCAGAUCAAAUUGCAGAUAUCUUCACCAAACCAUUGCCACUUAGCAAGUUUGAAAGCUUCAGGAAGAAACUUGGAGUUUGCAGCAUUUAAAUAAGGAGGAGUGUUGAGAUCACGUGUUUAAGAUUACUGCCAUUUACUUUUUUUUGUUGCUAAGUUUGAAUAAUUCUCCUUUACUUUAGGAGCUUAGUUUUGCGAUUUGUUUGGUAUAUUGAUACCAGAUUCUUUGCAGAUUUUUAGAACCUCUUUUUCUAUUUUUAGUCUUGAACUUUUGUAUUUAAAUCGUUGAGGUGCAAAUCAAUUAUCAUUCUAGUCUUCAAUUAUUUUUCUAUAUUAAAACUUCAUUUCUCUUUUUCUGCUUCAAAUCUCUUGAUCAAUCAUCAAAGUUCGAGUUCUAAUCACCAAUAGUAUCAUCCUAUUAUCAAAAGUUGUUUAUGAUGAUGAGAAAAGUAGCUUACAACUACUUCCUGAAAGCAACAUGGAAGCUCUAAAUGAUGAAGAUCCUUUAACAUUUGAUACCUUAGAUGUAGAAGGUGGUGAGCAAGAACCCCAAAAGAAAUCCACGAUGGAUAAGAGGCAACCACAAUACCUGAAAGAUUAUGAGGUGCAAACCAACAAUUGUUCAAUUACUUCAUACUUCUUUAUUAGAGAAAUGGAUGAAGAAGAACUAAUAAGUUAUGAGGAAGCUAAAGAUAAACCAAAAUGGCAAGCAAUUAUGCUAGAAGAAAUUAAAUUUUUAAACAAAAAUCAAUCUUGGGAGUUAGUGCCAAAUCCAAAUAAUUACAAGUCUAUUACUUGUAAGUGGGUGUAUCGUUUAAAGAGGAAAUCAGAUGGAACUAUUGAUAAAUGCAAAGCUUAACUUGUUGCAUAAAUAUUUUCUCAAAGCUACAAGUUAGAUUAUGAGGAAACAUUCAAUUUGAUUGCAAAAAUGACAAUACUAAGAACACUUUUUCUCUUACAACCUUUAAGAGGUAGGAACUAUGACAGCUUGAUGUAAAGAACGUGUUUCUUUAUGACGACCUAAACCGUGAAGUAUUUAUGGAAUAAUCUAGAGGCUAUGUUUCUAUACAGCAUCCUCACAAUGUCUACAAGCUCAAAAAGGCGUUGUACGACCUUAAGCAAUCAUUACGUGCUUUGUAUGGUAAAAUGGCUCAAUACUUUAUAUUUUUUGGUUUUAAAGUUUCAAAUGCAAAUUCUAGUUUGUUUGUUAAACUAGAAUCAUAUUUACACUUGUUGGUCUUGUUGUACAUGGAUGAUAUGAUAAUUAUUGGAGAUAACGAAGCUGAAAUUUCUAAGCUGAAAAGUGAUUUAUUUGUUCGAUUUGAAAUAAAAAUCUUGGGAGAAGUUGACCGUUUUCUAGUCUAGAAAUUAAAAAAAAUAGAUGAUGGAUAUUUCAUCUCUCCAAAAGCUUAUGCAAAGAAACUCUUGCAGCGUUUUAGCAUGGGUUAGUCAAAAAAAAAAAAGCAACUCCAAUGGAGCUACAUCUCAAGCUGAUGAAAGAUGAAGGAAAGUUGUUGCAAGAUGUUACAAAAUUUCGGAAACUUGUUGGUAGUUUAAUUUAUUUAACUAUCACAAGACCAUAAAUUGUCUAUUCUAUUGGUGUAGUCUCACAAUUUAUGCAAUGUCCAAGGAAUACUUACUUAGAUGCAGGAAAGAGAAUUCUGUACUAUGUAAAAAGCUCUAUUGAUUAUGGUUUGAUGAAUGGAAGAAGUGAGAAUUUUGUGGUAAAAGGCUUUACUAAUGCAGAUUCGACAGGAGAUGCAAAUGAUAGACAUUCAACUUCAAGUAAUUGUUUCAAUACUGGUUCAGCUACGAUAUCUUGGUGUAGCAAGAAGUAGAAUAUGGUUUCUCUAUCUAGCACUAAAGUUGAAUAUGUGGCAACAACCAUGGCUGUUCAAGAAUACAUGUGGUUAAGGAUUUUGAUGGGCAAUAUGUUGUGCAAAGUUGAGUAUGGUGUGCAAAUCCAGUGUGAUAAUGAAAGUGUUGUUAAACUUGCUUCUAAUCCUAUCUUUCAUGCUCAAACAAAGCAUAUAGAAGUUCGUCAUCACUACAUUUGAGAAAAAGUGUUGAAUCAAGAAAUUGCUGCAAGGGAUCUUUACAAAUAACCAAGUGGCAGACAUUUUCACAAAAGCACUGGGAAAGCCUAAGUUUGAAGAGUUUAGAGUUGCACUUGGAGUUGUUGAUUGUAAGCAUGCACUAAGGGGGAGUUGUUGAUUUUUUUACAAAGUCAAAUAAUUUAGUUUCAUAUUUUAUGGAAUUUGUUUUGAGUAGUUUCAUUUUUUAGGUACAAUAUUUGAGUAGUUGGACUUUUUUAGGUGCAGUUAGUUAGUAUUUUUAACUUAUAAAUUUACUAUGUUUUGCUACAUUUUUUUAUUAAGUUCAGGAACAAUUCAUCAAUCUUUCUCUAGUUUAUUCACGUUCCUAUUUUAUUCCAUUUUGUAUCAGUGUUUUUUUUUUUCUCUUUUUAUUUCAAAGCUAUGAGAUAAUUUUCCUAAGUUUAAUAUGACUUGUUAAAAUACAAUCAAUGUUAAUAUCUAAUUGUCGAUUGUGCCUUCCUCAAUGGUUGGCUUCAUAAGAUAUGUUUUCAGUAAUAAAUUGUUAAAAAUUUUCAAAUAACAUAAUUAAAAUUUUAAACAAUUUCGAUCAAAAUAUAUUAACUAAAUAAAGCAAGUUAUAAUGACCUGCAAAAUGUUACUCAAUUUGUAACUAACGUUGCAUCUAGCAAUUGUAUUCCGCAAAAGCAAUAUAUAUAUAUAUGAACUAUGAUUUUUUUAAAACCAAACUAUCAACAAAUUGAAUAAUGUUAUUUGUUACCUCCAUAACCAAAAUCAAAUCAAUAAAAGCAAAAUUGAAUAUACAUUAUGAUUAGAGAUGAUCAUGAGCUAAGUCAGGCUGAGUUUGGGUCGAGCUUAAGUAUGAUAUUAAUAUACUUUAUGUUUGCCCAAGCCCGACUUGGCUCGAAAUAGGAUCUAAAAUUUUGCCCAAACCCACCCAUUUUUGCAAAAGACUAACCCAAGCCCAUUUUAGGCCCAUCUAUAUUAUUUUUUAAUUAUUAAAAAAAUAUUUAUAUUGUUUUAUUUUAAUAUUUAAUUAUUUUAUAUACUUCUUAUUUAUUGAAAUUUUUUAUAUAGUCAUCUUAACAUUAUUUUAAUGUUUACAUUAGAGUAUUAUUAUAAAUUUAGUAUAAGUUUAUUUUUUUUAAUGUGUUCUAAAUCACAUAAUAUAAAUCAUUUUAAACUUAAAAAUGGGUUGGGUCAGGUCAGGCUCGGGUUUUAAGCCUUGAAUGUUCAAGUUUGAGCCCAACCCAUAUUUUAAAUGGACUUAAUUUGUUUUUACUCAGUCCCAUUUUUCAGGCCUAAUGUUUUUGCCCAAACCCUCUUAAAUUUUGAGCAAACCUUCGGGUCUGAACAAGUCUAAUUAUGACUCAAAUAUAUUUUCCUAGCUUUAUUUCUUAAUCAUAAUAACUUAUCUAUAAAUUCAUAUAAAAAUACAGAUAUGGAAUAUUUUUUGAAUUUAUUUAUACGAAAAAUCUUUUCUUGGUUUGGAAGUUAAUGGGUGAACUAAAAAAAUGGAAAAUAAAAUAUUGGUUUGAUUUUUUGAUUUUGCAUUCCAUCCAAACUUUAAAAUUUAUAAUUUUUAAACUUAAUAUUAGUGUUUAUUGUUUAACCUUUCAAUCUCAGUCUUUCUUGUAGUUAAUUGAUAUUUUAUGAUUUUAAUUAUUGUAAAAUAAAUAAAAUCUUCAAUAUUUAUAAAUUAAUUCAAUUAAUAUGUAAUGCAAACCAUCCCUAGAACCUACUUCUAUUUCUGGAAUUCAACAAAACCAACUAACAGUCAAGAUCCAACUUCUUAUCAACCAAUAGUCAUCAUUCACUUUCUUUUAUACAUGUAUAUAUAAAUAUAUUUUAACAUUAAUAGUUUAAAAUAACUUUAUAUAUUUUAAUAUCUAACCAUUAAUUUCAUCAUGUUUAUAAAUUUUCGAUUUAAUUUAAUAUAUUUAUCAUAUUGAUCCAGAAUAUUUUUUUAUUAUAAUAUAUUUAUCUAAUAUCACUUUAAAUGUGAGGUUGUCAUAUAUCUUUAUAUUGUUGGUCGUCGGUUUUCCAAAUUAAAGUACCUGUUAGGUAAAAGAAAUUCAGAUAUCAAGUAAAUACAAAUUAUCAAAUUUAAGUAUCUCUGUAUAUAUUAACCUUUUUUGUUUUAAAUAUAAAAAAAUUCCAAAAUCCAAAAUUACAUCUCACUUAUAAUGUUCUAGUGUUCCAAGCUCUAUUCUUUGUAUUGUUUUGGUAGUUUAUCAUUGUAUAGUUACAAACUAUCUAUAGUAAUGCUUAAAAAAUAAGAAAAGUAAUGUAUUUCUUGUAUUGCCUAAUUACUUAUUAGCAUACUAAGUAACUUUGAAAGGUGUCAUUAUAUAGCCUAAGAAAGAGGCAGAUAAUAUUCUAAUAACGGGAAAAAAGUAGCUACCUAUUAGCCAAAUCUGAAUUAUCAUUAGAGGCGCUCAUAGGACAGGUCAGGCCUAAUCAAAAUUUUAAUUCCAUUUGUUAGGCCCGGGUCCAGCUUGAAAAAUGGGCCUAAGAUUUUUUUUCCAAAUUUGGCCCAAGUAAAAAUGUUAAAAUUUGGGCUCAAUCUGUAUUAAGUUUUUAUAUAAUUUUUUAUAUAAAAUUUUAAAAAUAUAUAAUACAUCAAAAAUACUAAAAACAUUAAAAUAUAUAUUUCUCAACAAAUUGAAACUAAAUUUUAAAGAUAAGUACAACUUAACAAGUAAAUGCCUCUAAAAUAGUAACAAAAUUAACAAUAAAAUAAGAGUUAUAAAAUAACAACAAAAUAGUAGCAACAUUAUAGCAAAAUGGUAGCAAAAUAGUAAAAAAAAAGCAAAAAAAAUCAAUUUUUUUUUGCAUAUUCGGAUCGAGUCAAGCUCGGGCCAAAAAAGCUUUGCCCAAGGCCCGACCCAUUUUCUAAACGGGUUAUUUUUUUGCCCAAGCCUAUUUUUCGGGCUUAUAUUUUUACCCAAACCCUCUUACUUUUCAAGCGGGCGGUCCGACCCAUCCCAUGAGCAGUUCUAAUUAUAAUUGGUGUAUGAUAGUUUUUUUUCCUAAUUAUAAUAGUUUCAAUAAAAUCAAUUAAGUAUUGAAUUAGAUAAUUAAUUAAUUCUGAUCAACUAAUUUAUUAAUUAAAAUAAAUCUUAAAAAAAAUUAUAUAUGUUUUUUAGAGUAGAAUUCAAAUAUAAAAUUUUGGGAAUUCUCAAAACUUCAAUCUUAUCCUUGAGCUAAAGGAAUGCAUGGUUAAUGGUUUCACACCUAAACCCUCUAAAUAGUUUGCCCCUUUAUUAUAAAUAUAUAUAAUAUAUGGGCUUGAUGAAGUUCAACAAAUAAUGAAUUACACAAUAUUUAAAAUGGGGUUUGGGCUUAAUUCCUUCUAUUCUUUGAUAACAAUAUUUAAAAAAGUAUUUAUAUUUAUAUAUUCUUAUAAUUAAAUUUUUGUUAUAAAUAAAUAUUUUGGGUACAAUAUGGGUCUCUACAAGGAGCUCCAUAUAUAUAUUUCAUAGUAUCAAGACAAAAUUAGAUUUUUAGGGUUUUACUUCUCGGUCAUCAAAGACAUCUCUUGACUUAUUUUUUCACCCUGAGAACCCUACAUAUUUUCUCCUCCACAUCUCCAUUUACGAUUCCAACUUAUAAAGAUGAGCCGUUCAAAUAAAUAUGAUUUUAUUAUCAAAAUAACAUUUUAAACUAAUUCAUAUCGAAAAUAAUUUUAUUCAAACCUUGUUCUAAAAAGAUUAAACAAAUAGUCCGACCCGCGAAUAAAUCUUAAGAUGUAAGAAUUAGGGCUUAGAGUGAGCACUUAAUUAUAAUGGGUAAUGGUUAAUGGCUUAACACCCAAGCCUUGGAUAGCUUGGGCCAUUGUUACAAUUUUAGGCUCUUAUGGACUUCAAUAAGAGACAUUUGAAGAGCCCCUUCCUCUUCAUGUUGGUUAUAAUCAGUUUCAUUUUUUUUUUUUAUUCUUUUUUCUUUUGGGUGUCAAUAUUUAGCCUUAAUUUUUUAAGUUGUAAUUACAAUCAUAAUUAUAAUCAGUCUAAAUUAAAAUAAAUAUAAAUAGGAUUCACGUAACAAGACUUAAAUUAAAAUAAAGAUAUAUAUUGAGAAUUCACACACGGUGAUAUUUGAAUUUGAGUGCUAAAAUUUCAACUUUAAUUAAGAAUUUAUGUGAAUAAAAAUGUUCUAGAAAGGAAAAGAAAAAGUUAGAUAUGAUUGUUCGUAGGUUUUAAGUAUAUAUAGAUCUUAAAAUUAUGCAUCAAUUUUAAUUUAACGUAAAAUAUGAUACUUUGAUUUGGUGCAAUUGUAUACCUAAUAUUUUUUAGUAAAUUUUUUACAAUCAAUAAAGUGAGAAAUAAUUAUAUCUAAUCCAAAGGUAAAUAAUUGUAUUAAUUUAAAUUUUAAAUGACUAAUAUUUAAUUAAAAUAAUUUUUUUAAAAGAAUUGAAUCUGAUCUCGAUUGGUACCAUUUUACUCGAAGGAAGGCACGUUAAAUUAAAUUUUUAUCACAUAUUAUUGAAUGAAAAUCAAAUUUUAAAUAUAUAAUUAAAUUAAAUCAAAAUUAUGUGUCUAAUUAAACAUUAGAUUGUUGACCUGAAUUACUAUCUUAAUAAUAAAAAUAAUUUUAAUUAUAAAAUAUAUAUUAUUAUUAAUAUUUUGUUAUUGAUGAAAUAAUCAAAUAAAAUAAAUCAAUUUUUUAAAAAAUUCAGAAAAAUUCUUAGCUACCGAGGGAUUCAAUCUAUUAGCAUUUAACAUUUGUACCAAAAACAAUCUCCUAAAAUUAUUAAAGGGUUAAUAUAACUUUCAGUCCUUAAACUUAUCAAUUAGAUUCAUUUUGAUUUUUGUAUUUUCUUUUGGUGCACUUUAAACCUGAAUUUGACAACUAGACCCCAUAUUGGUCAAAAAUAUAAAAGGCUGACGACAUCAAAAUUUGAUGAAAUCGGAACUAAAAUAGACCUAAUUGAAAAGUUUAAGGACUAAAAUGAAAAAUAACCCAUUACUAAAAUACGAGGGUCGAAAGCCAACGUAAAAUGGAACAUAGAUUAACAAUGUUCAUUUUCGGUCAAUCGAAACCCGCCUUUGGUCUCUCAACUCUCUUAAAUCAAACCCAACAAAACACAAGCUUUAAUCUCCUUUUUUCCCCCUUUUUUAACAGCAAAAUUAAAGAGAAAAUUUCCUUCCUUUUUUUUCCUUCAACAAUUCAGCUUUCUCGUAUUCAUGAAAACCAAGUUCUCUCUUGUACAAGGUAACUAAAAUCUUCUCUUAAUCUUCACCCAUUUCCAUGUCUUUUUCUAGUGGUUUUUAGCUUUGCUUUUUAUUUACGGUAACUGGAAAACAGUGAAGUGAGAAAAAAAAGUAAUGUUUUUUUUUGGUAAAUUAGGAAAAAAAAAAGGUUGACAAUCGAGGUUUAUAGAUGUUAACAAUAAAAACCCAUUUUUCCAGGUUGAUUUUGGGACGUGGGUUUUAACGUUCAAGUUCAUCCAUAAAGGUUUCAAGUUCAUCCAUAAAAGGUUAGCCAUAUGUUUUCUCUUUAACCAAAAUAAAAAUAAAAAACGCUAUAUUGCUUGCUUAUUUACUUUAAUGUGCUAUUUGCCUUUCUUUUUUUCUUUUUUUUUUUGGGGGGGGGGGGUUGAUUAUAUGUUUGGUCAAAUUGAGUUACAUGUUAAUUUUCACUGUACAAUGGUGGUUGAUUCCAUUUUACUGUAGAAAUUGUUUGACAUGUUUAUGUAUUGACAAACUAUGUUUCAUUGUCGUAGUUUAGAUUCUGGUUUUAUGUGUUUUUUUCACUGUUCAAUUGGCACGUAACAUGUGCCUUAUCAUCAUGUCGUUAACCACAAGGUUUUUUUUAGGUUCUUGUUGUUGGUAUUUAUCUGUCUUAAUUAUAGUAAAUGAAAAAAAUAUGCUGGAAUUUGAUUUUCUUAUGAUAGAUUUAACCAUUGUAUAGCUUUUGAUAUAUUUACAUUGGUGAUGACCUUAGUUUGCACAUGUGCGCGCGCUUGUGCGUGUUUGUUUCCUUUUGAUGAGUGCUUAUCUUUGUCGAUUGAAUUCAUGAAGUUUUUCGACCAGUUUCGUGUUAGGCUGGACAACAAAAUCAUCUUAGACCCUUUCGGGAAAUGCAUAUCGAGUCAAACAUAUUACCUUCUGUGUUUAGGCACUCUUUUUGCGAGACUGGCUAAAAAACCUGCCUGGUUGAAACUUUUUUUUUAUUACUUCUACGUUUAGUUGAAAAAUGGGACUAUAUCGAACUCCAUUUCUCAAUUUUUUAGUAUCCAGUAACCAACACGGGACCCUAAGGAUGCCAUGCUCAACAAUCACAAGCACAUUAGGCUAUAUAAUGGUUCUAGUGCCUGGUAUGCAGUUGAAUUCUUGGGGGUCACAGAUAGAUCUCGAGUUUAAGAAAAAUGGUAGAAUUUUCCGCACAUUGAAUGCUGGUAAUUACGAAGUUUCAUGUGCAAAAGGAUUCCUCCGUUUUCUUCUGUUCAUUCUUUAUCUUGAAUUGCAGUGGAUACUUUUGAGAAAUUGUGCUUAAGCCUUUAAGUUCGAGGAAAUUGUAUUUAGCAGUUGCAUGUAGGACUAGCAGUAGAAACUGAUGCUUUCUAUAAUUCUAUUUCGAAAUAUUGAACUGUUCUCAUACACAAUGAUAGUAUUUCUUUUUAUUCCAUUUAUAUAAGGGUGGUGUACCUAUGUUUUAUAUUUAGGACCAUCUUGAAGCAUAUUACGGCUAAGAAGCCGGUUUUAUGCAGUCUUAACUCCAUUUUAGUUUUUUUUCUUUCCAGUUUCAUUGUUUUUGCUUGCUUAUUGUGCAGAUGGAUACUACUGUUUCGGAUAACGACAUAGUGGGCAUUAAAGAUGAAUCUGCUGAACAAUUACAUGCUUCAUGUUCCUUUUUGGAUGAAAUAUUCGGAGAUCCACAGGUGAUUCCUCGUGUUGGAGAUCAAUACCAAGCAGAAAUUCCACCUCUAGUUGGAGAAUGUCACAGUUUACAGGUUGUAAAGGAACCAAUUGACACAAAAGUCGUUACGAGUGUGCCAAACCCUUUCCCAAUGGGGUUGCCUAUCCCUCUUAUCUGGACAAAGACUAAAGUUGAAAGCAUAAAUGGUGCGGUUGACUUUGAAAACAGUGGAGAGAGCCACAUUACAUUAAGCCAUUGGUGUGCAGAAUAUAAAGUCGAAAGUUUAGGUUCCGUGUCGGGUAAUGGGAACGACACGAGAGAGUAUUUAAAGCAUAAACCUACAACCAAAACUAAGAUGGUUGUUGAUUUACUCUCUCCAAUGGAGCCAAAAUCUAAGCCAAAUCAGGUGGAUGGUGAUCUCUAUCCGCUUCCAGGCUCUUCUAGUGAAGUGUGGAAGGAUAUCGAACUCAACAGUUUUCUUCUCGGGUUAUACAUCUUCGGGAAAAAUCUUAUCCUUGUGAAAAACUUUGUUGAGAGUAAAGGGAUGGGAGAGAUAUUGUCUUUCUAUUAUGGAAAAUUCUACAAGUCGGAUGGAUAUUGUAGAUGGUCAGACUGCCGAAAAUUAAGAGGCAGGCGGUGUGUUCAUGGACAAAAGCUGUUCACUGGAUGGAGGCAACAGGAAUUAUUGUCACGAUUGUCUUCUCACGUUUCAGAAGAAUGUCGAGAUAUGUUGCUUGAGGUGCAUUUCUGACUUUUUUUACACAAUCAUUUGAUCUUUCUAAAUAAUUAGACAUUUAUUUAUGUUGUUAUUCUUGUCUAACUUUCAAGAACCUCUAUCGGUUUUCGUUUGAGCUCCCGGUUUUUGUUAUCGAGUCUACUUAUAGUUGAAACUCUCAGUUCAUUGCGGAACUAUUGCACCUAAUUUUGCAGUUAUAUUUGGUCUAUAUUUGUGAGAGAAAUGUUUGCGCAUGAUGUUUUAUGAACUAUGAUUAUUGUAGGUUUCUAAGACAUUUGGCGAGGGAAAAGUAUCCUUCAAAGAAUACGUAUUCACUAUAAAGAACACAGUUGGUAUUACUAUGCUCGUAGAAGCUGUAGGUAUUGGUAAAGGAAAGCAAGAUCUCACUGGCAAUGCAAUGGAACCCAUAAAACCCAAUCACGUAGUUUCUUUUCGUCCUGAAAUACCAGUUGGCAAAGCAUGUUCUACUCUUACAUCUGUGGACAUUAUCAACUUUCUAACCGGAGAUUUUAGGUUGAGCAAAGCUAGAUGUAGCGAUCUUUUCUGGGAAGCUGUUUGGCCUCGCCUUUUAGCUCGAGGUUGGCAUUCUGAACAGCCUAAGGAUCAGGUUUUUUCUGGUUCAAAGAAUUCUCUGGUGUUUCUUAUGCCUGGUGUUAAGAAGUUUUCAAGGAGACUAGUGAAAGGCAACCACUAUUUUGAUUCCAUCAGUGAUGUUCUUAAUAAAGUUGCAUCAGAACCAGGGCUUCUUGAGCUUGAAAUUGAGCUGCCUAAAGACGGCAGAGAGGAAAGCGAAAAUAAGUGGGAGCCUGCAAUAAAACAAGAUCCUGGUUUUAUAUCGAACAAACAUGGUCGUUACCUCAAACCACGAAAUCCUGGUUGCAAUCGAGAUCUAAUGAAGUUUACGAUUGUAGAUACUAGUUUGGUCCGAGGGACUGAACGGUCCAAGGUUAGAGAGCUGAGAAGCUUACUUCCCGAAGUUGCUGCUAACUUAUCCACCCCCUCUAGUCUAUACAGUGAUUCUGAGGAGGAUACAUCUGAUGACUCGGAAGAUGUAUCCGAAGAAAAUAGCGUUUCUCAUGCUGCAGAGGCCACGGCUGAUGAGGGAGAAUGUGCGGAAAUAUCAGAUUGUGUAAAUAGUAAUUCGAAUAUUGCAAUUCCCCUUACCUCUGAUAUGAGCAUUGUAUCAGUGAAAAACCAUGAAAGCCACCAUGCAAGUCUGCUUGAUGACGACUGGAAAAUGGUUACGAAAGAGCAAGGUUUAACCGAUUACGCCAAUGGAGAAUCGAGUUGUAGUGUUGAAAAUGUUUCUGCUAACAGGAUGUUAAAUGAAGACAAUUUGCACUAUCGGUCUAACUCACUCGAUGAUUCCGAAAAUAUGGUUUUUCAAACGGGAUCAGUAAACUUGUCUCCUGCCGGUUCUUUGUCCAAAGGCAGUCCUGAUGAUCGAAAGGAAGGCAUUGUCGCUGAAAACUGCUUGCAUAGAGAAGAAUCUCCAACGAAAUCUCAGUUGCAUACAUUGAUAGACUUGAACGUUGGUCAAGUUUCAAUGGAUUUCGAAACGGAGAGCCCCUUCGUCACAGAGACCACUCAAAAUAGUGAGAAUUUGUGUGCACAUACAUCGUUCAAUCAGUCCGAAGUUACCAUGCAACCUGAUAAAGUUGCAGAGGUGAAUCAGCAGCCAGAAGUGCACAAUCGAAGGCAAAGCACCAGGAACCGACCAUUAACCACUAAAGCAUUAGAGGCUCUUGAAUGUGGGUUCUUCAGUCCCAAGAGGAAGCGAACGGCAGCGGAGACUCCAGAGAUUAACUCACAAAGAAUUCGCUGUAGGCCGGUUGGGAAUACCACUUUUAGGAAGCGAAAGGCGGUGGAGACUCCACAGAAUAGCUCGGAAAGUGUUCGCAGUAGGCCUGUUGUGAGUGCCAUUUUCAGAAAUGGUGCAGUGGGAAAAGAAUAGCCGGUUGGUCUUUCAAUUUGGUAACAACUCUUCUUUUCUGUUCAUGCUUUAUUGAUUAAUCCUUAGAAAAUUAGGAUUGUAGCUUUUGUUAUGAUAGAUUUUUUUUUUUAAAAUUUAUUGAAUGAUUUUGGGAUUAUUGAUUUUGUAUGAGAUUUCUAACAUCACAAGUAAUAAUUUUAAGAGGUUUAUUAAUACAAAUCCUUUAAAAAAUUAGGAUUGAUUAUAAAUUUAGCAUUUUUAUUUAAAAAUGGUUGUUGUUGCUGUGUGAUUAUUGUAAAUCUUGUGUUUGAAAAAUAGUUGUUGGCUUUAUUCAAGCGGAUUAGAUGUAUUUGUUCUAAAUGUUUAACAUCGGUUCAUAUGACUUUUUUUAAAUUUUUUUUAAAAAUUAACUCACAAUCCAAAAAUUCUUAUCUCCGCCCCGCGCCGGUCCAAUCUCGAAUCCGAGCACAAUACAUGGAGAGAAAUCAGCUGCCUUUUACAUAAACAGCAAUAGAGGAAGUAACAUGAAGACUGUUGAUAUUAUGAAGUUAUAUUUUUAUAAUUAAAUUUAAAUAUAAUAAUUAUUAUUAUUUUUUAAAAGGUAAACUAUCAAAAUAAUUUUUUUUGUUUAUCUCAAGUUAUAUUUUAAUUAUUUACACUUUUGCGUUGUAACAUUUUAGUCACUAAUUUGUUAAUUAUCGUUAAAUUAUCAUUUCAAACAAAAAUAUUUAUGUUAAUUUAUACAAUCAAUUCUUUUUUUCUUUUUUCUUUCGUUUUGAGCAAUUUAAUUUUUUUUUUAUAUUAUUUUAACUGUUUUUUCUUUAUUUUUAAUUUUCUUUUAUUUCUCCCUUUAUUUUCUUCCUUUCCCUAUUUUUUUAAUGUAGUUUUUCUAUGUUUUUCAUUUGUUAAAGCUAGUCUCUAUACUUUUAUUUUUUUAAAAUAAUUAAAUUUUUUUGAGUGAGACGAGCUUGUGUAUUAAUUUUAACAAAUGAAAAAUAUUAAAAAAAACCACGUUAAAAGAAAAGAAGACCAAUUAUAGAAUUUAGCCUAAAUUUUUUGUUUGAAAUGAUGAUUUAGCGUGCCAAGUCAGCUUAUUGUUACACCGUUAAUGACAAUUAACAGCUCAGUGACUAAAAUAUUACAAUGUGAUAACGUAAAUGAUUAAAAUGUAACGUGAAACAAACAAAAAUGACUACUUUGACGGUUUAUCCUUUUUUGAAACAAUAAAUUUUGAUAAAUCAAGUUUCUACUUAAUGGAAAUUUUAAAAUCCAGACCAACAUUUUAGGAUUUUUCAAGUACUUUUUAAUUUUAGAAUAAAUUAUAUUAAUAGUUUGUCAAUUAUGUUUUUUUUUCUAUAUUUGAUUAUAAAAAUUUAUAAAAUAAUUAUCAAAUUAUAUAUAUUGACAAUUUAACUAUAAAAAAUUACAAAAUAUUUACAUAAUAUUUUUCUGAUUUCCUAAUUAUUUUGAAUUUGAGUGUUUUCAUUUUUAUUUUAGUGAUAAAAAAUAAAAUUAAAAAUUGAUUAUGAUAUUUAUAAAUUUUUAUAAUUAGACGAGGGUAUUAGUAAUGAAAGAGAAUUCCUUGAAAGCCCAAAUCCGAUGAACAGGGGUAAAAUCGUGAUAAAGCUUGCCCCUUCUUAUCCGUCUCUCUCCAACAGGUAAAAACCCUAACCCUAAUUUAAAGAAUUGUCUAUUUAUACACGCCUCCGCUAAGUCCAACCCCGCAGCCGAAAGCCGACGCCAUGAAUUCGCUUUUUUCUUUAUUCGAAUCUUCCGAUUCGCCAAUUUCAUAGUUUUGAUAUAUUUUUUUCUUCUGAUCUUUGAUUUCUUCCUCUCUCGUUAUUGAAGGCGAUGAUGUUGAAAACUACCUAUUUUAUGAAUGGUUAUUUAGCCAUUUUUUUUGUGAUUAAAAAUCACCAAUGGAUCCUUCUGAGCCUUCUCUCAUAUUAUUGAUUAGUUAAAGUGGAGAUUGAGAUGAUGAUAUUUUGGUUCUGAAAAUAAACAUAAAUGUUGACUAAAAAGUCAGACUACAAUUAUCUGAUCAUUUUUGGCUCUCUUUUCUCUUUAUUUUCCCAUCAACUUUUCUUUAGUUCAUAAGAAAUCAUAUUUUUUUUAAGUAAUACUAGAGAUUGAGUUUUGGUUUAUCCCUAAAUUUCAGAAUCGGGGAUACCAAAUUUUUGGAAUUCUUUCUUUUUUAAUAACUGCAAUUAGAAUAAUUAUUUAAUUUAUUUUGAUCAAGUCAUUGCUUAAAAUCCAAUGCAUCUUUUAACAUAAUUUAUUCUAGUGUAAUCUAAUUUACAAAAAAGAAAAAAAAUCAUUUUUUUAUUAAUUUUUUUAAAAUAAAUAAUUUUGUUUCUAAAAUAAUUUUUAAAAAUAAAAAAUUUUAAUUAAUUGCAGUUGUGGCAUGGCAAUUCAUUAUAUUAAUUUUGAGUUGGAACGAGGGUUAAAAAUUCUAAAUUGAAAAUUUAAAUGAUUUUUUUUUUUUUUUUGUAAAGUUGAAGGUGAAUCCUAAAACAUCACAUAAUCUUAAAAAUAUUCCAUUUAUUUGAAUUGAAUAAAUCAAUUAAACUUAAAUUAAGUAGUUAAUUUAUACACAUUAUAAUUAAAAAUCUCAAAACCUCGUGUUUGCCAUUAAAGCAAAACCACAUUAGCAAUAUUUAACCUUUUUUUUUUUUGUUGAUUGUGAUUAGCAUGAAUGACAUUAUUUAUCUAUUUAUGAGUUGAGAAAAAAUUAUAAAAAUUCUAGGUAUUGUGACUAUAUAUAUAAUUAAAAUUUAUAAUCAAAUUAGUAAAAACAAAAAUUCUACUUUGGAAACACUAAUCAUCAUUAGCAUGUAAAUUUGAACUGUGAUGUUCGAUCCAUUUUGAAAAUAUAAAAGAUUUUGGAUACUCGAACUGAACAAAAAUCUAUUAUUUUUAUUUAAUUUUUUAUGAUGUAAAAAUAAAUAUUUUAUAUUUAAAUUAAUAAAAUAACUUAAAAUAUCAUAAAAAUUAGCUAUUUUCCAAAAAAAAAAAUUAUAUAAGAAUAAUUGAUUGCUUUUAUUUAUUUAAAAUUACUUUUUUAAAUAUAUUUAUGAAAAUUUUAGUUGGAAAAUUUCACAAAAAUGGAGAAAUUAUUCGUAAAAAAACUAAUAUGAAAUUUUUUGUUUAAAAAUUAAAAUUGAGUAGAAUAACAAAUCUAAUUUCUACCAAUUCUUUUAGCAUUUUACUGAUUACACCGCCGGACCAACCCGAUCCGGUCUGGAUUAUCACCCCUGGAUCCUUAAAGAAAUGAACAAUCCUUAAAAGGAGAUUAAAAAAAAAGAGGAAAACACAAUUGAACAAGGACAUGAUAUAUAACAAAUUCAGAUUUGGGUCCAAUUUUGUAGAAAGACUUGAUUAAAAUAAGUCAUUGCCUAGUAAUGAGAUUUUUAAAAAAACGUCAGUCCAAAAUUUGUCCUCUAAAUGUCACAUGGAGCCUAGCAACCGAUAUAUUUUUAGGUGAAAAAGUUGGAAAACAUGGACGCCAACACGAGUACGUUGGGUUUUAUUUGGAAGAUCAUAUCUCCAUGCUCAUUUGAAUUUGCAUCACAUAAAAGGUGUAGUGCCAGACAUGGAUACUCUAAUAAAAAUGAAAAAUCAGAGCACCAUAGCCAUCGAUCCAUAGGCAGCUUCCCGAUGAAUGCGACUGCCCAUAUUAUUCAACCUGAAAUGAAAUCAACGGAUACCGGUAAUUUAACAGAGACUAACAAAUAGAUCCAGAGCAUAAAGUUACAAACAUGAACAUUCCAACAGUAGUGACAUGCUUCAUACUCGGAUUACUAGCUUUUCCCACUUGAGAGUGUAAACCAGACGUGUGUAUGUAAACUAUUAGAACUCGGUCCGAAGAAUACCCAGAAUUAGGCUUGGUCAUUGAGGUUAUCAAAUUCUAUUACACACAUACCAGCACCUGACACCCGUACCCAAGUCCAAGCAACAUAGGACCAAACUAACCCAAUAAACUGAUUUUCAAUUCGAAACCAGCUAAACCAAACCGAAUUAUAAAUGGUUUCGGUCGGUUAAAUUAGUUUAAACUGAUUAAUGUUCACCCUAAGAAUUACUGAAACUAUAAGCCCUCCCAAGUCAAACGCCUACACACAUACCAGCACCUGACACCCGUACCCAAGUCCAAGCAACAUAGGACCAAACUAACCUAAUAAACUGAUUUUCAAUUCGAAACCAGCUCAAUCAAACCAAAUUAUAAUUGUUUCGGUCGGUUAAAUUAGUUACCCUAAGAACUAUUGAAACUACAAUGCCUCCCAAGUCCAACUACAUGUCUUGGACGCAAUUUGCCGAGACAUUUAGGGCUAGUUCCUCAUUGCUUUUGGAAAGUAUUUUUGAAAAGUGUUAUGAAAAAGUGCUCAUGAAAAAUGUGGUUUAAAAUUUAAGUGUUUAAUAUUACAGUCAAAAAAUGCUUUUGAGAAAUAAAAUAUCCAUUUUAGACAUGAUAUUGUGAAGUAAAAAUAUGCUUCAAAUAAUGUUCAAUUUUGUUAAUAUUAUGAUAUUUUAGUAAGAAUAUAAAAAAAUAAUUUAUUGUAACUCAUUAAUAUUUUAAUAUAUGGAAUAUAAAUUUUAAAUAUUUGUAAGCAAUGAAUAUUAAUUAUUUGUGAUGUUUAAUUUGAAUAUAUAAUCUAUAUGUUAAAAACGAUUAAAAUAUAACCAUUAUAAAUUUAAAUAUAUAAUGUUAUGUAUUUGAAAUAAAUUUCAAUAGGAAAAUAAUUAUAUACCCAAUAUAAAUAUUAAAUAAAAUAUAUUAGAUUAUAAAUAAGGGAUAAAAUGUCAUAUUGGCUCCAAAACUGCUUUUCCAAAAGCAAAAGCUAAAAAAAAUUGCACUUUUGACUUCAAAAGUUGUCUGUUGAGCAUUGCUUAUGGCUCCAAAAACACUUUCAAAAAGCAAUGAGAAACAAAGCCUUAGAAGAAAACAAUCCAUUCAAUAGAACAACAAUGGCCAGUGGAAGUGUUUUUACCUAUCAGCAUCAAGAUGGCCAACUUGAAGAUAAUAGAAUGAUGUCUCCCACAAACAACAGCACUUGCCACAUUCUGAAUUUUAGAACCAUUAGAAAAACAUGUUUACGGUACAUAAAUAUCUGACUGCAAUAAAAAAUAAGAAUGGUUAGAAGCAAACGUGGUAUACCAGAGCAGAAAAUGAAGGUAAUCAAAUAAACAACAAAGAGUGCGCCAACCUCUAGAGGGAAAAAAGAAAAAGAAAUUUUAUUCCGGUAAACUCAUUUGGACCUCUACCAUAGAAUUUGGCACCAAUCUUUUUCAUAUAUUGUUUCAACUCAUCUUGAUUAAUCAUAUGUGCAUACCAUGACAGGUACUAUGGUGGUUUACCUGCACCAAUAGAAAUAAAAGAUGUAAAACUGAAAGAUUACAAAAUCAGAAUGGAUUAGGGCAAGCUAUGUUCCUCCGACUCUUAAUCUUUCUUGAAGUACCCAUAUCCAAUGCCAUGUUUAACAAAUAUUCAGACAUUGGUAUGCAAAUAUGACACCAUUGUCUAAUGGGUAUGCAAAUAUAACAGAAGCAUACCCGUAUCCGACAUGUAACAGAGUUCGACUAACAUAAAGGGCAAGGGAAAGAAGGGGAAAGAAUAUUGCCUCAAUGUUGCAAUUUUGUUUUUAAAGCAGACACGAGAGGCAAACCUGAGAUUGUGAACUACAGUGUUCUGCUUUAUGAUGCUUGAACUGAUAAAAUAGAAGUCCUUGAGGCAAAAGGGUAAGCAAUUGCUGCUGCAUAUCCUAGUAUUUUUCUCUAAGUAAAAUUGUAUUAACAAAGUAAUUAGUAAGGUGACCCAAAACUCCCUCCGAGGAACAUUAAUGCCAAAACAAUGGCGAACUCUACUAUUAGAAUUCUACCGAUCUAUGCUUCAACCUAUAGUGGGAUUUCUCUAUAAAAAAAUUUAUUCAACCACAAUUCUUUUGGAGUGUGGUCACCUAUUUAUACAACUUGGAAGGAUAUCUAAUAUAAGCCCUACAAAUCACAUCUUCAAUACCAUCUUGAGAAGAAAAUUAAUAAAGCAUGUUCCAUGUCAAAAUGCAAUUGAAGCUUGUGAAAGAAUAUACAAAAAAAUCCCAGAUUUAUCUUGCAUCACGUACGUGUAAAAUGUGUGUUAGAAAGCAGGCACUGGUCAGCUUCUCAAUAUAAUUGUUAUGCAUUGCAGCAGAAACUGACCAUUCCAUUUCUUUUCUCCUCAAGGACUUCGUCACCAAGGAUAAACCAUAAAAAGGAAAAUUCCUUCCUAGUAUAAAUCAUGCUCAUUAACCACUUUCUCUUUCUUAGUGGAUAACGGCUUCCAUUGCAAGGCGUAUCAAACGUAGCAUCCCCUCUAUGUCUUGGAAGUUAAAAUCAAGAGCCUUUUUCACAGAAUAUAUAACCUCUCCCUUUUCAUCCCCUGACAAACUUGAUUUAGAAUGUGCAAAAGUAAUUCGUGAUUUCCUCGAAGCUUCCAUGGCAUGAUUUACAUCCUGUGCCUGCAACUCAUAUCACAUUUGAUUUUGGUCAUGAUGGAACCCUCAUAUAAGAUAUACAAGCCAAGAAAGAAUAAAAUGACAAUCUAUGAUCAUUAGAGAGAGACAAAAGACAAUUCAUUAAAGAAUCUUUUGUGCUCAAAGUUUUAAAACACAUGUCCAAUUUCAACAUACAUAAACCGGUAGUCUUUGGUUCAAGGUUAUAGGGGAAGAAAGGGUUCGUAAGAAUGUGACAAAAGCUUUUGGGCAUUAGACCAAAAGGAAGAACUAUUAUGGGGAAAAGGUUUGCAUUUGUUGGGGAGGGAAUGUUCAGUAAUGCUUUCAAGUGCAUACCAUUAUAAACGCAUGAGUUGCACUUUCAAAAUCACAUACAAGCAAAACUACACUUACAAAAUUGAGGAACCGCACAAAGAUAGGACGGUUUCGAGCAGAAAUAACAUGAUUUGCAGCAACCUGGGGAGGGCUAACACCUUUUGAAAAAGCAACCUUGUCUGCUGUUGUUGGGUGGUUUAAAUUAUCAACAUCGGAGGCAGAAGAAGAAGGAGACUCGCCUGAUAUCGAAACAUCCAUCAAUAUCAAGAAAAGAAGUUAAAUUAGCUCUCAAUUUGUCUCAUUCAGUGAAACUUUAACAUUUACAAAUGAAUUUAAUGUCCAUAAAUUAACAUAAAGAAGGGGAAAAAAAAGGUGAAAAGGGUCUAGGGAGAUAGAAGUACGAUGAGCAGAAUUGAAAAUAUCUUUUCAUAUGUAUAUAUUCCGGCAGGGCCAGCCUAAACUUAGUUCCAAAAGCAAAUUCGUAAUAACAUCUUAAAUGUCAAAUAGCAACUAGACAUUCUCUCUUCGGGAACUCCCCCCCCCCCCCCAAAAAAAAAAAACGAAAUUCAUGGGAAGUAAGCAAGUAAACUAAACAUUUAUGCAGAGCAAUCAAUUUCUGCCUUGCUACUAAAACAUAACCUUCUCAGGUUGAGGUAUUUUGAUAAAUUAAACAACAAGAUUCCAGAAUAAAUAUGCGAGGCUGCUGCUCCUUGAUCACUAAGUGCAGAAGAGCCAGAAACAACAAUUACAAGUUUAUGGGCUAGACAGAGAAGCAUCAAGGAAUGCAGCCAGUACAAUCACUGGGUUCUUUGAAUUACCAGGAGGAACCAUUUGUAAAGCUGUCUGCAACUCAUGUCGAUCUCUACUUGCAUUGGCAUGAGAAGUAUAGAUGACUCUCAUAUAUGCCACCUCUGUACACUUGUAGGCCAAAGAAGCAGCAGCCAUUUUGUUUAAUCUCUCAUAUUCAUGGGCACAAAACCUGAAAUAUCAAUUAGUAACCACACAAAAGUAAAAGAAGGUGCCACAAAAAAUAAAUCAUCCCAAAACCAAAUGCAAUAACAGAAGAUUCCACGUUGCAAGAAACUUUUUUAGCUAAAACAAGAUCAAGUUCCAACGAAGUGUUAAAAGAAAGAGAAAAUGGACUAUAACACCUAAAUUUUAACUUACUCGAAGAGUUUUGCAGUGCUACUAUAUAUUUGCAUAGACUGAAUCAUCUCUCCAUGCUUAGUACCCUCAUUAUUGCAAGAUUCGAGUAGAGAAGCACUAUAAAGAAACUUCAAUGCUGCCUGGAAGUAAAGUCCGAUGCUCUCCACAAUUGAUCCAGAGUUCUAAGAGAAUUUUCAAAAAUCAGAAAGGAUAAAAUCAAGCUUGAUAGAUGCUAGGCCAAAAUAAAAAUGCAACAAAUUAUUUACAAGGAAACAACAAGGUAAAACCUUGACACGGUCAGCCAUAUGCUUUAAAUCUGUAGCCUCCUUCAAAGCAUUGGUAGCUGCCUGGUUUGGGGAAUCCUUUCUCAUUGGACUAGGGGCAUUAAUGCCCCUGAUCCUAUGUCCAGUAUGCCUUGAACUACAGUGCUGAGCCCCAUUUUGACGAUCAGCCUCCUUUAUUUGUUUUUGUACCUUCAAAGCAUCAUCACUUUGAGAUCCAUCAGCUCUAUUUCCCUUUUGGGACCCAUUAGGGUGGGGGCAAUGAGUCAGUAUCUCAUUUUGAGUUCCUCCGGAGGGUGGUAAUGAUGGUGAGUUCCCUCUCCCAGAAGCAAUUUCGGCAUGAUCAGAUUUGUCAGAAUGGAAUCUUUUCAUAUAUUUUUUAACAUUGCCAUCCAGCAUGAUACUCUUCUUCACAGUGCACAUUACAUCUUGACCUCCAGUUUCAUCAGGUUUAGCAUCUGACUGACCAACAUUUCUUUGAUUUUCUCUUUUACUACUCUCACUGGAUAGUUUUCCCAUAGAUUCUUUGUUAUCAUCAACAGAUCUAUUCUCACUUCCAUUAGACUUAACUCCAAGCCUCUCCUGAAAAUUAUUUCUGCCAUUCUUAGGUUUUACCUUACAUAAAGGCGUACGACCUUGCAUUUCAUCCACAUAAUCAGAUUUAAAUUUCUGACUUCUAUCCUUUGACCAUGAGGACCCCUUGCCCGACUUUCUUGGCUGAGAGACAUUGUCAUCACCAUGUUUGUCAUUCUGAUUUUCUUCAUCAAGGAGUUCAUCAGCAGUUGUUAAUUCAAUGUCAUAUUUAACCUCUUGGCCUAAAUAAUCAACACUACCAUUCAUAAAUUGCACUUUUCUGAUAUUAGGAGAAGAUUCAAUCGAAGCCUUAGCUCUACUGCCACCUAACUGACCACCAUUCUUAUCUUCUGUACCACAUAAGCGACAUUGGGACAGAGUGCUAUCUAGUUCUUGCCCACUAUGGUGAUUCUUUGAAUGUAUUUUUUUUUUCUCCAGCUUACCAUUGUUUUUACUUGAAGAGGUAUCCUUCCCCCCAGUCGUAGAUAACCUGACCUUCUUUUCCUGCCUGUACUUAUUUUUGUUGAACUCUUCUUUGGCACACACCGUUCCAUCCUGGAGGUGGUUCCCCAUAAUUUGAUAGGAACCUGAAUAUAAUUGAUUAUUAAUACAUUCAUCAGCUUUUCUCUUCCUUGAAACUUCCCCACCAUCAAAAUUUACCAGAUCCACUGAUCCAUCAGCCGAGGAAACCUGAACUUUGUCCUUUGGUCUUUUACCAGAGACCUGUUGUCUGUCCUCCGUAUCCAACUUUGGAGCAUUAUAAGAAGAAAGUUGACUGGGUUUAGGUUGAUCCUUUCCUGUAGAUGCGGUUGGCAGAUCAUUACUCGUGCUAAGAUCCCCCUUACCAGCAUGCUCAUACAUUGAAUUUUCAUCAACAAGAUGCAAACUUUUAGACUUAAUUUUCUUGGACGCCCUCAAAGAAUCUUGAUCAGAGAUCCUUUUUCCUUUCAUCUUUGAAGUUUUGGCAUCACCUAAUCGCAUGCAUUUUAUAAAAACAUGUUAUAUAAUUUAGAAAAGUAGCUCUAACUUUACAAUAAAUAUCUAUUUAGAAAGAAUACCUCCACCAGAUCCAUGUUCUGACACUUUAUGCUUCUUUUUCUGCUUACUUUUGUGUUUCUUGACAGGCACGCCGCAUUUUCUAGGAUCACAUAAACUUGAUCCACUUACCACGAGAGAUUUAGUUAUAUCAGUUGAACUCCCGGAUAGAACUGAUGCCUGGAUGUUCUUCUUCAUAGGAGUUGGCCCAUCCUUGUCCAUUGCAUUUGAUAUUUCUUUUAAACCAUGUUUCUUCCUUCCAGAAGGGGGCAUGGCAUGUGAACCAGAACAUUGUUGGUUUUGUUCAGGCUGUAAGGUAUCAGCUGAUUUUAGUCUGGACAUAGUACUGCCAAGAUUAUUUUGCAAAUUAGUUUGACUCACUACAGCAGGAACUUGAUGCGAUGUCAAAACAGCUUUUGUAGUUUCCUCCUCAUCAACACUGCAGUGGUUCAUUGCAGGCCUAAACAAUUACAACACAAACAAUAUUAGAGAGAGAAUCCAUCACAAAGUUAACCACCAAAACCAUUUCAUGUUCACUCCAACACCAUAUUAACAAUACAUAUGUAUGAAAAAACUAGGAGUCUAAACUCUGAACCAUUAUAUUUAUAAAAAUUUAGAGGGGUGAUAAAGAACUUACAGCCAGUUAAGCAUGCUGCAUACCCACUUCUCAGGUAAAUCAGAAGGAUUUAAGCCUAUUGGAAGAAGGCGCCACUUCAGGCACUUGUCACAAGAAACCCAAUUUUCAUUUAUCAAUACAGGAGCUGCAGUUCCAGGGGAAGCUCCAACAGUGUUCACACAGCCAGAGUUAGAAGCACCAUCCAAUGUUGCUCCAGGGAAUGAUUUGCUUGCCCGUAAAUCCUCUCUUUUCUUACCACUUCGUCUGCCAUUAUGUGAACUAUUAAUGGCUAAUGUGUUUUUUCCAAUCAUAUCAUCUUCCUUCAGUCGAUCUUUAGAACGAAUUUCUAAAGAACUUGUUAGGUUCUCUUCAUGUUCUGAUUCUCCAACAUCUCCAAAAAAAUCUCUAUCCCUAUCUUCAGCCUUUUGAAAAGGUCUUUCUAAUUUUUGGUCUCCCAAGUCCUUUUUGUUUGUAUUAUUGUUCACAUGAGCAGUCUGCUUAUUUUUCAGCGUCAAAGAAGAACCAACCCUCAAGCUAUCUUUUGGUACCUCGGCAGCUAGACUGCCUUGACCAUGACUGCUUUUUGAUUUAUUUUUUCCACCAGAGAAGGUUUGCUCCUUGGCAGAAGGCAACUUCAGAUUGUUUUGUUCCUGCAAUGUAGCUUUCAGGUUGCUCUUCUUCCUAAGAGGAUCUACCGCUUCACUAUUUAGAGCUUUGCUACCUUUUGGAACAUUAGACUCAGCUUUAACAAAAUUAUAAGUGUUUUCUGCUUUAAUAUACUCAUAUUUUCUCGUGCAACCUGAAUUAUCAUCUAGAACACUUGUCUUUUGUUCCCCCAGAACCUUUUGAGCUGAAUUAACCCUUGGAUUCUCCCAGCCAAUAUCUUGGGUAAGUAUAGGCUCCAGUGACUCCUCCACAGCUACAUGAUGUACACCUUUAUUUCUUGCUAUGCUAUUAUCUUUUACCUUGCCAACAGCAGAAUAUGGAUUAGAUAAAAGAGGAAGCUCUAAUGUUUUUGAAACAAGCUCCUCACAAGCCAAUGCGUCAAUAUCUACUUCCUUCUUUGACAUGAUAACAUUGCCAUUCUUUAUUUCCCUUUUACUGCCACCGUUCCUUUCCACCAGAAAAUCCUUUUUCUCCACUGAGUCUGAAUUUGCUUUCUCAUCACCUAAUAAUAUUUCAUCACCCUUUCCAGAAUUCGAUAUAUUCUCUUUUAAGAUUUUUUCCUUCACAAUCAAGUUAAGUAGAUGAUCAGAGAGAGGAGACAAUAGUGCUUCCCCAGGUACCGGGAAGGAAGUCAUCAACUGCUCAAAUACAUUCAGAAUAAAAGAAAAUAUUUCAAUCACUUUAGGUAUAUCAAAUGUAAGAAAAUAUAAGAUCAAAGAUAAAGAAAAACAUUCCUUUAAUGAGAAGAAUAAUAAACAUUAAAUGGAGGAUUUACCUGAAGAAUACUGGUUGGAGAUUCAAAUAAGGGCUCUUGAGUGCCCCCAUACAUCCCUUCACUUUCAGAAGGGCUCUCAUCUAAGGAGGAAGAUGGUGAGACAUCAAGGCCAAGACCACUGUAGAUUGCAGCAUUUUUUUGUGUCAAAAAGUUGUCUGAACCCAUUUUGAUUCGUAGCUUCAAUGUUUUCUGGUCUGGCAGAUUGGAAACUUUCUUGUCCGCAUAUUCACACCUGGUGGCAAGCUCAUGAGCAUGAGUAGAUGUUAAGCUGACCUCUUGCUUAAUUGAAUCAUUCGCAUAUGAUGCCUUUAAAGCAUGGAAGGUUCCAAAAUUUGUAGGAUGACGACCAUCCUAUAUAACAAAACAAACAAAGUGCUCACUUUAACUUGGACUUCUCAAAUCAACCAACAUCCUGCAAAAGAUUCCUCCCUUAUACAAAUUGAACCAUACUUUCAAGUGAGGAAAAGAGAAAUAAAGAAACUUUUACCUCCAAUUGUAUCGUGUUAGGAAAUCUAGGUGCAUUGCAAUUCUGAACUUUCGGUGAACUCGUCGGAUGAGACCGGCCAGGAGAACGUUGAUAAGUAGGUAAGAAAGAUCCAUACCCACCAAAUUUUGCCCCUGUACAAAUGCCAAGAAUCAAAAUCCGGAAUUCAUCAAUUACAAACUAUGAAUUCCAACAUAUUGACUCUUGACAUAAAGAACAACGGUUCUCUUUUUCUUCCAGCUUACCCAGGUUUUCUGCAGAUACUCCACCUUCAAAAUCCUUUUGAAAAUGUCCAAGAAUAUGUUGAAUUUUCUCGUCCUUAAAAAACAUUACAGGAGCCACACAUCACUAAAAAGAUCAUAAACACAUGGAGAGAAACUAAGAACAAACAUCAGAAAAGUUAUAAGAGAGAGGCCUAUAUACAUAUAAUCCUACACCAUUACACUAGCUCUUAGAAGCUAAUCCUCUAAAAGCAUUUAUACUACAAUGAGAUCUACAAGCUAACUAAUGAGCUUGAAUCUUACUCUCCUAACUUCCAGUUAAGAAAUUCCCAUAAUUUACCAUAAUAAAACAUCACCAACCUUACAUUGAAGCGAACAUUCAAGAAAUGCCACUUGAAUUUUACUCUGCUAACCUAUGUUGCUCAGACUCGUCAAUUGCCUUAAAGCUUAAGACACUUGAUUCACCAUAAAAGGGUACGAGAGAAAGAUACAGGUGUGAGGAGUCGUUUUACAUUUACUUUAAUAUAAUAUAUACAUUUACACAAAUAUAAUUUGCAUGAAUUAUUUGUUUGAUUUUGAUAGUUAAUUUCAAUUUAGGUGAAUAUUAUAAUGGAUGAAGACCAUAUUGAUAUGUUGUCUAUUUUUUUAGGUAUGAUUGUUGUAAGGGAAAACUGGUUAGACUAAUAUUCUUGUUUGAGCCAUUUAUUUUUAAUUGAGCCUUAGCCUUAAUCUUAAUGAUUAAAGAAUUGGACACAUAUCCCGCACCCUUGUCCAUGUUGUAGGUGCGGAUGGUCAUAGGAGCCAGGGGGGCCAAAUUUUUUUGAAAAUUUUAAUUAGGCCCCAAAAAUAUUUAAAAGUUCUAAUUAAGCCUUCCAAAAGUUCUAAAAAUUUUAACUAAACCCCUUCAGUUUUUUUUUUUGUAAAUUCUCAUUAAGCCUCUAAAAUUUUGAAAGUUUUAAUUAUGCUCGUCAAAAUUUUUGAAAAUUCUCAAUUAAUCCCCCAAAACUUAGUGGCAAGAUCUGCCAGUGCCAUGUGGUGUCAUGCCAACACAUGUGUGACUCCCAUUUUGGUGAGUCUGAGUUAUAGAGCUGCUAACUUCCAAUUACGAAUGUUAAUUUCAAAAUUACCAUAAUUAAGCAUCACCAACCUUACAUGGAAAAAAGUUACAAUCAAUUCCUUCCCCAUUAAACAUGUGUCCAACUCACAUCCAACAAUUCAAAAACCCUAAAACCAUUCAUGCACCACUACCAAAAACAAAAAUAAUUAUUUAUGAUCAUGCUAGACACAUUGCACAAAAAAAUUAUCUUCCCUUAAUUAGAUGCUUUAUUAUGAUUAUCAUCUAAAAGAAUUAAUAAGACAAGGAGACUAUAUAAGGUAACUAAUGCACAUGAAUCUUACUCUCUAACUUCCAAUUACAAAAUCCCCAAGGUUAUAUUCAACAUUACCACAAUAAAACAUCACCAACCUUACAUCAAAACAAAAGUGAAAAGAAUGUCACUUGAAUCUCACUUAGCUAACUUCCAAUUAUGAAUGUUACAUUCAAGAUUACCAUAAUUAUACAAGGAAGCAAAGUUAUGAGCAUUGAACCCAGUGUUUGCUCCUGCAAAAGGUGUGUGAGUUGUAACAAAAAAUAUAUAUAUGUGCAUUGCCUUCUCCGGUAAACAUGUGUCUAACUCGCAUCUAACAACUCGAAAACCAUAAAAUUAUGAAUACACCACUACAUACACACUAAACAAAACCCUUCAUUUAUGACCACGUUACACAUGUAGUAGAAAACAAUUCUAUUCACCUAAUUAAACCUCUUAAAAGCUAAAUUCUUUAGAUACGUACAUCAUAAACCACACAAAACUAGCAAUAUUGGAAUAAAAAAUUAAAAGCCAAUCAUAAGUUAUAAAGAAAGUAACACAAACGGUAAAAACAUUUAAACUGAAAUUAUAAUACAAAUGAAGAAAUAAAAACGAGUCAAAACAAUAUAAAUGAACAUAGAAUUUUUUUUUUUUUUUAAAUGAAAGCCAGCUUUUUGCAGAUCAGAGGAAAUAAGAAGCACCAAGUUUGCUUACAAUGUAAGAGAGAGAAGAUAGAUCAUUCUUGGGGCCGAAUGUGUCAUCAUAAGCAUCGUCAUUGUCAUUAUUUGAACAGGCCUCUCCUUCUUCAAGCUCAGUCUCUUCCAUUUCUCUUGCACCAAAACCUAAUCCUAGCCCCUUCCUCGUAUCGUUACACCCUAACGAAAUCAUUCAAAAAAAAGAGAGAACAUUUUUUUUAAGAAAAAAGGAGAGUAAAUCUGACCUGAAUUAUCAAAUUCUCAAACGUAGUUUUCUAUUAUUCGAAUCCCACGAGUCUUUUUCCCUACCAUUUUGAACAACUCCCUAAAACCCACCAUGAGGAAAGGGGCUCUUCUACCCUAAUUUCCAUAAAAAAUAAAAACAAAAAACUCGAUCACAAAUUCAAACACCUAAUCAAAAUUUUAGAAUGGUUCAAUUUCCGAAAAGAAUAAUAAAGCGAUUUAAACUCAAGGAUCUCCUCGAAUUUUAUUGUUUCGUAGGGAAAUUUUUUGGUUCUUUUUUUUCGAUGCGAUCUCUUUUAGCUGGAAUCAAUUAGCACGUAAGAAAAUGAGAGAGAGAAAGAGAAACUCUCUCUGGUUUUGGUGUCAAAGCAGCCGCCUUUUAUUUGCUUGUUUAUUUAUUUUUAUUUCUCUUCUCUCCUUCUUCGUCGUUUUUUGUUUUGAUCAUUUCUAAGUAUUUUUACUUUUCAAGUUGUAUAUUUUAGGUUUUUUAUUUGAAUAUUAAAAAAAAUAUUGUGGUGGUUGAUCUUGAAAUCCGAUUAAAUUGGUUAAUUGGAUUAAAAACGGAUCAAUAUAAUUAUUUAAACAAAAAAUUUUGAACCAACUAUUUAAAAGUUGUAAAAAGAAAAUCUAAAUCAUUGCUUCAAUUUUUAAAACAUUAAAUAUAUUUGUAAGUUAUUAAUUAUUUGCAAUUAACAUAUGUUAGCCUUUCUUUGGAUUAGGUUUUCUCUGUUAAUCUAAAUUUAGACGAUUUGGAAGACGACCCUAUUUCAGGAUAAGAGGAGAUUGACGAAGGAGACGAUGACUUCAGGCUCUGCUUAGUAGGCAAGGUGCUAACUAGAGGUGCUCAUGGGCCGGGCCGGGUUCGGGUCGAGCCCAUAAAAUAUUCGGCCCGGGUCCUAGUCCUGGGCCUGGCCCGGCUUGAAAUAUGGGCCUAAAAUUUUAUCCAGACCCGGCCCGGGAAAAAAUCAUAAGCUCGGGCCCGGCCCGACCCGGCCUUUUUUUUAAAUAAAUACUACAAAUUUAUUUUAAAAAUUUUAAAAAGUAUUUUUAAAAUAUUUUAAAAUUAAAAAAAAUAAAUAAAUAAAUAUAUUUAUUAUAUCGGGCCGGGCCCGGGCCAAAAAAGUGGUGCCCGAGGCCCGGCCCGUUUUCUAAACGGACCUCAUUUUUUUGCCCAAGCCCAUAUUUCGGGCCUAUAUUUUUAUUCAAACCCUCUCAUAUUUCGAGCGGGCCGUCGGGCCGGGCCGGGCCGCCUGGCCCAUGAGCACCUCUAGUGCUAACAGAUAGUUCAAUCCACUUCCCAUCCUUAAGGAAUGUUCUGUCUGAAUUGUGGCAUCCUAUUGAAAAGGUUACCAUAUCAGAGAUUGAGGAAAAACAGAUUCUAUUUCGAUUCUACAAUAAAGUUUAUUUAAAAAGGUUGAUCAAUGGUAUUCAUUUGUUCUUUAAUCGACACCUAAUAAUAUUUCAUAAAUUAAUGAGAGGGGAGGAUCCGUUACUUAUUCCCCUUACAUUACACAACUUUUUGGGUGCAAAUACAUGAUUUACCAUUGGGUUCAAUGUCGGAAGGCAUGGCAAGACAAUUGGGCAACUUUAUUGAGGAACUUUUGGAUUAUGAUACAAAUAUUCUAAUAAAGGGUUUACGAAAGAUCAUGCACAUCAAAGUAUGUUUGGAUGUCCGAAGCCCCUUAAAAAGAAAGAAACGAAUAGUGUAUGGCAAAGAUAAGUCAACUUACGCUACUUUUCAAUAUGAAAAGACUUUCUCUAUUUUGUUUUCUGUGUGGCCAUCUAGGGCACGACGAAAGUUGCUGUCCUCUCCGUAUUUCGUUGAGAUCUCAAUAAGUUGAAUUUGGUUGGGAUAUUUCUUUAAAAGCGGCACCAAGGAGGGAAUCGAAAACUGCAAGUAAGUGGCAUCGAAAGGAACCAAAAGAGGUGAUCAAGAGCGACAUGGAUGAUGGGUGUCGAAUCCACCAACAUAAACCUACGCCUUAGUUUGCAAAUUAUGCAGUAUAGGGAGUAGGGCCGAUCCCUCAGAGACUGGUUUAUUGUAAACUGUUGCUCGCUUGACCAGAUUUAUGUCGGGGCAGCUGUCGUGCCCAAGACGUUUGGGGGAGGAUAAAAUCGAAAACCUGGAACCUGAAAUAAAUAAAUAAAAUGCGUAAAAAGUAAAAGUUGAAAACAAAAUAAUAAAAAUAAUUAAAUAAAAUAUGUAAGAGAAUUAAUUUAAAUAAGCUCAGCCUUAGGCACGAUUUUCCCUCGUCUUUGAACCGAUCCUCGAAAUUAAAUGAACUCCUCUUCUCCAAUAAGCUAGUUAUAGCUACCAAGGAUGCCUCGGACACCAACUCUUCCUUGUGUAAAUUAGUUAUGGAACGUCUAAUAACUAACUCUUACCGAUCGAACAACCAUGAAACAUUCGUGAUUUAGAACUCCGACAGCUUUGCGUUCUAGAAGAGCCUAGCUCGAACCAAUGCCCUCAACCGCGUGGGACAUUUAAAUCCGGUUACUACUUCCCUUGACGGAACCAAACAGAAAUCUCCACUUGGCACGCCAAUGUGUUCACAGAAAACCGAUUAGAAACGUUCUUUUCGGAAUUCCAACUGUACGUCUAAUCACACUAAAUCAAACAAUGUCUUUUUUGACUUAGUGUUGAUCUGACUUUAUGAGCUGACAAAAUCAUACUCUUAAUCCGGAGAAGUAAUAAGUACUGGAAUUUUAGGAGUUAAAUGGCUCGGAUUCGUAACUCACAGGUUUUGACGAGGCUAAUUUCGGCCUAAAGCUGAAAAUGGGUUUAGUUGGCUAAGGUUUGGGACAUGUUGAUAUGUGAUAAAUUAAUUAAGGUAAAUGGGUGAAAAUGUGGGUGAUGUGAUUGAGUAUGGGGGUUGGAAUAUAUUAAAGUGGGGUGGUUGACUAUUUGGAAAAAAAUUGAAAAAGGAAUUGCAAAUGGCUUGAUUUGGUGAUUAGCUACUGGAAAUUAAAAAUUGAAGGAAAGGAAACUAAAGAAACAACAAUGCUACGUGAGAAAAGAGAGAAUGUAUUGAAAGACAAUAACUUAAUAUUUUUGAUUGAUUGAUGAAUAAAUGAACAAUACAUACUCUAUUUAUACUAGAGGAUUUACUAAAUUAGGAGCCAACUAGUCAUAGGAAAUUAAGAAAAAAUAUCCCAUAAUAAAAUAAAUCCCAAAAUAAUCUCUCCCACUAAGUCAACAAAAUUUUCAGCUAAUUAAUAUUGGAAAAAUUCUACUUUGGCCCUCCUUCUUUGCUUCUUUCUUUAAUUUGGCCCAAUUGUUUCCUUUUUCUUCUAUUUAGCCCCAAAUUGCAUUCCUACACAAAAUUCAAUAAAUAUGGCAAAAUUAGUGGUGCAUUCUCAUAAAUUAACCAAUUUAGUUACAUAAAAUAUGUAACUUUAGCAUUUAAUCAAUGGACAUGGAAGAAAUUCGUAAAAUGAAUUAGAUGUGAUCUCAAGGAGAGGAGGAAUUUAAUAAUGUGAGAGGAAAAGGCAUGGAAAAUGAAUUAAGCAGAAGAUUUUAUAGGACUUAUCAAGUUAAUGAAUCUGCAAAUCGAAGGUGUGAAAACGAGGCAAAGCAUAAUAUGAUAAUAGAAGCAAAUGAGGUACUUAAAGAAACGCCAAUCGGACCUAUUAAUGGAAAGAAAAUAUAGAGGAUUCAACAAAUAGAAGGGGUUCAUCAAAAUAACCGAUCAAGUUCUACGAUCAAUAAUGAAAUAUCUACGACCGCUAAUAAGCAGGCCGACCGGUCGCAAUGAAAAUAUUAAGUUAGAAUGUUCGUGGCCUAGGGCAACCGCGAACAGUUAAACGUCUCAAAAAUAGAUUGAGACAACAUUAGCCUCAAAUUUUGUUUCUAAUUGAGACAAAAGUCAAUUCAAUAAGAAUGGAAGCAAUAAGGAAAAUGUGUGGCUAUGCAAACGGAAUUGAUGUUUGUGCGAACGGAUCGAAAGGGGGACUUUCUCUUGGCUGGAAUGAAUGAAUAAUUGUUAAAUUGAUAAGCUAUUCUAGAUCUCAUAUUGACAUUGAAGUUAUGGAAAAUAGUGGAGAAGAGUAUUGGCGCUUUACAGGUUUUUAUGGUUCGCCAAUUAAGCACAAAAGGAAGGAUUCAUGGAGCCGCCUUAGAUAGUUAAAAAGAAGCAACCAGAUGCCAUGGCUUGUUAUGGGAGAUUUUAAUGAAAUACUCUUCUCGUUUGAAAAAAGAUAGGGUAGGUUAAGGGAGAAAAGACAAAUGUUGGCAUUUAGGGAGGCUUUGGGAGAUUAUGAGCUGAAUGAUUUAGGCUUUUCAGGUCAAUGGUUUACGUAGGAACGAGGUAGACUUCCAAACAAUAACAUUCGUGAAAGACUUGAUAGAGGGGUGACAAAUCCAUUAUGGUGGGAAAAGUUUCCGAAUUUCUCAGUCCAACAUAAGUGUCAUAGUAUUUAUGAUAAUUGUCCUAUAAUUAUUAAUAUAAUGACGCAUGGAAGAGGGAGAUUUGCGAAUAGUAAAAGCCCAAUGCAAUUCAAUGCUAACUGGGUACUGAAAAACGAUUUUGAAAAGUUAAUCAGUCAAUAGUGGGAUUUGGGGGAAAAGGGUCUGCCAGAGAAAUUAGAAGAUCUGAAAUUGAAAUUGAAAUCUUGGGAUAGAUCUAGUAGCAGAUCCAGAUGAAAGACCAGGGAAGAAUUAAAAUUGUGACUUAACAAUUUAAAUAAAGAAGAUCCAGAUGAAGACAUCUUGGCUGAAUUAACAGAAGUUAAACUAGCACUAAAUAUGAAAGCUGACAAGGAAGAAUUAUUUUGGGAACAACGGGCAAGAGCUAAUUGGUUACGAAUAGGGGAUCGAAACACCACUUUCUUCCAUAAUUUUGUAACCCAAUGCAAAAGAAAACAUGCAAUAAAGAUUCUGGAGGAUGGAAGGGAUGGAUGGGUGGAGGGUGACAACGCCAUUAUUGAACUUGCGACUGAUUUCUUUCAAAAACUAUUCUCUUCCAAACCAUUACAAAGUGGUGAAAGGCUUAGAAGCAAAAUAAAACUGUGCAUUACAGAAUAUUUAAAUGAGGAACUCGUUAAAGAAUUUAAAGAAGAAGAGGUGAUGGAAGCUUUAAAAAGUAUAGCACCUCUCAAAGCAUCUGGAAAAGAUGGAUACCCAACGUUUUUUCUACCAAAAAUUCAGGCAUAUUAUAGGAAAUGACGUUGUUAAUUAUUGCCUCUAAGUGUUGAAUAAUGGGAAGAAUUUUGAGGAAAUUAACAAAAACCAAUAUUGUGCUUAUCCCUAAGGUACAAGCCCUUACGAAUUUGGGACAGUUCAGACCCGUAAGUCUUUGUAAUGUCAUCUACAAAUUAAUCUCAAAAGUAGUGGUUAAUAGAUUCCGAAGGGUGCUACACUUAUGUAUCGAAGAAACGCAAAGUGCAUUUGUCCCAGGAAGAUAAAUAACUGAUAACAUUCUAAUAGCUUAUGAAAUUUUACAUUCCUUCAAAAAAAAAAGAUGAGGCACAGGAUAUUUUUCCUUAAAAUUGGACAUGAGUAAAGCCUAUGACAAAGUGGAAUGAAAUUAUAUUGAAAAUAUAAUGAAAAUGUUAGGCUUUUGCAACAGUUGGAUAGAUCUUAUAAUGAGGUGCGUAAGAACAGUGUCAUACUUGGUAAUACUUAAUCGGAUUCAAGGGACAGAAUUCAAAUCAACAAGAGGAAUAAGACAAAGAGACCCACUAAGCCUAGACUUGAUCAUUAGUCGAGCCACCUGGCUUGGCCCGAAGGCCCGCCCAAAAUGUGGGAGGGUUUGGGAAAAAAUAUAGGCCCAAAAAAUGGGAUUGGAUAAAAAAAUAAGGCCCAUUUAAAAAUGGGCCAGGCCUCGGGUAAGGCAUUUUUUGCCCAGGCCUGACCCAACCUGAAUUCACUAAAGGACAAAAAAUAUGCUUUUUUUGUUUUCAUUUUUAAAUAUUAUUUUAUUGUUGUUUUCUCCCUAUUUUGCUACCAUUUUACUUAUUAUGUUGCUACUAUUUUGUUGUUAUUGUUUGGAUAUUGUAUAAAACUUAUUUUAUUGUUAAUUUUGUUAUUAUUUUAGAGGCAUUUGCUUGUUAAGUUGAAUUUAUCUUAGUGUUAUUUAAAUCUACAUAUUUUUUAAAAUUUAUUUUCAAUUUGUUGGGAAAUAUUUAUUUUGAUGUUUUUAGUAUUUUUAUGUAUUAUAUAUAUUUAAAAAUUAUAUAAAAAUAAUAUAAAAAAUUAAUACAUGAGGGUCGGGUUAGGCCCGGGUUUUAGUAUUUUUAUCCAAGUCGAGCUUGAGCAAAAAUUUAGGCCCAUUUUUUGGGUCGGGCCAAUCUCGUGCCUAGUAAAUGGGCCUAAAUUUUUAGUUGAACUCGGUCCAACCCGGCUCAUGAGCACCUCUAACUAAGCCCAUACUUAUUUAUCAUAUGUGCAGAAGGCUUCUCUAAGCUCCUAAAUAAGGCUAAUAGGGAAGGAAAAUUUGAAGGGGCUAGAGUGGGCAGAGGUGAGCUAGCUAUCACCCAUCUUUUCUUUGUUGAUGACAGCAUAUUAUUUGGGAAAGUAACAAUGAAAGGCGCAACUUCAAUGAAAUCAGUAGUUAAUGAAUACGAGAGUAUUUCCGGACAACUGGUGAAUUUCGAGAAAUCAUUGAUUUACUUCAGGAAAAAUGUACAAGACAACCUUAAAGAGCAAAUAGGGGGAGUUUUGGGGGUCCGAAUUUCAAAUAAUCCAGAAAAAUAUCUGAGUUUACCAACAAUGGUAAGGAGGAGAAAGAAGGGUGCAUUCCUAGAACUAAAAGAAAGAGUUAUUCAAAAAUCGAAGAAUUAGAGUAUCUAUAAUUUUUCCUUUGGUGGUAAAUAAGUUUUUAUUAAAUAAAUUUUACAAGCACUUCCAAUCUACGUCAUGCAAUGUUUUAAAUUACUAGUAUUGUUUUGUAAAGAAUUAGAAAAUCUGAUCAGUAAAUUUUGGUGGCACAAUUUAAAGACUAAUAAAGGCAUUCACUGGUGUAAUUGGUUUGCGAUGUGUAGUCCAAAAGCGUUUGGGGGUAUGGGGUUUAGGGAUUUAGCAAUGUUCAAUACGGCCCUGUUGGCUAAAUUGGGAUGGAGACUAAUCACCCAACCUGCUUGUUUGUUUGCGUACCUUAUGAAGUUAAAAUAUUAUCCGCGUGAUAAGUUUUUGAAUGCAAGGUUAGGAGCUUACCCCUCUUUUACCUGGUGCAGCAUUUGCAAUGCACGAAGCUUAUUAGAGGAAAAAACAGGCUAGAGGAUAGGAAACGGUGAAUCAACAAACAUCUAGAAUGAUUUUUAGCUACCCACCCCGGAUGAUAGAAGAGUAAAGAAUCAACACAUAAAUAUCAACAAUUCUAAAGUAGCAUAUCUAAUUAAUAAAGAUUUGUUUUCAUGGAACUACGAGGCAAUCUGGAACUUACUGGAAAGGGAUCAAAUUGAGGCAGUCCUAUCUAUUCCAUUGGCAAGCAGGACUCAACCGGAUGUUUUAGUAUGGCGAGGGGACAAAUCAGGCGAGUACACAGUUUAGAGUGGCUUUAAAUGGCUAAUGACUAAUACUCUACAACUACAGGAUUAUGUUACAGACCAAAUCGACAAAAAAGAUUAUUUUAUAAAGCUUUGGAAUCUCCCGCUCCCAAGUAAAAUAAAAAUACAUAUGUGGAGAGUUUCUAACAAUUUUCUUCCGACGCUCAGUAACCUUAAGCUUCGAAGACUCAGGAACGAUGCUGCAUGUCCAAUCUGCUCAGUUGGAGAAGAAACUGUGGAACAUCUUUUUCAAGAUUGCGCAUUCACAAAAUAGGUCCUGUAGGAAGUUGGUUUGGACAUCUCACACAUAAAUAUAAAUCACACAUGGAAACAAUCGUCAACCUCUUUCUUCUACAUGAAUAACAUUAAAGUAUGUGCAACCAUGGCAAUUUCUAUUUGGGUAACCUAGUAUAACAGAAAUAUGUUGCGGAAGCGACGAUAAUAUUAAUAACAAUAUUAUCAGAAAUAUUUAGAUAAUUAUUAUGCCAACAAUUAUACUAAGAAAAUUCCCAGUUAAAUUGGAGGGGUCACAAAUGGUCCCGCUUAAAACCCAACAACUAGACAGAACUCACUUAGAUAUUUAUAGCAAUAAUAACUAAAUAAAUAUAACCAACAUAAAGCUAUUAAAUAUAAGCAAACAAAUAAGAAAUAAAAUACCAGAGAUUUAACGAGGUUCGGCCAAUUUAGCUUACGUCCUCGGACACUACCAAAUUAAUAUUUCUUCUAGAAAUAUUACAAAGGAGAAGAUUUUCGGAUGAUACAACCAAAGGGGGAGGGGUUCUAUAUAUAACAAACCAAACCCCCUCCCUUUCUAUCUUUUCCUAAUGUGGGAUAUUGCCAAUAUUCAACAAAUCUCCACCUUGGCGAUAUUCCACAUCUUCGAACAUCUUCUCAUAACACAAACUUCAAUAGUGUCUUCAAAUUUGCAACCAAUCGCCUUCUUCCCUUUUGGUAGUUGUGCCAGCUUCCACGUCUUGUUUUUCUCUAGAGAUUGCAUUUCCUCUUCCAUUGCACCUAACCAUCUAUUAUUCUCUAAACUCUGAAUGGCUUCGGUGUAAGUGGAUGGAAUAUUAUCAACAACUGGAAGUGCAUAAGCUACCAUGUCAGUGAAACGAGCUGGUUUCUGAAUUUCUCGUCUCUGCCUUCUGACUGCAAUUGGCUCUGAUUGCUGUUGAGGUUCUUGGGUAGAAACAUCUUCCUCAUCUGACUCUGCAUCUGCCAAUGAAGAAUCACUAGUGGUACCUUCUGCUGGAAUUACCACACUCUGCUCAAACUCCACCUGCUGCGGAGUACACUCCACCUGCUGCGAAGUACUACUCACUCAUUCUGGAUUUACCUUAUUCAACAUGGCAGAUUCAUGAAAGGUAACAUCCCUACUGAUUAUCGUCUUCUUUGCCUCUAGACACCACAAACGAUAUCCCUUAACACCAGCAUUGAAGCCCAUGAAUAGAGCCUUCUUUGCUCUUGGAUCUAACUUUGAUUCUUUCACAUGAUAAUAUGCAAUAGAACCAAAAAUGCGCAAGGUGUCAUAAUCAGUAGCAGGUUUUCCAUACCAUUUCUCCAAAGGAGUCUUGCCAUUUAUAGCAGAUGAUGGCAAAUGAUUGAUGAGAUGUUGAGCGUACGUCACAGCCUCAGUCCAAAACUUUCUAUCUAAUCCAGCAUUAGAUAACAUACAUCGAACUUUCUCCACAAGCGUUCGAUUCAUACGCUCUGCCACCCCAUUCUGUUGCGGUGUUCCACCUACGGUGAAGUGCCUUACUAUGCCACAAUCUUGGCAUAUCUUCAGAAAAGGAUCGCUUUUAUAUUCUCCACCGUUGUCUGAUCGGAGAACCUUAAUCUUCCUUCCUGUCUGAUUUUCAACUUUAGUUUUCCACUUAAGGAAAACUUCAAGCACCUCAUCUUUGUUCUUCAUAGGAAACACCCAAACUCGUCUGGAAAAAUCAUCAAUAAAGGUGACAAAAUAACGUCUUCCUCCAAGUGAUGGAGUCUUGGACGGUCCCCAUACAUCAGAAUGCACAUAAUCCAGAAUACCUUUAGUAUUGUGAAUCCCAGUGCCAAAUUUCACCCUUCGUUGUUUUCCCAGAACACAAUGCUCGCAAAAUUCAAGUUUGCAAGUCUUUGUACCUUUCAAUAAUCCUUGCUUGGCUAGAGUUUGCAAGGAUUUUUCACCAGCAUGGCCCAAACGCAUAUGCCACAGCUGUGUUGCCUCAGCGUCCUUCUUGGUACUCGAAAUUGCUGCUGCUGUUGUCCCAACCACUGUACUACCUUGGUAGUAAUACAGAUUGUUCUUUCUUAUGCCUUUCAACAUCACCAAUGCUCCUGAAGUUGCUUUAAGAACUCCAUCUCGUAUUGUCACAACUAGGCCUUCAGAUUCUAACGACCCCAAAGAGAUGAGAUUCUUCUUCAACUUUGGGACAUAUCGUACAUCCCGCAAAAUUCUAGUAGAUCCAUCAUGACUCCUCAGUUUAAUUGAACCUAUCCCGGCUAUUUUACAUGUGUUAUCAUUACCCAUGUAAACAACCCCUUCAUCUAGUUUUUGAAAUUCAAAGAACCAUUCCCGAAUGGGACACAUAUGAUAGGAACAACCAGAAUCCAUGAUCCACUCAUCUGCAUAUAAUGUUGAAGAUGUCAUACUAAGAGAAAAGUCCGACUCUGCUUCACUAUUGCAUUCUGCAACAUUUGCAUCUUGCGGAGUCUUCCCUUUUUUCUUCAAUUUUGGACAAUCUUUCUUCCAAUGUCCUUUUUCUUUGCAAAAGGAACAUUCAUCUUUGGCAACAGCUCGACCUUUGGACUUUCUUCUCUUCCCAUUAGACUGACUUUGCUGACGACCUCUUGUUACCAAUGCUUCCACUGCUGCUUCACCUGAACCUUUCAACUUAUCCUUUCGGCGUAGUUCAUAGCUAUACAAUGCAGCAGUUACUUCAUUGAAAGUUACUUCCGAUUUUCCAUGAAGUAGAGUAGUUUCAAGGUACUCAAACUCCUCAGGAAGCGAUCCCAACAACAUUAACGCCAAGUCUUCGUCUUCAAAAGUCACAUCCAAAUUCAACAAAUCAGCCACCAGCUGAUUAAAAUUGGUAAUGUGCUCGUUCAUCGUGGUACCAGGAACAUAAUUGAAACGAAACAGUCUUUUCUUCAUAUGCAACUUAUUUUGACUGUUCUUCUUCAAGAAUUUCUCCUCCAAUGCUUUCCACAAUUUACUUACAGAAGUCUCUUUACUGAAUGUAUACUUCUGCUCUCUGGAAAGACAUGAUCGAAUUGUACCACAUGCCAAUCGGUUGAUGGUCUUCCAUUCUUUAUCAUCAAUCCCUUCUGGUUUUUCUUCCUCAAUGGCAAUAUCUAGACCCUGUUGAAAGAGGGCAUCUAGAAGCUCACUUUGCCACAUGCCAAAAUGACCUGUUCCAUCAAAAAUUUCCACUACAAAUCUCGUAUUUGCAGUUCCAAUCCUCGGCAAAAUGUACGAAGUGGAAGUUGUUGAUAUGGAUGGUUUUUCUUCUGUCAUUUUUGCCAUAGCUUCUACUUAAUAGCCACCAAAUGCAGAAUACCCACAAGCUUUAGGAAAAUGUUUCUGAUGUGUAAGAUCAGACUAAGCUGCAAACACAGAGCAUACUACAAAAACUUGGCUCGGAUACCAAUUGUUGCGGAAGCGACGAUAAUAUUAAUAACAAUAUUAUCAGAAAUAUUUAGAUAAUUAUUAUGCCAACAAUUAUACUAAGAAAAUUCCCAGUUAAAUUGGAGGGGUCACAAAUGGUCCCGCUUAAAACCCAACAACUAGACAGAACUCACUUAGAUAUUUAUAGCAAUAAUAACUAAAUAAAUAUAACCAACAUAAAGCUAUUAAAUAUAAGCAAACAAAUAAGAAAUAAAAUACCAGAGAUUUAACGAGGUUCGGCCAAUUUAGCUUACGUCCUCGGACACUACCAAAUUAAUAUUUCUUCUAGAAAUAUUACAAAGGAGAAGAUUUUGGGAUGAUACAACCAAAGGGGGAGGGGUUCUAUAUAUAACAAACCAAACCCCCUCCCUUUCUAUCUUUUCCUAAUGUGGGAUAUUGCCAAUAUUCAACAAAAUAGACUUUACCAUGAAGGAAAAAAGGGAAGGGUACAAGAGGUUAUGGGUUUUAUUAGAGCUUAUUUACGGGAAUUAGAACAAGUUAACUCUUUAACAGAAACCAGAAUUAAACCAAGAAAGGAUUUCUGGAGACCCCCCAAAGCAGAACAAGUUAAAGCCAAUUUUGACGCAGCAUUUUCACAAUAAGACAUGACAGCAACAGCGGGAAUCUUUAUAAGAAAUCAUGAAAGUCUUGUAAUGGGAGCAUGUACUUACCCUCUAGGGAGAACAGGGGUUCCGAUCACUGCAGAAGCGAAGGCGUGUCUUCAAGCCGUCAUAUUUAGGGAAUAAAUGGGCUUUCGAGAUUUGGUUGCUCUUACCGUCAUUAAAAAACUUAAAUCAGACUCAGCGAAUAGAUCAGCGAUUGGCAACAUUAUUAAUGAAAUCCAAAGAAAAAGAUUCAGUUUCGUUAACUUAUCUUUUGAGUUUACCCUUCAAAAGACAAAUGAAGCAGCGCACGCCAUUGUAACUUGAGGGUACAAUUUGACUAGCCCAUCCUAUUGGAUUGACGAGGUACCGAUGGAGGUUGAACCCAUCACAGUCAAUGACCAAAUAAGAUUUUUGAACCGGCAGAAAAUGGUCAUUUCUGUUUGAGCCCGGGGAUGCAAUGCAAAAAUGACUGUCCUUACUACCCCCUGAUGAACUCAGAUUUAGGAGAAAUCUGGCAUGGCGCUUCAAUGGGAUCAUCUACAGUGAUGGAAAGGAAUAGCCAGUAUACUCCAUUAAAACGUCUAAAGAUGCAAAGAAGAGGAAAUGUGAUUUUUGAUAGACGGUAGGUUUUAUGUUUCUUCAGUUUUUCUUUUAGGUUUUACUUGCUUAGGAUCUUAUCUGUGGCCUUUCAAUUUCUUUUCUCUUUUUAUUUUUUAGGAAAACCUAAGGCACCACACCGAUUACCAGUAAUUUCAUGACAGUUGUUAGGACAACUAUUGAGUAUUUAUUUUUGAUAAGUGUACCACAUAUCCUCUUUAAAUGCAUUUUGAUUUUAUCUCAAAAAAUAUAUAUAUAUUUAUAAGUUAACUUUUAAAAUAGGUUUUGUCACAAGUCAAUACAUUAAGAGUAUUCAAAUUUUGGUUAAAACUAAAUUAACUAAUCGAAUCGACUUAAUUCGGUUAAUCGAUCUAAUUUGGUCGGAGGUCGAUUAAUGAUUGUUUGAAAGUUGUUCGAAAUCGGGUAAUUAACCAAAUUAACCGAACUUAAUAAUUAAUAAUACAAAUUAUAUGUAGUAUUAAUUCGGUUAAUACGAAUUCUCCCACUUAGCAAAAAAAUCUUAAACUUAUUUAAAUUUCUUUUCUCAUAAAAUGAUUGUUUUAAGGUUUCACCCGUGGAUAUGUUAACUUAUUCAAAAAAAAAUUUAUUAUUAUGGAUUUUUUUUAAGAUUUAUGAAAUUAAAUAUUAUUUUUUAUAGUCUUAACAACAAAGAGAUUGUGUUGUUUAUCCCGAAUAAUUUAAACUUCAUAAAGUUAGAUGGAUAUAUCCCGAAUAAUUUAAGGCAUCUACGAUAAUAAAGUUUAAAAUGAUACCGAAAUUACUUGUCAUUUUGUGUGAAAGAUGGAAGCCAAGAACACAUACAUUUUUUUCAUGUGAGGAAUUAAUUAUAACAUCAGAAGAUGUCAUUUUAAUAGCUAGUCUUCCAAUCAACGGGCAGGUGAUAAUUAGAGAUAGUAAUAUGGAUGCAAAGUCAAGUGUUAUUGAUUUGUUGGACGUUGCAUCAUCUUAGAAUGAGAAAAAUUAGACGAGAAUUGGGUGAAAUGUACAUUCUUAGACAGACUUGUCAAAUUGGUCCUGCACUAUAUGCAAAUAUAGAGUAGAUUGAUCGAUAUGUUAGAGUUUGAAUGCUUUAGACCAAGACAAUCAAUUCCAUUAUAGUAGUAAAUCAGAGCAAUUAACUCUAGGUUCCACUCCCGUGCAAACUCCCAUCGGUACUGACCAUAUCACUACAUACAUGUCGAAAUAUGGUGUACCGAUUGGUACAAAAAAAAUAAAAUAUAAUUUUAAAAUUAAAAGUUUUUAUUAUUUAUUUUGAAUUAAAUGAAUUGUGGAUUUUGCAAUAUGCAUGGUAUAGGAUGAUCUUAUUGUUUAAUUUAUGCAAUAAUUUUUUUAGAUUAUUUAUUUUAGUUUGUUUAAUGGUGGAUUGUAUUUGUGAAGCUUAUUAAAGAAUAUUUUCAUGUAAUUCAUGAGUAUUUUAUAUUUAAUAUUUAUUUAAUCUCAUUAUUUAUUUGUACAUAUGUUUUAUACAUAUAUAUAUUAUUUUUUAAAAAUAGUGAUAAAUCUGAAACAAUACAUUUAAAUAUAUUGACACUUGUACAUAUUAAUACCAGUAGAAAAAUGGUACGUCCACUGGUACAGUACUAGCAACCUUGCUUUAGAUGAUAAGAGGAAUGCUAUUUCUAGAUAAGUCUAGCAACAAGGUCCGUGCCAUGCAUUCCUCUACUAGAAUCUUUCAAUAUAACCAAUACAUUCAACUAUGGGUCAAUAACUCUAUCAUAUUUAUAUAGGGCGCUUUGUAGGGUGACUCAACAUAAGAUAGAUAAAAGUAAGCAAUUGUUGUAUAGUUCUACAAACUAGGGCUGGAUACGAACAUCGUGGUUAGCUUUCAUCCUUUCUUAGUCAUGGGAAUUCCUUAUUAUUCAAAGGUAAAAAUAUAAUCGUAUUGAAUAUCUUAAAAUGUAUCAAAUUAUCAAUAUUUAUAAUUUCUUAUUGCAUUUAACAUUUAAACAUAUUUAGGGGUCACUUAAAUCAUACCAAUUAUAGAAAGGACCUUACUUGAAUGUGAUAGGAAAUUGAUCAACUACUUUAUCAAAAUGUAUGUGAUGUUAUAUUCAUAUUCAAUAUAAGAGAUUAUUUCUAUGAAUUGAUAUAAUUAUAUUUAUCGGAAAUGUUUGCAAUUUCUUUAGAGAUUGUACCUAGACAAUGCACUUAUUACCAUUCUACAAAGGACAACAUAUGCUUACUCUACAUUGUGAAAGUUGCGAGUGCCCAUUACUUGUUCCAACAAUAAGGAGUGGUAGCACCUUGACCUGGUAAAAUGAAAGUUUGAGUUAGUGCAAGAAAUUUGAAUGAUCAAGAAAACCUCGAUUAGAUUCAUAAGAUAGAUUUGAGGGGUAGGAAGCAUCGAUGCACAGAGCAUUCAUAGUAUGUUGUGCUUUAGGGCCAGUGAACUCGGUAUUUCAUCUAUAGGAACAUUAUCCAGGAUAUUAAUUUCCAUCCCAAUAAGGUAUGUGCAAUGGUUUGUGAAAAUGGGUCUAUUGCGGUUAUAUGAGGUUUUGGUCAACUAGCGUAACUUUUCUAGCCAAAGCUAGAGCCACCAUACAACAAUUUGAGCUUGAGCCAUAUGUCAAAUCUACAUUUCAGGGCAUUGCGACCCGUCAGCCCUUUUGAUAUUUUAUCUAAUUGGGUAUUCAUUUUAUUUUGAUGAGGGAUCCAAUCAUACUAACACUCUUCCUUCAUCAUUUAUGACACUAGUGAUGGAAAAUAUACUUGUAAGUUUAGAAUUUACGCAACUUUUCGAUCCAACGAGUCCCUACACACUUCAACUCCUUCGUAUAUUGCAUCAUUAUUCUCUAAUAAGCUAAUCAGGUGUGCAAUUUAAUAUCUUCUUAUCGAUGCAAUAAAUGAAUCAUGGUGAUGACAAUGAUACUCCGAUCUAGGCACCAAUACAGUGGAAUCCAUCCUGGAACCAAAAACUACUGGUAUAUAGAACUAUUUCACCACAACAACGUCACUAUGUUAUUUUGAAUCCAUUGAUGUAAUGUUAAUUUUGUUGCAUUUAUUUUUGGGUUUACUUAUUUAGUUAUCAAAUUAGUGAGCUAUAAUUUUCGACCACUAAUUACAAUGCUAUAUUUAUCCAUUAUUAUUUUCAAAAAAAAAGGUUCAAGAGAUAAGAAUUCACGUGGUUUCUUAGUGUCACGUUUAUAUUUCUUACAACACAUUUUAUAUACAACAAUUUAAGCAAUUUUACUGUGAUAAUCUUUUUAAUUCAUGUAACAUAUGUAGCUUAUAGCAUGCAUAAUCUCUUGCGACAUGUUCUAUAAGUGUUGGGUGUAGAAAGGUGUAAUGGUAUGCAACAUUCUUUUAAAAACCUUCUCUUGGACUUUAAUGCAUUAAGCUCGUUACUAAUUUAAAAUCAACCAUGCAACAAUGAAUUUAUCAAAUGUUUUAUGCCGAUUUAGUAACACUUGAUGGAAGUGGAACCUUAAACCAAUUUCCCUAAACCUCAGAUAAUUUGCAAUUUGUGCCUUUAUUACAAUCCGUAGAUGAAGCUCAUUCGCUUUGACAUUAAGAACACUCAUACCAUCAAUUUCAUGUCAAAAUUGAAGAGGUACAUGACAAUUGGGCACCCUUCCAUCUAACGAAUCUCCAAUUUAAAUAUAUUACUAACUUUGAAGUUACCAAAACUCUAAAAUGGACUUUGAGUUAAACCAAAACAAAUGGUGGACAUGGCAAACAUCAUCCAUUGCUAAAUGUUUUCUAGGUGUUGGCAACAUCUGUGUCUUUCAGCUAAUUAAGAUACUAAAUUGACAUCACCAAAUGAAGGGAUUUAUCAAGCUAAUAGAUGUCAAGUUAAUAACACUAGAUGAGAACUGUGUUAUAGGAAAUAUCCUAUUUUUCCUAAAUCAUAAAAAAAUGAACCCAUCUUUCUAAACUUCAAAUUUUAAGUGGAAGAAUGGUGUGUAUUUUUUAUUUGGGUAUUUUCAUGGGAGAAAUAUGUAAAUUUAACCUUAAAUCUUAUAUAUUAAUGCUUAAAUUUAUAUUUAAGGAUUAAGAAAAUUUGUUAAGAUUUUGAGUUUAGAUUUUUUUGUUGCGUAAGAGAGGAAGAAGUGGCAAGUCACAUGUUCAUAGUAUUCUUGAUUAAACGAAUCCUAACAAAAUAUUCAAGUAACUCGACACCUAUGAGUGUUGAGGUCUAUUUUUUAAAUCAUCACUUAUUCUUAUCAUCCAUUAGUGCACUUAUUAGGAAUAUCUUAGAACGUCAAAUAUCUCGACACCUGUGGGUGUCAAGUUUAGAACGAAAACCUUAAACCUUAGAAAGAGAAACCUAAUUUAAAAUCCUAACCCUAAUGUAAAGCCCUAAACUCGAUACUCAGGGAUACCAAAGUUUAAUCUUUUUUUUAGAGAUUCCUACCUGAGGUAAAUAUGGCACGCCAUGUGUAAUUGUUUGGUUGUUCUGUCGGCCACACAGGUUUUAACAGUAGAAACUGAUGAAACUUUAACAGAAAUGACCAAUUUGCUCUUUGAUCUAAUGUACAAUGACUAAUUUGUCAAUUUUUUUAAUAAAUGGGGAGAAAAGCAAUCUAACUCCUAAAAGAACCGAACAUCCAUCAAACUGGAGAGGAUGACAAGAAAACCCUCCCUAAAAUUACUUGCACAAGGAAGAUUACAUGCAUAAACAAGAUUUAAAAACUUGUAAAAAGACAAGACAAAAAAUUUCAAAAAUGAAGACUUAUUAAACAAUGGAAAACAAACAAAAUAAUAUAUAAAACUUAAGAUAAUACAGGUCCAAACCGACUCAUUAAAUCAUUUAUUAUUCUAAAAUACUCUAAAAAUAUAAACAUAUUAAGAAGCCGAUGAAGAGACUAUUUUAAUAAUAAAUAAGAAAUACUGGAACAAGAAAAAUAGAAAAUAAUGUUAGUAAAAUAUAUUAGGAUGCAUUUUUCUCAAAAACCGUGUGACGCAUAAUGAUUGAUCAUAACUGUUUUCUCGCAAAUACUUUAAAAGCUAAAUAAUGCAUCCAUCACCUUUGAAUUAGUUAAACUUAAACCAUAGACUCUUGGGUUUGAAAAGACCUUCUUAGAGGAAGAAACAUUUACAUGCAAGGAUCAAUAUGAACUCAAAGAGGAACCCCAACCUCCCUCUUGUUGACACUAUUAAACCACCUGCCUCAGCCAUUAAUGUUCAUUCUUGCACACUCCCACACAUCAACAUUUGGGACCAAAAGAAAUCUCUAAACUUUCUUAAUCAUGAUCGGGCCUAUGACCUUCUCAAUAGGACCCUUUCAAUCUAGGGGGAGAAAGACAAAAUUGUAUGGAAAUAUGAUAUUAAUGGUUGCUUCUCCAUGAAGAGUGCCUAUGCCCAUCAGAUGCAACCGCACUUGCAGUUGCACCAUUGCACAAAGCAUGGACUAAUCUAUGGAAGCUUAAACUCUUGUACAAGUUGCCUCCCAACCAAGGAGCUUCUCUCAAGGCGCCUUUCCAACGAUGAUAACCACUGUUCUUUUUGCAAAGAAAGCAAUGAGUCCAUUGAACACCUUUUCAUUGAAUGUAGUUUCGCUCGGGUUGUCUAGUUUGGUUCUUUUAUUUUCCUCCGCUCUGACUCUCUUCGUAUUUCUUCCUUGUCAUCAUGAUUUCAUUAGUGGCUCAACUCAAACAACAUUCACUCUCUUGAUUCAAGGAUAUUUUAAACUUGUAUGGCUUUCACCCUCUGGAUAAUUUGGAAUUCAAUAAAUGAACUCACCUUCAAAAUGGCCGAUCCUUCUACAAUAAGACUAAUCAUAAGGAAACAAAAUUUCCAUAAUUCUAUAAUGAAUGCCUUCCCCUUUGAAAAUUUGCAAAGGCAUCAGUCAAGAAUUCGAAGAUCGAAUCCUUUUGAAAAUCCCCUUUCCAAAUGAACUCUCUCUCUCUUUGCAUUGUCCAUUGCAGAGGAGUGUAAAAAAAAAACACGAAAAAGCCAAAAUGAACCAAACCCAGAAAACCAAAAAAUUUAGUUUAUUCAGCUUUUCGGUUUAAUCUGUUUUCAUGUUCGGUUUAAUUAGUUUGUUCAGUCAAUUUUCGGCUUUGACAUUUUAAACUGAAUAAAUCAAUUAAGGCCAUAAGCCCAUAACCCAUUACAUGCCCAAACCUAAUUUUAAACCUUAAGCCCAAAUAUCCAUUAAAACUUAAUACUCUUAAAAUCCAAUUUCAUUAAUAUUUAAAACCAGAUUGAUAACUUAAAUUUUUUUUAUGAUAUUCAUUUUAAUUUUUAUCAUUUAAUAUAUAUAUAAAAAAACCAAAAUUUAUAUAUACAAGUUAAGAAUAGUAGAAGACAUGAAAUUGCAUGUUGGUCGUGUGAGAAAAUAAACAAUGUUUGAGUUCAUUAAAAUUUAUUUGAUUUAAUUUUUAAUAUUUUUAUAAUGAAUUUGAAAUAAAAAUAAAAUUAAAAGUAAUACGACAUACUAAAUUGAAGAAAAAAGAUAAUUAUGUGAAAAAAUUAAAGGAAAUAAAAUUGUAACUACUUCAAUUAGAAUUUGAUCCAUCUAAAAACUAAAAAAUCGAAUUGAAUCGAACUGAAUUUUUGGCUCGAUUCAUUUGAUUUUACUUCUUAAGUCGGUUUGGUUUAUUCGGGUUACAUGGAUAAUUUAAUUUAUUCGAUUUUUGAGAUAAAAAAAUGAACUGGCCGAAUACACACUCCUAAUCUAUUGCAGGUGAAAUAGCUUGACUGACAGAGUUGCCAUUAGAUCACCAUAAAUUCUCUUAGUUUCUAUCCACUCAAAGCUACAAAAUUGCUUGCAAAAACCAGGUCGGACUUCUCACUCCCCAUUCUAUCAUAAUAUUUCUGUCUAUAGGUUUCUCGGAGGUGACAAAAAAUGGUCGAAUAUCAUACGUGGGCAUACAAAAGUAGAAAGGAAGCUCCAAGCAGCGUUUGGUGACAUCAAGCAUCUCCUCCAAUUCGUCCACAUACAAUAUGAGCCAAUGGACAAUAACCAUUUAUCCUGAAGAACCAAACGAUGGGCUACAUGUGCUUCAAAGGCGUUUGUUGGUUUUUAUGACCUUAAUCCUCAUUGGUUUGUACAGAAAAAAAAAGAGGUGACUUUUAAAAUUUUAAUUUUAAAUUAUUUUAAUUAAAAAUAAUUAAUUUUGAAGAUAAAAAAGAUAAAAUGGUGAAGAUUAAAAAAAAAAAAGAAAAACCCUUUUAGGCUAUUUAACCUCAGGUCCUUGGAGCAUUAAUUAAAAUAAAAAUUAUUGACAAAAAUGACACGUAUGAUAGGGUUAUGUGUCUUGACAAGUCAAUAAUUAACAAAUGACAGUAAAGUUCGGUACCAAAAUUAAUUUUUUGAAAGUUUAGGUACUGCAUUAGAAGAUUUGACAAAGCCCGAAUACCAAAUAUGAUAUUAUCCCAUAAAAACUAAUAGUAAAAGUAUCAUAGAGGUCAUUGUAUUAGGAGUUAGAUUGCAUUUUGACCCAUUUAUUCAAAAAAUGGUAAAUUAAUCUUUAUACGUUAAGUUAAAAGAAUAAACUGGUUCUUUUUAUUAAAAAUUUCAUUCAUUUCUGCUCUUAAAAUUUGAUGUAGUUGACGGAAUAACCAGAAAGUUACAUUUAACGUGCCACGUGUACGUCAUGUUGAUGCACAUGAAUCGAUUUUUAAUAGUUGAAAUUGAUAAAAUUUUUAAUAGAAUGACCAACUUGCACUUUGAUCUAAUGUAUAAGGGUUAAUUUGCCCAAUUUUUCGUAAAAAGAGUAAAAUAUAAUCUGAUUCCUAAUAUAAAAACCUUUGUGAUAAAUUACCAAAAACUAACAUAUAAUGGAAAUUGCACCACGAAAUUUGAACUUUAUUAUUUUAACCAAAUUCUCAUUAUUUUACAAUUUUUUUAAGAACAUUAUUUGUUUUUCACUCACGCGCCAUAAUCUAUUUAUUUAUAUUAUUAAUAAAAAUAUUGACUGAGUUAAUGUCACAAGUUAAUUAGGUACCAAUUCGUUUAAAAAAUAACUAAUAUACUCAUUUAUUAAAUGACUACUAUUACUAUUUUGAUGACCUAUUUAUUAUUUCAUACAUUUAUAUAAGUUUUAAAUAAAAAACUAAAAUUAAUAUGUUUAAGAGUUGAAUAUGCAUUUAAUGGAUUUAUAAAUAAAUUAUUUAUCACUACACUAAUAAUAAUUCUAAAGUAACUUUUAAAAAAAUAUUAAAUUUUAACAUAAAAAUGUUUUCUCUCAUGUGGACAUACGUGUGUAUAAAUAAUGUCACUAAUUGCGUUGGUAUAAUAAGUCGACCUGAUAUUUAAUUUUUAAAAAAUAAAAUUUUAAUAUUGAAUUUUCUUUCACUAACUUGAUAACUUUUUAACUUGUUAUAGAAAAAUAUCAAUACUAUGAUAAAUAAUUGGAGUGCAUUACCUAUUUAAAAUAUAUUUUAUUCAUAAGUUCAUUUUUAUUUUAAUUCUGUACAUAUUGCAUAUAUGUUGUUAGUCAACUCAACACUAACUCAUAAUUGAUUAUAACAACAUGCACAAUUGUAGUGCAUUUAGUAUUAUUUAUUUGAUGUGUUUAUAUGAUUAAUUUUUUUAUACAAUAUUAGAGGUAGGGGAUAGGAGUAACACGGUUCAAUUCCGUGCCAAAUGAGUGUCUAACAAGAGUUUUAAUCGCUGCUCUAUUUAAGUCAACAUGUGUUAUUAUGAUCAAUUGUUAUUUUGAUAUAAAUAUCCACAUUUUAAAUCCGUAAGUGCAAGAUUAAAUAAAUUAAAUAAUAAUUAUCAUUAAAAAAAAGGAUGAUGUAACAAGUUAAUGAAAUGUAACGAAGCAGGACUGACGUCAUCACUAUCCAGCCAGAAGUUGAACAAGACUCGAACAAAAUCUAAGGGUUACAAGGUAAUUUCAGUUACUACAAGUGUCGGUUACCUGCUUUUGCUUGGCCAAAUUUCAUGCGAAGUCCCUGUACUAUGCGCAUCUGAGUCUCAUUAUUAUAAUUUGAUCCUUUUUAAUUCAUUUAUUUUUUUGAAAUAUGUAUUUUCAAUAUUGAGGUUAAUUUUUUUCCUUAAUUAUGUUAGAUGAAUUGAUAUGUUUUUUUUAAACAUGUGAUGACGUAAUACAUAUACUUAGCAAUUUUAUAUAGUUGAACAAAUUUUUUGCACAUUUAAAAAAUAUAAUAAUUGUCAAAUUAUACGAAAAAAAAGUUGGUCUAUAUGUUGCAUCAUGAUAUAUUUAAGAAAAAAUUGAUCCAAUGUCAAAUUACUUGAAAGAAUUCACACAAAAAACUACAUUUUGAACAACAAAACAUUUAGAAAUGAUAAAAUUAUAGUAGAAAGAUUAAUAUAAAUCAGGGACCAUUCAUGGGAAUUUACCUUUUUGUUUUUAAAUGUCCGAGCCACUGUUCCGAAAAUGUUUACCAAUUUUUGCAGGUGCGCUUUAUUUGGCGGGUACGAAAUAAAUAAUAAAUAAUAUAUAAAUAAAAUAAUCAAACAAGGCUAAAAUUAAAAAAAAAAAACCCUCCGAAAAUCAAACCGUACGGUAUUUUUAGAGAGCGAAAGAAGCAAAGCUCACACAUAGUGAAAAGGAAUCUCUUUUCUCUCUUCUUCUUCUUCUUAGCAAAUUUCAGCUCUCGAUUGAGCUCUUUUCGAUCUUUCUAGAACAUUCCAUUUAUCUCCGUUGAACCUUCCAUUUUCUUUUUUUGUUUGAUUUUUUUUCCGGCGAAGUCGGUAAGGUUAUUAUUGUUCUACGGACCACCCUCGCCCCCACCCACACAAUCAAAUCCCGUUUCGAUGGAGUUGUAUGGUCGUAACCCGACUCGUAAUGGGUCUCAAUCCGGUUAUCAACCCGAAUGGAGCCCCGCUGGGCCCGAAACUGGACUGGAAGGUAUUUUUUUUUCCGUUCAUUUCAAUGUGUAUGGAUUUUUUCUUUUCCUCUUUCUACUCGCAUUGUGAUGAUGUUUCUCUGGUAAAGCUUGUUUUAGGGGUUUUUUUUUCGAUUAAUAAUGCGGAGAGUGAAUUAGGGUUUUAUUCAUGUUUCUUUGUUGUGGUACAGAAUCGAGGUGGCAAUUGUCGGUGAGGGGCGUCGAAUCGUACCCGGAACGGCUCGGGGUGACUGAUUGUGUUUACUACAUGCGAACGGGGUUUUGUGGUUACGGUAAUAGUUGCCGUUACAAUCAUCCCCGCAACCGUGCCGCGGUAAAAUUUUCAAUCAUUAGUUUAUUUAGUUUUGUAUGCUAUUUUUGGUUCAGCAUUGAAAUGUUAUUGAAUAAUUUGUCUGAGAAUUUUACUUUCACUGGUGACAAUGGGGUGUAACUAAAUGAACUUAGUAUUAAGAACAAUGGAAGUGAACAAUGCGGUUUAAUCAUGGUACAUUUUGAUAAUAAUAGUGCAUAACUGAAGCAACAUCGAAAGAAAACUCUUAUAUGGUAGUUAUUAUUGUCAUGACCAAAUUGGUUGUAAUCUUUUGGUGAGGAAACCUGCAAAACUAAAAUGGUCGGGGUGUGCUGGAGUUGGUGCUCUGGCACGUACUAUGGAGCUCAAAUCGGUCAUUACUCCAUAAUUUGAGGGAGCAUGUACAUAAAACAAGAGGAAAAUGUAGAGAGUCACCCUUGCUUGCCUUUAUGGAGGCUAUCACCUUAUACAGAAGGCAUAUAAGUAGCAGGUAGUUACUAAAAUAUCCUUAGAGUCCUUAUGGGUAUAACAAUCAUUACUGAUUAUGUUUUCCUGAUAAUUUCAUUUAUAUAAUAUAUAUUUUUUGCUUAUCAUGUGAAGGGGCUUUUAUGCAAAUGCCUUUUUUAAUGCAUUGUUUCCCUUUAAAUAGAAACAGGAAACUACAAUUUAGAAGUUAUGCUUGACAUCCUCUGGUCCGAGUUUAAAUGAUGAGUGACUUGCAACUUAAGUCUGUGUUUCUUUACCGACUUCCCUAACACUGGUCAUUCUGUUGGCUCAUGUCUUACACUCUAUUUCAUACCAAACUAUCAGAUGCCAAGCAAGUUGGUAGAUGUUAUUUCAGUAUAUUUUGAGCAAAAGAUUUCUUUUUUUAUUAUGUGGUAAGAGAAGCAAGUAAAGUCUACCUUGGAAUUGUUUUUCUUGGACCUACCUCAAAUUAAAAGUUGAAACUCACGGGUUCUUUAUUUAUUGCAAAGGAAAUAGAAUAACAUGAUUCAAAUAAGUUAUUUGCUACCUUCAUAUAUUGUUAAAAAUGAAUUGAGGAUAGUUCUUGAUAGAAUUGGACUAUGUAAGAGAAUUUACUUUGGUCAUCUAGCCUGUUGUUUUAAACUGAGGCAGGAAUUACCUCGUUUUCAGCUUUAAGUUUUUUUCAAGAGUUGAAUUCCUUAUUUUUAUUUGGUUCUGAUGCCAUUUAGGUUGAGGCUGCAGUAAGAGCAACAGGGGAGUACCCUGAACGACCAGGGGAACCUGUAUGUCAGGUAGAAGAGUAAAUUAGUUUAUUGAAAAAUGCAAAAUUGUUUUCCUGUGAGUCAACUCUGCUAAUUAAAGCUGCAAACACCUCUCUUUUUAACUUGUUUCUUUUCCUUUUUCUCUUUUUGCAUGUGCAGUUUUAUUUAAAAACCGGAACCUGUAAAUUUGGUGCAUCCUGUAAGUUCCAUCAUCCAAAAGAUGGAGGUGGAUCCUUUAGCCAUGUUUCAUUGAACAUGCAUGGAUACCCAUUACGGCCGGUUUGUAUAUUCUUUUCUUGCUUUUUCGUCAGCUCUUAUUCAUAUGUUUUUAGGAUUCUUAAAACAACUAGGCAUCAAUUUGAUGCACAUCCAUUAUCAGGGUGAGAAAGAAUGCUCCUACUAUUUGAAAACGGGGCAGUGCAAAUUUGGUAUUACUUGUAAAUUCCAUCAUCCUCAACCAUCUGGAACAUCAAUGUCAGCAUCUGCACCUCAAUUUUAUCAGCCGGUGCAGUCUCCUUCAGUCCCUGUACCUGAACAGUAUGGGGGGGCAUCUACCAAUGUGAGAGUGGCAAGGCCUCCACCUUUACCUGGUUCAUACGUUCAAGGGGGGGCUUAUGGUCCUGUACUGUUUUCCCCAGGAGUGGUUCCUAUUCCGGGUUGGAGUCACUACUUGGUAGGGUGAUCAGCACAGUUGCAUUAAAAGAUAUAUCAAGACUAUAUGCGAUUCCUGAAUCUUUUUUGGCUUACCUGGUGCAGGCACCUGUAAGCCCAGUGCUCUCUCCUGGUGCACAACCUGCUGUUGGAGCAACUUCUCUCUAUGGACUAACGCACCUAUCUUCUUCAACACCUUCACUUGCAGGUCCUUAUUCCUCAUUGCCCUCUUCUACUGGCCUUUCAAGCAGUAACCAGAAGGAACAUACAUUUCCAGAGAGACCUGGUGAACCUGAAUGCCAAUACUAUUUGAGGACUGGGGACUGUAAAUUUGGAUCAUCUUGUAGGUAUCAUCAUCCUAGAGACAGGGUUGUGCCACAAACAAAUUGCGUCCUCAGCCCAAUGGGACUUCCUUUACGUCCAGUAUGAACAUUCUCAUUACUUCUUAUUAUAUUGUUUUCUUCUGUAAUGAUAAUUACUCAUUUAGAGUGGGCUUUUAUGAGAUCAUGACUUAAAGAUCUUGCGUCAUAAAUUGGGUUUGGUUAGGCUAAUAUGUUUUAAGUACCUGUGUUAUCUUUGAUUGUCCUGUUAGUCCAAACUUCCCUAUUAUCUGCUAUGCAGUUAGAAGUUUUUGUUCCUUGGGGAGGAAAUAAAGAGACGGCCCUUCAGCCCUAGCCCCUCUUAAUUAAUUUUACAAUUUUCUUUAAGAGGAACUUCUACCCCACUAAAAUAUAGACUAGGUGUGCUUCAUUUAGUGUAGGAUUGAGAGGCUUCAGUAAAGGUCAUCUUUAAUGGAUUUGAGAUUUCUUCAUGCACUAUCGACUGCUAUAUUUCUUACAUCCUGUCAAUAAUCUAUUGUUGAAGGUUUAUGCUGGCCUCAAAACUUAGGAAUCAAAUUAUUUCUUUCUAGAUGGUUUAGGUUGGUCAAAGCUUCAUAAUGAAUAUCGUGUUCAGAGAAGUGUAGUAGGAGAAAUGACUAUUAUUUACAAUUGUUGGUAAGUUUGAUGAUUGAUGAUAUUAGAUUUGGUCUCUAGAGAAGGUCUAUGAUGGAGCAUUUUUGUUAGGGAUUCUCAAGGCUAUGUUAAUUUGACUAUUCAUUUUCCUUGAAGUGUUGUGUCCAACACUCAUUUCCUACACAUAGCUGGAUAUUGUAAAGGGAUAAAAUCCUCCAAAUAUAUUGGAAAAAUAUUGAGCAUAUCCAUGCUAGACGCAUAGCCAUAUCUGACACUCAUCCCAGAGUCUGAGUAAUAUAGUCUCAGGGUUUCUAAUAUUCUUGUUGUCAGAAGAGAUGAUUAGGAAGAUUCCACCAAUUUAUGGUGGAGAAUAGCAUUCUUUUUUUUUUUUUUUCAAUUGGAGAAGCUAGGCAACUUAACACCAUCAAGGUUCCCUAUGCUUUAAACUACACAUAGUUAAGGUUUUAUUACUCUUAUUUUUAAUUCCACUCAUGUUUUUGGCUAGAUAGACUUGCGGUUGAGUUAAUAGCUGCCUUUAGCUUUACAUACUAAGGUUCUUAAUCCAAUGCUUCCUAAUCUAGUGCUGCCUUUGAUUGGGCACCCUCACAACCACUCUCUUCAACUUGUCAUGAUGAGACACAUUAUGCUAUGUGAGGGUGUGGUUAAAUGGUUUUUACCCACUUUUUCAUUUACAAUGCUCGUAAUGUGAGUCUUGGUUAGCUAGGGCUGAUCAAGUAUGGACUAUGGAGUGAUAGUAAUUCAUCAACUUGUAAUUUAUAGUUUUAGUAACAUAUGCUUCGGUCAUUCACUUUUGCAGGUGAUGUUUGUUAUCUAGUCCCGAAAGACGUUUUAUGUUUAUAGCUCUUCUUGAGUUAUGCUAUUUUCCUGAAAACAAUUCUAGCAUGAUUAUAUACUUAUUGAGUCAAAUUGUAGCGUUUUAAUGGAUGUAAAGCAAUAACAAUGCUAUUCUGCAUUAACAUUUGCUAGUUCUGGUUAUAGCUACUGCAUCCCUUGAAUUUCAGAUCGAUCAAGACUUUAGUGAUCAUAUAUCUUGUUAUUCUACUAUAAUAGCAAUUAUGUACCAUCUUGUGCUUUAGUAACUCUACUCUAUAAUACUGGGAAUGAUGUUUUUGACACAUUACAUUUUGCUUCUUAAAUUGCAUCCAGGUUUUUGUCCCUUGCAACUUUUCUCAUUUUUUUAGAAAAUAUUUUAAUUUGAUUUUUUUUUUAUUUCCUGUAAACAGGGGGUGCAGCCUUGUGCUUUCUACUUGCAGAACGGGCACUGCAAGUUUGGGUCCACAUGCAAAUUUGAUCAUCCGGUGGGAACAAUGAGAUUUAGUCCAUAGCGGCGUUUCUCAUUGAUACACCAGUUGCUCCGUGUUCUAUUGGGUCUUUACUGGCUACAUUGGCCUAUCCUGUUCCCCUUUCAGAUUUUCAGCUUUCAAGCACGAGACAGGAUUGUGAGGUUUGUCACUCAAAUCGAUGCAAAAUGCUAGAGCCAUUUUUCAUUUUCUUGCCGAUGUGAUUUCACCAUCCUUGAUAUAUUUUCUGUUGAUAGAUCUCAGUAUAUUAUAGUCAAUUGUGCAAAGUUAUAUUUCUCAGAAGCAAGGGUUGUCAACAAAUCUGCCUUACCACACAAUCGGACCACUAUUUUAUGCCUCUCUUGUCUUUAUUUACUGUCAAAUAUAAUCUGGAAUAAGCUUUUGUAGCAAACAGUGUAUGAACUCCUAUCUACCGCUUUCUUCCAAAUAAAUCGAAGCAGAGAGCCGUUAUAUCAGGUUAGCCUCUGACUGUACUUUCAACUUGAUGUUUUAUAUACUUUGUUCAUUUGCAAUGAGGAAUUGAAGAAUGAUUUCCACUUCCCUGUAAGUCUUAAAUCUUCUCCAUGCCUUCUUAUCACUUGAUAUUACAGAUUUCCCUGCUGCUUAUUUCUGUUUAGGCAGAAUUAGCAAUUUAUGCAUUUGUGCUGUGUGUCGUCCUUGUGUCACUUUCCUGUGUUACAAUCGAGUUUUUGGUAUUAUAUGUUUUAUAUAAAAUUUGAUACGUUAAUAAAGCAUUUUUUCUAUGUUUUUUCGACUCUUAGUUUCUGUCUUUUUGCAUUGCUCAUGUCCAGCAUUCAUAUCAGAUGCUCAUGUCUAACGAUGGUAUCUGAUGUAUAUCCGGACAUAAUUAUGGGGCAUGAUUCUUAAAGGACCUUUCAAAAUAAUGGGAAAAUUUGAAAAGAAAUGAGCACACCUUUGUUGGAUACAUGUAUAUAUAUCCUUGCAUGCUAAGGAGAUGAUACUAAACAGCAAAGAUUCUUUUUGUCAUUGUACUUUUUUAAUUGGUGACCCAAAUUUUUGGGCCCUUUUAUUAUGGUCACCCAAAUAAAAAUAUUUGCAAUUUGAUCAUUGUCGUUAGAAAAGCAUUUAUUUUAGUCACUUAAUUGUUAAAUCUAUAAUUGCAUCGCGUCACAUCAUUUUUGACCAUUUUUUUAUCCCAUAUUACUGUUUAUCUUCUUUCCCUCCACACCACACUACCCCUACUUUCACCCUUCUUAUUUUUCCUUUGCUUUAAAGUUUCCAACUUGUUCAAUAAAGAGAAAAAAAAAAUCCAAUUUCUAAGGAUUGUAGUAAGAUAUGGAAAUUAAAUAAAAAACCCAGUAUCAAAAACAAGGCAACCCAAAUCAGCAAAAAUAUUCAACAACAAUACUAAUGAACGUUCUUUAUCCAAAAAACCAAGACUUCACUUUAAUUGCUAAAAAAGAGCUCAGCUGUUGUUUAUCCAUUAAUAAGAAAACCAACAAUUGAUCCAAAAUCAAACUAUAUGUUAAAAAAAGAAAAAUAAAAAGACCUAGAAAAAUUUAGAUCACAAACACCAAAAACCAAUGACUUCUUUUUCCCAUUGGAUAUAUGGAAAAAAAAGUAUGAUAUUACAACUGAACUUCAAAAGAGAGGAUCAAGGUCAACAAUGACAACACAGGGCAGUCUCUGAAUUUCGACACAACAUAACAUGAACCAUAAAAGAUAGAUUUAAAAAAAAAAAAAAGAUGGUGCGGUGGCUGGAAGCAAAGAGCAAAGAAAGAAGAAGAAUGGCAGCAGCAAGGGUGGUGUGGAGGGGAAGAAGAUGAUGAAGAGUGGAAGUGGGGUUAAAAAAAUGGUAAAAAAUGAUGUGGUGUGUAUAGUCGGCCACCUUUAGGGAUUUAACGUUUGAGUGACAAAUGGAAAAAAAUUCUCUAAUGACAAUGAUCAACUUGCAAGUAUUUUUAUUUGAAUAACCAAAAUGAAAGCGCUCAAAAAGUUGGUGAUCAAUUAAGUAGUUUACCCUACUUUUUAUUUGUUAUAAAUAUUCUUAAAUGACAGUAUAAGUUUUGUAACACCCCAAACUCAACCUAAGCAUUCAGACCAAAUCCGAAGAGUUAUAUUGACAUUACUAGAGAAACCCAUUUUUAUAACACAAAUCAAAGAAACCAUUCGACAAAUUAUAAUGGCUGUAAAGGUCAGCCAAUAAUCCAAUAGCCUUAAAGUCAUAUUACUAGAGAAUGCUAUAAUUACUGAUAAUAAUAAUAAAGGGUGAUAAAGCGAGUUGAUUGAGCUCCCACCAUUCUGACCCGAUCAAGACUGCGAGUUACCUGAAAUUCAGUCAAUAACAAAAUGAGUUGAAAACUUAGCAUAUAAUCGUAAUAGGUUUAUCUAAAAGCACAAUCACAAUAGUAAAUUAUUGAAUCUCAUAUGUCAAUUAGAAUCAGAGGAUAAUUAGUGCAAAUUCAAUGUAUCAGUUAUGCAUCAGAACAAUUCCGGUUCAUAUACGAUACAAAUUAGGAACAGAUGCAGUUAUUCCUACCCCACAGCUACACACCAUUUUUGAUCGUCCAAACACACCAUUAAAGGCAUUUAAUACCCAUCAAACUCUACAUAUCGGAAGUGUCAAUCUGACACGUUUAAUGAGGUGCAGACUAGCUGUCAGAUCAAAAUGCGAUAAAAUACCAAAUUCACGUAUAAUUGUGGCUUUAGCCAUCGAAUCAGAACAGAUCACUUCCUCCUUUACAAAAUUCCCAUCCCAUGCAAUGCAAGUUACAGAUAUCAAUAACAUAUGCUCAGUUAUUUAGACUCAAUUCAUAAUUAAGUGAUACAAAUCAAUAUCAUUGACAAUCUUCACAAUACGUAUACAUAUAUAAUCAACACCUCAGUCUCAAAACAUCAAAUAACACUCAUACAAUCUAAUUCAGAUCAUAAAUACAUUGUGGAAGGCCAAUGUUCGUGUUAGACAACGCUUACGGCCUCAGAGACAAGAUUUAGAGUUUUCUCCACAGACCACACGGCCUGACACUUGCUCGUGUGCCCACUCGUGCGUCUUACACGAAUCGACACACGCCAGUGUGCCCACUCGUGUGUUUCACACGGCUCGGUACAUGCCUGUGUCAUCUGCUCGUGUGUCCUAAGUCGUAAAUAAUGAGUCACACUGCUUGAACACGCCCGUGUCUCUAGUUCAUAUGGUAUCCAAAAAUGAUAGUAGGUUAUACGACCUGGGCACACGCCCGUGUCCCUAACUCGUGUGUUCAUUAUGUUGUACUCAGUGAGUAACAUGGCCUAGACACACGCCCAUGUCUUUGGCUCGUGUGAACUCUGCACUAACAUGAUUACACAUGGCUUGGACACACACCCGUGUCCCUUGCCCGUGUGGCUCGUAUUUGGUGAACAGUGUGUUACAUGACCUAACACACGGCCUGUCACACGCCGUGUGGCAUCGACAGUCAUAUUUUUUGACAUUCGAAAUUCACAAAAACUUAGGUUUUUGGUACGCACUUGAAGUGAUUUCGUAGUAGGAACAACGUAAAGGAUCUCCGAAGCCUAAAACGAUCAUCCAAUAACUCAAUCAACCAAAUUUAUUGACAAUAAUGCACAAUUAGAUGUAGAACACUUAUGUCGAAAGUUUUGACACAACCUUCAACGAAUUCAACACUUACCGAAAGAUCAACAACAAUUACUCGAAUUGACUUGCCGAGAUUCGCUACUUCCAACACCUACUUCUAAAAUAAGGAAACCAAAAUAAUUUAACUAAGAGAAUUGAUCUAUUAGCGCAAAACUAUCUCAACGACACGAAUUCGUCGUUUCUUAGAACUUCUAACAGAAUUACACAGUUAACUUUCAGUUGAUAUCACAGAAACGUACUUACUCGACCCGAACAUCAGAUCAGAAGAAGAAGUCCAUCAAUUGAUAACAGAAACGCCCAAGAGAUAUAAAAAAAAUGAAGAAGAUAAAGAAAAAGAAAAAGAAAGAACUUACGUUUUAAAAUUUGUUUUAACCUCCAAUAAGUUUUCCGACCGUUAGCAAAAAUAUUUCUUAAUGUAUACGCUAAAACCCGAACACAGAACUAAACAGAAUACAGAAGCUUAACCAUUGAACAAACAUGGUCAUUCUUGUCAUAGAGUUACACAGAGUUAAAUUUAAGUUAACGAUUUAAGAGCAAUGAUUGAUAGUUAACUAGCAAAACUUCUAAAAUACGACUUGAAUUCCUGACCACGAACACAUAAGCAAAACAUUUAACCAUAGAUACAGAAACUUAAUUAUUGUAAAAUCUUACAAAUAAACAUUCAAAAUUUGGGGUGUUACAAAUUUAUAUAUAUAUUUGGAGGAUGAAUAUGAAAGAGUAUGAUUAUUUGAAUAUAAAUUUUUUUAUAACAUAUAAAUAUCACAUAAAUAUAUGUUUUUGAUAUUUAAGUAUAAAAAAAUAUUUAAUAAUGAUAUUUUUUAAAAUAAGAUUUUUAAAUAAUAAUGUAAUUUAAUAAUUUUUAAAUAAUAUUUUGUUUGAUAAAAAAAGUUUUAAAUGUCUAUAAUAUGUAUAAAAGUAGUUUUGAGAAUUUUUUGUACAUAUCAAUAUAACUUUUAUUCCUCGGUAUAUUAGUAAAUACCUUUUCUCAUAUUAGAUUCUGAUCAUAUCUGUUUUUUUUAUAUAAUACCUAGAAUUAUUCAUAGUCUCUUGUCAACUCUUAAAUAGGAGGAUAAUGUGGUUCUACGUAGUUGAACCCACGUCCUCCUACAUUAGUAACAAUAUUGAUGCCAAUCUAGCUAAAACUCAAUUGACUAGUAAAUAUCAUUUUUAAAUAUACAUUUUUUUUAUUUUUCUAAGAUUUAUCACAUUUAUAAAUAAUAAUUUUAUUUUUACUAAAAUAAUUGGUUAAAAAGAUUACUUGAUAAAAAGAUUUAUGUACUUAUAAAUAAAAAUUAUGAUUAAUUUUAUUAAAUGAAUUUAUAUAAUAAAUAAUAAAUUUGAUAUUAAAUUACUUUGUAUUUAAAUUAUCAUGUUUCAAUUGACUGAAAAAUUUAAAGGAAAAAAAUGAUAUUACUUUAGUUUUAAAUUGCAAGUUUUAGUUAGUUAUUUAUUUAUUAAUUUUAUAUUUCAUAUAUAAAUUUUUAUGGUUAAAGUGUAAAUUUACCAUCAUAGGUGAUGAAUAUUGAAAUUUGUCGCUAUACUUUACUUUCGUGGAUAUUUACCAUUAUAUUUUAAAAACAUGAGUAAAUUUUUUAUUCAAACUCUAACGUGAUUUAAUUUUAUUACUAAGCUUUAAAUUUUAUUAAAUUUUGAAACAAUUUUAUUUUUUAAAUUAAAUUUUAUCACUUUAAAACAUAUUAAUUUUGAUGAUUUGUAAAAACAAUUAAUAAAAAAAUUAUUUCAAAUAUUUUAUUAGAAUAGUUAACAAUAAUUUAACUUAUAAAUAUUAAAAAUUAAUAAAUUAAAUUACAAUUUCUAGUUAAUGAAAUAAUCUUGAAAAAUAAAAAUACAUAUAUCAUAAAAGAAAAAAUAAGUUUACUUUUAUAAAAUAAUCAUUUUCUUUAUUUUUAAUAUUAUAUUAAUUAGUGAAUAUUAAAGUAAAAUAUAAAAAGAAUUAUUAUUAAAUUUUUCUUCAAAUUAUUUGAUAAUCUAAUCUAUUUUGUUUUUGAAUUUAUUAAUUACUUUACCCCAAAUUAAUUUAUUUUGCUUUUAUUAAUGUUUGUUAAGGUGGUUUCGAUAUUACUGCAUAGGCAUUACCUUUGUUUUAUACUUUUUUUCCCCUAAAAUACGUGGAUUUAAUUUUAGAAAAUUAAUUUGUUAUAUAUGUUUAAAAUUAAAUAUAAUCCUUCCCCGACCUUUAAAUAGGAGAAUAAACUCGCUUCAAUGCGCUUGAACUCACAUUUUUUAACACUGACAACAGUACCGAUGUCAAUUGAACUAAAACGGUUUAAACCUAUGACUUCUAAGAUGGAUACACUAUUACUUAACCAUUCAACCUAUGUCUUAUUUCUUAUUUAUUUUAGUCACUUAAUUAUAUAUAUUUAUUUCGGGCUCAACUUACAUAUUCUUUAUUAGCUUAUACAUUUACUCAUUUUUUAUUAACUUAUUUAAUUUUAUAGUUUUUAACACAUUUCACUUUAGUUUAUAUAUAAUAAUUAAUACUCAUAAUCAGGUCUCAUUAUUAAUAUUUUAAUUUAUUUUACCCAUUUUCCAAUUAGGUCCUAACUCAACUAAAACACACUAUUUUCAAAUUAAAUCUCGUAAUCAAGUUUCGUUUUAGAUUAAUUAAUAAAACAAAACUUGAUUAUAUUAUUUUAAUACUUUAAUUAAUUAUUUAAAGCAAAGUUUAAGGGCUAAAUCAUAAUUUUAGUAAAAUAUUUUAGUAAAACCUUUUUGGUAAAAUCAAGAGUAAAAUUAUGGAAUUAUCCAAAUAAGACUUAAUCAUGCAAAUUUUCAAGUCAUUUCAUAGCAUUUAAGGGCUUCAAUUGCAUAGCAUAAAAAUUAGGACUCAAUUGCAAAGAUAAUAAAACAUGCCCAACCUACAUAUGACAUAUUGACACCUAUACAUACUAUUUCGUGUUUUCAUGCCAAUUUUCCUAUUCUAACAUGUCGUACAUCAUACAUAGAUCAUUCAAAUCAUGCUUAGUUAUAUUAAAACAUAUAUUAACACAUUUUAACAAUCACGCGUAUUCAGGGUUAAAUUCAAUCCAUCAAUCACAAACCCAAUUCUUCUAACCCAAUUUUUAGGAUGUGACAGAAAUUGUUAAAUUGUAUUUGUUUACCCCAUUACGAAAAAUUCUAAAUUUCUUUCUUUUUUUCAAUACUAAAAUUUUAAAUUUCAAAAUAUCAAAAUAAAUUAUUGAAAAUUGUUUGAUUUGUUACUAUAAUAUUAAAAUUAAUUAAAAUAAUCUCUUUCUAAAAUUUUAAAUUUUAUUUUAUGUUUCCAAAUUAAAAUAAACUCAAAUAACUCAUCCUUAAUAAUUGUUGAUGAAACACAAAUUUCUUUUGAUUAUAUGAACUUAAAUCUUCUAUGCUAAGCUAAAAAUAAAGAAAAAUCUUUAUAAUUAAUUAAUUUAAUUAAUUAUUUGAGUUAAUUUCGUUAAGGAUAAUUUAAAAACAAAAAAUAAAAAUUUAAACUUCAAGAGAUUAAUUUAAUUAAUUUCAAUAUUAUAGCAACAAAUCAGUUGACAUUACCAAUGGAUAAACAAUUUUCAAUAACUUAUUUAAAUUUUUUUAUUUUUUGGAUUUUAAAAUUGAAAUAUUUAAAAAAAAUUAAAAUUUUUGACAAUGGGAUAAGCAAAUACAAUUUGAAAAAUUUUGUGUAUUAUUUUAACUUUUACUGCUUUUUCACUUUGAUCCUUUAUCUUUUUUUACCCCAAUCAUUGUUUAAAAAAAUAUUUUUUGGGUGACUAAAAUAAAAAUAUAAACAUGAUGUGACGUGCAUGGUUAACAGUCAUUAGAGAUUUAACGCUUAAGUGACUCAAAAUAAAAACAAUCUAAAAAUUGUAAGGAAAUUACAAAAUUUUCAUUUUGAAGAAAGGGGCUUAAAAAUUAUAAAGCAAAGAUUAGGAAUCAAAAUCUAAUACUCCAUCCCUGAGUAGAAACAGUGGCCUCAAAGAUUUUAUCACUCUUAAAUAAUCCAUGUCCAUUAUUUAAAGUCAAGAUUAUAUAGUCUUUCAUUACUAAAACUUACACAAUAAUUUGUAAUAAAUAUAGAGUGGUACGAUUACAAUACAAAAACAAAUAUCAUCGAACUAACUCAAGCAAGUGACAAGGGAAGAUGAAGGACCUUGAUUACUUCUCAGCCAGCUCAUCGCGCCGCGCGUGCAGCUCGCUGCGGUGGUGGUGGCCGCACCGUGCGUGAUAAGACAAUGGCCAGGAGGGUGAAAGUAAUAACCAGCAACAUGAGGAACCGGAGGAAGUCCAAAAUGUCCCAUUCAUUUACUUUCCCAUCUUCGAUUAGAUCAGCGUCGGUCGGCUUCUGGUUGGUUCUUGUAUCAAAAGGAGGGGUCGGAGUUAGGGUAGGUUCUACCUAGGGUAGGCUCUUAAGGCUCAUUAUAUGCGGUUCGGUUCUAAAGUAAGGGUACCUGAACCAGCAGAUUCCUCGAUCUUCACCCAAUAUAGGCUCAUAUGGACCGAGUUCAGGUCAGGGGAAUACAUUUCCCUAUGGCCAUGCGGAGAUGAAAAUCUCACGAAGACAUAGGUACGGAUGUAUCUCGGAAGCGAUUCACUAUCCCAUGCGGAGGUGAAAACCUCACGAAGGCGUAGUUUCUCACUCCCACUUAAAAGGGUGUGACCCGUGGUCAUGCAAUGCAAUGUGCAAUACUAUCAAAAGGCUUAAACAAAAAAGUAAACAUAUUGAAAACCAAAAAAAUGAUAGACAAAAUGCAACGAAAGGAUCGUACUUUUAAACUAAAUUUUUAAUUUUUGAAAAAAGACAAAAAUUAAUCAACUCGUGGCUUGACUCUCGUGUUUGUUCCCCAGUGGAGUUGCCAAGUUGUUGACACCAUUUUUUUGGAUUAAAAACGGGAGUCGCCACCAAUCCUUUUUUAUCUAGGUGUGAUUGGAUCACCUCAUCAUUUUAAUAAAAUUUAAAUUUACUAAAACGAUAAUUUUUGGUCUACAAAAUCCAGAAAAUGAGUUCGGGAGUCGGUUACGCACGAGGAAGGAUUAGCACCCUCGAUACGCCCGAAAAUUGGUACCUAGUAGAUUAAUUAAUGUCUUGAUGUCGAGAAUUGAAAACUUUGAAAAAUUUUAAAAAUACGAUCCCUUGUAUUAAACAUUAAAAAUUUGGGAAAAGAAGCAUAUUUUAUGUUAAUCGAGAAAGAGAAUUGUAUCCAGUAAGUUAGGACACAAUAUCUCGAAUUCUCAAUAUACAAAAAAAUGCUUAUUUAAAAAGUAUUUUUAGCUAUCUCGGAUUUGAAAGUGAGAUCACAACCAGUAAGUUAGGAUGCAAUUCUUUUUAAAUCCUGAGAUCAUUUAAAACUUGAGUUUUAAAAAAAUUCGUGUAUUUAGAUUUAUUGUGAAAAUCGAGACCCAGUAAGUUAGGGUACGACAUUCUCAAAUCUAAACACGAGAUUUUGCUUACUCAAAAAUUGUAAUUUAUGCAUUGAAAUGAAUGAAUAAAACACGAUGUUAAUAAUCAUAACAAGAUGAUAUUGAAUACAAUAGUGCAAAAUAAUACGAACAAUUGCAACAAACAUAAGAUAAAUACAAAGUAUGAAUCAAUAACAUACGAAAUAGCAAUGUAUACAAGCAAAUAAAGUUAAAGCAUUCAUUCAAAUCCAUAACGAAAAUGAAAUAAAUAACUAAAUGAAUACGAAUAUAAAAAGUAAAAAGAUAUAUGUGUGUGCAUAAAAUUAUGAGGAUGUAAAAAAUCUAUGUACGUAAAAUAUGUGUAAAUAUGUAUGUGUACAUUUAUGUGUAUGUACAAAGUUAUGAAAUAUAUAAAAUAUAAAGGUAGGUAUAUGUAUAUAUUUUUUAUAAAAAAUAAAAACGUGUAUAUAUAUUAUGUGCAUGUAUGCAUUAUAAAGUAUAUAAAAGUAUAUAUAUACAAGGAUAUAUAAAUAAAUAAGAUAUAAAGUAUAUAAGUAUGUAUUUAUGAAAAUUAAAAAAUAUAUAUAUAGACAUGCGGCUAUAUACAUAAAAUAAUAAAAGAUAAAUAUGUAUAGGUAUUCAUAAAAAUAAAAUAUGUGUAUUCGUAUAUUAAAGUAUAAAGUAUAAAUAAUAUAUAUCUAAGUAGAUAUACAUAUGUAAGUAAACUUGGAAAGUUAUGCGUACACAUACUAUGACAAUAUGAAUGUAUAUGUAUAAAUUAUAGAAUGUAUUAAAGUGUAAGUAUGUAUAUAGGUAUGUACACAUAUAUCAUAAUCUAAAAACAGUAUAAAUGGGUAAACAAUAAAGGCAAAUAAUAAAAAUAAAAGCAAUAAUGAUAAUAAUAAUAAUGGUAAUAAAACUAAUUACUUUUAAAAAAAUAAAAAAAUAAAAAAACGGGACUAAAUAAAAAACAAAGCAAAAUCCCAGGGGAGAAAAGAAAAAAAGAAAAAAACUAAAACAGGGACCAGAUUGGAGGGAAGCCCAGAAGCAGAAGGACUGAAAGGGUAAAUAGACCCUCAGUCCAAAACACGCAGAUCCUUGGGAACCAUCGGGUCGACGAGCGGGUCGCGCUCAAUACGGCACCGUUUUGGAGCCAUUGAUCAGACUCCAAACGGCGUCGUUUCAGACAUCACAUAAGGCCUAAGAAAUACCCUAAUCUGAUAGCCUCCAUUCAUUUUUUAAACAAACAAAGAAAAAGAAAAUAAAAAACAAAAAAAAAGGAAAACUGAGAGCCCGAAGCUCUCUCAAUUCGUGAGAGUCAAAACAAGGGGGUUUUCGGCCCCUUUGGACCUGAUUCAGGUGACGGAGGAGGGACCCUCCGACGGCGCAACCAUGGCCACUUCCGGUGAGUUCCAUUUUAUUUAUUUUAUUACUAAUAUUCUAAAAAAAGUAGAUAAAAUAAAAGAAAAAAGAUCUUAUAAACAGAAUGAUAGAGAAAAAGGAAAAAGGAAAACCUUUGAUCUGUUUUCUGCUUUUAUUUCUUUCUUUUAAUGUUUUUUCUUUUCAAAAAUCGGGACUCCCCAUUACAGUGAUCAAGCCCCCUAUUUCAUUUUACAAUAUUCGGCUUUAUAGCCAAAGAAAGCUAAAUUUUUUUUGUCUAGUCUUGUCAGCUUCUGCUUGUCUUCUUGCGUGUUUGCAGGUGACCGUACGGCGGUGGCAGGAGGCGUCAGACACACAUGGUAGCAGGUGGCGCGGCGCUGGAGAGGCAGGGAAACCCUAGGGUUUUAUUUUUUGAUGAAAUUUGUUUAUGUUUUGGGCCGUUUGGGCCAUUGGUCUCUUUUUUUAAAAUUUUGGGCUAGGUUAAUAUUUUUGGGUUUGUUUGGGUUAGUUGGGCCUAGUGUAUCUGUUUUGUUGGUAUGGGCCCGGGCAAAAUGGGCUUGUACACUCUUUUUUACACAAAGCCUAGAACUACUCAUAUCCCUCCUCAACCCAUAAAUAGGAGGAUAAUGCGCUUCAGUACACUCGAACUCAUGUUCUCCUGUAUUAACAAUAAUGCUCAUAUCAAUAAAACUAAAAUUCAAUUGGCAUGAAUCUAAAUAAAUUAACAUUAAGAUUAAGACGAUUCGGCCCUGUAGGUCGUUUGGAGGUGCGGCCACUCAGGGCUUAAGGGGUUCAAAAUAUUGUUUUCUAAUUUUUUUAAGGGGUCUAAACUUUUUUUUUGGAACUUUUAAAGGUAAAAGAAAAAAAGUUUUUACCAACUUUUAAGGGGCCCAAAAAAAAUUUUUUUUUAGCUUUUAAGGAGUCAAAAAUUUUCUUUUACCAACUUUUAUGGGACCUAAAAAAAAUUUCUCCAAUAUUUAAAGAACCUAAAACCCUAUUUUAUUAUUUUAUUUGGGCCCAAAAAACCAAUAACGGGACAGAGAUUAAGUCUAACUCUAAUUUUACAACUUGAAUAUAUCCCCUAAUGUUAAAUUUGGGUUAGUAUUCUUCACCACCAUUGAGUUAGCAUCUUUGGAAUUAUUAAAAGAUAAGUUUGGUACAAACAUAUGGCUAAAGUAACUUUCUCCACCCUCCUUUAUAUUAAAUUAAGGUAAUUUUAUAUUAUUUGUUUUAUCAGUGUAAAAAUAUGGUAAUUUUUGUAUUAUUUCAUGUUUUUUAUACUGUUAAAAUUUUAGUAAUUUAACCGUUAUUUUUUUUAUAUCUUAUUGCAUAAAUUAUGUAUGACAAAUUUAACAUAAAUUAAAAUUUUCUAAUUAUUUAUUUUUUAUAUUAUCGUAUCCAUCACUUAUUGGAAUUAAGAGAGUAUUUUUCUUUGUCCUCUAAUAAGUAAUAACGACAUUUCAUUAAAUUUUAUCUACUGUAUCUAUUAUACUUCAUAUUAGGCAUAGUGGCGGCUUGGAUUUUUCCUCCAACCCUUUUAAGUUGUAUAGUGUGAAUCUAGUUUAUAUUUGAAUGUGACGUACGGGUUAAUUGUGUAUAUUCAAAAUUUUAAUAUAAUUAUAAAAUAUUUUUAAAGAUAUUUAAUUUGAUUUAGAAUAAUUAUAUUAAUGUUAAUUAAUUUUAAAAAUAUUUAAUAUUAAAAUAAUAUAAAAAUUCAUCGAAUAUUAAUAUAUUAUCAUUUAAAUAAUAUUAUCAAUAAUUUCUCAUAGGUUAUUUCUUAUAUAUUUGUUAAAUUAAAAUUGUAAAUAUUUAUUUUUUAAUUUUAUUUUUAUCCAUAAAUCGUUGUUUAUUCGGUUGAUUAUAAUUAUUUCUGCAUUCAAUAAAUUAAAACAUUAUAUUGAAAAUAAUGAAAAAAAUAUUAGAUUAAAAAAUGAAAAAACAUUAUUUCAUUUCACUUAUUGCACAUAUUUUUUAAAUAAAAUAAAAUAAAAUAUCUUAAUAAUUAUCCCAACAAAAAAUAAUUUUUAAAAUAAAUAUAAUUCUUUUAUCUUUUAAAACUACUUUUUGUAAUAUAAAAUAAACAAAACUGAAAUAAUUUUAAAAUAAGAAUGAUCUCCUCACAUCAAUUAUCUAAUAUUUUAAUAUAUUAAAAUUAUUUUAUAUGCACAUUAUUAAUAUUUAAUAAUGUUUAGAGGAUUUAUUAAUGAAACCCAUGCGAUAAUUAUACAUUAUUUAAAAUUAAAUAUAAAACCAUUAUCAACCUCACAUUAAAAUAUUUCUUAUGUUUUAAAAGGUUUAUAAUAGCACAUAUUUAAUUGUUAUGUAUAAAUAUUAUCUGUUAAUAUAAAUAAAUGCCUCAUUAAAUGGUCAUUAGGGGCUAGUAUUUUCUGUGUAUAUGUAGGUUUUAUUGAGUUAAAUGGUCAUUUUUGUUUACACCCAUUACAAAUACAUCCCUCUUUUUCAUUCUUCCUAAAAUUCAUGUAAAAGAAAUUAUAUUUUUAUAAAAUUGCAUACACCUUAAUGCUAAAAGUUCUUUUAUUAAGUUCAGGAUUCAUGACAUAUUAUUUGUAACCUCUCUAACCCGACCUAGACGUUACAGUCAGAUUCUGAAGGUUACAUAAGCCACCGAAAUGGCCUAGUAAAACUAUUGGAGUUUAUAGAACAAUCUUUUUAAAGCAUUUGCUUACCUUAGUAAAAAAACUUAAGUGUGUUUCCAAAAUGUAUAAUUUCUUUCAAAAACCGGUUAAUUUUAAUGAUUACUUUGUAAAAGUUGAUUUCUAAUUUUAUAUGUUUUUCAAAUCUCAUUUACAUAAUAAUGCAACGGAAAAGUGAAAUUCAACAUAGUUUUAAUUAAAAAUCUGGUUUGCAUUCAAAAUUAACUCAAAUUCCAUGUUUCGACAUCCUAAAAUCAAUUUAAACGACAUGCAUACCAAAUAAACCCCAAAUUAAAAAUCUCAUGUCACUAUUUAAAUAAAACAUUACAGUUCCUAAAUAAUAAGCCUAAAAUACUUUUAUAAAAAAAACAAACCGAGACGAGCCCUUUGAAUGUCGAAUUUGUGUCCUAACAUUGUGGGUUAUCUGAAAAGAUGAAAAUUCUUAAGAAGCUCAAUUUGAGUCCAAUUACAAGAAAACCAGUGCAAAAUAGUAGACCAAGCAUACAAAAUAACAAUUCUCAGAUCAAUCACAAUUGUGUAACAAAACAUAAUUUAACAGUUUAUUUGAGUAUGCUUAUGUAUGUCAAUGUAAUUCAUAUUUAAUAGAACAAGUUUCUACUCAUACUUUGCUACACUCCACAACAAGAGUUCCACAGUACUCAUCCAUUCCUAUAGUCUAUAUUAUGGACAAACCACUAGUAAUUGCAAAUGAACUGCUAGUAAAAAUUGUGGGUAACCACCAGUAUUUUCAAAUAAAAAGUUUGCAAAUAAACUGGUAGUUAGUUUUGGAUGAACCACUAGUGUUUGUAGAUUAUUAAUGUAACAGAUCGUUUUCAGUGAAAUCAGAACAGUGAUUUCGGGACCACGAAGAGAAUUUAUUAAUAUUAUUUUGUGGUCUAUGGUAUAAUAGGAAUUUUGCAUGAAAAUUUCGUUAAGAAAUUUUACCGAUUACAUGUCUAAUUGGUUAAAAAGGACUAAAUUAAAAAAAGUACAAAACUUGCUAAUUAUGAUUAUUACGUAAUUACUUUAGGGACCAAAUCAUGAAUUAAGCCCUUUGUCUUGGUACUUGACUAAAUUAUUAGAUUUUGAACUAACAACCAAUAGAAUAAUGACACGUGUUCUAAAAUAAUAAAAACAUGUUUAAAUUUUAAAAUAUAUAUAUAAGAAUUUAUUUUAGGAAUCCAAAUUUUAAUCCAAGCUCAUUUUGAAUGUGUACUUUUAAUAAUUUCUAUUUUUUUUAUAGAUUAAAGAAAUAAUAAUAUAAAUGUUAUUUUUUAUCGAUUGAGUUUUAGUUCAAUUGAUAUCGGUACUGUUGUCAGUGUUAAAAAAUGUAAGUUCAAGUGCAUUGAAACGUGUUUAUCCUCCCAUUUAAAGAUUGGGGAAGAAUUACAUUUAAUUUUAAAGAUGGUGGGAUGGAUUUGUGCCGUCUUCUCACUUUGUGUCUAUGCUGCUCCACUUAGUAUAAUUGUUUAUUUUUAAUCAUCUAAUAAUUUCCAUUUUAUGUUUGAAUUUCAGAUGUUGGCUAUAAGAAGAAAGAGUGUGGAUUACAUUGUCAACACCAUGUGCCGUAACUUGGUUCCUAUAGAGAUUAAUAUGUAGCGGUAAGAUCAAAUGAAAGUUCUGUUAUGACUUUUUAUUUCUAUUGAAGAUUAUUAUGAAGUGGUAAAAUUAAAUAGAAUUUUACUAGUAAAUGCAUUACAUUCUUAAUAACAGAAUUCGAGUUUAAAUCAUAGAAGUAUAUUAUUGAAAAUGGCAGCUAUAAAUUUUUAUAUACAGUAAAACGGAUAUAAAAAAUAUCUUAAUUAAAAAAAAAGAAGAAGAAGAAGCAAGUAAGGGCAACACCUCAUCAAGUGGAUAAAUACAGUAGAGUCCAAUAGGAAUUGCUAAUGUCAUGGGUUGCGCAUGGGAGCCCGCAACCAUGACACAUUCGUGUGAUCCAUCAAGUGGAAAGGAGGUCAUUUGGCCCGAUCGGACUGACCCAUUGCUUGAAGAGAUUGAAGGCCCAUCUACAAGCUCGUCACAUAUGGAAACAUAAUCUUCGAAGAUAUACAAUCGUAGAUUUGAUAUGUAAUCUUAGGAGAUAUGAUUUUGUAAAUCUUAGAGAUUUGAUUUGUAGAUACCAUUCGAUCUUAGCCAUUCAUGUACUUGAUCUGUACCGUUGGAUUUGGGGAGGCUCUACUAUAAAUAGAGGCCUCUCCCCUCAAUGUAAAUCAUUUGAGUUUUGAGGAAUAAUAAGAGUUCUUGAGAGUAUUCACUCAAACAUUAUUCUCUCUUGUGUUCUUGAUAUUUCGUGGCUUGUUCUUAUUUCGUUCUUCAUUCGCCUUUGUUUGAUCUUUGAGUUGCUUUCGUUUGUGUUGGUUUUCCAAGGGGAAUUCUAUUGAAUCCUCAAAUCGUGGGAGUUAGGCUGACUUAGGCAUUUUUGAAGCAAGAAACUGCCUAAGGCCGCACGGAUUGUGAGGCAAAAAUCCUAAGUCCGUGACAGUUGGUAUCCGAGCCAGUCUUUCGAAAGCACUAUUGAAGGAUGUCGAGAGAAGUUGGUGAGAAUGAGCCAAUGGAGACCCGUGGGAGGGCCAGGAAGGCUAGUCGAUUGAGGGACAUGUUGUCGAGCUUGGAAAAUCGAGUGGUCAAUCUCGAGGAGUCUGUUGGUGACAUGAGGGAGACACUCGAAGUGGUCCUAACCCGUAUGGAGGAACUGAGGGAAGACAGUAAGGUAUUCGUGCUGGACACUCUUAGAUCCACUUCGGACAAGCUGACGGUAAGGGACGAAGCUCUUGAGGCCCUGGUGACUGCCAUGAAAGAGGAGAUUGCUGAGCUUAAGGGGGAGCUCACAAUUUGUAAGGUCGCUCUGGGAAAUGGGAUGUUGACUUCAGGACCGAAGCAACGUCAUGUAGAUGUUCCAAAACCCGAGAAGUUCAAGGGGGCUAGGUUUGCGAGAGAAGUGGACAACUUUCUGUGGGAAUUGGAGCAAUAUUUUCGAGCAAUGGGCAUUGAGGAUGAUGCCACUAAGAUAAACACUGCUUCGAUUUACUUUACUGAUGUUGCUCUCUUAUGGUGGCGACGUAGGUCCACGGAUGAGAGACGUGGAGGAACGGCCAUUGGGACUUGGGAGGAGUUCCAAGGAGAGUUAAAGAAGCAGUUUUAUCCGCAGCAUGCUGAAAAGGAGGCUCGUGCUAAGUUGCAUCGGCUUACGCAACAAGGCACUGUUCGAGAUUAUGUGCGGGAGUUUAGUGAGCUGAUGCUUCAGAUCUCAGACUUGAAUGAGAAGGAAGCAUUUUAUAUGUUUGAGGAUGGGCUAAGAAUGUGGGCUAAGCAAGAGUUGCGUCGCCUAGGCAUCACCGAUUUGACUGUAGCUAUGGCGGAGGCAGAGAACUUCUACGAAGCUGGUAGGAGAAAGUUUGACAAUAAUGAUGCUUCCAAACCCAAGCUAAGACCCAAAGGCAAUGGUGGGGGAGACAAAGAGCAAACAGAAAGGAGUGGCGAAGCCCCAAGGACUUAUAAUGGUAGACCAGGAGAUAAGAAAGAGCCAAUGAGAUGCUUUCUUUGCCAAUGUCCACAUAGGUUGAGUGUUUGUCCAAAGAGGGCUGCUUUCAAUGCUAUGGAAGCACGCGAAGAGGCCAAUCCUGACACCAAAAGUCUUGGUACGAUAUUGGGCGGUGUUGAAGACAAGACGAGUAAUGGGCUGAUGUUUGUGGACAUCAUCGUGGUAGACAGAAAAUUGAAUGCCCUUGUUGAUACUAGUGCAUCUGAUUUGUUCAUGUCUAAAGAGAUGGCGAAGGAACUCGGUCUCAAAGUGGAGGAAGAUUCGGGUCGAAUAAAAAUGGUGAACUCAGAAAGUAUUCCCAUAACGGGUGUGGCUAAAGGGGUGGAACUCAAACUUGGCGAGUGGACAGGCAAGGCAACCAUUAAGGUAAUCCCACUUGAUGAUUAUGAUUUUGUGGUAGGAUUGAGUUUGUUUGAUCGACUUAAUGCGUAUAUUCAUCCUUCCGAGAACUACAUGAUGAUCUCUGAUUCGAACCAUCGUUAUAUGGUGCGAAUGAAAAGAAAGGGAAACAUGAAAGGCAAAACAUUGUCGGCAAUCCAAUUUGCCAAAGGAGUACGUAGAAACGAAGUCUCCUAUUUAGCCACCUUAAGGAACAAUGUGGAGGAGAAAUUCGAGGGGGAAAUCCCAAAGGAAGUGAAGCAGCUGUUGCAGUCUUUUCAAGAUGUAAUGCCCACAGAGUUUCCCAAGACAUUGCCACCAAAGAGGGAGGUGGAUCACAAGAUUGAGUUGUUGCCUAAUACUGAGCCACCAGCAAGGGUACCAUAUCGAAUGUCUCCACCUGAGUUGGAGGAAUUGAGGAAGCAGUUAAGGGAACUUCUAGAUGCCGGGUUCAUUAAACCUUCCAAAGCCCCAUUUGGAGCGCCGGUGUUAUUCCAAAGGAAGCAUGAUGGGUCCUUAAGAUUGUGCAUUGACUAUAGGGCCUUAAACAAGAUCACUGUGAAGAACAGGUAUCCCAUUCCUCUCAUUGCAGAUUUGUUCGAUCAACUUGGUAGCGCGAGAUGGUUUACUAAGUUGGAUUUGCGAUCGGGGUACUACCAAGUGAGAGUAGCCGAAGGGGAUGAGCCCAAAACAGCCUGUGUGACUCGGUAUGGGUCUUUUGAAUUCUUGGUGAUGCCGUUCGGGUUGACAAAUGCUCCGGCAACAUUUUGCACCCUAAUGAAUAAGGUAUUACAACCUUUCUUAGAUCGCUUUGUGGUUGUUUAUCUUGACGACAUUGUGGUGUAUAGUAAGACGCUUGAGGAGCACGUUGGACAUCUGAGGGAGGUGUUCCAAGUCCUACUGGAAAAUGAGCUGUAUGUCAAAGAGGAAAAAUGCUCAUUUGCCCAACGAGAGGUGCCUUUUCUUGGCCAUAUUGUAGGAGGUGGCAUGAUCCGAAUGGAUGUAAGCAAAGUCCGAGCAAUUUUCGAUUGGGAGCCACCAACCAAGGUAACGGAAUUGCGGUCCUUUCUUGGUUUAGCAAACUACUAUCGACGUUUCAUUGAAGGCUACUCCAAGAUCACUACACCCUUGACGGACUUGUUGAAAAAGGGCAAAGUAUGGGAUUGAGACUCUCGGUGUGAGAAAGCUUUUGACCAAGUAAAGCAAGCAAUGGUGAGUGAACCUGUACUUGCUUUACCGGAUUUUACAAAGGCGUAUGAGGUACGCACGGAUGCUUCAGACUAUGCAAUUGGGGGAGUAUUGAUGCAAGAAGGGCAUCCAAUUGCUUUCGAGAGUCGAAAGCUGAAUGAGACAGAACGGAGAUACACGGUCCAAGAAAAAGAGAUGACUGCUGUGGUGCAUUGUUUGCGCACAUGGAGGCACUAUUUGCUGGGUUCCAGGUUCGUGGUAUUCACUGAUAAUGUUGCAAAUAGUUAUUUCCUAACCCAGAAAAAGUUGUCCCCCAAACAGGCUCGUUGGCAGAUUUUCCUAGCAGAGUUUGAUUUUAGCAUGGAGUACAAGCCGGGGAGUGCCAACAUUGUAGCUGAUGCUCUUAGCCGAAAGAUGGAAUUUGCAACGAUAAGCCAACCCAAUAGUCCCUUAUUGGAGCGCAUUCAAGAAGGGUUGUCCCACGAUUCCACGGCCAAAAAUUUGAUUGAGCUUGCUAAAGAGGGAAAAACGAGGCGAUUUUGGCUCGAGGGAGAAUUACUAUACACUCAAGGACAACGUCUAUAUGUGCCCCAACAUGGGAACUUACGAAAGGAAGUCAUGAAGGAAUGUCAUGAUUCAAGAUGGGCUGGACAUCCAGGCAUGCACCGCACUUUGGCUCUCUUGGAGGAUCGAUUUUAUUGGCCUCACAUGAGUGACGAUGUGGAGACUUAUGUGAAAACUUGUUUGGUGUGCCAACAAGAUAAAAUCGAGUUGAAGGCUCCUGCUGGGUUGCUACAGCCUUUACCUAUUCCGGAGCGCCCAUGGGAGAGUUUAUCCAUAGACUUUAUUGUAGGUUUGCCUAAAUCUGAUAGAUUUGCAAGCAUUUUUGUUGUGGUGGACAGGUUUUCGAAGUAUGCAACUUUUAUCCCCACAACCAAGGAGUGUCCUGCUGAGGAGGCUGCUCGCUUGUUUCUUAGACAUGUGGUGAAGUAUUAGGGAGUGCCACAAUCUAUCAUCAGCGAUCGAGAUGGGCGAUUCACGGGACGAUUUUGGACGGAGUUGUUCAAGUUAAUGGGCUUGAACUUGAACUUUUCAACCAGCAUGCAUCCAUAAACUGAUGGGCAAACUGAACGAGUGAACGCGUUGUUGGAGAUAUAUCUACGGCACUAUGUGAGUGCCACACAAAGGGACUGGCCAAAGUUGCUGGAUGUGGCUCAGUUUUCUUACAAUUUGCAAAGAAGUGGGGCGACAAACCAGAGUCCGUUCGAGAUAGUGACAGGACAACAGCCACUUACACCCAAUGCUGUUGCGACUCGUUAUGGGGGACCGAAUCCAGCAGCCUAUCGAUUUGCGAGAGAUUGGCAAGAGCAAAACGACUUGGCUAGAGCUUGUCUUCACAAGGCAAGUAAGCGCAAUAAGAAAUGGGCGGAUCAGAAUCGAAGAGAUGUGCAAUAUUAGGUUGGUGACUCCGUCCUUGCUAAACUGCACCAGAUUUUGCGACACAAUGGGUUGCAUAAAGGGCUUGUUCGACGUUAUGAGGGGCCGUUCCGAGUUUUGAAGAAGGUAGGCAAGGUGGCCUACAAGCUUGAGUUGCCUGAAAAACUCAAACUCCAUCCAGUGUUUCAUGUGGGUAUGCUUAAGCCAUUCCAUGAAGAUGAAGAAGACCCAAACAGAAACAAGUCCAAACGAGCACCGAUAGGGGCAAAAACCGCCUAUGAUAGAGAAGUGGAGAACAUAGAGGGGGAUCGUGUGAUCAGACGAAAGUACUAUCGACCGCGGCAUGAAUACCUAGUCCGAUGGAAGGGAUUCCCUGAUAGUGAGACAAGUUGGGAACCCGCUGAAGCCUUGUGGCAAUUUCAAGACAAGAUAGAUCGUUACCAUGCGAAGGAUGCAACGAGGACGUCGCUAGAUUCGGUGGGGGAGAAUGUCAUGGGUUGCGCAUGGGAGCCCGCAACCAUGACACAUUCGUGUGAUCCAUCAAGUGGGAAGGAGGUCAUUUGGCCCGAUCGGACUGACCCAUUGCUUGAAGAGAUUGAAGGCCCAUCUACAAGCUCGUCACAUAUGGAAACAUAAUCUUCGAAGACAUACAAUCGUAGAUUUGAUAUGUAAUCUUAGGAGAUAUGAUUUUGUAAAUCUUAGAGAUUUGAUUUGUAGAUACCAUUCGAUCUUAGCCAUUCAUGUACUUGAUCUGUACCGUUGGAUUUGGGGAGGCUCUACUAUAAAUAGAGGCCUCUCCCCUCAAUGUAAAUCACUUGAGUUUUGAGGAAUAAUAAGAUUUCUUGAGAGUAUUCACUCAAACAUUAUUCUCUCUUGUGUUCUUGAUAUUUCGUGGCUUGUUCUUAUUUCGUUCUUCGUUCGCCUUUGUUUGAUCUUUGAGUUGCUUUCGUUUGUGUUGGUUUUCCAAGGGGAAUUCUAUUGAAUCCUCAAAUCGUGGGAGUUAGGCUGACUUAGGCGUUUUUUAAGCAAGAAACUGCCUAAGGCCGCACGGAUUGUGAGGCAAAAAUCCUAAGUCCGUGACACUAACACAUGCUUAGCAAGAGCAUCGCGAUUUUAUUAGAGUCUUGAUAAACAUGAAUUACUCGAACAUUUCAAUCAUUUUAGUUUAUAUAGCCGCCUUUUUAGAAGGUAAGAAUUGCCAAAUUCAUUAUUAGCGCUUCAUUGUUGAUAUUUUUUAUUUUACUCCUUGCCUUACUCCGUAAUGGAUGUUAAAAUUUGAAUACCAUCACUACUUUUAAGAUGUUGGAUCCAUUCAUAAUCAUCCCGUUUUACCACACUCCAUUUUAUGUUUAUGAAUUAUUUUUAAUAAGUUUAAUGUACUCUUUAGCCAUAAAGUAUAUUGCUUUUCUCACUUUGAUCUUUAAAGUUUUUUUCUGGCUCACUUCAGUCCCUAACAUUAUUCAACAUUCACAAUUCAAUCCCAAAAUGUUAUCAGACAUUCCUCAUUCAAUCUUUUGGAUGUUAAAAGAACCGGUAGGGAUAUCUAGCUAAUCAUAAAUUUCCAUGUGGCAUACGUUGAUGUCAUAAUGACACCAUCAUUCGAAAAAAAACUAAUAGAUCUUUUAAAAUAUAAAAAAAAGUUACAAAAGGAAUAUGAAUAAAAUUAUAUAUAUAUAAUUGUUUAAAAAAGUGUAAAAAUAUAUUUAAAAACUAUGAAAAAGUUAUAAAAAUUAUAAGAAAUUGCAAAUUAUUGUAAAAAAAUAUAUAAAAAAUUAUUAAAAAUGGUAAAUUAUUAAUUUUUUUUUUUAAAAAAAGUAAAAAUUGUUGUAUCUUGAAAUAAAGUAUAACUUCUAUAAUCAGAUUUAAAAUAUUAAAAAUUUGAUACAGAAAUUACAUAUAGUAAUACAAUUAAUUGUAUUAGGUUGUGGUUACUAUUACUUUUUGAGACUUAAGAUCAACUGUGAUGUUUAGGCUAUUGAUAUUUAACAGCGAUUAUAAUUCUAAAGAAAGACUAUAUGAAUUCUAGUUAAGAAAGAAUUGGAAGCAAAGAGUGACAAUUUGCAAAUACCCCUAUUUUUGGCCGAAUUUAAAAGGAUAUAUAAGGGAGAUGCGUGGCUUGAACUCGAGUAUGGUUUUUAUCCUAAAUGUUGUUGAAAAUAAAAGGAAGAAAAAUGGAAAGGUUGAGAUUUAAACCUAUGACUUCUAAGAUAGAUAACUAUUACUUAACCAUGCAACCUAUGUCUUAUUUAUUGUUUAUUUUAGUCACUUAAUUAUAUAUAUUUAUUUCGGGCUCAACUUACAUAUUCUUUAUUAGCUUACACAUUUACUCAUUUUUUUAUUAACUUAUUUAAUUUUAUAGUUUUUAACACAUUCCACUUUAGUUUAUAUAUAAUAAUUAAUACUCAUAAUCAAGUCUCAUUAUUAAUAUUUUAAUUUAUUUUACCUAUUUUCCAAUUAGGUCCUAUCUCAACUAAAACACACUAUUUUCAAAUUAAAUCUCGUAAUCAAGUUUCGUUUUAGAUUAAUUAAUAAAACAAAACUUGAUUAUAUUAUUUUAAUACUUUAAUUAAUUAUUUAAAGAAAAUUUUAAGGACUAAACCUGUAACACCCCUUAACCCUAAUCUAUCGUCGAAAUAGGGUUACGAGGCAUUACCGGACAUAUCAUACAAUCUACAAAUAAUUUCUUAAAUAAAUAACAAACAUAUUAUAAUAUAAUCGUAAAUUCAUAAAAAUAUUAUUUUACUAAUUGACUUCAUUAUUAUUAUUAUUAUUUUAUUAUAUGUGAUUUUUUUAUAAAAAAAAACUCAAUAUAACCCUUUUUAUAAUUAGUUAACCUUCCCUACAAUUUCAAACCGCAACCAAUUCACAAUUCAUACAAUUUCAUAUUCAAAUAACCUAAACAUAUCUUAAACAUUAACUUAGUAAUUUACUAAAUAAAUAUUCGCAUAUAUUGUUUAAAUAAAUAAACUUCAUUCAUUUUAUUUCAGUUUUAGUACCAAACAUACCAUUUUAUAACUUAACGUUUCAUUUAUCAUUCAUAUAUUAUAGGCCAAUUCUUUACAACCAAAACUUACAAGUCUCUUUAAUAAAACUGAAGUACAUGCCACAUUUACCAAAGGAAAAAUACAUCACCAAAGUUAUGCUGAAGUCAGGAUUGAUCUGGAUGCUGAACCGAGACCUUUGACUUCUAUCGACCUGGGCAUAGAAACAACCGUACGCUGAGUAUUUCAUACUCAGUGGUAUUACCAUAAUUCAAAUUAUAGCAGUAAUAAACAUGUAAAGCAUAAAUCAUACAUACAAAUUUAAAUUUAAAUUUCAUAUUUCAUAUUUCAACAAUAACAAUUCAUCAAUUAAUAUCAUAUAUCCACAAUUUAAACUUGGACACAUCAUGAACGUUAGGUUCAUUCCCCAAUUUCGUAUCAUAUUUCAAUUCACAAUUUAACUUUUUCAUCUCAUUUCAGUAGCUCGAUUGAUCAACUCAUUCGGUUUAUCAUUUCAUUAUUUGCCCUAUUAACAAAACUCAGACUUUGGCAGAGACACGGAUCCAACCAAACACUCCAGUAUCGCAUCCAGUGCCUCAUCGAAUAGUUCGAAGCAAUAGUUGACACCCAGUGUCUCAUCGGCAAAGCCGAAGAAAGUUGGUACCCAGUACCUCAUCGAAUCUAUUCGAAAAAAUAUAGUGACACCCAGUGUAUCAUCGACUCGAGGUCGAAGUAUCCUUGAACUCUUCCAAUCCUAUGGCAUGCCAACUAUAUCCGACUCAGCCCGACUAGUUAAUAGGGUCUCUAAAUUCACAUUUCAAUUCAAUUCCACUUUUUCACUUUCAAUCACAAUUCAAUUCAAAAUUUACUUUUCCAUUUUUUAAGUCAAUAUAUUCAAUUCAAUUCCACACAUAUAUUCAUCAUUCGAUUGAAUUUCUUUCAACUUAAUAAUAAUAUUUACCUUAUAUUUCACUUACCAUACAUAUAAAUUUAAAUAUAACAUUUAAUAAUAAGUUAUUUGAAUUAUAGUAAUACAAACCGUAAAUCUCCAGUUUUAGUCCUCGAUAGUUUUCUCCUUUCCUUUCGAUGCCGAUGCCUCGGGUUCUUUGUUAGUUACGAAAAUAAUAAUAAUUUACACUAUUAAUUACAACAUUAAUUAUAAUAACUAAUUGAAUUUCUAAUCGAUUCCUACCUUAUUCUCAAUUUAAUCCUAACUAAGUUUACUUACUUUUCUAAUUCAAUUCACACUCUAUUUCUAUUCAAAUUUCAUCCAAAUUCAAAUUUAACUAAUAAAUUUUCAGCAUAUUUUCCUAAUUUCAAAUUUUCUUCAAUUUUAGUCCCUAAAACAUAAAACUUAUAGCUUAGUUCACAAUUUAAUCCUUUUAUCAAUUCUAAAUUGAAAUUCAUUCAAUUAAAUCCCUAAUUCAUCUUUUGUUCAACAUAAACUAUAUUCAAAACCCUAAAAAUAUCCAAAACCUCAACUUAAUUUCAAUAAAACUUUGUUCUAAAGCUUUUAAAACGUCAAAAUUAAAAGAAAAGGACUUGAUUGACUUACCAAAUUAAAGCUUAAAUCCUUAAACCCUAGUUUUUCCUUUUUCUUUUCUUUCUUUCCUUUUCCUUCCCCUGUUUCGAAUGGUCUCUGUUUCUUUUCUUCUUUGUUUCUUUUAUUCUUUUACUUUAUUUCUUUAUUGUAUUAGUUAAUAAUAAUAAUAAUAAUAAUAUUAUUAUUAUAUAAUAUUCUUUUUCAAUAUUAAAAUUUUAAAUUUCAAAGCAUCAAAAUAAAUUAUUGAAAAAUUGUAUCCCUUGAUAGUGUCAGUUGAUUUGUUACUAUAAUAUUAAAAUUAAUUAAAAUAAUCUCUUUCUAAAAUUUUAAAUUUUACUUUAUGUUUCCAAAUUAAAAUAAACUCAAAUAACUCAUCCUUAAUAAUUGUCUAUUAAACACAAAUUUCUUUUGAUUAUAUGAACUUAAAUCUUCUAUGCUAAGCUAAAAACAAAAAAAAAUAUUUACAAUUAAUUUAAUAAUUAAUUAUUUGAGUUAAUUCCAUUAAGGAUAAUUUGAAAACAUAAAAUAAAAUUUUAAACUUCAGGAGAUUAAUUUAAUUAAUUUCAAUAUUAUAGUAAUAAAUUGGUUGACACUAUGAAUGGAUAAAUAAAUUUCAAUAACUUAUUUAAUUUAUUUUUAUUUUUUGAAUUUUAAAAUUGGACUAUUAAAAAAAAUUAAAAUUUUUGACAAUGGGACAAACAAAUGCAAUUUGAUAAUUUUUGUGUAUUAUUUUAACUUCUACCGCUUUUUCACUUUGAUCCUUUAUCCUUUUUUACACCAAUCAUUGCUUAAAAAAAUAUUUUUUGGGUGACCAAAAUAAAAAUAUAAACAUGAUGUGACGUGUAUAGUUAACAGUUAUUAGAGAUUUAAAGCUUAGGUAACUCAAAAUAAAAACGCUCUAAAAAUUAUAACGAAAUUACAAAAAUUUCAUUUCGAAAAAAGAGGCUUAAAAAUUAUUAAGCAAAGAUUAGGAAUCAAAAUCCAAUACUCCAUCCUAGAGUAGAAACAGUGGCCUCAAAGAUUUUAUCACUCUUUGUUAAGCACAUUCAGCUCGAGCUCAAUUUAAAUAAUCCAUGUACAUUAUUAAAAGUUAAGAUUAUAUAGUCUUUCAUUACUAAAACUUACACUAUAAUUUUUAACACAAUACGAUUAAGCAAAAUGGAUAUAAUAUGAAAUUUUAUUAAAAAUUACCAAAAUCAUGAAUAUGUCAAAAUUGAUAUAUAAUAUAAAGUAUAGCAUGUCAAAAUUUAUAAUAAAUAUAGAGUACGUUAAACAAACGAUUACAAUACAAAAACAAACAUCAUCGAACUAACUCAAGCAAGUGACAAGGGAAGAUGAAGGACCUUGAUCAUUUCUCAGCCAAAACGCCGUGCCACGAGCACAGCUCGCUGCGGUGGUGGUGGGAAGCAGAUGGCCAUGAGGGUGAGAGCAAUAACCAGCACCAUGAGGAGCCCGGUGAAGCCCAAACUGUUCCCUUCUUCUAAUUCCGAGCAGAUGAAUUUCCCCAUCUUCGAUUAGAUCAGCGUCGGUCGGCUUCUGGUUGGUUCCUGUCCCAAAAGGAGGGCUCGGAGUUAGGGGGAAACAUUGAAAUGCAAAUUGUAUUAUAGAUGGUAAUGGGUCUAUAUUUCAAGUCAACUCCGAAAAUCAAAAUGUGUAGACUCUUGGAAGACUUCAAAUUAAGGUUUAGGUGAGUUGUGAAAUGUGGACUAACCCCUCACCAUACGAUUAAGGCUUAAUGAUAACUUCACUUUUAUAUUAUACGGGCUUCAUUCCAGAAGAAUAAAUAGAAACAAGUCUUUUUUUUUUUAAUUAGUAUAAAAUUUUUCUUUUAAAUUUGAUAUCGAGGCAUACCAAUUAUGGUACAAUAAAAGUUAAAAAAAUGUACAGAUCUUAAAAAUAAUAUAUUAUAGGUUCUGAUUAUAUAUGCUCUUUUUGACAUAAAGUCUAGAAUUACUCAUACCCUUCCCCAACCCAUAAAUAAGAAGAUAAUGCGAUUCAGUAUACUCAAACUCAUGUCUUCCUAUAUUAACAAUAAUGCACAUAUCAAUAAAAUUAAAACUCAAUCAACAUGAAUCUAAAUAAAUUAACAUUAAGAUUAAGAAGACUUGGCCCUAUGGGUCGUCUGGAGGUGCGGCCACCCAGGGUUUAAGGGGUUCAAAAUAUUAUUUUCUAGUUUUUAAAGAGCCUAAAAUGAUUAUUUUUUAACUUUUAAAGGUAAUAGAAAAAAGUUUUUACCAACUUUUAAGGGCCCAAAAUUUUUUUUUUUUAGCUUUUAAGGAUUCAAAAAUUUUCUUUUACCGACUUUUAAGGGACUUAAAAUUUUUUUCUUUAAUAUUUAAAGAACCUAAAACUCUAUUUUAUUAUUUUAUUUGGGCCCAAAAAAAACCAAUAACGGGCAGAUAUUAAGUCUAACUCUAAUUUACAACUUGAAUAUAUUCCCUAAUGUUAAAUUUGGGUUAGUAUUCUUAACCACCAUUGAAUUAGCAUCUUUGGAAUUAUUAAAAGAUAAGUUUGGUACAACCAUCUAAACAUCAACGAACAUAUGGCUAAAAAAACUUAACCAACAUAUGGCUAAAAUAACUUUCUCCACCGUCCUUUAUAUUAUUUCAUCUUUUUUAUACGAUUAAUAUUUUAGUGAUUUAACUGUUAUUUUUUUAUAUUUUACUCAUAUAAAUUAUGUAUGGUAAAUUUAAUAUAAAUUAAAAUUUUCUAACUAUUUAUUUUUCAUAUUAUCGUAUCCAUCACCUAUUGGAAUUAAAAGAAUUUUUUUUUGUCAUCUAAUAAUCACAUUUCAUUAAAUUUUAUCUACUUUAUCUGUUAUAUUUCAUAUUAGACCUACCUAUAGGUUAGGCAUAGUGGCGGCUUGGAUUUUUCCUCCAACCCUUUUAUGUUGUAUAGUGUAAAACUAGUUUAUAUUUAAAUGUGACGUAUGGGUUAAUUGUGUAUAUUAAAAAUUUUAAUAUAAUUAUAAAAUAUUUUUAAAAAUAGAAUCAAUGUUAAUUAAUUUUAAAAAUAUUUAAUAUUAAAAUAAUAUAAAAAUUCAUCAUAGUUUGAAUAUUAAUAUAUUAUCAUUUAAAUAAUAUUAUCAGUAAUUUCUCAUAGGUUAUUUCUUAUAUAUUUGAUUUUUUUAAAUUUUAUUUUUAUCCAUAAAUCGUUGUUUAUUCGAUUGAUUAUAAUUAUUUCUUCAUUUAAUAAAUUAAAACAUUAUAUUGAAAAUAAUGAAAAAAAUAUUAGAUUAAAAAAUUAAAAAAAAAUUUCUAUAAGAUAAUUAAAAUAAUUUUUAAAAUUUCUUUUUCAAUGGGCUUACUACAUAUUAUUAAUAAGUAAAAUGAAAAAGCAUUAUUUCAUUUCACUUAUUACACAUAUUUUUUAAAUAAAAUAUAAUAAAUUAUCUUAAUAAUUAUCCCAGCAAAAAAUAAUUUUUAAAAUAAAUAUAAUUCUUUUAUCUUUUAAAAUUACUUUUUGUAAUAAAAAUAAACAAAAUUGAAAUAAUUUUAAAAUAAGAAUGUUUAGAGGAUUUAUUAAUGAAACCCAUGCGAUAAUUAUACAUUAUUUAAAAUUAAAUUUAAAAACAUUACCAACCUCACAUUAAAAUAUUUCUUAUGUUUUAAAAGGUUUAUAAUGACACAUAUUUAAUUGUUAUGUAUAAAUAUUAUCUGUUAAUAUAAAAAAAUGCCUCAUUAAAUGGUCAUUAGGGGCUAGUAUUUUCUGUGUAUAUAUAGGUUUUAUUCAGUUAAAUGGUCAUUUUUGUUUACACCCAUUAUAAAUACAUCCCUCUUUAUCAUUCUUCCUAAAAUUCAUGUAAAUAAAAUUGCAUACACCUUAAUGCUAAAAGUUCUUUUAUUAAGUUCAGGAUUCAUGACAUAUUAUUUGUAACUUCUCUAACCUGGCCUAGACAUUACGAUCAGAUUCUAAAGGUUACAUAAGCCACAGAAAUGGCCUAGUAAAACUAUUGGAGUUUAUAAAACAAUCUUUUUAAAGCAUUUGCUUACCUUAGUAGAAAAAACUUAGUGUGUUUCCAAAAGGUAUAAUUUCUUUCAAAAAUCGGUUAAUUUUAAUGAUUACUUUGUAAAAAUUGAUUUCCAAUUUUAUAUGUUUUUCAAAUCUCAUUUACAUAAUAAUGCAACGGAAAAGUGAAAUUCAACAUAGUAUUAAUUAAAAAUCUAGUUUGCAUUCAAAAUUAACUCAAAUUCCAUGUUUCGACAUCCUAAAAUCAAUUAAAACGACAUGCAUACCAAAUAAACCCCAAAUUAAAACUAAACCGAGACGAGCCCUCCAAAUGCCGAAUUUGUGUCUUAACAUUGUGGGUUAUCUGAAAAGAUGAAAAUUAAGGGGGAUGAGCUUAAGAAGCUCAGUGUGAGUCCAAUUACAAAAACACCAAUGCAAAACAGUAGACCAAGCAUACAAAAUAACAAUUCUCAGAUUAAUCACAAUCGUGUAACAAACAUAAUUUAACAGUUUAUUUGAGCAUGCUUAUGUAUGUCAAUGUAAUUCAUAUUAACAGAAUAAGUUUCUACCCAUACUUCGCUACACUCCACAGUAAGAGUUCCCCAUAACUCAUCCAUUCCUACACUCUAUAUUAUGGAUAAACCACCAGUAUUUGCAAAUGAACUGCUAGUAAAAAUUGUGGGUAACCACCAGUAUUUUCAAAUAAAAAGUUUGCAAAUAAACUGCCAGUUAGUUUUAGAUGAACCACUAGUGUUUGCAAAUUAUUAAUGUAAUAGUCCGUUUUUAGUGAAAUUGGAACAGUGGUUUCGGGACCACAAAUUUGAGGUCGGAAGAAAAUUUAUUUUAAUAUUAUUUUGUGGUCUAUUGUAUAAUAGGAAUGUCAUAUGAAAAUUUCGUUAAGAAAUUUUACCGAUUACAUGUCUAAUUGGUUAAAAAAGACUAAAUUAAAAAAUGUGCAAAACUUGCUAAUUAUGAUAGUUAAGUGAUUAAAUAGCUUGACUAGUAAAUAGGGGAGGACUUACGGCAUAAAUAUGCCUAAAAUAGGUGGAUGAGGCGGCAUAAACUGGGAAAUUAAUAAAAUAAAAAUCAAUUACACUUUUGCCAAAUUAAAACUAAAACAAAUGGAAAAUUAAAGAUUUCUAGAUAUUCAAUUAUCAUUUUCGGUUCUAAGAAUAGACAUUAAAGAGGGUUUAGGCUGGUUCUUUAAUUUUUUCUUCAUGUGAGUUUAAUUCUUACCUGUUUCUUGAAAUUUUUAUGUUUUUGAGAUUGUUAUAAUUAGAUCCAAUUAACCUUUACUUUAGUUUUAGAUUUAUUUGAAAAUUUUGGAAGUUACCAUUGAAAAGUUCAUAUGAUUUUAGUUAUUAGAUGAUGAAUUUGAGAUGUUGAUGGGUAUUUAAAAGUAUUUUAUUUAAGAAUUUUGAUGAAAUUUUAAUUUAGGGAUAAAAUUGAAAAGAUGUUGAAAUCAUGGAAAAUUUUGAAUUUUAUGAAAUUCAUGGGUUGCUAUUGUUAUAUAUGAAAAUUUCUAGGCUUGGAAUGAAGAUUAAAUUUCAUGAAUUUCAUUUUCAGAGCCUAAGGACGAAAUCGUAAUUGAUUAAAAGUAUAGGGGCAAAAUAGUAAUUUUUCCAAAGAUGUGUAUUAGAUAGUGUUUGACACCAUUUUUUUGAUAAAACGGGGUCGACUUGGGUUUUGGAAAAUGAAAACAAAAAUGGGAGUCGCCACCAAUCCUUUUUGAUGAGGUGUGAUCGGGUCACCUCGAAAAGUUUUUUAAUAAACGAUUUGAUUUUAUUAAAACACGAUUUUUGUCCAUGAAAUCUAGGAAAACAGGUUCGGGAGGCAGUUACGUACGAGGAAGGACUAUCACCCUCAUAACGCCCAAAAUUGGCACCUAGUUGAUUAAUUAGUGUCCUAGUAUCGAAGAUUGAAAACUUUGAAAAGUUUUUAAAAAAUACGAUCCUAAAAAAAACUAAUAUAAAUCAAAUUAUCCGUUAAGACCCUCUCAUUUCGGAGAGAGAAAAUAUCACACCCAAUAAGUUAGGGCAUGAUAUUUCACCUCUUCAAAAAUGAGCUUGUCCAAAAAACUAGUGCAAUAAAAUUUAAAAGGAUAUUCAAUGUUUAAGUCAGAUGAAGAAAUCGCAGCCCAAUACGUUAGGGCACAAUUUCUCAAAAUUCUAAACAUUGAAUAUUGCCUUUAUUAUUAUUUUUAAGAAAAAAUCCUCAUCUCGAGAAAACAUGUUAUAUCCAAUGCGUUAGGACACAAUGUAUUGAAUUCCCGCUAAUGAGCUUUUUAUUUAUGUUUUUGAUUAAAGAGCAUUCUCGAUUAUUUAGAUUCAACGAAGAAAAUUAGAACCCAAUAUGUUAGGGCUCAAUCCCCUCGAAGAUCCCAAAUACUGAGUAUUGCCUUUAUUUUCAAAAUUUUCCAUUUUACGAAUCUAGGUAAAAAUUGAUGUAAUGGAAAAACAAUUAUGAUAAUGUAAGUAAAAAUAAUACGAGCAAAAACAAAAAGGUAAAUAAAUAAGAAGACAAAUAUAUAUAUAAAAAUCAAUCAUGUAUACACAAUAACAAAUAAUAAGCAAAUAAAAGUGAAACAUUCUUUUAAAAUAAUAAUGAAAGCGUAAAUAGAUAAAUAAAAAAAUGAAUAAAAUUAUAAGAACGUAAAAAGAUAUAUGUAUGUACAUAUAUAUAUAAAUUAUAAGAUAUAAUAAGAAAUAUAUAUAAGCAUGUAUAUAUAUAUUUAUGAAAAUUAAAAAAUAUGUAUAUAUAUAUAUAGAUAUGCAUAAAAAUUAUAAAAUAUAAAAAAAAUAUAAGAAGGUAUAUAUAUAUGAAUUAUAAAUAAGUUAUAAAAUAUGUAUGGCUAUAGGUAUAUAUAUAUAUAUAUAUAUUAUAAAAAUGUAUGUAUGUAUAUUUAUAUAUAAUUAAAUCCAAAAUUAAAAAGGUAUAAAUGAGUAAAUAAUAAUAAUAAUAAUAAGAUUAAAAGAUAUUAAACUUAGAUAAGUAAAUAAAAUAAUAACAAUAAUAAUACAAAAAUAAUAGCAUAAUAUAAUAAUAUAAUAGUGAGGAUUUUAAAAUAAUAAUGAAAGCGUAAAUAGAUAAAUAAAAAAAUGAAUAAAAUUAUAAGAACGUAAAAAGAUAUAUGUAUGUACAUAUAUAUAUAUAAAUUAUAAGAUAUAAUAAGAAAUAUAUAUAAGCAUGUAUAUAUAUAUUUAUGAAAAUUAAAAAAUAUGUAUAUAUAUAUAGAUAUGCAUAAAAAUUAUAAAAUAUAAAAAAAUAUAAGAAGGUAUAUAUAUAUGAAUUAUAAAUAAGUUAUAAAAUAUGUAUGGGUAUAGGUAUAUAUAUAUAUAUUAUAAAAAUGUAUGUAUGUAUAUUUAUAUAUAAUUAAAUCCAAAAUUAAAAAGGUAUAAAUGAGUAAAUAAUAAUAAUAAUAAUAAGAUUAAAAGAUAUUAAACUUAGAUAAGUAAAUAAAAUAAUAACAAUAAUAAUACAAAAAUAAUAGCAUAAUAUAAUAAUAUAAUAGUGAGGAAUAAAUAAAUAUAAAAAAAUUGAGUUAAUUAAUAAUAUAACACAAUAACUAAAAAAAGAGAGACUAAUUUGCAUUCUAAGACAAAGAUUUGGGGCAAAAUCAAAAAUAAAAUAAAAAAGGGGACUAUUUUGAACACGCGCAUAAUGUAAGGGGACUAAAAGGGGAAUUUUCCCUUUUUCUCCAAAACGACGCCGUUCAAAGAGGGACUUAAUUGAAAACGCAAUAAAUGGUGGGGUAAAUUAAAAACAAUAAAAAUACUUGAUUAUAAAACCAUUAAAAAGCGGAAGGGAUAAAUGUGCAAUUAGCCCUUCUGAAUAAAAACACGCGGAUCUUGGCCUGGAGCGGGUCGGUUCUCGGGUCGGCCUCGAAAUGACGCAAAACGACGUCGUUUAGGCACUAAAAGAAUUAGGUCAAAACGGCGUCGUUUCUAGUCCCUAUAUAAGUAAAAAUUUCACAAAAAGGUCAUUCUUUCUUCUUUCAACAAAAAAAAAUUCAAAAAACCUCUCCUCUCUGCCCUGCUCUCCUAAUAUUCGGCCAAGGGCUCGGUCGAGCUUCGGUCACCGGCCACUGUGUCGGCCCCUGGCCGUCGGCAACGGUGCCGCCGUAUGCGGUGGCCGGUAAAGGCUAAAACCUCUGAUCCUACCCUUUCAAUACCCCUAAACCCAAAUCCGAGCUCAAAAUCCCCAAAAUAUUAACCAAAUAGCCCCAAAAGCUCAGGAAACCUUUCGAUUUCCCGUCGCCUAUCCUCGGAGGUGACUUCCUCAACCACCCACGGCAUCGGAGGCCCGAAUAUAGGUCAGUUAUGACUCCCGUUUCCUUUUGUUUUAUUUUUUGUAUAUGUAAAUAUAAUGAAAACCAAAAUAAUAAUAAAAAAUCAAAAAAGAUGAAGCGGAGAUUUAAAAAAGGGUGACAAGUAUCAACCUUUCGGGCUUUCUAUUGAAUUUUUUUGUUUCAAUAUUCAAUCCUUUAUUUUUUUUUUGUAUUUUUGAAUCCCUCUUUCAUACAAUAUCCCCUAUUCUUUUUUACAACACUCGGCUUUAUAGUCGAAAGAAAAUAAAAACUCAAUUUUUGCUAUUGUCUAGUCUUGUCUGCUUCUGCUUCUCUUGUUGCGUGUUUCCAUGUGACCGUGCAGAGUUGCAGCGGCAACAAAGGGUGUCAGAUGCACAUGGCAGAGCAGGUCGCGACGCUCAUAGGGUUGGGGAUUAAGGUUUUUUGCUGAAAUGUUUUAAGUUUUUGGGCUUGUUGGGCUAGGUUUUAAUUUGGGUCUGUUUGGGUUUGAUUUUGGGCCAUGUGGUUUGGGCUGGCAUUGUAAUGGACUGUUAUCUUUUAAUAUUUAGGCCCGGGCAGAAAUUGGGUCUUACAGAUAGGAUUGAGUAUGAAUUGUAUUAAAUUAAUGUUAAAUUCAUUCAUAUAGAUCCGGAUAGACCAAAUACAGAGUUAGAUCGAGGAAAAGAAAAAGUGUCGGAUUAGUAGAUUUUGCAUACACGAAUAUUGUCGAGGUAAGUUCGUGUAACUAAAUUGUAUAUUUAUAUUUUUUUUAUUAAAUGUUGUGUAUAUGAAUUAAAUUGUGUAAUUGACAUGUAUGAAAAUUGAACACGUAUCCAAAUAUAUCCGACAAGUAUUAAGUCCUAUUUGAAUAAAUGAAUUCAAUGGAUAUAGGGUUCCCGAAUUGGUUGUGGUCCUGCAUGUGUUGCAGACACGCCACAGCUCGAAAGAGCGUUCCGUUAUAUGGUUCUUGCGAUCUUUCCGUUAAUAGCUCUUCAGAGCAUUCCAAUUGGUUGUGAUCCUACAUGUGUUGUGGACACACCGCAACUCUUAUGAGCGUCCCGAUAUAUGACUCUUUGGAGCUUCUUGAUUAAAGGCUCUUCCAUGAGCUUCCCGUUAAUGGCUCUCCGGAGCUUCCCGAUAUUGGCUCGCUUGAACCUUCUCAAUAUUGGCUCUAUGAGCUUCCCGUUAUAUGGCUCGAAAGAGUUUCCCAUUUAUGUGCUCGUAUGAGCAUUUUCGAAUAUGAAUUGACGGAUCUAAGAUUUAUACACUUCGUGUGUACUACCUAGGUAUCCAUCGAUAUUUUAAAUGACUCAACAAGCAAAAUCUUGAUAUGAGACAAUAUAUGAAUUCAAAGUGAAACGUUAACUAUAUAUAUACACGAAAUACAUGGAAACUUGAUGUUGAUAAGCUCAUACAUAACUCUUGAUAUUCAUUGAAAUAAAUGACUAACAUGUUUGAUGAAGUUGUGUGUUUAAGCUAUUAGCCAAAUUGCUUGGAUGCAUUUUGUAUGUUUAUUUUAAUGAAAAUAAAUGGUAAGUUAAUUUUUCGUUAUAUGAACUUACUAAGCAUUAAAUGCUUACUCUGUUUUAUUUCCUGUCUUAUAGUACUCAGAGGCUCGUAAAGGUUGGAAGCUGGUCAAAGUUACAUCACACUAUCCCUCGGACUCUUCAGUAUAUAUAGCAAACUAAUUUUGGUUAUAAUGACAUGUAUAGGCUAAAAAUGACCAAUAAUGGCAAUGUAAAUGUUUGGUUGUAAUUAGCCAUUGGGAUGGCUUGUGAAUGACAUAUAUUGAUGUGUUUAUAUAUGGUCUUAAUGUAUUUGAUAAGUCUUUGAAUUGGUUAAAUGAGGGAGAUUAUAUAGGCUCAUAAUUAAUUGAUUUGAGUUAGUAUAAUUGGUAAGAUAUGCAUGUAUGAGAAUUGGGUCAAUUAGGGAAAAUUGAAUACUUAGACAUAUGGGAUAUACUAUAACAUGUACUAAACUUGGUUUGAGCUUGAUUUGAAUUAUUGGUAUUGCCUUGUGAAUGUGUUAAAGUGUUGAUGUAAGUGGAAGAUAAUUUGGGUGAGAAAAGUGGCCUUGGAAAUAGCCUAUUUUUGUCCACACAGGCAGAGACACGGACGUGUGUCUCAGCUGUGUGUGACACACGACCUAGCACAUAGGCGUGUGAUUUGGCUAUGUGUCCCAUGUAUCUUAAAAAUUGAGAAACAGAAUACUCAAAAUUAUCCACACAGCCUAGCACACAGGCGUGUGGCUUGGCUGUGUGACCUUUACACCUAAUUAAUGCAAGUUAAAUUGCUCACACGGCCUAGCACACGGGUGUGUAGCUUGGCCGUGUGACCCAAGUCAGUGAGUUACACGGGUACGGGCACGGGCUGGGACACAUCCGUGUGCCCCUAUUUCAAAUGCCUACACGGCCUGGCCACAAGGGCGUGUGUCCUCUGCACCUAGGAAAAAUUUUGACAUUUUGCGAAAAAUUCUCUGAGUACCCGGUGUAGUCCCGACGUGUUUCAAAUGCAUAUUUUGGGCCUCGAGGGCUCAUGUAAGGGACAAAAUGAUUGAACAUGAUUGAUUUCUGAUAUGGAUGUUAAAUGAUAUAAAAUAAUUGUAUUUGAUCUGUAACUCCGGUAAUGCUCCAUAACCCUCUUCCGGCGACAGAUAUAAGUUAAGGGUGUUAUAAUUAAACUACCAAUACUUCCUCCAUUCAUAUCGUCCCACCCCAUGCAAUUCAAUAUGACAUGCUUGUAACAAUAUAAUGCAGAAAUAGUAGAAAUCUUUAACAUGUAUUCAAUUCAACAGUAACAAUAGACAUGCUUAACAUACACUUAGUAGGGCAAAGUAGUAAUACAAUAACAAUUUAUCAAAAUUACAGUAACAAUAAACAUGUAACAUUCACAUAUUAUAUAUUAUAUAUUAUAUAUUAUAAAAGUAGCAAUUCAGUCAUUAAAUCAUAAAUUCCAGUAUAUACAUAAUAUUAGGGACUCAAUUGAGUGAAUAAAAAUUCUAAAAAUAAUUCAGGGAAUAUACAAGGACUAAAUUGAACAAUUCACAAAUUUUUAAGGAAAAUUGUACAACAAUGGUCACACGACUGUGUGGAAAAUGAUAAAUUACCCUAUAGGAAGGACACAACUGUGUGGCAGGCUGUGUAACAGGCUGAGGCUAUGUGGUUCACGAAGUAUUGUACGAUUUACAGGUGUACACGAUCCUUUGGUCCACACACCUGUGUGGGAUACUGUGUGGCCCUAAACCUACAUACGGUUUGACCAGAUUCACUUGGUAAAAUACACACACACAUACCCCCCUUUCACCACGAGUUCAGUUGAUUCUCCUCGCGAUCGAUUUUGAUCUGAUUUACCUAAAUCCAGUCUUUCAAUGACAAAUAUACACAAUUAACGAUUGAUAUCAAAAUUUUGGCAAAAUUAUCAAAGAUUUGGCAAGAUUCGUAAAAGAUUGAUUAAUCGAAUCAAAAUAUCAAUGUUGGAUUUUUGUACAACGGAUAUACAAAAUCUAACAAUUGAAACGAAUGCACUUACCGAUCUCUGGCAAAGAUAAUGGAUGCUAUUUGAUGACAAUCUAACCUUUGAUAGAAAACGAUUGAACGAAGGACGAUUCGAUACAGGAACGAAAAAGAAUCAACAGCCCAAAGAUUGAAAAAUAUGGUGCAAGAAUGAGGGAAAAGAAGGGGCACUGACACUUAAUCAUUAAGCCUUAAGCCUUAAGCUCAUUUCUUACUUAAUUUAGACACUGAACUGUACAUCUAUUUCGAAGUGUGACAACUGAAUUAUCAAAAAUAAUAAAAAUAUGAAGGAGGGGGCUCAAACCUAAGAUCUCUUGGAAGGGGGACUAACACUUAACCAUUAAGCCAAUAAUUUUCUUAUUUAACAAACGCACAAUGAUAACCUUAUAAAUCGGGGCGUGACCACUCUCGAUUUCAUAAACUCGAUUCUACUAAUCCAAUUUUUAGGAUGUAACAUUUUUUUUUCAAUUUAAUAAAUUAUUAGUAUAAUUUAUAUUCUAAAUUUAUAUCAUGCCAUAUAUAUCAAAAAUUGUGUUUCUUACUGUAAUGAAAUAAAAAUUUAAUAUUGUAGGAGAAAUUAUUUUAUGGACCCUUCCCACCACAUAAUUCAUUGUCUCUUUCCAAUUAUGUAAAGACAUUUCAACAAUUUUUUUCAUGUCAUUGAUACAUAAUUUUGAUAAUUUUUUUACCUUGAACCCCGAACCCUAAACCCUAAACCCUAAACCAUGAAUCAAAACACUAAACUUUGAAUACUAAACACUAAACCUUAAAUCUUAAACCUUUCAUAGUUUAGGGUUUAAGGUUCAAGUUUAAGGUUUAAGGUUUAGGAUUUGGGUUUGGGUUUGGGGUUUGAGAUAAAAAAAUUACAAAAAUUAUAUAUCAAUGACAUGAAAAAAAUUGUUGAAAUGUCAUUAAAUAAUUAGAAAAGAACUAUGAAUAAUGUGGUGGGAAGGGUCUAUAAAAUAAUUUCUGAUAUUGUAGACAUCCAUUAAUAAUUUUGGAAACAAAUUUAUUAGUAACUUUUUAUUUUUAUGAAUUUAAAAAAAAUUAAUUUCUUAACCUAUUAAAAUUUCUAUUUUUAACUUGUUAGAAUAAAUUAUAUUAAUUUCUGCAUAAUUAACUCUAUUAAAACCAUUUAAAUCACGUCCAACCCACUGUUUACAUCCCAAGAUUCACGUGGUUUUCUAAUAAAUGGAAUAAGUUAAAGUUUCAUCCUAUGUAGUUUGCAAUUUACCGGCUUUAGUCAUUAAUUUGGUAUUCGAUUUAGUCCAUUAUCAAAUUUACUUUAUUUUAUUUAAAUAUAACUUAUGUGUUAUAUGAGAUUUAAUUAGUAAUAUCCUAUUUUAUAAUUAUUUAAUUGGAUUAAUUUUGAUUAUGUUUGUGAUAAAAAUUUUAUGUUUGGAUGCCGAUAUUAACUUAUCUGUAUUCAUACUUAUUUUUCAUAGUUUUAGUCAAGUAUGUUUAUAUGUAAGUAUUUCAGUUCUGAUUAGUGAUCUCUUGGUCAUUAAUAUUUAAAAAGUGUUUGAAUUUAAGGUUAGUAGAUUGAGUCUUAAUUCGAUUGGUAUGAUCAUUGUUGUCAAUGCAUGAGGAUGUAGCUUCGUGUGCGUUGAAACGCAUUAUCCUCCUAUUUAUGGGUUGGGGAGGGACUAUGGGUAGUUUUAGGUAUUGUGUUAAAAAAAGCAAAUAUGAUCAUGCAAGCGAGUUGCAACCUGCAAUCUGAACUGAGGACAGGUUUUUGGAGUAAGCUCACCUUCGCGGGAUUGCGACCCUUUGUCCCGUCCAUUGUAGCACGUGUGUCGCCCAUGGCAUAAGGGGCAUGAUGACUUUACGUCAUCCUCACAUUCCUCUGGCUUAUCACCGGUAGUCUACUCAAGGUUCCAAACUCAACGAUGGCAACUAAACAUGAGGGUUGCCCUCGUUGCGGGACUAAAACUAUAACAAAAUUAUUCAAAAAAAAAAGAUUUAUUAUCUUUAUUAAUACCUACAAUCAUUUUGUGCAUCGCACGGAUAAGAAAACUAAUAUAUUAUAUAUAUUACAAGGUUUUAAGACUAAAGCUAACAUGGACAACCUAUUUUAAUGACAUAUGGUAUAUUUAUUCUGUUGAAACCUGACAACUUCAUUCUUUAUAUAUAACAUUUAUUUUUGUUUUAAAAUUAAUGAAAGAUAAUAUAAAAUUAUAAUUCACCAUUUUUUAUUUUUAAAUUAAUAGAAAGUAAUCUUAAAAUUAUAAUAAAUAUAUUAAUCUACUUUUGUUUGCCAAACACUUGAUUUUUCUAUAACUAUUCAACCGUAAUAGUUUAUUAAAAAUUUUAAAAAUUCAAUAUAUAUUUAUACAUUAAACUAAAUAUAUUUCUAAAUAUAAAAGUUAAUUUAUUACUAAAUAAAGUUUAAAUAAUAAAACAUAAAAUUAUAAAAUUGAAUUUUUAAAAAUCAAAUGACAAAUUCAUAGAAAAUAAAACUUAAGUUAUUUUUUUUACACAGUAUUUAAAAGAGUUCAAACUGAGGAAUUAUUACCUUUUUUUUACCUUUCUUUUUUCCUCAAAAUAAAAAUAAAAAUUACGAGCUAAUUAAAAAUAUCAAAUUUAUACGUAAACUUUAGUUUUGUAUGAAAUUUGAUACAUGAAAAUUAAAUUGUGGUUCAUAUGUAUACAAGAAGCUUUGAUUUUGAUUCACAUUUAAAGAAAUGAAUGCAUACAUUUAUUUUCAUAUUGGAUUAAUAUAAUUGUUUGUGUAUGUAAUAUAUCAAUAUAAAAUGAUACUAAUUCGAUAAUGUUGAUGGAUGGAUAAAGAGAAAUGGAAGCAUGAGUUGGGUUGGUGGGUUACUGCGAAUCGAGAAAGGCGAUGUUCUUGUUGUGUUCUCCCAAUCUGUUGGAUUUGCCAUUCCAUGUAUGGCUGAACUCAUGGUUGUUAAGGAGAUGUUUAACUAUUUCUUUGCAUCCAAGUGUUGCAACUCACACAAGUUGGUGAUUGAAUCUGAUAGCCAAAAGACUGUGAAUUGGUUUUUAGAUCCUUUUGAAACUCCUAACUCCUUGAGGAUUGUGGUCUUAGUUGCUUCAAGAUUAGGACCCAAUGAUAGAUGGUUAAUUCGAUACAUCUUUCUUGUAACAUUGAUGCCGAUGGUUUUGCAAAUGUUAAGAUUUGUCUCCGACUGUAGAAAAAUUCCUACUUAUCUAUUUAUAAUUUUUUAAAUUGUUGAUUUACUAUUAUUUUUGCAUGUAAAGUAAAAUGAAUAAGUAAAUGUUUAUUUAUUGGUUACAUUAAUAUUAAAAAGAUCAUUUAUAUAAAUUUUUUUAUUUUUCAAUUGAGGAAAUUUUAACCUUUAAUCUUUAAAUAUUUAAAGUAUUCAUUUAAAUGAAUCGAUUAAACGAAAGUCUUAUCAGUUUAACUUCAUUUAUAAUUUUUAAUAAUAUUCUUUUGGUAAUGUAGAAUUAGAGAGUUCAUACUCUCACACAUAUGGUAAGGGUACAUACUCAUACCAUACUUGCACAUAUUAUGUUCAAAGGAAACCGCUCAAAUAAAUGUCUACCACUUACUCCAUAGAAGUUCAAUUCCGAAUAGGUUUUAUAAGUGAAUAGCCCUUACCCACUAGACUAAUACAGGAAUUCUUCAUGAUGAUAUUUGAAUACGCUUUAAACAACAAUAUCAAAUAUAAACACUUUAAGAAUAAAAAAGGAGUUUAUACAAUCCAUCGAGAUACUUAAUUCACAAAAAAAUAAAGGAGUUUAUACAUGGAUUCAAUUUGCAAUGACCUUAUGAAACUUAAGUUACUCGAGUAACUUGGGGAGUAAAGACGCAAAACGAAGGGUUUACCAACCUAAACGAUGAGUGACAACCAUUGGUCGGCGGGGCCGGGGAGGUUGGUUGACGCAGGAAAGCAAGAGAGCGAUGGCGAUAACUAGCGCAAGCACAAGUCCCAUCAUAUCCACGUUGAGCUCUAUGCACAACUGCCCCAUCUCUCUCCUUCUUCUUCUUCUUCUUCUUCUUCUUCUUCUUCUUCUUCUUCUUCUUCUUCUUCUUCUUCCCUCCCCUACUCCAGAAACAAUGGCAAUUAUUAAAGUUUCAGCAUAGGCGGCUAUUCUACUUUUUGGAGUCAAACACUAGAUAUAUAAACGAUAUUGUGAAUCAUUUCCUAUAUUAAAUUCCAAUUUUAAUUCAUACACAUGUUUUUAAAAUAGAAUUUUAAUAUUAAUAAUAAUAAUUUAUUUAAAUUUAUAAAAAAUUGUGUAAAUAUUAAAAGUUUUAAAGUUUUAUAAUAGUGGAUAGUGAUUCAAGUGCUGCGGGAUUUCUGAAUAAAUUUAUUUUCAAAUUGUGGCCAUCGUUAAUCAUUUCAGAAAAAUAAAUAAUUAUAUAAAAUCAAAAUUGGUGAUGAGUGUGAAUGACGUUGUAAGCUGUAAAAUCUUGACUUUUUCUUCACAAAACGACAGGUCAAUGACUAAGACGAAAGUAAGCAAAUGAACCAACUCAAAGCGACUUUAUUCUAUACAAAUAAAUGUCAACAUCCAAGUCAAGUCUCUAGAUGUAUUCAUCUAUUAUUUAUGUAUACUGCUAGAGAUGUCCAUGGGUCUGGUUCAAAAAAAAAUUUCAGCCCACCUCUUAAGCCCGAGCCUAGCCCGGCUCGAAAUAUGGACCUAAAAUUUUGUCCAGCCCGGCCUGAGAAAAAAUCUUAAGUCUGGCUUGGCCCUUUUUUUAAUAAAUACCAAAAAAUUAUUUUAAAAAUAAAAAAUAAAAAUAUUUUAAAAUUUAAAAAUAAAUAAAAGUAUUUUAAAAAUAUUUUAAAAUUAAAAAAUAAAAAUAAAAAAAAAUAUAUAUUUAUUAUAUUCAGGCCGGGCCCAAGCCAAAAAAGUGGUGCCCGAGGCCCGACCCAUUUUCUAGAUAGGCCUCUUUUUUUGCCCAAACCCAUAUUUCGGGACUAUAUUUUUACCCAAACCCUCCCAUAUUUCGCGCGGGCCGUUGGGCCGGGCCAGGCUGGGCCGCCCGGCCCAUGGACACCUCUAAUACUGGCAUGGCAUGCAUACAUUUUUAUACGUCACAUUUUGUUUAAUUAUGUGAAAGUUGUAGAUUUAGUUUCUAUAUUUUAAAUUUAUCAAUUUUAGUCUCAAAUAGUAAUAAUUAAAUUCAUUUGGUUAAAUUCUGCUAUUAGAACUAUACUAUGCAUAAAGUUAGUAGAUUUAGUUCAUGUUUUUUGGUUAAAUCGAUCUUUGUCUUUAUAUUAUUUGAAUUUCAAAGUUUCAAUCUUAUAGCAAACUAUAACCAUUCAAUUCAUUUAUUGGAUUUUCUUAGUAAUAUGUAGAAACAACAAACUAACAUAACAUUACACAUGCGAUAAUAUGUUUGCCGCAUAAUAUUUUAGAAAUAACAAAACUUAGCCUAAUGAAUUUAAUAACUACCAUUUGACCAAAAAUAAACUUUCAAAAUUCAAAGAGUAUAAAAACUAAAAAAAUCAAAGUAUAAGGACUAGAUUCAUAAUUUAUGCAUAGUACAAAGACUAACAGCAUAAUUUAACUUUUUAUAUGUCAUCGUAUAAAUCAAGCCAAAUUAAUUAAUUUUAUGAAAAAAAGAAGAAGAAGGCAAUCAGUCAAUUACUAUAUCAUGUUUAAUAGUUUUAUUUUUAUUAUUAGUAACAUAAUUUUUUUCUAUAAAAUUAGUGAUGACAUCAAUCUUUAUCACGUUUAUAUAAUUUAUUUGCUAAAUUAUAUAUAUUUUAAGAUAGGAUAAUACAACAAAUACUAUUACAAGUUUUAUUAUCGUUUCAUAUGCUUUUUUCCGUAAUCUUAUUAUAGGGAGUAGAAUAUAUUUUUACACGUGUUUGUUGUUAGAGUUUACUUUUUAUCAUUUAAUUAUUUAAUUUUAUUGUUUUUAUCACCAAUCAUUAAAUUAAAUUAUUGAUAACUUUUAAAAUUAACAUAAUAACCAUUUUAACCCUCAACAUCUAUACAUUAUAUCAAUUUUAUUUUGAUUCUAAAAUAAUUUAACCCGAUGUUGUAUUUUCUUUUUACCAUUUCACCUAAAAGCUAAAAAAUAUUAACUAAAUUUAGUCAAAAAUAUAUCAAAUGAGAACACCCAAAAGUCCAAAAUAAAAAAAAAAAUUAGAUUAAGCCUCAACGUAAAAAAAAAAAAAUCAAAUUACACCAUGUGUAAAUGCCAAAUACAUGUAUAUCCUCAAGGCAUGGGAAUAUCUAAGGUGAAAGCCUCGAAUCUUUUAAUGUCCUAAGUCUUUGAGGAUUCGGAGUCCAACCAUGCACAAUUGCGAUGCACGGAUCUUUGAUUUCUAACAUGUAUGUCAUAAAUGAGUUUUAUCCAAUUAUUUUCCGUUACUCAUCUAUUAUGUUUUAUACUGAUUCAAUUCUACGUUGGAAUUGCUUGAGCAUAUAUUUUUACUAGAGUGCGUACUCUCAAUCCUCGUAUAUCCUCCAUAUUAUGUUCCCACUCCAACCAGAUUUGCAACUAUAUUCAUCUACAUAAGAUUGAUCUGGCAACACUGAGAAACAUAUGGAACAUGUACCUGGUACAUCUGUUCUUGAGAUCGAAUGAACCGCCAUAGUUUGACCACUUCAGAUGAGAUCUAUGGAGAAAGCCUCAAAGCCAAAUCUUCAUCCUUCGUCCAAACAAAAGGAGGCAUGUCAAACCUUGGCCCAGCCACAGAUCGGUAGAUAUAGAGCUUAUCGACUGUGCAGUUUUCGGGUCUUGAAUCAGGAGGUCCCCUCUCAUCUAUAACUUCAACAUUCAGCCUGGGCAUCUUCUGACUUAGCAGCUUACAAGCUUCGAAACUCACGGAGCAGGAAGACAUCCAAAGGGAUUGCAUUGUCUCCAGCUUUGCAGCAUUGGUCAAAAGAGCCUUGUCUCCGAAGGGGCAGUCCCUAAUUUCUAGUUUCCGUAGGCUUUCACACCCUGAAAGCACGUGAUGGAGUCCCAAAUCACUAUCUCCUGCAAAAGCCACGGAUAGCAUUUCCAGCUUUUUUGCAUAUUUUCCAAUAUAUUCAAACACGCAAUCUGUGAGGAGACCAGAGAGGGAAAGCCGUAUGAGAUCCUUGCAAUGCUCAACAAUGGCUCCGAAGCCAACAUCAAAUGGCUCUCCGGUCAGGUAAUCAGCUGUAUUUGGCUCAAUUAUACAAAGACGAAACCGGUUCAAGUUUGGACGGUUCUGAGCAAUUGUGACUAGAGCUGCAUUAGACAUUCUGCGGCAGAAGUACAAAACUGAUUGUAACUUAGGACAACCCAAAGAAACAGCAACAAGGCCCUGUUCUGUCAAGGAUGCAUUUGGUUCUGCAUCAAACGGGUCUGAUGGAAAAACCCGUAAUUCCUGCAGGUCCUUGCAAUUAGAUGCAAGUGCUUCAAGGCCACUGUCUUCAAUAUAAUCAAGUACCUGAAACCAUAAUUGACAAUUUAAAAGAGAAGGGAGAUUCAGUUCAGUUAUUAGAACAUUUUAUGCAACGAUUGGCAUAGUUUAAAGGUGAUCAGUAAACCACUUAAUGUUCAAAAUAUGCGCUCAAUUGUUUUAAAACAGUUAUGAACUGAAGAUACCAUAACAAGCUUACCAAUAGGCGCUGCAAACUCGGACAGUGGCUUACAAGCUUGAUGAGAUCAGGGCUUAGUAUAGUUGCGUAACUCAAGUUCAGUGACGUUAAUCUAGAGCAGACAGAGUAAAUAGCUGGAAGGUAAUCCGGAACCACAUCCCAAAACCCAGACAAACUCCUUAGUUCCUUGCAAUUAGAAAAAGCUCCAGCCAAGUUUGAGAAGACAUCUGAACGUAGCUCAGCCGAAUAGGUGCAAGCGCUGAAUUCAACCAGCUGCGGUGCAAGUCGUAAUAUGUUGGCAGUCUUAUCAAGGGGAACAGCGCGGUUGAGUUUAAGGGACCUGAGGUUCGGACAUCUACUGACCAGGCGCUCCAAAGCCGAGAAACUAACUUCACCAGAUCCUAAACAGGAAAUGUUAAGAGACACCAUGGAUGUGUAUGUCUCAGGAAAAUGGCUGAGCCAAUGCACACUCGAAUCAUCCACUUCACUUUCUCGCAAGUCCAGCUCUCUCAGGUUCCUACAUUACCAAGCAGAAAAUCAACAUAUUGUAUACUUUUACUAGAUUAAAUCCAAGAGUUAAAACAUAAGAAAUCAAGAAAAUCAAUGGUGGCUAAUGAACAAAAUUAGAAGAUGACCAUUGUCAUUGAAAUUGAAAAUGAUUAAUCAGAUCUGAUAAAAGCAAACAGUGAACCUUAAAAAUAUACAAGUAAACAGUUCUUUCAAUCAACUUCAUUACUAGGUAACGUUAUAAUUACUCCAUUAAGAAAAGUGCAGCUAAAAACAAGACAAAUUGAAGUAAAAUUCCAACUGAAAGUUGAAACGAAAAGGUGUUUAUGAAGCUUACUUGCAACUAGCAGCAAUGGCAGCAAGUCCAUCAGUUGAAAACCCUUCACAAGAAGCAAGCACCAAUACUUUGAAAUCCUUAAAUGACUUAGCAAUAAGCUCCAAGCUUUCAUCCGUGACGACCAUCCGUUUAAGCCGAAUCUCGUCGAGCCAAGGGUAAGCGCCAGCCAUCUCCGUAAUCCACGGCAAAACGUAACCGCCCCAGCCGUCCGGUACCAAAUUGAAGUCAGCGAAGUGCGGUUUCCCUUUCAACUCAAUGGAUCUAACUUGCGGGAACCGUCUGAUCACCAUCUCAGGGCUCACAGCAUAACAGUUCCCGACGAAUAUCUUCCUCCGACACCACCGCUCGAUCUCGUACCACGAUUUACACACUGCCGAUACCACGUUCCGAUCCUUUUCCGAUUGUAUGAACGAGAAUACAUGCUCCAGCACCUCAUCUGAGAGCGAAGACGCUAAUCUCUUCGGCAUUAAUUACCCCCAAAAAAAAAUGAAAACUUCUGACAGAAAAGAUGAAAAUUUUCUCUCAAAUUUCCUCCUUUUGACGGAUACUACAGUUUCGUUAAGAUUUUAAGUUCGUUUUCAGAAAUGAGACGCCAUUAAAGGAGAUUAAGCUUAAGCUGACGAGACAACAGUGAAGAAGAAGAAGAGAGGAUAAGGAUUUUUAUUUUCGUGUUGGGAAGAAGGGUUAGAUUUUAACCAUGGUUAAUUAAGUAAUUCUCUUGUUUUUGUGGGGAUAUUGAUAGGCGUUUAGGGUAGUGACACGUGGUUGGGAAGAGAUGUGGGCGCGUACGAUGGACGGUGAGAGGGGUAGAUCUUAUCCGUUGACGGUGAAACGGAGCCGCACGGAUUUUUGUAUUUUGUCUAAGGGCUAGUUUGAAUGGGCGGUGUGUUUAACUCCGGUGAGAUUAAAAAUAGCGGUGGCGGUGAGAUUAGUUACUGUAGCGGUGAGAUUGGAUACUGUAGCGGUGAGAUUAGAAACAAUGGUGAAGUGUGUGUUUGGAUUCAAACGUAGCUGUAGUGGUGAGGUGAGAAUAAAAAAUGACUAUUAAGGACAUUGGAUUAGAAUUGAUAUAUAAUAUAAGUUAUUUAAAUUAUUUUACUUUUUUAAAUUAUUAAAAUAUGUGAAUUUAUAAAUUCAUUUAAUAAAAUAUUAAAAUGUAUCUUCUAAUAUUUUAAUGAAUUAUAUAAUUAAUUUAAAUUAUUUAUUAGAUAAAAUGAUAGUUAUUUUUAUUUAAUUUUUUCCAAAAUAAAAAUAUGAUUAAACUCGUCCAUUUCAACUCAUUCUUCUUCAUGUUUUUUUCUUCUCUGAAUACCCAUUCCUGCCUUCAUAUUUUUUCCAGUUUGUGAAACUAAUGCCUAAUAAUUUAAGCCAAAAUUGGGGAAAAAAUAUAGACCAAGUAAUAACUUCACUGCUAGAUUAAAUUCAUUCUCUUCUUCAAUGUAAUUUCUGAAACUAGAAUCUGUAUAUUCUUUUAACUUCCUUGAGAAUCCCCAUAUCUUCUUUUCAGCUUUUUCAUCUCACUUUCUUUAAACACAACCAUUUAAAGUCACCUAACACCUUUUCAAUUUGCUCUUAUUUUUAUUUUAGAUUCAAAAUAACAGCCGACCACCAUGGAUGUAAGUUGUGUUUCUCUUCUUGUUUGAAUCUCUUCUUUAAAGCUAAAUCUAAGGUGGGAUUUUUCUUGUUUUGCCUGUUUAACUAGGAUUAUAAUUGCAAGAGAAGUGGGCAGAUUCCAACAUUUGGAGACUGGGAUCAUGCAAAUGAAUUGCCCAUAACUCAGUACUUUGAAUCUGCUCGUGAAGCUGGUUUGAUUCGUUUCAGCUCUUCAUCAGCAAAACCCAAACCUUAUCUUACUGUUGAUUUGAAAACCAAACAUCCUCGUAAUCAUGUUCCUGUUAGAAAGGUUAGCUAGCUCUUCUUCUUCUUCUAAGAAUCUUGCUGAAUUUGAGAUAAGAGAAUGAAUGGGGGUUGGUAUAAUAUUUAGGGUAUUAUUGUCUUCUAAAAAUGUCUACUACUCUACUGGAGCUUUUACCACUAGUCAACUUAUGGCUGUCCAGUGCAGUUGAAACUCCUCACUGUGCUGGAAGCCAACACAUCCAAAGGCUGUCCACAGUCCAGUCCAAUGCAGUGAGAUUGAUAAUAAAGGGGAAAAAAUUCAACGCACUGGUGUGCGUUGGUAUCCAAAGGAGCCCUAAAUAGUGUACUUUUUCUUUUUUAUAUGUCACAUAUAUAUUUUAUUUCUUUUUUAAAAUAGUUCAAAUAUUAAGUAUUGGCCUAAUGGUCAAGAGUGUUUAUAAUUUAAGAAAAAAAGAACAAUAAUAAUCUCUCACUAAUUUUUAAAUAAGAGAAUAAUACAUUUCAGUAUACUCGAUCAAUAUAUAUUUAAUAAACAAAUUACUAAAUUUUAAAACCCUAAACAUUUUUUCCACUUAAAUAGUAUAGUUUAAUUUAUACAUAAGAUUGAUUUUAUUUUAAAUAAUGGUUUAUUCAAGUAAAAAUUAAGGUUUAGGGUUUAUUUAAGUUUAAGAUAAAUUUAAUCAAUUUCUUUUCUUUAAAUAAGUUUUUAAUCUAAAUAAUCACCCAUAAUUUAUUGUUUAUAUAAUUAAAAAACAAUGAGAGAGUUGAGUUGUCGAACACGUAAAGGUUAUUAUUUAAAUUUCAAUGCAGAAAAAAGAUGGUGAUUAAGAUUAAACAUUGAUGAUUAGUUUAAUAAUAGUAACAAAUGAUAAUUAAGCCCCACGGAUGGUUUCCCCGGGAAUCUCUCGUCCCCCUCGAGUGGGACGGCUUAGACUUUGCUACACAUUCUGAAUUUUUUUUAGAUUUUGAUUAUUAAAAGACGAGAAUAAAUUAUUAUCUUCAUAUUAUUAAAAUUUAAGAUCGGUAGAGUAUUUUAUACGUUUUCGGUCCUAUCAUUAACCUUCUAAUAAAUUUAGAUAGUAUAAAUAUAUAUUUGUUAUUUGUGACAUUUUUCGCCCACUUCGAGUCCAAAUUUUAGGAUGUUAUAUUUAUUGUCAGAGUAAUUAUCGUCAAUUAUAUAGUAAUUAAACUAUUUAAUCAUGCAUUCAUUUCAUAAACACAUUCAUGAUAUACAAACUUUUUCGAGUCUCAAUCGAGUCUAUAAAAUUAUUUUUAAAUGACGUAUUUAAUGAGUGAAUCUAUAUAAAUAUUGAUGGAAUGGGUGGAUCUACAUGUUAACUUAUAUAUUAUUCUAUAAUUCAUAGUUAAAUAAUAAAUUUAUAUUUUGCUUUUUUUCUUACAAUACCGAAAAUUAUUAUAAUCCCUCCUCGACCUAUAAAUAGGAGGAUAAUGUAUUUUAAUGUAUUUGAAUUUACGUCCUCCUACAUUAAUAAUAAUGCUCAUACCAAUUGAGUUAAGACUCAAUCGACUAUAUUAUUAUUAUUUUUAAAUAAUAACUUUAAAGGAGUUGGUGUAUGCUAAGAUGAUUUAAAAUCCAUGUCUAGUCAAAUAAAAAAUAUAUUUUAUUUUUUAUAAUUAAAAAUAAGAUUUAAAUAUAUAUUUUAAGAUUAAUAUUAAUUUGUAAGUAAUGAAAUAUAAAAAAUAAUUAUAGCAAAUUUUAUUUUUAUCUUAUUUAAUAAAAACUAAAUUAUUUAUUGUUAAUUAAUUAAAAAAAUUAAAAAAAAAGAGAAGAAAAUAAUUCUAGUUUACAUAAUAAUGAUACUUUUCCAUACAAUUUGUCUACGAAAUUGAGAGGAAGGUGGCAUUGGUUCUUACAUUAAAGAUUUCACCACUGAUUUAGCUUUGACUUCUCUGCAUUUCCACAACUAAAUGAUUCUAAAAUUACUACCAAAUCUUCAAUUCUGACUUUAAUUAUUUGGUGCUAUCUUUCAAUUCUAACCAUUCCAAUAGUUUGAAGGCUUUUAAUUUAGCCUCUUUUUUCCUCCCUUUAGAAGAUAAUUAAUGAAUAAAAGAUAUUCAAGAUUUUUAAAUUAUCAUAUCUCAUAACCAAAUCCACAUUAGUAAUAUGUUAAAGUCUAAAGGUUUUUUUUUUUUCAAUAAUUGAGGGAGGAGAAUUGGGUUGCUCGGGAUCGAACCUAAACUUUUAUGCCUACAAUACAAUACUAUUGCUACUAGGCCAAGAAAUUAUUGGCUAAGGCGUAAAGGGUUUAAAACUACAUUUGUGUUAUACCUACGUACAUAUAAUUUUAAAAAUUACCCAUAUAAUAUUGUUAUCCAAAUACAUGGAGGACGCCAUCAAUAAGUAAUGGGAAAAAGUAGAAGUGGACUUCUUUCCCAUGUAUUUGGAUUAAAUUCAAAAAGAGGGUUUUACCUGAAUGCCAUCCUGGUCUAAUCAGGAUUGUUGAAACCGUCUUUUUUAAAACAAAAAUUUUGUUGUCGACUUUUAAAAAUAAAACUGGAGUCACCACCGAUCCUUUAUUAAGGUGUGACCGGCCCACCUUAAAAAUUAUUUUGGUCUGCGAAUUUUGAAAAUAGGUUCGGGAGUCAGUUACGCACGAGGAAGGGUUAGCACCCUCGUAACGCCCAAAAUCGGUACCAAAUUGAUCAUUUAAUGUCUUAGUGUCGAAGAUUAAAAAGAUUUUAAAAUCAACUUGAAUGAUGAAAUUUGCAAAAGGAUAACAAGUUGUUCAAGUCAUGUAAAGAAAUCGAGUCCCAAUACGUUAGGGUACAAUUCCUCAUAAUCCCCGAACUUUGAAUAUCACUUUUUAUUUUAUACGAAAAAUCUUCAUUUCGAGAAAGUAACAUGCCACACCCAAUACGUUAGGGCACGACAAGUUAAGUUCCCAAAAAUGAUUUUUACACUCAUGCAUUUUGAAUAAAGAAUAUCCUCGGUUAUUUAAGAUUAGCAAAGAAAAUCCAAACCCAGUACGUUAGGGCUCAAUUUCCCUCGAAAACCUCAAACCUCGAAUAUCGCUUUUAUUCAAAAAAAACCUUGAAGCAAGAAAAUAACUUUGAUGUAUGGUUAAAACCAAAACAUAUUUUCAAAAAGAGUAUGCUUAAAACGUAAUGUACAAUAUGAUACAAAUACUUUAACUUAAAGCAUAUAUAAAUAUAUAUUUACAAAAUAAAAAAAUGUAUAAGUAUAUGUAUUGGUAAAUCAUGCAAAUGCGUAUAUAUAUAUUAAAAUGUAAAAAUGUAUAUGUUUACAAAAGUUAGGAAAUAAAAACAAAAACAUAUAUACAAGUAUUUAUAAAAGUUUAGAAAUAUACAUAUACUAUAGAAAUGCGCAUAAAUAAAUAUGUGGAAAAUAUAUUUACAAUAAUUUUAAAUAGUGCAUGUAUAUAUAUAUGUAUAUAUAUAUAUUAAAAAUGUGUAAGUAUAGCAUAUAAGGAAAUUAUGAAAAAUGCGGAUGCAUAUGUAUCAAAUACGUAUAUAAAUAAGUACAUAUAUAUGUCCAUAAGAACAUGAGAAAUGCAAAAGAAAAGAAAAUGCAUUUAUGAUAAUUUAAAAGAGAAAAAAAAUGCGUAUAUGUGUGAAUUUAAAAAAAUGUAUAUAUAUUACAAGAAUGCACGUGUAUAUAUAUGUAUAAUAAUAAUAUAUAAUGUUAUAAUAAUAAUAGCAAUAUUAAUAAAAUGAACUAAAUAAAUAAAUAAAUUGUGAAACAAAUGAGAUUAAAAAACAAAAAAAAGGAUCAGAAUGCAAAAAUGCGGAUUUCAUGGGGGUCAAGUAAGGAAUACUCCUUCCCCUCAAAACACAACACUUUGCACAGACCAAAUUGAAUCAAAAAUCAAAUAUGCGGUUAAAUGUGAAAGAAAAUAAAACGACAGAAAAAAAGACCAAAUUGAAAAGCGUAUGGAAGGAGGAGGGGCUGCAUGCGAAAUAAACCAAAAUACCCAAAACGCGCGGAUCCUCCCCCCGGGUCGGGUCACCGCGCGGGCCAAGGGCCAGGUGGAUCAAAACAACGCCGUUUUAAGGCCGAAGAGACCCCCCCUAAACGUCGUCGUUUUAUUUGCUUUAAAAAACCAAAAUUUUCCCUAAAAAUUCAUUCUUUCUCCCCCUUUCUGACACUAAAUAGCAGAGAAUCUCUCUGCUAGGGUUUCAUGUUCACAUGCCGCCGCCGUUCAAGCCAUCCUCAUGGCCUCCGUCGAUGCCCCGAUCCCCAAUCGUGUCGGAGAGGGCACCAACUCGGCGACUCCGACGAAAAGGUAAGUUUUCUCCUCCUUUUCUUCUUUUUAUUUAGGCAAAAAUAAAUGAAAAAGAAAAAAAGAGAAAAUAUAAAAAAUAAAAUAACAUAUAUAUAUAUAUAUAAAUGACAAAUAAAAGAACAAAAAUUAACAAGGUAAAACAGUGAGGAAAAAAACACCUUUCUAUUUCAAAAAGAAAUUUUUGUGUUUGUAUUUAGUUUUUCUUUCUCGGUCACUUUUACACCUUCCCCCCCACUGUUACAGAUUCGAUAACAGCUUUAAAUAGCCGAAAAUGGGAAAAAAAUGAACAAAAUCAAAAUAAAAUCCAUUCUAUUUUUUGUUGCAUAUUGUUGCCCGAUUUUUGCUCUUCUAUUUUGUGUUUGUUGCUGCAGGUACUGCUGGAGGCGUGUGCGAGAUUCGCGGCGUGCGCGAGCGACGGGCACGAUGUGCGGGGGGAGUUGGCUCCGAAGCGUGCGCCGAUUGGAGUUGUCGGAGGCGGAGCACGUUGUGGGGGCUUGCGGCGCUGAACUAAACAUGGGGCUAGGGUUUGUUUGGGUGUUUAGGGUUAUUGGGCCUAGGUUUAGCUUAUGUUUUGUAAGGGCCGGGGUAAAUUUGUUUGCUUGGGCCUGGGCAUUAUUGGGCUUGUACAACUGCCCCUCAUUGCUCAUUGUCGUGUAACAGGAAUAGAGCAAAGACUAAAAGCCCAAUUGUGCCCGAUCCUACUGAGCCUCACUUUCUUUAGUGCUUUUCAAGUUGCAUCAUUCCAACCUACUGCAUCUUCAGAGGUAUAGGAACUGGUGCUUCAAUCCACUCCACUGCAAUGUCUGGGAGAUAGGCUUCGCACGUUGCAACUUCUCAGAAAGAACAAAAUUUACUAUCUUUAGUCUGCUCCGCUGCAACUUCAGGGAGAUAAGACCUAUAGCUUCAACUUAUUCUGUUACAACUUAAGGGUAAAUCUGAUGUGAUCUGCUCCACUGCCACUUCAGAGAGAUGAGAUCAGCGGUUUUAAUCCACUCCAUUGCAACUUUAAGGAGAUAGGAUUGCUUACUUCUGUCUGCUCCAUUGCAACUUCAGGGAGAUAAAACUUGUAUCUUCGAUCUAUUCCACUAUUGCCCAGGGAGAUAGAAUUACUGGCUUCAGUGUACUCCACUGUAACCUCAAGGAGGUAAAAUUCGCCAUCUUUGAUAUGCCCCAUUACUGCUUAGGGGGAUAAGGUCUGAAAUCUUCAAUCUAUUCAAUUGCAAUGUCGGGGAAACCAGAUCCGCCGUCGUAGCUUCAAUCUGUUCCACCGCACCGUCAGGGAAGUAAGAUCCGCCGUUGUGGCUUCAAUCUUUUUAAUUGCAAUAUCAGGGAAACCAGAUCUGCCGUCGUAGCUUCAAUCUGUUCCACUGCACUGCUAAGGAAGUAAGAUCCGCCAUUGUGGCUUCAAUCUUUUUAAUUGCAACAUCAAGGAAACCCAGAUCCGCCGUCGUAGCUUCAAUCUGUUCCACUGCACUGCUAACGAAAUAAGAUCCGCCGUUGUUGCUUCAAUCUUUUUAAUUGCAAUAUCAGGGAAACCAGAUCUGCCGUCGUAGCUUCAAUAUGUUCCACUGCACUGCUAAGGAAGUAAAAUUACUGGCUUCAAUGUACUUCAUUCAACUUCAGGGAGGUAAAAUCCGCCAUCUUUGAUCUGCUCCACUACUGCUUAGGGAGGCAAUAUCUGAAAUCUUCAAUCUAUUCCACUGCUGCCCAGGGAAGUAGAAUUACUGGCUUCAAUGUACUCCACUGCAACUUCAGGGAGGUAAAAUCCGCCAUCUUCGAUCUGCUCCACUACUGCUUAGGGAGGCAAGAUCUGAAAUCUUCAACCUGCUCCACUGCCUCCGAGGGAGGCGAGGUUGGUGUCUUCGAUCUGCUUCACUGUCGAUGCAGGAAUGCAAGAUCUGUUAUCAUCACUGAUCUGUUCUCUGGGGAACAUGACCUGUAUAAUGAACUUUAUGAACCUAAUUAUGCCUAGUGAUUAGGAUGUCAUGAUCAGAAUGAAUCAAAUGUUCCUAACUAGACAUGUAUGAAUGACAUUUGAAUGAAUGCAGAAUGUCAUGAAAAUGAUAUUUCAACGCUUGGGUUAUUAUUACUCCAAGUUUAUUAAGGUUUCAUCAUUAAUGUGUUAUAACACCUUCUUGCUCAGCUGGCGUCUCCAAAAAACACUUAGUCAGAUUGCCCCACUGUAACCUUUAAAGUUUAAUCCACUGGGAUGCAAAAAUUUGUACCAUCUUUCUCCCGUUGUAACCCAAGAGUAAAAGAUUUGGCAUUUUCUCAAUCCUCUGCUAUCACAAUUCAAUGAUACAGAAAGUGAAACUCUUUGGUCCCUUACACCAUUCCCAGUGUGUUGUACCAAAUGCUCAAGCACAAAUGAAGAAAUCUUCUCCAAGAGCAACUUCUUCUUGUUAUUCGGUAGUCAUUUGCUAGCUUGUUCAUUGAAGCUUUGUCACAAACAUGACAUCUUGCCAUUUUGAUCAAUCGAUGUUUUAGACAGCAAAAACUCAAAGGGAUAGUCUGAAUUUAGACCUUUCCUUAUCAGAUUUCCAACUUGGUGCGUUUUAAACAAUAGUCUUAUUUCAGGUUCCUGUAUUAUUUAGAAACUUCUAGAGUAAUAUGCGAAACUUCCCUUGUGAAAGUUUUAUUAGUCUAUUAACCAUUAUUCUAAUGCAACAUGCUUGUAAAAAGAUCAUGGAUAAGAAUAGAGUUGGUUCUGAGCACAGCUCGAAAUGAAUAAAUUACCAAGGAUAAUAAAGAUGGAUAACAAAGAAAUUGAUUUAGGAAUGCGUAUCAUGGAAAUGAAUGAAAUGUUCCAAGAAUAACAAAAAAUAGUAUAAGGAUUAGGUGCCCCACGUAACGCAGCUUGAACUUUGCUGUACAGACUUUCUGAAGAUCAUUCUGAGUUUGACAUGUGUUUAGGAGUACUUUGUCGAUGCCCCAAGAUGUCGCCUACCCUUUCUUAUUGAUUCCAGUAUAGCAAGACCACUGUAUAUCCCAUUUUGAUCAGUAUUUGAGCUGCUCUGAUUACUUCAUGCCCCAUUCUGAUCAACAUUUGAGCCGCCCUUUUUCGAGUUUUCAACUCAAAUCCCCUUUGGUCUAAGGCGCCCUUUGCGAGUUUUCACCUUAGCCUCUUCUUUUUUUUUUUUACUCAAGGCUCCCUUUGUAGGGUUUCACCCUGGUCUUUUUUUUUUGACUCAAAGCACCCUUUGUAGGCUUUCACCUUGGUCCCACCUUUUUUAAGCAGAGUAUUUCCUGACUGAAUAUGAGUUUACAGGACUUUGUAAAUUUUUACCAUCCAUCUCACUCAAGAUCAAAGCUUCUCUAGAAAAGGCUUUCUUUAUAACAUAUGGACCCUUCUAAUUUGGCCUCUAUCUUCCUCUAAAAUCCUUUUGUAUAGGAAGGAUCUUUUUCAACACUAGUUCCCUCUUGUGAAAUUCUUUGGGACGAACCUCCGGGUCUUCCUCUUAGGAUAAAAUGUAGAGAAAUGACAAUUCGACUUCAAUGAGUAAAGCUAUGAUAAGCCAAAGAGGAGGAUAUUGCCCCAGCAAAGAAAGUUUACUGCAUCGUUCAUAGCAUCGAUGUUGAACCUACUGCCCAUUUCUGACAUCAUGCUGUUAUUCAGAUUACAAGCUAGUGCUUAACCCGAGCAUAUCUGGGUAUGACCAUGUGAAGACAUCAUUGAAUUCUUGGGGUAGCUCUAUAAGGUCUCGCCUCGUCUUCGUGAUCAUGUCAAUUCCAAUCUUCACCAAGCUCACAAUUUCUGAUAAUUCAUUGUGAUGUAGGAUCUGUCUAUCCUCUUAUCACCCUCCUCAAGUCUGGAGAUAAGCUACAAUCUAUGUCAUCUUCAAAGUCAUGAGAUCCCUCUAAACACAUGUCUCACUCAAAAGGAAAUUUUGAGUCUGUAGCAGUGUCAUUCAUGACAUUGAUAUCUGGGGACCCAUAGUAGGUAUCUGAGAAUAUACAAAAGAAUGUAUGAAUAAUAUGAAUGAAUGGUUUGGCAGAAAAAAUCUAAAAAAAAAUGAAAAAAACGUAAAGAAUGAAAGAACAUUUGCUCAAAGAUGAUUGCAAUAAUGUAUUUCAUUAAAAUAAUAAUGUUCAGACAUGAGUCAAUUUCACAAAGGUGCUCCUAUUGCUUUUAAGCUAAAAGCAACAAUCGUGUUCUGAAUAUUACUCUAAGUAAGCCCUAGAUGCUACAGAGAUUCCUUUUACAAUCCGAUUAUUUAGACGCUCUCAAGUUUGUAAGGGUGGAUACCUAACAAGGUCCCUUUUCAAGUGUGUCUUCAUAUACGGCAUUGAUAUGAACGCUUUCCAAUUCUUCUUCAUAUGUCGUAUUCAUCCCAUUAUCAAUGUGAUUGGGUAGUGAAUUUUUUGCACUCGAUGAGUCACCAAACUUGACAACACCCAUGUUGAUGAGUCUCUCAACCAGCUUCUUGAAGGCAGUGCAAUUCUCUAUUAAAUGACCUGUAAUUCCCACAUGAUAGUCACAUUGUGCAUUCGCAUCAUACCAUUCGGGAUACGGAGGUUGUAGAGGCUUCACAUGAAAAGGAGAAACAACGUGUUCAUCAAAUAAGCCUUGAUAUAACUCUCUAUACGACAUCGGUAUGGGUGUGAACUGAAGCCUUCCUGUAUUUGUUCUCAUGCAAGGUUCUUGCUUUAAAGGGGCCUGAUGGUUGGUGGUCUUUGUCUUUGGCUGCCCCACAAUAGUUGGUUUUGAGUAGCCCCUAUUAUAUCUGCCUGCAUUAUCCACCUUAUUCCCCUUAUUCCUUGGGGCUUUUACAGUAUCUGGGCGCUCUACUCUUGCCUGCUUUGUUUCUGCUGGGUCAUUAAGGGCAACAGGACUGGUUAGAUUGCCUCUUAGAUUACAACCUGGGCCUAUCGAGUGAUUCAUCAGUGUCGAUGUACCAGUCUGAUAUUGUUGAGGCUUGAUAGUAAAGAGUGCCCCUCGUGGGUGUGCAUCUGGCUGGAUUUGAACACUUAUUGGGAUAAAUUUUGGGGAAUAGGCGAGGUUCUCAUUAUUAUCCCCAAAGUGAACCGCUGGACUUUUCCCUUUUUUCUAACCAUUUACCCAAUAACUGGGUUAAUUGGCUCAUCAUAUCUCUUUGGAAUUCUAAUAGCUGAUCUCUCAUAUCUUGCUGAAAUUUGGUCAAUUGUUCUUGUAUCUGCACUUGCAUUUGCUCUAAUUUCUCCAACCUUUGGUCCAUUUCUCUAGCCUUUUCUUGGGUGCCGUGAGGGUGUUGGUUUUCCAAUUUAACUGAAAUAAUUUUACUCAAUUAGGCUCUUUCAGUGGAUUUUAAUGCAUAUGAUGCUAUGAAAUGCAAAUGCAUGAGAUGAAUGCAAGAAGAGACGUUGAUUCUGAUUCAAUUCUAUUUAGAAAACUUUUCUAGAAGACAAAUUUCUUUACAUAAAGCGGAUAUAUAUAUACGGCUUUGCCCUCAUACUCUAAGCGAGGACAUCUUCUCCUUCUUCAUCUGGAUGCUAAGAUAAAUCUUGCGAAUUCUUCAAAAGGGGUAUCUCCUCUACCUCUUUUUUACUUGAUCCUGGUUAUAAUCCAACGUCUGCCCAUCCCCGUGAUGCUCGUUGGCCUCUUUUUAAGAAGGUUCAGCAGCUCUCAAAUAAUCUUUGUCAUCUUGAAUCCUUGGCCAACGGAGCCAUAGUCGUGUAGUCCUCCAUUAAAUUAUCAUCCUUCUCUUAUCACGAGUUCUUGGACCAUAUUCGAACAACCAAACUGUCAUCCACUUUAUCAAGAAACCCAUUUUCUUAUGACAAGCUCUCUAUUUAGCAACUGAACGUGAAUCAACACCUCUUUUUUUAAGAUGAAAAUGUAAUGUCAUGACAUGCAAUCAAAACAAAACACAAAAAGGUCAGUAUCAUAUAAACAUAAAAUAUAACCAAGAAAUAAAAAAAACUCCUAUUCGGAUAUCUUCUAAGGUUUAGUGUAGCUCUACCUAUGGCGGGUUCCUAAGGCUCACUAUAUGAGGCUCAGUUUCUAGAGUAAGGGUACCCGAACCAGCAGAUUCCUCGAUCCUCACCCAUUAUAGGCUCAUGUGGAUCGAGUUCAGUUCAGGGGGAUACAUUUCCCUAUGGCUGCACGGAGAUGAAAAUCUCACGAAGACAUAGGUACGGAUAUAUCCCGGAAGCGAUCCACUACCCUGCACGGAGGUGAAAACCUCACGAAGGACUAGUUUCUCGCUCCCACUUAAAAGGGUAAAAUGCAAAAUGCAAACGCAAAGUUGCCAACAUACCAAGAUGAAAAAAAAAUCAAUGAAUGCGAAGGGAACUCAUGAAUUUUUUUUAAAAAACUUUUGAUUUUCGACACGAAGACAAAUAUAAUCGGUUUAUGGCUCGACUCUCAAACGUCCCCAGUGGAGUCACCAAGCUGUCGAAACCGUCUUUUUGAAAACAAAAAUUUUGUUGUCGACUUUUAAAAAUAAAACUGGAGUCGCCACCGAUCCUUUAUUAAGGUGUGACCGGCCCACCUUAAAAAUUAUUUUGGUCUGUGAAUUUUGAAAAUAGGUUCGGGAGUCAGUUACGCACGAGGAAGGGUUAGCACCCUCGUAACGCUCAAAAUCGGUACCAAAUUGAUCAUUUAAUGUCUUAGUGUCGAAGAUUAAAAAGAUUUUAAAAUCAACUUGAAUGAUGAAAUUUGCAAAAGGAUAACAAGUUGUUCAAGUCAUGUAAAGAAAUCGAGUCCCAAUACGUUACGGUACAAUUCCUCAUAAUCCCCGAACUUUGAAUAUCACUUUUUAUUUUAUACGAAAAAUCUUCAUUUCGAGAAAGUAACAUGCCACACCCAAUACGUUAGGGCACGACAAGUUAAGUUCCCAAAAAUGAUUUUUACACUCAUGCAUUUUGAAUAAAGAAUAUCCUCGGUUAUUUAAGAUUAGCAAAGAAAAUCCAAACCCAAUACGUUAGGGCUCAAUUUCCCUCGAAAACCUCAAACCUCGAAUAUCGUUUUUAUUCAAAAAAAACCUUGAAGCAAGAAAAUAACUUUGAUGUAUGGUUAAAACCAAAAUAUAUUUUCAAAAAGAGUAUGCUUAAAAGGUAAUGUACAAUAUGAUACAAAUACUUUAACUUAAAGCAUAUAUAAAUAUAUAUUUACAAAAUAAAAAAAUGUAUAAGUAUAUGUAUUGGUAAAUCAUGUAAAUGCGUAUAUAUAUAUAUUAAAAUGUAAAAAUGUAUAUGUUUACAAAAGUCAGGAAAUAAAAACAAAAACAUAUAUACAAGUAUUUAUAAAAGUUUAGAAAUAUACAUAUACUAUAGAAAUGCGCAUAAAUAAAUAUGUGGAAAAUAUAUUUACAAUAAUUUUAAAUAGUGCAUGUAUAUAUAUAUGUAUAUAUAUAUUAAAAAUGUGUAAGUAUAGCAUAUAAGGAAAUUAUGAAAAAUGCGGAUGCAUAUGUAUCAAAUACGUAUAUAAAUAAGUACAUAUAUAUGUCCAUAAGAACAUGAGAAAUGCAAAAGAAAAGAAAAUGCAUUUAUGAUAAUUUAAAAGAGAAAAAAAAAUGCGUAUAUGUGUGAAUUUUAAAAAAUGUAUAUAUAUUACAAGAAUGCACGUGUAUAUAUAUGUAUAAUAAUAUAUAAUGUUAUAAUAAUAAUAGCAAUAUUAAUAAAAUGAACUAAAAAAAUAAAUAAAUUGUGAAACAAAUGAGAUUAAAAAACAAAAAAAAAGGAUCAGAAUGCAAAAAUGCGGAUUUCAUGGGGGUCAAGUAAGGAAUACUCCUUCCCCUCAAAGCGCAACACUUUGCACAGACCAAAUUGAAUCAAAAAUCAAAUAUGCGGUUAAAUGUGAAAGAAAAUAAAACGACAGAAAAAAAGACCAAAUUGAAAAGCGUAUGGAAGGAGGAGGGGCUGCAUGCGAAAUAAACCAAAAUACCCAAAACGCGCGGAUCCUCCCCCCGGGUCGGGUCACCGCACGGGCCAAAGGCCAGGUGGAUCAAAACGACGCUGUUUUAAGGCCGAGGAGACCCCCUAAACGUCGCCGUUUUAUUUGCUUUAAAAAACCAAAAUUUUCCCUAAAAAUUCAUUCUUUCUCCCCCUUUCUGACACUAAAUAGCAGAUAAUCCCUCUGCUAGGGUUUCAUGUUCACAUGCCGCCGCCGUUCAAGCCAUCUUCAUGGCUUCCGUCGAUGCCCCGAUCCCCAAUCGUGUCGGAGAGGGCACCAACUCGGUGACUCCGGCAAAAAGGUAAGUUUUCUCCUCCUUUUCUUCUUUUUAUUUAGGCAAAAAUAAAUGAAAAAGAAAAAAAGAGAAAAUAUAAAAAAUAAAAUAACAUAUAUAUAUAAAUGACAAAUAAAAGAACAAAAAUUAACAAGGUAAAACAGUGAGGAAAAAAACACCUUUCUAUAUCAAAAAGAAAUUUUUGUGUUUGUAUUUAGUUUUUCUUUCUCGGUCACUUUUACACCUUCCCCCCCAUUGUUACAGAUUCGAUAACAGCUUUAAAUAGCCGAAAAUGGGAAAAAAAAUGAACAAAAUCAAAAUAAAAUCCAUUCUAUUUUUUGUUGCAUAUUGUUGCCCGAUUUUUGCUCUUCUAUUUUGUGUUUGUUGCUGCAGGUACUGCUGGAGGCGUGUGCGAGAUUCGCGGCGUGCGCGAGCGACGGGCACGAUGAGCGGGGGGAGUUGGCUCCGAAGCGUGCGCCGAUUGGAGUUGUCGGAGGCGGAGCACGUUGUGGGGGCUUGCGGCGCUGAACUGAACAUGGGGCUAGGGUUUGUUUGGGUGUUUAGGGUUAUUGGGCCUAGGUUUAGCUUAUGUUUUGUAAGGGCCGGGGUAAAUUUGUUUGCUUGGGCCCGGGCAUUAUUGGGCUUGUACAAGGAUUAAAUUGUAAAAUAGAUAAAAACAACUAUAGUUAUACAAAAAAAAAAAUACAAGGGGAUGUUAGGAUAGGCAAAUGCCUUGGCCUUAGAAAUGAUAAAAUUAUGAAUGUAAUCUCUUUAAAAAUUGCAAGUUAUUAUCAAUAUAAAAUUAAAUUUGGUCUACUUAAAAGAAUAUUUUUUGCAUGAAUUAUCCAAAUAUAUAUAUAGUUAAGGGAUGGCAAUUCCCAACAAUCGAAGGUAUUUGAUGCGGAAACCCGGAUCUAGACACAAGAGAAACACAAAUUAGAAAUAAAAACGAGAAUAAAUAAAAUUAGUUCAAUAAUAUUAAUAAUAAAAAAAGAAUAGAUUUGCCCUAUGGAACCCUUGGUUAACUUGCAACCAAAAACGCCAAUGAUUGAGCGGCUCCCUACGAAACCCCUAGAAGAAGAACCUCUAAAAACACCGAUGAACGGGAAGGAAAUUUGAAUAUUUGUAACUCCGAAAAACCCUCGAAGUAACAAACUUCAAACUAAAUAGCAAGAGAAGAAUCACUCUACUCUAAAAAAAUUGCCUCACACAAAUUUGGAAGAAAACCAAUACUCUUUUUUCUUAUGUGCCCCAAUGUAUAGAAAGCAAGCCUAUUUAUAGGCAAAAUACAAGAGUAAUUGAACCCUAAUAGAACUCUUUAAAAUUAACUAAGAAAAUAAAUAAAUAAUAACCUAACAAAUAAAAUUACUUAACUCAUAAGUGAUGUGUCCCAACUAAUGAGAAUUAAGUAAAUAAUAAUAAUAAUAAGAUACAUAAAAGAUUAAUCCACCAAUUUAUGGGCUUUCACUAUUCCAAGAUUGGUCCAGUGAAUUGCAUUCCCAUAUUUGUCAACGUCACGAACAUGAUGAAUUAAAUUUGUAGCAACAAAGUCUUGGACAAAAGCAUUCAUCUUUGAUUUUAAUUGUUGUGCCUUGCUUCGAGUGAUUGGACCACUAGGAAAAACAACCCCUUGAGUGUCACCUCAUUGGCUCGUAUCAUUCUCCCCCUCUUCAAGAAGAUUCGUCCUCGAAUCUAAACCUACAUCAAAUUCAAAAGGAAAAAGAUCAGAAACAUUGAAAGUAACACUAACACUAUACUCACCAGGAAGAUCAAUGCGAUAAGCAUUGUCAUUUAUUUUCUCGAGUACUUGGAAUGGUCUAUCUCCUCGUGCAUCAAGUUCAUUCUUUCUCUUAGAAGGAAAUCGUUCCUUCCUCAUAUGCACCCAAACCCAAUCUCUAGGUUCAAACAAGACUUGCUUUCGCCCUUUAUUUGCUCGAUGUGCAUUGGACUCAUUCUUUUUCUCAAUGGCUUUACGAGCCUUAUCUUGGAUCUCUUUCACUAAAUCAGCUUUCCUUUCACCAUCUAAAUUAGCAAUCUCAUUCAAAGGUAAAGGAAGCAAAUCUAAAACAGUAAGUGGAUUAAAGCCAUAUACAAUCUCAAAAGGAGUAAAACCUGUGGAAGAAUGAACAGAACGAUUAUAAGCAAACUCAACAUAGGGUAUCCAUUCUUCCCAAGAUUUAACAUUCUUACCUAUUAUGGCUCUAAACAAAGAUCCCAAAACUCGAUUUACCACAUCGGUUUGACCAUCAGUUUGAGGGUGGCAUGUAGUAGAGUAAAGUAGCUUAGUACCUAACUUACCCCAUAACACCUUCCAAAAGUGACUAAGAAAUUUUGCAUCUCUAUCGGAAACGAUAGUCCUUGGGAUUCCAUGUAAUCUCACAACUUCACGAAAAAUUAGAUCAGAAACAUGGGUUGCAUCAUCAGUCUUAUGGCAUGGAAUAAAAUGAGCCAUUUUAGAAAAUCGAUCCACAACUACAAAGAUGACAUCUCGUCCACGCUUUGUCCUUGGUAAACCUAUUACAAAAUCCAUUGAAAUGUCAGUCCAAGGUGAACUAGGAACAGGAAAAGGAGUAUAUAGACCAUGAGGCAUCACAGUGGAUUUAGCUUGUUUACAAGUAAUGCAAGUAGAGCAAAUUUUCUCAACAAGUUUUCGCAUGUUAGGCCAAUAAAAAUGCUCAUGUAAAACAUCAUAAGUCUUAGUGACUCCAAAAUGACCCAUAAGACCACCAUUAUGAGCCUCUCGAACCAACAAUUCUCGCAUUGAACUCUUUGGUAAGCAUAGUCUAUUAUUUCGAAAAAGAUAGCCAUCAUGCUUAUAAAAUUUGUGAAAUGCACCAUGUUCACAUGCGUCAUAAAUGCUUGUAAAAUCAGAAUCAGUGGCAUAUAAAUCUUUGAGAUACUCAAAACCUAAUAACUUAGUAUGCAAAGUACUAAGUAAAGUGUACCUCCUUGAUAGAGUAUCAGCCACAAUAUUAUCUUUACCUUUCUUAUACCUUAUAACAUAAGGAAAAGAUUCAAUGAAUUCAACUCACCUCGCAUGUCGCUUGUUCAACUUACCUUGUCCCUUUAAGUGCUUAAGUGAUUCAUGGUCAGUGUGAAUCACAAACUCCUUUGGUAAAAGGUAAUGUUGCCAAACUUCUAAUGCCCUUACCAAGGCAUACAACUUUUUAUCAUAGGUCAAAUAGUUCAAAUGUGCUCCACCAAGUUUCUCACUAAAGUAGGCUAGUGGUUUACUAUCUUGCAUGAGGACGACACCUAUACCUACACCAGAAGCAUCACAUUCAAUCUCAAAGGUCUUUUCAAAAUUAUGUAAAGCAAGAAUAGGAGCAUUACACAAUUUAUCUUUAAGUCCAUUAAAUGCUAAUUCUUGCUUAUCUGUCCAAUGAAAAGAUACAUCCUUUUUAAUAAGUGCAGUCAAAUGCGAAGCAAUUGUGGAAAAGUUACGAACAAACCUGCGGUAGAAAUCGGCUAACCCAAGGAAAGACCUUACCUCAGAAACAGUUUUAGGGAUAGGCCAUUCUUUAAUUGCCUUUACCUUCUCCUCAUCCACAUGGAUUCCUGUAGAACUUAUCACAAAACCCAAAAAAACAAGCUUAUCUGUACAAAAUGUGCAUUUUUCAAGAUUAGCAAAGAGUCGUUCAUGCCUUAACACAUCCAAUACUAAUUUAACAUGCCCAACAUGAUCAUUCAAAGUUUUACUAUAAAUCAGUAUGUCAUCAAAAUACACAACGAUAAAUUUUCCUAAAAAAGGUCUAAGUAUGUGGUUCAUUAAUCUCAUGAAUGUGCUAGGAGCAUUAGUUAAGCCAAAUGGCAUGACUAACCACUCAUACAUGCCAUAUUUAGUCUUAAAAGCAGUUUUCCAUUCAUCACCUUGUUUCAUUCUUAUUUGAUGGUAACCACUUUUUAAGUCAAUUUUAGAGAAAAUACAUGCACCAUUAAGCUCAUCCAACAUAUCAUCUAAUCGAGGAAUUGGAUGUCGAUACUUUACCGUAAUCUUGUUGACAGCACGACAAUCAACACACAUUCUCCAAGAACCAUCUUUUUUUGGGACGAGAAGUACAGAGACCGCACAAGGGCUUAGACUCUCACGAAUCAACCCUUUCUCUAAGAGAUCUUCAACUUGCCUUUUCAAAUCCUUAGUUUCUUCAGGAUUGCUUCGAUAGACUGGUCUAUUCAGAAUACUCGACCCAGGCACAAAGUCAAUUUGAUGUUCAAUCCCUCGUAAAGGAGGUAAUCCCUUAGGCAUUUCAGAAGGAAAUACAUCCUCAAAAUCCUGCAAAAGAUCAACAAAACAACUAGGCAAAUGUCUAUUAGGGUUAGUCAAAACAAAGUUUUCCCUAAACCUAAUAAUUACAAAUGUUUGUUUUAUACAAAAAUCAAAUUUGAUAUCUCGAAACCUAGCGAAUAAACUCACUCUCUCAUCUCGUGACUUGUGUGUGCAAUCACUCACCAAUGUUGGGCCUUUAAGUUGGCUUUUAACACUAAUGGCCUCUUUACUCUCAGCCUUUUUCAAUGAUUUUACCUCACUUCCCUUACCCAUCUCACUAGCAAAUUUGAGUUGAUCAUUGUAGACUUCUUGAGGAGGAAGUGGAGCCAAAGUAAACUUCUUUCCAAGGAACACAAAGGUAUAUUGGUUAAGGAAACCAUCAUGAUUUACUCGUCGAUCAAACUGUCAUGGCUGUCCAAGUAAUAUGUGCCCAGCUUGCAUUGGAACAACAUCACACAAAACUUUAUCAGAGUAUCUACUAAUGGAAAAUGAAACUAAGCAUUGUUUAGAUACUUUUACCUCCCUACUAUCAUUCAGUCAUUGUAAGCGGUAUGGCCUUAGAUGCUUCACACAAGGUAGGCCAAGUUUCUUAACAAGGGAAGAACUCACCACAUAGGUGCAACUUCCACUAUCGAUGAUCAAUGAACUAGGUUGUCCACCAAUCAAACAUCUCGUGUGGAAAAUGUUAUCUUUUUGUUCGCGCCCUUCCUCUUUAAACUGGACAUUUAAAGCCCUUCGAGCAACAAGUGCUUUCUCACCAUACUCCAAGCAUUCUUCAUACUCAUCAUGAGCAUGCAUAUCAUCAGCAUCUUCCAAAGGAGGCAUCUCAUUUUCGUUAUCAGACUCAAAAUCAACCUCGCCAUCUUCUCGAAUCACCAAUGACUUUUUAUUAGGGCAUUCUUGAGCAUAGUGACCCCUUCUUGGCAUUUGAAGCAAGUAAUAUCUUUUGGCUGCUUAAUGGCACUAGGAGAAGUAGAAGAAGAAGAUGGAGCUCGAUUAGUAAAAGUAGAACCUUUAAAUGAAUUAGGCAUACCUCUAUCUUUGGAGUAAGUUCUAGGCUCAUUUGGCUUGAACCGUACAUCUCUCCUAUUCCACAAUCUAUCAUCUUGUUUUUGCCAAUUUCCUCUCCAAGCAGGAUUAGAAACAGAACUAGUACCCCUCGGUGUCCCUUGCUUUCGUAAUUGCUUUUCAAUGGUGAGUGCGGUUUGAAGCAUCUCUUCAACAUCCAUGUAGUGUUGUAACUCAACUCGAUUUGCAAUAUCAGGCUUUAAGCCGGCAAGGAAUCUAGCCAUAGUCACCUCAGCCUCUUCAACAAGAUUGACUCUAAUCUGAAUAGUCUCCAUCUCAUUGUAGCAGUCAUCAACAGAUCUAUCUCAUUGAACAAGAUGUUGGAGUCUUUGAUGGAGUUCUCGAUAAUAGUAUGGUGGAACAAAUCGUUUUCGCAAGAUGCACUUCAUUUCAACCCAAGUAGUAACAGGUUGCUCUCUAUAAAGAAUCCUGCUUUUACAUAAUUGAUUCCACCAUGUUAGUGCAUAAUUAAUAAACUCAGCGACAGCGUAUGUUACCUUUUUCUCAUCAAAGUAAUUGUAACAAGCAAAGACUGCUUCCAUCUUUUCCUCCAAAUCAAGGUAAGCAUCAGGAUCAUUCUUCCCUGAGAAAGAAGGAAAUUUUGGUUUGGGGGUGUCAUUGCUUCGUUCCAACCUUUCUCUAGGUACAUACUCGGACUCAAAGUCAUCAUAAAAAACAUGGUCCUCCAUUCGUUUAAAAGUUUGAUCUCGCUAAUUUGAUCGACUUAUAAAGGCUUCGUUCAACUUCUUGUAAUUAUCGGCAAUGUAUCUCUCUUAAGUUAUAAGUUUUGUAUCAAGAUACUCCCUUUGCUCUCGUAACAUUUAGGUCAUGCGAUGUUCGAAUUGAGUUUGCAACUUUUUCAUCUCUUUUUGUAACAACCCGACCAAAGGAUCGUUCUCUCUUUUUUGCCCAUCCUUUUCAUUUUUACUAGUUUGGGAUCUAGUGAGCGGCAUGGUAUCUGUGAAAGAUCACACAAACAGGAACAAGAAAGAAAGAAAAAUAAUAAUAACCUCACUCGUUAGCUCUCAAAAGAAUAACUCUCUAAAUGAUUCAAAACUUGGAAAUAUGUUUGGAGUGGGUUACAAAUCAAGAUCAAAUAACGGAGGUGCAAACUUCAAAGAAACAAUGAAGGCUCUAAUUGCUCUAAGAGGCCAAUAAACUUGAUUAGGCAAUUUGUAAUUGAGGCUACAUGGAUGAAGGAAUUGUGCGUGCCUUUAAUAUCUGCAAACACAAGAAGAAACAAAGUGUUAGAAAAUGUAAGAGAAACAAAAAAAACAUAGACCUGCAACGAUCCCUAACUCUAGAGUCAAAGAAAAGCUUUAAUAAGAAGAAAACUUAAGAAAAAUCUACCCAAUUUAAAAAGAAACAAAAAAUCGGAAACAUUUGGUGUCUUAAGAUUUUCAAAAAGUGAAGCUUUAAUUAUACUUGAGUCAAGAAAAGAAGAAGGAAAAGAAAUUCAAUUUUGGGAAAAAUAAAAAUAAAAAUAAUAACAAUAAUAGGAAAAGAAGAAACCUACGUAUGAAAGGUAGGCAAAUUUUUUUUUGCGGUUUUUUUUUGCGCUUUUUGCUGUUUUUUUUACUCGUUUCGGAUAUGACUUUAGCUUCAAAAAUAACACCGAAUGGCCUGAAAUUGAUACCAACUGAUGCGGAAACCCGAAUCUAGACACAAGAGAAACACAAAUUAGAUAUAAAAACGAGAAUAAAUAAAAUUAGUUCAAUAAUAUUAAUAAUAAAAAAAUGAUAGAUUUGCCCUAUGGAACCCUUGGUUAACUUGCAACCAAAAACGCCAAUGAUUGAGCGGCUCCCUACGAAACCCCUAGAAGAAGAACCUUUAUAAACACCGAUGAAUGGAAAGGAAAUUUGAAUAUUUAUAACUCCGAAAAACCCUCGAAGUAACAAACUUCAAACUAAAUAGCAAGAGAAGAAUCACUCUACUCUAAAAAAAAAAUUGCCUCACACAAAUUUGGAAGAAAACAAAUACUCUUUUUUCUUAUGUGCCACAAUGUAUAGAAAGCAAGCCUAUUUAUAGGCAAAAUACAAAAGUAAUUGAACCCUAAUAGAACUCUUUAAAAUUAACUAAGAAAAUAAAUAAUAACCUAACAAAUAAAAUUACUUAACUCAUAAGUGAUGUGUCCCAACCAAUGAGAAUUAAGUAAAUAAUAAUAAUAAGAUACAUAAAAGAUUAAUCCACCAAUUUAUGGGCUUUCACUAUUCCAAGAUUGGUCCAGUGAAUUGCAUUCCCGUAUUUGUCAACGUCACGAACAUGAUGAAUUAAAUUUGUAGCAACAAAGUCUUGGACAAAAGCAUUCAUCUUUGAUUUUAAUUGUCGUGUAUUGCUUCGAGUGAUUGGACCACUAGGAAAAACAACCCCUUGAGUGUCACCUCCUUGGCUCGUAUCAGUAUUGCCCUCUAACGGGGGGUUUUACCUCCCCCUCACCCAUAGUACUUUGUUGAGAGCUAGUAUAUCGUGAACGUCUACCUAUUGGACUACACAUUGAAGAAUUCUCUCUCAAAGUCGAAACCCCUCCUCAACAAGCCUAAUCAAGUGAACUAGAACCUUUUUCUCGUAUGGAACUCGAAUUUUAGAAGUAAAAUCCAAUUCAACUUGAGUUCAAAUUUUUUAUUAGGGUUAAUGAAUUUUUUGCCUUGAAUUUGAAAUUAGGUCCACUUUAAUAUCCGUCCAUUUUUUAGUCCAUUUUGAUACAAGAACUUGACAAGCAAGUCAAUUUUGAUCCCAGAACUCGAAAAAUAUAAAAGUUCUGAUGGUGUGAUUGUAUUAUGUCAUCAUAUCUAGACGAAAUCCAAAUUUAAAAACCAAAAUCAACUUAAUUAUCAAAUUCAAAUAUUAAUAUGGACAAAAAAAACAAACAUAUAUUAAAGUGGACCUAUUUAUCAAGUUGAUGGGCCAAAAUUUAUAUCAACCCCUUUUAUAACUUAGUCGUGGUCAACGUUAUUAUUUAAACUAGAAAAAACUGACCGAAUAAAAAAUCUAUGGAUAUAUCAAUUUAAACAUCAAAUUUAGAUGAAAUAAACCAAGUAAAUAAAAAGCUGAUAAUUUGACUAACACAAUUAGGUAUGCGAUUAUUAAAACAUGGCUACUCAGCUGGAUUGAGUGUGCUAAUUAAUGAAGUCAACACGCCAUGUUCUUGUGACAAAUUUUACAAAUGUUGUUCACAAGUUUUAUGUACCAGAUCACAAAUUUAGCUUCAACAUCGAGGUUGAGGCAAAGAUUAAAAAAACAUAUUAAAAAAAUAAAUUGACGCCGAUUAAGUUUUAACUUGAUUCACGUGAAUAUUAUUCUUCUAUACAUCAAAAUUUAAAAACUUAUGAUUGGCCUCCAAAUCAUGGAAUUUUAUUGAUUCCUUAAUUUCCAUUGAUAAAUUCUACUCUCUUUUUUUUCUAAAUAAAGCAUUAAAAAUAUGUUAUAUUUAAAAUUAAAUAAAAUAUCAUAUUAUUAUUAAAUUAACUCAGAUUUAAUUAAUCUAAUUAAAAGAUGAUUAAUAUAAAGACUUGAACAGAAUUUAAAAUUCAGGUGAAGUCAAAUUUAGAUACUAAACUUAAAUCCAAUCGUACAUACGAACACCUUUAGCUACCAUUCAUUUACAAACAAAGCGACGUAAACAAAAUUUGAGAUACAUAUAUUAUUAUAUGAAUUUUAAAUUCUGUUCAAAUAUUGUUAAUGGGGAGCAUCGUUUGUUAAAUUGCCCACUAUGGUAGACUCCAUGGGACCAUCAGUUGGUGAACCCUCACACCAAAUGUUAGCUUUUGCAUUUUUUUCGAAUUACUUGAAUUAUGUUAUUUGCAUUUCUAUCAUACAUUUGUAUUUUUAAAAUUUGAAAUUUUCGUACUACUUAAAUGGUAAUUGUUAAAUUUGUUAAAUUGAAUUCUAUUAUUUCUAAGAUAUUAUAUAGUAAACAUAUUAUUACAUAUGUAAUGCCGUAUUAACUUAGUAUUUUCACGUAAUACUUACCAAAACACAUACAAGCUAUUUUAGUUAAUGAAUUCAACAAUUAUCGUUUUAAGUCAAGAUGAAAUUUUAAAAUUCAAAAAGUAUAAAGAUAAAAAAUAAUCUACUUGGAGAAUCGGGAUAAACCCAUAAUUUGUUGGACUAAUAACAUAAUUUGACGAAACAAUUUAACUACUACCAAUUGAUUCAGAGUUGAAAUUUUAAAUUUUGAAAAAUAUGAAGAUUAAAAUUAAUCUAUUCAAAAAAUAAAAAAAAUUAAAAUAGACCAAAUUAGAAUAUAAAAUUAAACCUAUAACUUAUGCAUAAUACAAACAUCCUUAAAUUAUCAAUUCCAUUUCAAGGAUAUCAUCUCUUCUCAUCAUCAUCAUCAUUGAGAAUGGAUUGUAUAAAACUGUGAUUCCACGUCAUCUUUAUCCUUUUCCAAUAGGAAAAUGACAAAUCAGUUUUUUUCUCUUAAUUUUUAGCAUUUUUAGUUAGAUUUGAAUUUUUGUAGGAAGAAAAAUCUGAUUUGUUAUUCUCCUAUUUGAAAGAUAUAAAGAUGACGUGGAAUUACAAUUUCAUACAAUCCUUUCACCGUAAUGAUAAUUUGAUAUAAGCUAACUCAUGAACAGUCUCGCAAUAAGAAAGAAUCCAAUGGUUAUUUUCGAUUGAUUGAGCCAUUUAUGACCAUAAAACUAAGCUCAUAACUUGAACCACUAAUCCAUAGACAACAAAUAUAUGUGUCCCCAACUCAUAAUAUUUAGCCAUUGGGUCGCCAUUUUGCCCCCUUUGGUUUGAUGGAUUUAAUAACAAUUUGAUAUUGAUGUCCCAGCCAGAUUUUGCUGCUUUGUGUUUUCUAUUUAUUUAUAAAAUCAUAAUUGCUUCAUAAAUUUAAUAAUUUUUCACAUUAAUUUUUAAUUUUUAAUAAUCUCAUUAUAGAUUUCGAUAAUAUAUGUUCUUUUUGACACAAUAUCUAGAACUACUCAUAACUCCUCAUCAACCCAUAAAUAGGAGAAUAAUGCGCUUUAGCGCACUUGAACACAUGUCUUCAUGUAUUGACAAUAAUGCUCACGUUUUCAGCGCACUUGACCACUUUUUAAAGGAUAAAUUGCACCCAAGGUAUUAAACUAUUAGUAAAUUUAAUUUUGGUCAUUCAAUUUCAAAAAGUUACAAAAUUAGCACUAAACUAUUUGAAGGUUUUUAUUCAAGUCACUUGACAGUUGUGUUUUUCCUUUUUAAAAAGUUUGGUUAGUGAACUUCAAACGAUGAUUCAACGAUCGGUGUGGUAAAUCAAUAUCAAUCGACGAGUAAAAAAACAUACCUUAAACCCAAAUUGAUCUGAUAGUUAAUAUCAAAGAUCAAAAAAGAAAAACUAAUUGAGAAAAAAAACUAAACUGUAAAAGUGUUAAAUAUAUCUCUAUUCAUAAAUUUUAAUUAUUUAUAUAGUGUUAAACAUCAAAAGCAUUAAAACUUGUACAAACUGGUAUAAGUUUUCAUGCCUCAAGGUAAACAAAACACUUUUUUCUUUAGAUUAAAUACUAGCUAAACCUGAUCUUGAUGCGAUAUGUAAAUUCGGUUUUAUUUAAAAUUUUAAUUUUCAAUUAAGAUUUUGAAAAUAAAAUGUGUCAACUAGCUUACUUGAUUAUAUUAAUUUUUAUUUUAUAAGGUUUUAUAAAAGUUAAAAGAGUCGAAACUAAUACAUGUUUAUAAAAUUAGAAGAUAGGUACUUCAGUAAAUAUUUCUGGUGGAUUUGUCCAGAGCUGCCCUAAAUCCAACCCAAUGGUUGUGACAAAAACCGAACCCGACAGACCUCAGAACUCUAUUUUCAAGAAGAAUAAACAAGGUGAUUAAUAAAUUUACAUUUUCAUCAUUUAAUUUUAAAAAGUUAUAAAAAAUCAUUAAAUUAUUCAAAAAUUUUCAUUUAAAUCACCAAAUUAUUUGAAGUUUAAGUUCUUUUUUUAAAAAAAAGGUUUGACCAACAAGUCCCAUGCAACUAUUCGGCAAUCAAUAUGGUGGAGCAUUACUCAUUGACAAGUAAAACAUACCUUAAAUUCAAGUUGAAUUAAUGGCUAACCUAAAAAAUUGAAAAAAAUUAUUUGAAUUUUAGUUCAUAGAUUCGUGACUUCAAAGUUGUUUCAUGAUAAUAAAAAAACCCUAAAUCGUAAAGUGAAAAAGAAAAAAGCUUUCGGUUGACACAAAUUAAGCGAACAGUAAAGGCCAUACAACAACAAUUUUAAUAGUCCAGCGACUUAAAUGAAAACUUUUGAAUAAUUCAAUGAACACCUGUAACUUUUUUUAUUUUGAGUGAGCAAAACCUACAUUUAUUAAUAAUUUAAUGACUUUUGAUGUAAUUUAUCCUUCAAGCAACAAUCCUUACAGGAUCUGAUAUGAUUGUAUAUACUAUAAAUUCUAACAUUUGCAAUUCCUUCCCUAUAAUCAUCAGGAAAGAAAAAAACCCCUCACAUUUAUUAUUAAAAAAAUCAGUAACGUCACCCAUUCCCCCCCGCCCCCUCCUCAAAAACUGAUAAAUCAAGUAUAUGAACGCACAUACACAUAUCCCAAACCAAUGCCAAACUGUGAUAAUCAUAAACCAACCAUUGCAUAAUCCCAGCUUAAGUUUGAAUUUCUACAUUGACUUUAAAACUGCCAAAAGAAAAACAACAAUGUCAAAGUUUGUCUUUUAUCAAGUUAUCACAUUCUCCAUAUGCUUCAAGUCUAAUACAUAAAUAACCCUUCUAAAACUAUUAGCAUACAGCGGUAAUCAUCGGAAAACUUCAUGUUCAACAGCAUACACGUGCUUAAUCUCUUUAGGUACAGAAGGAAGGCACGUGGGUUUUACCAGAUUACUGAUUAGCUUCAGAAGGUUGUGCGUUGGCAUUGAAAUUGUCAAACCCGCCACUUGUUGGGGCAGUAGGAUUGGGUGCUCCAUUAGAAGAAGUGGGUGUCGUUACAGUUCCAGAAACUGUUGUUGGGGGAGCCAAUGUAGGAGGUCGUGGAAGGCCAUUUACUUGUCCAGGCAAAGGAGCACCAGGUGGUGCCAUCAUUGGUGGCAUGCCUGGAACGGGAAUAUAACCUGGCAACGAAACCAAAAUGAAAAUUUAAUAUUUUCAAAUUCAAUUCCAUUUUAUGUUUGUAAUUGAGAUCUAUAUAAUGGAAAAGCCGACGCCAGAGCCAAUCAAACGAGAUGAAGUGCUUAACAUAUAAAGCAUCUCUAUUGGUAAGCAAACAAGUAAGAAAUUCCCCAAGUUCACAAGCACCACAUAAAUUCAUGAUGAUACAAAUAACCAAAUAGCCAAACCCCGUAUCAGCAAGAACACAAAUAAUACUAGUACGUAUGAAAUCUUACAUGGAGCACCUAGAAAUGGUCUUGGCAGACUAUGGGGCCUCAUCCUAGGACCAUUGGUUGAUUUACAGAAUAGUGCAGCCCAAGAAUGAGACGGUGUAUGCAAAAAAGCAGUUCAAUGGAAACAAAAAAAAGCAUCCAAAAGUUUCUUCAAGUUCACUAUCACAAGUCGCAACAUCAAUUCGGGAUGGGAUAUGUUUAUUAACCAAAGACUGAAACCCCAUACUAGCAAGAACACGAAAUAUGCUAAUAUGAAUCUCACCUGGGGCACCUGGAAUUGGUCUUGGCAGAACAGGGGGCCUCAUCCCUGGGACCAUUGGUUGGUUUACAGGUAAUGGAGCCCCGGGAAUCGCCAUAACAGGAAGUCGAGGCCUCUGAGCCAUUAAAUGUUGAUUGAAAGCAGCUCCAACCUGCUGGAAAGCCGCAGCUUGACCAAGAUGUUCCUUGAUCCUUUGGUCUAUUAAGCUCUGGGUCUGUUGCUCCUCAAAUUGCUGAUAGUAAGUUCUAACAUUCGCCUAAAAUUACAUACAAAAAAAAUCAGCAAAAGAAAAAAAUGUAUAACUCACAACACUAAUCAAUACAAAGACAAAAAUCUCUACAAAUUACCUUGUGCUUGUAACCUGCAUUGUGUUGCUUUCUAACUGAUGGCUGAAAUUUAAACCCGGAAAGAAAAAAGAACGGUAAUCAAUUAUUGUAAAAGCGAUAACUCAAACUAAUGAAGUUAAUUAAUUUUCGAAAAAUUCAACCAAAAAUUUGAAGACCCAAAAGAAAAGAAAUAGGAAACUUACAGAGUCAUGGGUCAAAUAAGUAUCGCAAUAAUCACAGUAAUACCUGCAAAAUUUGAAUCCAAAUAAACAUAUCCAUAAAUUGUUAAUGAAAAUUAGUUCGUAGCGAGAACUUUAAUUAAGAUUGGACGCAUUUGUAAAGAUCCGUACCGAGGCAUUGCGAAACGACUCAGAAUCGAAGCUAAUUGGUUGAAGAUCGUAAAACCCUAGAGAGAGGGUACCGUAGCAAAAGCCCUAGCUCAAGUACAGAGAAAAACUUAGAAUGAAAAACAGAACGGGGAUUUUGGGUUUGUCUGUAGAAAUUUUAAUGGUAGUUUAUAUUCAGUUUUAGGAUCCUCAUUAAAUAUCUUAUGUUAUAAUUAGGGGUAUUCAGUCCCUCGAUUCAACCCAAUUAUUAUUGAAAUAUUUUUGUUAAUUCAGUUGGUUCAAAUUAAUCAAAAUUUAUAUAUUUCUGAACUAAAUAAGGUUGAUAUGUUACCUUUUUACGCCAUUUUAAAUUUUAUUUAGGGAAAUAUGUUGUUUUCAAGGAGUGUGUGGGAAAACGCAUCUCGUUAGACGUGUUUUUCCUUUUAAUUUUUAAUUUUUUUUAUUUUUUUAAUACAAUUAAUUUUUUUAGUUGGGUGGUUAAAUGUUGGUGGUUUUAUUUUUAAGUCCUAAGUUUAAUUUCUCUCCCACUCAUAUUUAUAAUUUUUAUUUCAUGUUGUUUUAAUUUUUUUUAAUGAAUGUUUUUAACGUAUUAGCUUCCUUAGUUAAAUAGUUAAAUAAUAAUGAUUUCAUUAUCAUUAAGACCCAGAAUCAUUUCCUCUUUUCUAAACAUAUUUAUAAUUUUUAUUUCAUACUAUUUCAAUUUUUUUAAUUAAUAAAUAUAUUGUUUUCAAUUUUUUUAUUUUAAUUCAUCUUUUUAAUUAAUAAAUAUUUUAUUCAUAAAAUCAAAUAAUUAUUACAAAUAUGGUUAUUUUUAGUAAAUAUAAUUUUUAUAUGUGUAGUUAUUUUAUAAUAUUUAUGAUCCUCUAAUUUUUAUAUGAAAAAAAAUGAUAUUUGAAAUAUUUUAUAUAUAAAAACAAUAAUUAUAUUAAAAAUAAUUAUUUUAUUUUAUAAUAUUAAAAAUCACCAUACCUACAAUAUAUGCGGAGAAAAUAAAUAUUUGACAUAUAAAUAUUAUAUAUAAAAAAAUAAUCAAAAAAAAAUAGUUGAUGUUUAUAUUAUAUAUAAAGGAGUUAUUAAUUUCAAAUAUUUUUAACAUAACGAUAUAUGUAUAAUAUAUAUUUUUAUUAUAUAAUUACAAAUUUAUUAUUUGAUUUUAUGAAUAAAAGAGUUAUUAAUUAAAAAGAUGAAUUAAAAUAAAAAAAUUGAAAAUAAUAUAUUUAUUAAUUAAAAAUAAAAAACUUGAAACAAUAUGAAAUAAAAAUUACAAAUGUGUUUAGAAAAGGGGAAAUGGACUUAGGUCUCAAAGAUGAAAUCAUUAAUAUUUAACCACUUAACUAAGGAAGUUAAUAUGUUAAAAACAAUCAUUAAAAAAGAAGAAGCAGAAGCUUAAAAAAAGCUGAAAUAAAAAUUAUAAAUAUAACUGGGAGAGAAAUUGAACCUAGGACUUGAAAGACAAAACCAUUAGUAUUUAACCAUCCAACAAAAAAAAAAUUAAUUAUAUUAAAAAAAUCAAAAUUUACAACUUAAAAGGGAAAACGUGUCCAGGAAAGCUCGCCUAGCUGGACGAGCUUUCCCUCAAAAUCAGCCUAUAUCCAUAAAUAAUUUUAACAACGGUCCAAAAGGCUAAAUAAAUUUCAAAAUUGGCAUAUAGGUCUUAUUUAGCAUUUUGUCUUUUGGUUAAAAUAAAUAUAAAACAUAUAAAAGAAAUAAAUUGUUAAUUUUUUUAAUAGUUCAAAAAAUUAUAUUAUUUAUUUUGGUUAAUAUAAAAAAUAAUUAUUCAAAAAAUACAUUGUUAAUAUAAAAAUAUAUUAUAUACAAUAUAUUAUUUAUUUUGGUUAAUUUAGUUAAUAUGAUUAAUUACUCGAUUUCGAAUUGAAUUAAUUGAUAAUCAAAAUUUCAAAAAAUCAUUAAUUGACCUCCAACCAAAGUAAAUACGAUCACCAACUGAAUAAUCAAAUUAAAUGAAUUCAAUUUUAAUCAAACUAUAAACAUCUUUAAAUAUAAUUGGUAUUUUUCUCCAAAGCUAAUUGUUGUUCACAUUACAGAAGUAAGCCGUCUGAGCUUAAAAGUACCCUUUGAAAAAAGUUGGCCUGUGGAAGACUUGGGCUUUUAAGGUUGAAGGCUCAAAUUCAAUUCGGCCUGAUAGAUAAUUUUUUAAUGUUUUAUUUUAUAUAUGUAAUUUACAAAUUUAAUAUUAUAAUGUUAAUAGUAGAUAAUAUGUUAAAUUUUUUAAUUUUAAAAUUUAAUCAAAUAAAUUAUUAAAUUUUAAAUUAAAAUAUCAUAUUUAAAAAAUAUUAAAAUAUUAAAAUAUAAUGUGGGAGGCCUAAAAUGAAUUUAAUUAACUAUUUAUAAAUAUGACAGACUUGAUAAAGUUUAAAGCUAUGUCAAGUUUUAACAAUAGUGAAUAAUAGUAAUAUCACACAUAGGUUUGUCUCAAAUUUAACUUGUCUCGGUAUAAGAAUACCUCUACUUGAAUAUACUGAAAAUUUAAUUAAAUACCAAAAUAAGUAUGUUAAAAAGUAAAAUUUCAGAAUAUAUAAUAGUCCUUUUUUUCCCGAGCCUAAGAUUACUAAAGUGUAUUUAGUAUAGAUUUCAAGACUUUGACAUCGAUGGCUAUCGAGUUGUUUUUAAAACUAAUCAAUGUAUAUACAUUUAUUACUGGUUGCUAGGUAAUUAAUAUAAGAGUACCUCGACACUUAUUAAUUAAAAUUUUAACUAUUUGUUGAAUUUUUCUUUGAAUUGUGUUAUUUGUGAUAAAUUUAUAUGAAAGGACCUCGAUCUUAUAAAUCUAAAUUUAAUUUUUGAUAAGUUUUCUUUUGAAUUGUGUUAUUUAAGUCCUUAAUUAUUUUACUAUUAAUCAUAAUUUAUUUUUCAUGGGUUGGGUAAAUAAUUGGAGAAAAGUGAGUUAAAGUUAACUUUUAGCAAGUUUUUACAUAUUUUGGACAUAAUUUGAACCACAGAACUCCGAUUUGGGCCUAGAAUAUACUAUUUUAAAGGAAAUGGAAAGACCUAAUCGAAGUUAUCAUGACUCAAGCCUAGAAAACUUCGUGAAGGUGCCCAAAAUUGGCUUAAAAGUUUGACGCAAAAAUCUGCCCAAAAAUUUAAACUUUUUUGUUUUAUUUAUAAUCUACAUAAAAGCACAGAUUUAAAAAAAAACUUUUGAAUUGAUAAGAAUAUCAUUUAUUAUUAAAUAUACUACUAAAUUCAUAAUAAUAAAAGUAGGUUAAUUAAAUCAAUUAACAUGAUAGUAUAUUCAUGUGAAAUUAAUUAAUUUAAUGAUAUCUUUUAAAAGUUUUACUUAAAAAUUAAUAUAUUAUUAAUUAAUUAAAUUAUAAAUCUAUAAAAUUAUUGAAUAUAAUUGAAUAAAUUAAAAAUAUUAAAAAAUUAAGUUUUUAUAAUUAAAUCAAUAAUAUAUAUGACAAUAAUUAAUAAUGUUAAUGUAAUACCUAAUUGGUGCCCAAGGCCCAAAUUAACCAAUCUGGCCCAAUUACAUUUGGCCCAAUAAGGCCCAAGUCACUAAACCAAACCCAAACACCAGUCUAACCCUAAACAGUGGUUACAGCAGCUACCCUAGCGCCGUGCAUGCUCCACGUCGCAACAAUCUCCAGAACUGUAACACCCCCUAACCCCAAAUCGUCGCCGGAAUAGGGUUACGAGACAUUACCGGACAUAUCAGAUAAUUUACAAUAAUUCUUAAAUAAAUAACAAACAUAUUAAAAUAAAAUCAUAAAAUCAUAUAAUAUUUUACUAAUUGACUUCAUUCAUUUUUUUUUAUAAAAAUUUCGGCAGCACUUCCGCUUAUUUUUACAUAGAACCCCCUACAAUUAAAACCAUAUAUUUUCCAAACAUAACCAAAUCAACCAAUUCAUUUCACAUUCACAUUUUCUAUUCUAAAUACUUCUAAUCAACUCAAUCAACAUAAUAUCAGUUUAAAUUUAACAAGGUACUAAAUAAAUCAAAAUAGAUAAACUUCUUUUAUUAUAAAUCUUAAACUUAUAAUACUAACAUUUUUAACCAUUUAUAUUAAAACAUAAUAACCUUUAUACACAUCCUAUGUACAUGCCACAUUACCAAAGAAAAUAUACAUCACCAAAGCUAUGCUGAAGCCGGGAUUAAUCUGGAUGCUGAACCGGGACCUUUGACUUCUAUCGACCUGCGCACGGAAACAAUCGUACGCUGAGUAUUGCGUACUCAGUGGUAUUACCAUAAUUCAAAUUAUAACAAUAAUAAACAUAUAAUGCAUAAAUCGUAUAUACAAUUUAAAAUUCCAUAUUUCAACAAUAGCAAUUCAUCAAUUGAUAUCAUACAUCCAUAAUUUGAAUUUGGACAUAUCAUGAAUCUUAAGUUCAUUUCUCAAUCUCAUAUCACAUUUCAAUUCACAAUUCAACUUUUUCAUUUCAUUUGAAUAGCUUGUUUGAUCAACUCAUUCAGUUUAUCAUUUCAUUUUUUACCCUAUUAACAAAACUCGGACUUUGGCGGAUACACAGAUCCAACCAAACACACCAAUAUGGCACCCAGUGCCUCAUCGGAUAGUUCGAAGCAAUAGUUGACACCCAGUGUCUCAUCAGCCAAGCUGAAGUAAGUUGGUACCCAGUACCUCAUCGAAUCUAUCCGAAGAAAUAUAGUGACACCCAGUGUCUCAUCGACUCGAGGUCGAAGUAUCCCUGAACUCUUCCAAUCCUAUGGCAUGCCAACUAUAUCCGACUCAGCCCGACUAGUUAAUAGGGUAUUUAAGUCACAUAUAAUCCCAAUUCAAUCACAAUUUCUCAUAUUUUUAAUUCAAUCAUUUUUCCACCUUUCAAUCAAUAAUUAAUCCACAAAUUCACAUAUUUUCACAACUCAAUACAUUUCCAUUCAAUUUAAUAUCAGUCACAAUUCGAUUCAAGUUCACUUCCCGCUUUCAAUCAACAAACAAUUCAAAUAUUAAUUCAUAUCAACUAUUCAAUUUAAUUCCCACUCAUUUUAAUAAUAAUGAUAAUAAUAAUAAUAAUAAUAAUAAUAAUAAUAAUAAUAAUAAUACUUACCUUACAUUUCAUUUACCAACACAUAAAUUAAAAUUAACAUUUAAUAAUAAAUAACUUGAAUUAUAGUAAUACAAACCGUAAAUCUCCCGUUUUAGUCCUCGAUAGCUUUCUCCUUUCCCUUUGAUGCUGAUGCCUCGGGUUCUUUGUUAGCUACGAAAAUAAUAAUAAUUUAUACUAUUAAUUACAACACUAAUUAUAAUAAAUAAUUGAAUUUUCUAUUCAAUUUCUUCCUUAUUCUCAAUUUAAUCCUAACUAAAUUUACUUACUUUCCUAAUUCAAUUCACACUCUAUUUCUAUUCAAAUUUCAUCCAAACUCAAAUUUAACUAUCAAAAUUUCAGCAUAUUUUCCUAAUUUCGAAUUUCUCUAAAUUUAGUCCCUAAAACAUAAAAUUUAUAGUUUCUUUUACAAUUUAAUCCCUUUAUCAAUUCUAACUUAGAAUUCAUUCAAUUUAAUCCCUAAUUCAACAAUUUAUUCAACAUAAACUAUACUUGAAAACCUAUGAACUUACAAAACAUCAACUUAAUCCCAUCAAAACUUUGUUUUAAAGCUUUUAAAACAUUAGAAUUAAGAGAAAAGGGCUAAUUUGACUUACCAAUCAAAGCUUUAAACCUUAAACCUUUAGUUUUUCCUUUUUCUUUUCUUUCUUUCUUUCUUUCUCCCUUGUUUCUUCUCUGUUUCAUCACUUCUAUUCUGUUUCUUUCUUUUCUUUUGCUUUGUUUUUAUUUCCUUUUAUUUCAUUUACAUUAUAUUAUAUUAAUAUAAUUUAUUAAUAACCAUUUAAUUAAUGAAUAUCUCUUAAUUAUAAUACACGUGUAUAUACAUAUUUUAUUACAUUUGUACAACUUUAUUACCAUACAUUUGGCACCAUUUGAUUUAUUUCUUUUAUAUUUAAUUAAUUAAUAUUUAUAAAAUAUCUAUUUUAAUAACAAAUAUAAUUAAUACAUUUGUACCAUAUCAUGACCUUACAUUUGUCUUAAUCUAACUACUUCAUAAAAAAUAUAUUUUAAUAUAAUAAUUUAAUUAAUAAAUAUCUUUUACUUCAAUUAUAAGAAAAUAUACAGCUAUAUUACAAAUGUAUAAAUACUUAUAUUACACAUGUAUUUUAUCAUAUCCAUACAAUUGGUAUAUUUUGGUUUAUUUAAUAAUAAUAAUAAUAGUAAUAAUAUAAAACCAUAAUAAUGUUUAAUAAUUAUACUAAUUAUAUAUAUAAUAUUUAUAUAUAACUUAAAUUUUUAUGCUUAUGCCGCCUCAAAUUUGGCAAUUAGCAUAAUUGUCUAUUUAGUCCCUAUUAUUUUCUUUUAAUCUAUAAUUAAACUUUUAAUUCUAUUGCAAUUUAAUCCUUUUUGCUAAUUACUCAUAAUUAAGCUAAAUUCACCUAUCUAAAACCUAAUUAAACAUACAACUAGUCUAGUAAAUAUUUCUAAUAAUUAUUUUCAAACUCAAUUUACUAAGACGGAGGCCCGAUAUUAUACUUUUUCGAUACCUGUAAAUUUUGGGUCAUUACACGAACUGUGCACGCCCCACGUCGUAGCAACUCCCACGCCAGUGUAUAUAUGCAACGAAACACAAAACCGCAAAAGGAGGCACUACUAGAGGCAAUAACAGAAAAGGGGCGAGCGGGGAAUGGGGGAUGGUUUUUGUAUUUUAUUUUGGGCGGUAGAUCCAUAGUAUUGGGGGCUAUAAAAAGCAGAUUCAUGUCUGUAAACAGGGGAAAAUUGAUUUUAAAACAGAAAAUGAUUUUUUUUUUGUUUUUUAGGGAAAAUUGUUGGUUUUAUAAUUGAAAUGAAACGGCGCCGUUUGGUGGGUGAGAGGAUCCGCGCGUCGACCCGACCCAGUUCCAAGAUCUGCGCAUUUUCCUAAAUGGGAAAUUUUCGUGAUUAGUCCUCUUGUUUUUGUAGCAUGUCUAAAUUAAAUUUUUAUUUCUUUUAAACUUGGCCACAUAUUUUAAUACUGUUUCAAAUUGGUCCAAUGCUGCGCAGCGUUUUGGGAGGUUUGGUUAAAUUGCUCUUUCGGUCCUCCUCCUGUUGUGCGUGUUUUAAUUUGCUCCCUUUCUCGUUUUCUAUUUUUAAAUUUAGCUUUUAAAUUCCGUUUAUUUUCAACUUAAUCUUUAAUUUGUUAUUCUAGGUUUUUUUUAUUAACACUGUUAUAUUGUAUUAUUAUUACCGUAUUAUUAUUAGUAUUUUUUAUUAUUGCUAUUAAUAUUAUUUCAAUAUAUAUAUGUAUAAAUAUCAUAUAAUAUAUAUAUGUAAAUAUUCUUAAAUGUUUUUGUUAAAUUCAUAUACAUAUCUUAUAUAUUUUAUUAUUAUUUUAUUUUUCUUAGUUUUAUAUACAUAUGUAUGCGUAUAUAUUUAUAUUUUAUAAUAUUUAUAUAUUUUCCAUAUUUUAUAAUCCAAAUAUAUAUUUUUAUAAUGUAUAUGUAUAUACACUAUUCACAGCUUUUAUAAAUAUAUUUUUCACAUCUUUUUAUACAUACAUAUAUAUCCAUAUUUUCAUAAUUACUACUAUAUUAUGCUUACAUUUUUUUAUGUAAACUUUAUAUGUUAUUUUUAUAAUUUUUGUAUACAUGUGUAUAUAUAUGCAUUAACAUCUUAUCAUACUUCUAAAGAAAGAUAUAUUUUGGUUUCGUCAAAACAUUAAAAUCAUCACAUUUUAUAAGUUUUCAAAAUAUUUGGCAUUCAUGAUUCUCGAGAAAAAUUGUGUCAUAACUUACUGGAUUGCGAUUAUUUUUCGAUGAAUUUAAAAAGCCAAGUAUUUAUUUUGUAAUAAAUUCACAAAAUUUUCGAAUAAAACUUAUUCUCAGGAAUCCAAAAAUGUCGGGUCCUAACUUACUGGUCAUGACAUUUUGUUAUUUCGAAAUAAGAAUUUCUCAAUAUUUGGUAUUUGGAAUUUUGAGAAAUUGUACCCUAACUUACUGGGUUUCGAGUUUCUUCAUUUGACCUAAAUAACCGAAUAUCCUUCUUAGAUUUAAUUGUGUGAGUUUUAAAAUCAAAAGACAAACUUAAUUUUGAAGAUUUAAAAAUAUUGUGCCCUAACUCAAUGAGUGUGAUGUUUUAUUUCUUUGAAAUAAGAAUGUUUUAUCAUUUUAAUUCAUUCACGAGUUAUAUUUUUUAUUUAAACUCUUUUCAAAAUUUUGACAUCAAGACAUUAAAUAAUCAAAUUCGGUACCGAUUUUUGGGCGUUACGAGGGUGCUAACCCUUCCUCGUGCGUAACUAACUCCCGAACCUAUUUUCUCAAAAUUUUGUAGACCAAAAUUAUUUUUAAGGUGAGCCGGUCACACCUCAAUCAAAUAUCGGUGGCAACUCCAUUUUUUGUUUUUAAAGUCGAUAACUAAUUUUUGUUUAUCAAAAAAUGGUUUCGACAGUUAAAAUUAUCUUUUUAUAAUUAAUAAAAAUUAAAUGUGAGAGAUUAGCAUUAUAUAUAAAAAGAUACUACCAAUAUAAUGUAUAAAUUUAUUUAUUUAUUCUUAAUUUUUAUGUCAAAACUCAAAAAAAAUUAAAUAUUAAUUUUUAUUUUUACUCAUUUCAUUUAAUCGAAUCGAUAUGAUUCAAGACAAAUCAAUCAAUUAAGAAUUAAUAUUUUGUAUAAUCUAUGUUCCUCAUAUUUUUUAAAUCUAUAAAAUUAAUGAUAUAAUAUAAUAUAAUUAUUUCAUUAAAUUCAAUAUUGAAUAUAAAAUUACGUUCAUAAAAAAUUAUUAAUAUAAAUUAUUUUAUUAAUAAUGUUUUAGUUAUUAUCACUUAAUUAAACUUUCUAUUCAUAUUAAAUUAUAUUUAUUAUUUUAGAUUAAUUAUCACUUAAUGUUACAGUUCUAUAUUAAUUAAAACUAAUAUUUAGCAUUAUAAAUAGGGUAAACUACACCCAUGGUCACUUUUGUUUACUUUAAAUUACGUUUUAGUCACUUAUGUUUGAAAUGUUACAUUUUAGUCAUUUAUGUUAUCAUGUUGUAACAUUUUAGUCAUUGAGCCAUUAAUAGUCGUUAAUGGUGUAACGGUAAGCUGACGUGGCACGUUAAAUCAUCAUUUCAAACAAAAUUUUAGGUUAAAUUAUACAAUUGAUCCCCAUCUUUUUUCCUUUUAAGUAAUUUAAUUUUUUUUCUUUUAUGUUCUUUAAACUUUCCUUUUUUUUCCAUUCUCUUUUGUUUCUCUCUCUGUUUUCAUACCUUUCCCAUUUCUUUUAACAUAUUAGGAAGUCGAAUUGGCAGUGAAAAAAGAAGUAGGAAGUCGACUGUCAUCAUUUGCCUAUAACCAAAACCUAUAAACCCAUACCAUGCUUCUUUCUUCACUACCAAUUCAACUUCCUGGUAUGUUAAAAGAAAUAAAGAAUGUAGGAAAACAGAGGGAGAAGCAGAAGAGAAUGAAAAAUAAAGAAAAAAAGAGGAAAGUUAAAAGAACAUAAAAGAAUUAAAUUGCUCAAAACGAAAAAUUAUGGGGACCAAUUGUAUAAUUUAACCUAAAGUUUUUGUUUGAAAUGAUAAUUUAACAUGCCACGUCAGCUUACCAUUACACCAUUAACGAUAAUUAACAGUUUAGUGACUAAAAUGUUACAACAUGAUAACGUAAGUGACUAAAACGUAACAUUUCAAACAUAAGUGACUGAAAUGUAACCUAAGGUAAACAAAAGUGACCAUAGGUGUAGUUUACCCUUAUAAAUAUACAUAUUUAUAAAGCAUUUUCAUUUAAAAUAAUAUCUAAAGAAUUACUAGAAAAAUCAUAAUUUAGCUGCAAUUGCUCUAAUUCACUGCGGACAAUUGCCUUAAGAUGCUCAUUCUUCACAUUAAAGUUGGUGCCUUAAAUUGUUAUUUCUCUAAUGGAGUUGAUGCUAUAGUUAGUCUUAUUUUCAAAGAUUAUUAAAUUUCAUUUGAUUAGAAUUAGGUGGAAUAUAUGGGGUUAACUUCUAAUUAAAAUUAUUUAGUUUAAGAUUCAUUGUUUUUUUUUACUGUGGUUUCUUUGAUUUAUUGCUGUAAUUUUUUUUAUUUGUUGCCAAAGGGUAAAUAUUAGAGUUGCUAUUUGAUACUUUUAUAAUGAACUUGAUUGAAAUUUCAUUGUGAAUUGUAUGUAUUUGUUAUAAAAUUUUUAUUUGUAUGUACAUAUUUGGAAGAAUAGGAACUUCCUCAUUUUUUAAUGAAAUCAGUGGAGCAUUGAUGAGAUGAUUAAAAAUUCCUACAGUUAGACUUUACAAUGUAAGUCUACCCAAAAACACCGUGGCUUGUGACAUCGUUUACAGGGAUUUCUACAACCAAGGAUGGUAAUUGGGUGAGCUUGAAUAUCGACGGCACUAUGAAGUUAGAGUUUGGGUUAACUUCUGUUGGAGGGAUUUUGAGAGAUCGGCACGGGGGUUGGAUAUUUGGGUACCACAAGAACUUAGGUUGGUGUUCUGUAUAAAUGUAAAAUCAUGAGGUAUCCUUGAUGGCUUGAAGCUAUUAAAAAAUAGAAAGUAUGAUGGGAUGUCAAUCAAACCUGAAGGUUAGGAAGCUAUUCGGGCUAUUCGGGCUAUUCAGGAAUCUUUCUCAAAGAUAUCUUCCUUAGCACUUGUUCGAUGUAUUCAACAAAAUUCGAUGGACAUUAGACAUUGAAAGCUUGAAUAUAUUUCUCGUGAAAGGAAUCUAGAAGUUGACUAUAUUGCUAAGCCGGCUUUGGACAGCAAUGAAGGUCUUCAUUUAAUUGAUGUAAUUCCUUUAGACUUGAUUAGACUUUUGUUAUAUAAAAAAAAUAGUUAAGAUUGAUAUAAUUUAAAUUCAUGUAGGAUUAAUAUGGUUGAAUCGCAUUAUGAAUUUGUGACUUAGGAUCGAUUACAUGUUAUUUUAAUUAUAUUUUUAUUGUAUGCUUUAAAUAGUUAAAUGGUGUAUUAAUUUUAAUUGGGAAAAGGUUAGUUUAUUAAUUAACAUUCUUCAAUGGAGUUGAUAUUGUCAUCAGAUUCAAUUAUGUGUGAUUUAUGUUUAUACAAGAUAAAUUUUCUAGAUUAACUUAUUAGAUUGACUAUCAUUGCAUCUUGGGAUUAUUAAAUCGACUUAAAAUAUAAUUAAAAUCCAAUGAUAUGGAGCUGAUAACUUAGAAUUAUUUUUGAUGAAUUCAUACGUUUUUCUAUUGAAACGAAAGAGUAGACAAUUCAUCGAGAGUGGAGCUCGUUGUGAAUUAAUUGUUUCUAAGCUAUGAAGGCUUAGAAAUUCGGUUUGUGGCCUUUACGUUUUAAAGUAUAUUAUGUUGUAGUUAAAUUAUUAGCUUAGUGAUUGUGAUUUAUUGAUUCCUUACAUUUGAAAUUUUACUUCUUGUAGUUUAUUAAAUUGUUUGUAAUGAUGAUUACUAAAUUGAUAUUCUUUAUUAAUUGAUUAUUUUCUGAAAAUCAUCGAUAAAAGUAUGACUUUAAUAAUCGAUUAAAUGCUCAAUAAAGCUAGCUGAAAAUUCUUCAGAUACAGUUGGUAUGUUGUAGAGUGUGGGGUUCCCAUCAUUACUUAUUGUUCAUUGCGCGAACUGCCUUGAACUUCUGAGAGUAUUGUCAUUGUUGAGUAUUUGGUGUGAUGUUUGGUUAUUGGUUAAAUCACGUUUAUUAUGCAAGGGAGUAUUUUCAUUGUUGGCGUUUGUGCCAUUUUCAUUGAUCAUUUGAUUUUUGGUUGGACACUCGUGUUUCUAAAUGUCUUUCCUUCUUGUGUUACUUGAGCAAAAUGAUUGAAUGAACUUAAACAUUAAAUCAAAACACUAUCACUAUUUAUUGAAUGUAUUGAUAAUGCUUCAUUGUUAUUUUAAAUUGUUACUUGGUGACUAAUUUGCGAUUGUAUUCUAUCUUUGAAAACUACUUGGAUGUGACUUUCACUUUUGAAAAUAUUGGCUAGUUAUAUAUUUUUGUAUCUUAUUAGAAUGCUUUUAUUUUAAUUAUAUGCAUUGGUAGUUUAAAAUAUAUUGGGUGACCACUGAGUUGUAAAAAUCUUAGUGCUCGAGUUUUUAAUUUCAUGCGCAAGUAAUAUUUAGAUUGAAUAGUUCAUGACCGAACAACAUCACCAAAGAGUCUUCACAAUCAUUGUUUCGUAAAGAGCCUUCAAUUGGUAAAGUUUGGCAUGUACUUAGGUUUUGUUAAAUUGGUUGACUUGUUUACUUGGGUUUUAUUUUAGAGCUUAUUGAUUGAUUGAGCAUUGUUAAAUUAUUUGGCUUUACUAACAACAGGAGUUAGGUGAGAUGGAAAGGGUCUCUCCUACCUUAACCAAUGGUCGAGGGUUCGAUCAUCGUCUUGGGUAUGGAGUAGUUUUAAAACUUGUGGCUAACAUUUACCCUUACAGAUGAUUAGUUAUUGGGCUCGCUCCGAUAGAUACAUUGAGAAACCAAAAAAAACAUAUUUGGCUUUACUCAAAUGUUUAAAAUAUACUAUUUUAUGUGCAAUUGAUUGCAUUAUUAAUUGUUUGGGGUUGUUUACGUGACCAUUAUGGUGCUUUGGAUCCAAUUGAACUUUUGGACCAGGUUUGAGGUGUUAUAUACAUAAUUUAUAUAUUAAAAAAAACAUUAAUUACUAUAAAAAAUAUUAGUAUGAUAAAAAAUAAUUUCUAAACAUGUAACAAAAAUUAAAGUCAAAUAUUCAUAUAUAAUAUAUUGGUAUACAAAAAUAGUUGAUAAUAUAAUAACUAAUAAAAACUGAAAGAAAAAUAAACAUUGUAUGUAAUUUUAUUAAUUGUUCUGGUGCAUAUUUGUUGAGUUAUUCUCUCUUUAAUAUUUAACAUAUGCUCCUUAUUAUCAUUUGUUGGUGUUUGAUCAAGUUUAUUAUCAUCAAAAUUUGAAUUUGCAUAAUUAAGAUUAUCAAGAUCUUCUUCUUUCAUGUACUUUUUAAAAUAUGGAUCAUCUCAAUUCUACUUAUAAUUCAAGUUAUAAACUAUGCAAUAUACUAGCACAAUCCAAUCUUCCCAUGAUAUGUUUUACUUAAUCAUAUUCUUACAUAUACAUACCAAUACCUCAUUUAAUGUUCCAUCAGUAAUAAAUUUGCUAUCUAAUGGUGAGAAGCCACGUAAUUUGACCAAUUUAAAAAAGUUUAAUUUAGAUUUCAACUCCUUCAAAAAUAACUUAUUGACACAAUUUAGUGGGUUUUCCAAUCUAAAGUUAUUAAAUAUAUAUAUAUAAACUAGCUCAGGGGAUCAAUUAAAAAAUAAAUGUAUAUGUAUCAUAAAAGUCUUACCAUUAGAUAUCUAGUGGACUGAUGCCAACCACACUAAUUUGACUCUCACAAAGUGAAAGUUUGACAAAGCUAAAGGUUGUUAAAUUAGACGAAAAUGAACAAAAAGCACAGUCAAUAAUUCCAUUAAAAAAUUUAAUAGAGCGAUGAAAAUGGAACUCAACGAUAAUAUUAGUGAUGAAAUUAAAUUUUUUAGUAGUUUCAAUGAUCAAAAUAAAAAUACGUUAAUAAUUGGGUCAUUAAUUGUGCAGUUUAGCCUUAAUUUAUUUUUAAAAGUAAUUGUAUUUAUAAGAUAAUAAAAAAAAUCUAUUUAUUUUUUCAAAAAGUUAUAAUUAUAAUCAUUUAAAUAUAUAAAAAAGAGCAUCCAACAAAUAUAUCAAAUUAUUGCAAUAAAAAGGUUGAAGAAGUCAUACACGAAUUAGAAAAAAAAUUUAUUUCAAAUAUAAAUGAAAUUUAAUUCUAUUAAAGGCAAGGACUAAAAUUAAACAAAUUAAAACCAAUUAUAGAUUAAGAUAUGAAUAUAUAUAUGAAGUGAAAAAUGGAAUCAUAAACUUUGAAAAUAAAUAAUAUUCUAGAAAGCAAUUAAUUCUAAAAAUAAAAAUCAUCCACCCUCUUUUAUUUAUUAUAUUUUUUACUCUUACUUUCAACUUGUUGAAAAGGUUAUACAAAGUUAUCAUAUAAUUUCUACUCUUACUUUCUACUUGUUGAAAAGGUUACAAAGUCAUCAUACAUUUCCUAAAAUCAUAUGCCACUUUUUCAAAGAUCCAAUGCAGCCUAACCCAAGAGUUGAUGAUUUUUUAUUAACAUUUAAUUUUAACCGAUAGAUAUCCUUUAAACGAAAUAAACUAUUAUUAUAUUUAUUUUGUGUGAUUUAAUUUUAAAUUUUAUUUGUUGAUCUUUACAGAACCAUUAGAUGUUUCGAGCAAUUUAAAAGAAUUAGGCAUGAGUCGGAAUGAAGUGAAGCAAUUUGUGCCCAUAAAGAAUAAAGAUAUAUGUGUCAACUAAAUAAUAUAAAAUUAUUUUAAAAUAAAAAAUUCCUACUACCUUUAAUUAUUGAAAGAAUCUAUUGAUUAUCAACUGAUAAUAUUUUAAAAACUUCCCUUAAAAAGUUUGACCCGUAAAAAUUUGAAGCAGUCAAGAAACUUCUAAGAAGGGUAUAGUCAGAGGGUUGGAGGCUUAAGUUGACGCCAAUAGUCAAGAAAUAUCUCCAUAAUGGUCACUUGUGUUGGGUGGUCUGAAUUUCCACAUUGAGACAUUAUUGCUAUGAAUGCCAUUGAGUUCUCCACAAAUAUAUAUUAAAUAAAUUUUAUAUAUAUCCCAUAUAUGUUAUAUUAUAAAAAUAUAUAAAUUAUUUUCCAAUUCAAUUAUUAUUAUUUAUUUGUGCAGUGUUUAUUUUAUGUUGCCAAUUUACUAUAUAAAUUUUAAUACGUCAGUAAUUUAUUUUAUGUAAAUAUUAAUACGUUUCUACAUUCAUGUCAUGUUAAUUUUUUUUAUAUUUAUGUCGUGUAAUUAUAUUUAAUUAAUCAUAACUUUUGAUAUUGCCUCACCCGUCAUCAUGUCUAUGUUAUUUCUGUGUUAUCCUUGUUUUCAAGGUAAUAUAUAUUUAUAUAAAAUUUUUAAAAUUUUGUUUUAGGUAGAUUUUAACAUGUUUGUUUAUUCAUGUCAUAUUUAUUCUAUUUUUUAAAAAGAAAAAUCAUAUUUUUUCAGUAGAAAUUGAUCAAUGUAGACUUAAUAUUAUCAUCGAAUAACACACAUUGUACAAAGUCCGGAGGUGCAUCAAACAACUGUAAAUUCGCAGGUCUUGUGUGACUUACAUAGCUGAGACACACGUCCAUGUCUCGGGCCAUGAAAAUUUUAAAAUAAGGACACACGGUCAUGUCCCAACUCAUGUCCGUGCCCGUGUAAUUCUCUAGGUUGGGUCAUAUGGCCAAGCUACAUGCCCGUGUACUAGGCCAUGUGCUAGGCCAUGUAACAACCUGACUUGCAUGCCUUAAAACCUACAGGGGGCACACGACCGUGUCACAUGGCCGUGUGUCACAUACGGCUGAGUCACACGCUCGUGUCUUAGGCUAUAUGGACAUGAAUUGGCCAAAAUCAAGCCAUUUCCAUCAUCAAAUCAAGCAUGUACCUAAAAGCAUUUUUUGUACACAUGAUCAAGGCCUCAUAACAUGACCAAAAUCAACAUGAAAUGACCAAUUCAUUAGUCUAAAACCAUUCAACCAAUAUGCCAUAUAAGGCACCUCAAAAAAAAAACAUACAAACUUACCUAAACAUAUGCAUUACUACAUUUAAAACAUGCACAUCUAGUUCAAUAUCAUCUUAAAGCAUACCAUAAUUGAGACCAUAAGUAACUCAACAUAAACAUACCAUUUUAAUUUCCUAAAAUCAACCAACCAAUGUGCCCUUUAUAAAUACUGCAAUUAUAUCCAAACAUCAACAACUGAAACAUGUCAACAUUGAUCCAUUCCUAGCAUAGCAACUUAAUUCAAUCAUAAACUAAAAGAAACCACAAGUGUUCACUUUCAUACCAUUCUAAUUUAUACAAAAAAUAUACCUAUUUACAAUCUUGAUAAAAUAGCUAAUAACUUAAUUUAGUAUUUUUUUCAUAUUGUACCAAAACAACCUAUAUAGCUACAUAUACAUGCCGCUACCCUAAGAGAUAUAAGAAUUACUGACAUCGAUGGAUAGUGUGAGCCAAAAGUUCGAUUCGUCCAAAGUUAACAACAACAAUCUACAAAACAAUCCAUAAGAAUGAAUAAGCUUAUAGAGCUUAGUAAGAACAUAACAUAUCAUUUAACCUAACAAAAAUUUAAUAAAACUCAUACAUUACUCGAUUCAAAGUUAUCAGAGUGUAAAUAGAGGCACGUAUGUGCAAUUUAGGGGUACCGAAGCACAAACAGGGGCACAUAUGUGCAAUUCAGGGAAUAAUCAACUAUAAGCAUUUAAUUACAUAGCUAUAAUGUGAAAAUACAUGUAGAAAAUUCAAUUAAAUAUUGAAGUACUAUGAACUUACCUUGACGACUAGAGCGUAGAAAUAUGAUCGAGCUAAUCUGUAAUUUUCGCCUUUCCUUGAUUUAGAUUUGGUUGAGAUUUAUCUUGAUCUAAAUAAAUAAUUACAUUCAAUUAAGUGUUUCAAUCAAUCACAAACAUUCAAUUCAAUCCAUAAUUCACAUUUAUAAAUAUUUACCCUUUGACCCUAAAUAUUUUAACUUUUUACAAUUUAGUCCUUACGCUCAUACAUUGAUAUUUAAGCAUUUUAAUCGUCAUCUCAUGCUAGCCGAAUCAUCUAAAGACCUAUAUCAAUUCAUACAAACCAUCAUUUCGCAAUUUCACCAUGAACUUUUAUCAUUUUCACAAAUAAGUCCAUAUAAAUGUUAUUUUUCAAUAAAACUUGUUUAUUUAUUAACAAGGACUCAUAAUUUACCAUCAAACAUCAAGAAUCAUGCAAGAAAAUUCAUGGAAAAACCCUAAAAAUUUAACAAUUUUACAAAUUGAUCCCUGGGCUAGUAGGUUAAGCUAAAUUUAUCCCAAAAACAUGAAAAUCAUCAUAAACGAAGCUGAAUUUCAUACCAUGCAAAUAAAAUAACCUAGUCAAAUGCCUAGCAAGAUUCCAUGGUGUUUUUAUUUUUAAUUUCAGUGAUGGUUGAUCAAAUGAGAAAGAUGAUGUAAUUUGUCAUUUAGUUUAAUUCUUAUUUAUCAAAAUACCAUUAUAACCUUUAAAAUCUUUACUAAUUUCAUCAAAAUCAUGCCAUGCACAUCCACUAACUUCAUGAAUGGUUUAAUUACCACCUAAGUCCUUUCACUUUAAAAUUUCAUAACUAUUUGACACUUUUAACUAAUAGAACUCUACUUUUGCACCUUUUAUGAUUUAAUCAUUUUUACGUAAUUAAUUAUGCAAACGUCAAAAUUUCUUAACGAAAUUUUUAUACAACCUUAAUAACAUUUCAUAGAAAUUAAAAUAACAAUAAAAUAUUAAUUUACUUAUUAGAUUUGUGGUCCCAAAACCACUAUUCUGAUUUCACUGAAAACGGACUGUUACAACUCUUUUAUGUAAUAGCGACAUAAGGAGAAGAGAGCAAGAAUUCCAAGAUUGCGUUUAGUGUCGCGACACCACCAAGGGAUGUUGUGACACACCCCUGAAGGUACCCUAAGUAUGAGCAUACUGCCUUUGAUGUCGCGAUACAGACACUUAAGUGUCGUGACACCGAUCCUGUAUGAGAAAUAUUUAUGAGCUAGGGACGUUUUAAUAUGCAGAAUCAAAUAUUAAACACAAGAGCAUCAACUGACCUAGGAUUGAGGAUGACGAUAACCCUAACUCUAUAAAUAAACUCAUUUAACACUUGUUAUGGAGAACUUUUCAUACAAUAUAAUUUUCUUUAUAGUUUCAGUUUUUAGUUUUUCUUUUUUCUUAGGCUUUAGGUUAUUUUUAGUUGUGCAUUUGUCGGGAGAUCUUAAUUUUAGAACUCAAUCAACUUUUGGUGGAUUUCGUGCUUCAAUUAAAUACAAUUAAAGCUUUUCUUAAACCUUCGUAUCUUGAUUUACUAUUCAUGUUCAUCUAUUGUCAAGUUUAUUAUGUUUUUUUAGAUCCAUGAUGAACUAAUCCUCUUGUGGAGGAUUAGUGAAUUGAGGUCUGAUUAAUUGAUUGUUGUGCAAGGUUUUCUUAAUGGACCAAUUGUUUGGGAAAAUAAGAAUUUAAACCCUAGGCUUGACGACCUUAGGAAGUCAUUUAGGUGGGAAUUAACCCAAAAUUGAUAUAACUUAUCUGUAGACAUCUUUACCCCAAAGCAAUCUGGACUGUGAGGUUGAGAGAUAAGCAGUUCUUGCUGACUUAUUAUUCUAGUGGAAGAUUGAGAGAUCCUAAUAGGGUAAUGACUAGUUGAUUGAAUAGACAACCUGAAGAAAUAAUUAGUUAUGAUUAUCGAAGCGAGCUAGUCACCCAUGUUUAGAUCUGAUUGAGCUUCUAUAGCAAAUUUCCCAAAGUUUUUUUCUAUUUAUAUUAUUUUAUUUCUUUAGUUAUUAAAAACUCUCUCUUUAUAUUUAGUCGUAAUAUAAUUUUUUAAAGUACUAAUUAGCUCUAUUUGUGCUUAGGUUAGGAUUAAUUUAGUGCUCGUCUCCCUUAGAUACGAUCCUCAGAGUACUCACCUACUUCAUUGUAACUAUAUUACAACUUGACCCAUAUACUUACAGAUAGUGCUUAUUUAACAUAUUUUGUGCAGGAUUUCUACUCUAAGCAUUAGUACGUUUGGAGGUGGUCACCUGGCAGAACCUUAAAUUCCAGAGGUCGAAACCUUAGUGACAAUCUUAGCUCUAAAAUCCUUUGAAUCCACUUCAACUCUGAAAUUAAAUCAUGUUUACACAGAAAAAUGUUACCAUAGAUGUGUUUGUUCCAAUCUUGGACAACUUUCUAAAAAUUAUCCAAAUUCUAAAUCACCUCUGUAUUAUUCUUCCAACACCCCUUAACAAGAUCAUUAAACUCUGCAUGCAUCAUCUAAUUGGCUAAACAGCGAAAAGGCCGGUGGCUUCUCUCAUGUAACAUACAAAGUGAGACUAAAAUCGACCUGUGAUCAAAUUUUAGGCGAUGUAAGUGAUAGACUACACAAUUAGGUGCAAACAACUCCCACUCUGAAUUACACACAGCCCUGUCUAAACAUUGUAAUAAGUGACGCCCUGUCUAAACAUUGUGAUAAGUGACUUCUACUCCACAUAAAUUGAGGUAAAAAAACCUAAAUCUCGAAGUCUAUUGUCAAAAAUGAAAUAUUGGAAUCACUAACAUCCAAUUCAUAUGACAUUUGCGCCACCCAUUUUGUUUGAACCCUUUAAGAUAGAGUUGAAAUCCUUGGCAAUAACUCAUGAUCCAACAACUGAUUUUGCUAUCAAGUCCAAAAUACUCCAAAGAUGUUGUCUUUUUGCCGGCUGUGGGCUAGCAUGCACAACCAUACAUAAAAAACUAGUUGAAUCUUGCCUAUUGCAAAUUUUCAUGUGGAUCAAUUGAGGAUGCAACUCUAAAACAUCAAUGAAGACAUUAUCAUUCCAAAAACCCAAAUUCCACUAACAUAACCUUCAGCCUCAACUGGAAAGGAGUUAGGAAACCCAAUUCUUGCAAUAACUCCAUCAGCCUUAUCUUUGCUAAUUCUCAUCUUAAAAAGACAUAUCACAUCUGUGCAAAACUCCCUUCUAUAUUUGUUCACAAAAUUUGUGGAACCGGAGGUGUCCGACUCCCUGACAGUUCCAAAAAAAUAAUUUCAUAUCCAUAAUAUAAUAGCAAUAAACAAAAAAAAAAAUCCCAAAAUCAACAACGUGCCUCAUCUUCAACAUUAACUUCAUCAUCUAUUGCAUCCACAAUGGACGAAACCAUAUUCUCAUCACAUAAAGCUCUAGGUCUUGCUCAAUGACCCUAACAAUUCCUUCCAUUUCCAUUGUUAGAUCAACUGUGGGUGUUAUUUGCUUCUUCAAUGCUUUAUCCAGUGGCUUCUUUCAUUAGAAAUCGUUUUUGGUGGUAAACACACACCAAAAUUUGACCUAUCUACACCAUUUUCACCAAAGAAAAAGAAACCCUUUUCUCAUUGUCCAUUUUCGCACCCAAUUUUUCCUUCUUCAGUACCAUAAAAAUUUUGUUCAUACUCGUUUAUUUAACUUAGUAAACGAAUAUAAACGAACGCUAUACGAACGGUUCAUGAACAGUUCAUCAAAUGAUUUGUUCAUUUAGACUCCUAAAUAUUUCACGACCACUAUAAUUAAAUUAGAAUAUUUCUUCGCAUAUGCUAUGGUUUAAAAUAAUUAAAUAAAAUUAUUAUGAUAUUAACAUAGAAAUUAAAUUUGUGAUUAUUUUUUAUAAUAGAAUAUAAAGUCAUAACUUAUAAUGAUAACAUCAUGGAGAAAUAUAUUUUAAUUUAAAAAAAAGUAUAAAAUUUAUAUAUUAUCUCUUGAAUGAUUUAAAUGAUGAUGGCAAUGUUUAUAUAUUAAAAUUAAUAUAUUUAAGGAAAAAAAUUACUUAUUGAGUUAUUGCAUUUAUUCUAUGUGAUUUAAUUUUAAAUUUAAUUUAUCUAUUGUAUAAAAUUAUUAAAUAAUUUGAGCAACUUAGAGUAACUUGACUUGAGCGGGAAUAAGGUGGAGAAGUUCGUGCGCAUAAAGAUUAAAGGUAUAUGUUUUAAUUAAAUAAUAAAAAAUAUAUAAAAAUGUUUUAAUUAAAUAAUAAAAAAUAUAUAAAAAUAAAAAAUACUAUUGAGGGUCAAUAUUUUAUUAUUAAAGAAACCCAUUGAUUAUCGGACAGAAAACCUUUUAAAGAUUUAAAGAGUCGACCCCCCGACAAUAGUGAUAUAGCAAUAAUUUGAAGCAGUCAAGAAACCUGUAGUAAGGGCAUAGCAAGAGGGCUGGAGGCUUGACCCCAAAAGUCAAGAGACAUCCCCAUAAUGGCCACUUGUGUUGAGUGGUCUGCUUUUCUCCUUUGGGAUGCUUGAAUUUUCCACAUUCAAAGCCCACUUGGCAAAUUAUUGCUACGAAUGUCAUUGAAUUUUCCACAUGGAAUUUGUCCCAUAUGUAUUAAUUUUUUUUAUAUAUACCCCAUACGUCGUUUUACAAUACAAUAUACUUUUUAGUAAAUCAGUUCUUUAUAGCAAUUUGUUUCAAAUUUUAGCACAAUUAAUUCUAUUUCUAAAUGAAUAAAAAUAAUAAAUUUAGUUAAGAUAUUAUUUUAAUAAAAUAUUUAAAUUUUAUAUAAAAUAUAUUAAUCAUAUUAUAUAAGUUUAAAGGUGUAAAAAGUCUUUAAACUUAAAAAGAAAAAAGAGCAAUUAAACUUUAUUUUUUUACACCCAAUUAAUUACUUAAACUAUUAAAACUCAAUAAAAUAAUCCAUUGGCUGAUGUUGACUGUUAAUUUUUAACGGUCAAGAUGAUGUGACAGUUAAAUUUAACAUUUUUAUUUUAUUUUUGUCAACUAAAAUGUCACUUCAGAUGUCACGUGUAAUGUUGAUGACAUCAACAUUUUUUCUUGAUGCAAUGAUAUCUUUAUAAGUGAGAGAGAAAUCUUCUAUUUAUAGUUUUAUUCUCUUAAAUUUAACGAUACAUUUUAAUUUUCAUUGAGGAUCGAAAUCGAAAUCAAUCCACAAUUGAGAUUUUUAAAAAUUUACACAGUUUCCUAAUAUUACAAAAUCAAAUCUUCUCAAAUUUUUUUUUUUAUAUUUAUCAUGAUACCCAUCAAUUUUUUAAUUGUUUUUCUGAACCACCAGAAUUUUAUGUGGAUGAGAUUUUUUUAAUUGAGUGGUCUGCUUUUCUCCUUUUGGGUGACUGAAUUUUCUUGUCACCAUUGUUACGAAUGCCAUUGAAUUUUCUACAAGGAAUUUAUCCCAUAUAUAUUAAAAAUAUAUGUGUUUUAUUUUUCAAUUCAAUUAUUAUUGUUUAUUUUAUGCUUCAAUUCAGUUUAUUAUAUAUAAAUUUUAAUGUCAUUAAUUUAUUUUAUGAAAAUAUUAACAUGUUUGUUUAUUCAUGUCAUGUUGAUUCUAUUUUUUAAUUCUUUUUCAUAUUUUGGUUACUAAAUGAUGGGUAUAAAAUAUUAUAAAUAAAAUUAAAUUCUUUUCUAUUUAACUCCAAAGCCAAAUCUAAAGUUUUUUUUUUCUACAAUGAAAGUAUUAUAAAUCUCUAAACUUAAAAAUAUUUAUAAAAAACUUUGGUUGAAAGAAAAUCUUUAUAAAUUUUAAAACCAAAACACGAAACUUUAGAUUUCCUAACGUUUCACAAAAAACAUUAUAGUUGUUGAGUAAUAUUUUUCUUGUGUUUUAUUGGUGGGAGCCUUCGGGUAUUUAUACAUGUUAUUACAGCUCAUGAUAUGACCUCCACUACUUUAUCUUGACUCCAUUGUUCCUAGUUUGACAUUCUUUACGAACUCCAGCAUGCUGGACACGUGUCUGGGUUGCCUGUGGGGAGUGUGGUCCUUUUUACGAACCCGUAGGGCAUAUGCGAACUGAGAUCGUGGCAUUUCCUUGGUUCGUGCAAGUUGGAUUCUCGAGCUGGGUCCGCGACCUCGCCUUGCUAUCCUCUUGUGGUUCCCUUCACGCUAAAUCAUUUGGUGGAGCCUAUCUGGGUUACGGGUAAGUGACCCGGAUCCUAUCGAGGGCUCAAGUUAGUGAUCUUUAGUAUAUAACAAUAGUCCCCCUAGUGGGUUUAAGGAGGGUUAUAAAGUGGUGCUUCUUAGAUCCAUCACAGUAAGUUCAAAUGAAGUUUCUUAUGUACGCUGCGAGCUGUGAUGCAUAGUGACCGUCUUGUCAAGUGCGUGAGUGAGUUUCAUGUGCAUGUAUAUGAUCGUUGAAAGUUGAACCGUUUCCAUCUACUCGUAUCUGGGUCGUUGAUCUGCCUUAGUCAUAUGAACCGUCAAAAGUGGGGGGAAAAGAAUUCUUUAAAAGGGGGUUUCCUAAAACCCUAGAACUCACGCUAUUAGUAUAUUCAUAAUUGGAAUCGAUUGAAGUUCUUCUUCAAGGUAAAUAUCAAGAAUCCCUCAUUUUAGGUUUUAAAUUUCUUCCAUCCUUCUCUUUUUCUUUAUGCCAAAAACAUGUUGAGGAUGAGAGGGGGCCCAUGGCCAAAUAGUUCCGCACUAUCCACCCGAAAACAUCCUUCUAAAGCUCUUGUUUAGGCCAAUUUUGUCCAUUUCACUACAAAGCACGAAGAAAUGCUUCGAGCUCUACAUGCACGGGGAAUCAAAAUUCUCAAUUUUGCCUACGAAUUCUCCAUCCCUAAAGGUUCGCAUCGAUUCAGCGAUACCAGCAAUGGUAGUUUUCUACUUCCUUUCCACGCCUUGGAGGCUAGGUUUCAUUUGCAUUUGAACCCCUUCUUUUGCUAUUUACUUGAUGAUUACCAAAUUGCCUUUGGUCAACUUUCUGAGAUUUCAUGAUGGAUUGCAAUGCCCUACUUUAUUGAUUAUUGUUAUUGCAACAAAGCACCACAACUUGCAAUAUUCCAAAACUGUACCUAUUAAAGGCUCAAAUUCGAGUGAAUUCAGUAGGUUUUUAUUAUUUCUCUCAAUUGUGGGAAAGGCCCAAGUAUAAUUACGAACUGAUGCCCAAACCUUCAGUUGAACUAGAGUAAGUACAUCAGGGUAAAUUACAAGUUUGUCGAUGGGUUUGGGUUUCCUACAGAGUGGUCUACCCUUAAUAGAGAUAUGUGUUCUUUCUAGUGAACUGUUAGGACGGUUGGAGGUGAGGCCUAGCUGAGAAGGCUUAACGUUGGUAAUUCCUUAAUUAUUGAGGACGCUAUAAUUGUAAGGAGCAUAUUCUUAUAUUUUUUGAAAAGUCGCAACCCUAAUGGGUAAAGACAGGGUGAUACAAAAGAAGUUAUUGAGGCAUUAGGUGUGGUUUCUGGGAGGCAAUCAUGUUACAUGUGCUCUACGGUGAUAACGAUCAUUUGGGCUAAAUUUUAAUAGGGUUGAGGGGAGAGCCUAGAAAUUUCUAUUACACUUAUUGUGGGAUAAACAUUCAUCAUUGGACAAUAUCGGGCUUGCCAUAGAUGAAAAGUAAUCCCUCCGUUAAUCUGCUACAUGCUCCUACUGAUGUUAGGGUUGUUGAUGAUGCAGGCAUAAUUUACAGUUUGGAGAGUGACUUUAAGGAAAUGAUUAGUAUCUCAUCAGAAAUUAACGAGGCUAUCGAAGCUACUUAGGUAAUGAAUCUACGAGCUACUUUGAGGGACUAACGCAAGAGGCGUAGAACUGGUGUGAGCGCCAUUAACGUGGUUAUUACCAGUGAAGAGGAUAUAGAUAGUGGUAGGUUAGAGCAUUGUCGCAAAAAGAGGGAAGAUCAUGCUAGGACUUUUGCUAUGAUGGUUACAGCCUCUACUUCGCCUUUCGCGUGCUCACAAAGCACAGCUCGCGAAAGUUCUUCUACUCUUGCCUACUGUAACUCUUCUCCUUUCUGUAUCUCUCUCCCUACCGUGCCAUUCUCUAGGGGUUUAACUAUUGGGAACAAUAGUGAACCAACUUCUAGCCAUCAGAAUUUGAAUAGUCAGAAGCUACAAGAUAUCGUAUGGAAGUCGAGAGCUUCCGUUUUAGAAAUAGUAAAGAGGAAGCUAUGUAUCGACGAGUCAUCUAAGAGCUCGCAUGAAUCUGAAUUGCUAACACUCAACUUUUCUCUACAAGCUUUCCUUGCUGAGGCCUCUAUGAUUAGCUUAGGCCUCGAGGAGAGAAUUGGCAAGACAGGGGCUACUCAAAGGGAGCUAGAAUUGAAUCUUAAGGUUUUUGAUGAGCGAUGGAAAAAAAUAAAGACUGAGAAUGAGGUUCUCUAUAAGCAAAAUGAAGAACUGGUUAGAAGGUUGGACUGUUCAGUGAGGUCGUAGCCUUAAGUGUUGAGUUGAGAAGGGUCAUUGAAGAGCACAAAGCAGUUGUCAGCCAAAUUAAUUAUGAUUACAAGGAUGCAAUAGCAACGUUGAAACGCAAAUAAGAAAAAGAUUUUGAAGGGUUUAAGAAGAAUACUUUAAAGAUCUUGACUGAUAUCACUGUUGAGCUUAAAUCUAACAUUCUUCUGCAUACCUAAGUUGUUGCUGGGUCCUUUAAUUUUGGCAAGGUUAACUUUGACCUGCUCUUUGAGGUAAAAAUAAACCAUUUUAGCUGUGAUGUCCACUGCCUUUGGGAGCCACUUGGAAGGAGUUCACAUCCAAAUGGAAAAAAUCGAAGGAUUUUUACCUCGAGGGGAGCCUUGAACCAACCACUGUACUUAUUGGUGAUGAUAUUAUAGGUAAUUUUGUUGCUAGGAAUGUUGAUGUUGCUCAAGGAAAAGAGAGGAAGAAUAAAAGGGCAGGAAGGGUGAAUGAGGUCAUUGGUAACCAAACUGUAUUUAGAUGCUUGUUGUUUUGUGGCUUUGUAUUGUGGUUUUUAAUGAAUGAAAGAAAUAAAACUUUUGAGUUUUAAUGUCAUGAGGAUUUUUCUCUCCAUAAACUUGAGCAAAGUGUAACUUAAGAGGAAUUUAAACAAGUUUCGUAGGCUUCUAUAUUUUAAUUUGUGAACCUUAAUGUGACAACUAGAAACUUUUAACUCUCACUAAUUGUUUGAAGGUUGCGGUGUUAAACCUACGAGUCUUUAUAUGACAGCUGGGAGCUUUUAACUUUCACUAACUGUUUGGGGGCUGCGAUGUUAAACUUGCGAGCCGGAAUAAUAUGAUAGUUGGGAGCUUUUAACUCUCGGUAAUUGUUUGAGAGUGUGGUGUCAAAUCUACGAGCUUUAAUAUGACAACUAGGAGCUUUUAACUCUCGCUAACUGUUUGCGGGUGUAGUGUUAAACCUAUGAACCUUAAUAUGACAAUUGGGAGUUUUUAACUCUCGCUAACUGCUUGGGAGCUUUGGUGUUAAACCUGCGAGCCUUAAUAUGAUACGAAUGUUGUGAUGAGAGUUUUUUCAUUUAAGGGAUAAUGAAUUAUACAUAUUAUUUUUUAGGUGUUGGACAUUCCAUGUUCGCGGUACAAUUGCGCCCUCCAUUCUUGCUAACUUAUAUGCUCCAUAACCAAUUUUUUCUAUAAUUUUCUACAACCCUUCCCAAUUUGGAGAUGUUUUUCCUUGCUACGAGGCUAGUAGAUUGGUUUCAAUAUUUCUUAAAACAAGGUCGCCUACUUGGAACUGCUUGUUUUUAACUUUGGAGUUGUAGUAGUGAGCCAUUUGCUAAGCGCGUGGUGCGUUUUUUACUUCAAUUGUUUCCCUUAGUUCAUCAAUAAGAUCAAGGUUAAGUUUGAUGGCUUCUUGAUUAACUUCCUCAUUAAAGUGUUGCAUCCUGUGCGACUUCAAACUAAUUUCCAUUGGGAUUACAGCCUCUGUACCGUAAAUAAUGGAGAAUGUUGUUUCUCCUAUUGCAGUUUGGGGUGUAGUUCCCAGAGCCCAUAAAAUUUCAUGUAGUUCUUCCAACCAACCACUCUUGGCCUCACCAACCUCCUUUUUCAGGGCCACUAGGAUUUUCUUAUUUAACAUUUUUACUUGCCCAUUAGUUUGUGCUAUUUUUACCGAACUUUGAGCUAAAAUUAUUUAAAGGUCGGUAAAAAAGUUCUUAAAUUUCCCUUAAAAUUGUACGUCAUUGUCUGUGAUAAUCAACUAUAGUGCACUGUACCUACAUAUGAAAGAUUUUCAUAGAAAAGAUUUCAUUUGUCUUUUAGUGAUGGUAGCUAGGGCUUCAACAUCAAUCCAUUUAGAAAAGUAGUCCACUACGACCACUAUGAAUUUCUUUUGUGCCAUAACUAUGGGAAAUGGGCCAAGUAUAUCGAUUCCCUAUGUUGUGAACAACCAAGGGCUUGAUAUGAUCUGAAGAAGUUCUAUUGGCCGCCUCUGCACUUGGGCAUAUCUCUGGCAGUAAUCACUUGUGUGAACCAAAUCAUACUCGUCUUUCUGAAUUUUAAGCUAAUAAUAUCUCUCAUAAGAAUUUUCAGCAUGAGUAGUCUACCCCCCAAGUGAUCACCGUAGAUUCCCUCAUGAAUUUCCCGCAUUACAUAUUCAGCCUUAGGUUGUGAUAGACAUCGCAGCAGUGAGUGUGAAAACUCAUUUUUAUGUAGUACACCCUCCAAAAAGGUGUAUCUAUCAAAUGUAGAACAAAAUAUAUUGUUUUAAUUUAUUAUGUAAUUAAAUCAAUUCAUAUUAUUCAAGUAGUCGAUCAUGCACUAGGAGUUCUGUAGGUAUUUGUAAUUUGUGAUAAUGGUAUACCUCGUGACUUCAGGUUGUAGCCUCGCGAGCUCCUUUUUUUUUAUCUUGGUUAUCUUGUUCACCUUGGAGAGUGCGAACUAUUGGGGUCAUAUAGGUCUCCUUCCAAUCAAUGCAUAGUACUUGUAGCAUGUCAUAGCUCAAGGUCUCUUUAUGCUCGAGUAGGAUUUUCUUUUUUUUUGUUCUAUGGCAACCAAGGAUGCUAGUUUGGACAUCACCAGCAGGCGUGUUGUCACUUCUUCGGAGCUGUUUAAUUUGAACUUUGUCAAAUCCUGCGAGUAAGUGGCUGUAAUUGUAUUAUACUUCUUUAGUUUUGCCUCUUUGACCUCGUAUUUACCAUUCAUCUGUUUCACCACAGCUGUGAAUCUGUAUGGGCAAUCAAGUCCUUUACUCCUAGUUGGCGUGAUAAUUGUAAUCAUGAUACCAAAGCUUCAUACUCAGUAGUGUUGUUGGAUGUCUAAAACCCAAAUGAUAAUUCAUACUACCAUUCACUACUGUUGGGGUCAAUUAGGAGUAUAUCUGCUCUUGAUCCUAAUUUGGUUGUGGAGCCAUUGACAUAAACUAACUAACUUUUUGAGUUAUCAGUUGCAUGUACACUUUUUAGAGGUGGGUUAACUACUGUAAUGCCCAAAAAUUUCUAUUUUUAUUUCUGUGUGAUCUUGACAUGAAUCUGUAUUUGCUUCAGUGCUUAAGUAUUCUGGGUGUGUAUGAGAGGUCCUAAGUUCAAGCCUUAGCUUUAGCAAUCUUUGCUAUUUUAGAAAUUAAGCCCUAUCUUUGUUUAGUGGGCUUAUAUUUAGUUGCUUGCAAUUUCAUAUCAGAAUGAGCCUGUUGGUUCAAGUGGUAAGGUGUUUGUGUAAUUAGAGGACUUGUGUUUGAAUCCCUGCGCAAGCAUGGGUAUUUAUUUUGCUCGGUUUUGUAUACGUGUUUCGAUGGAGUUGGGUUUAUGAGGAAGUUGGGAUUUGGUAAUUAUCAAUUAUUUUAUUUUAUUUUUUUCUCCUCCCAAAACCUUCUGACGUUUUUUCUUCCAAAUAAAAAAUCCCCAAUUUUCUUUUUCUUGCCUUAUUUACUCUGUGAUGAAGUUAUCGAAUUUUUUCUUCUGUUACUGGUUGUUAUUUUUAAGCCUUGCUUUUGUGCGCUUUAAACACUUGGUUUCGAUUUAAUCGGUAAGUGAGUUAGUGGUAUCAUUCUUUAAUCGUUUGGUUUCUAGAGGCGGAACCUUUGCAGUAUUUUGUGCAUAGAGGAAGUAAGGGAAACAACAAUUUCUAUUUAAUGAUUGAAUCAAUGAGAGUGAGCGGAUGUGUUAGAGGUAAGUGGGUGCGUUGUUUUAGGUUUUGUUUUGAAGGGUUGUGAAUUGUUGGCUAAAUUCAUUAGGGGUUUUCAAUUUUUAGGUUUCUAGAGGCUCGAGAGUGGUUUCGCAUCGAAACGUUACCAAGUGUGUACCCAAAACACAAAGAAUGAGUUUUCAACAAAAGUAAAAAAAUGCUACUGUCGACGCCACAUGGGCGUGUGGUCACCCAUGUGGUAGGCCGUGUUUGAGGACACGAUUGUGUGAUUAACGAAGGCAUGGCCAUGAGCAGCGCACAGUCAUGUGAUGGCUCGAGCGUGGCCGUGUGGGCCACACAGACUAAACCAAGUUGAUCGUGUGGGCCUACAUGGGCAUGACACACGGGCGUGUCGAUUAUUAGGCCAGGCCGUGUGGGCCACAUGGGCAAGGCCAAUCUGGGCAUGUGGGCCCGCACUGACAUGCGAACCCAUUAUAUUGAGAUUUUUUAUAGGGUCGCACGGGUCAUCUUAAAAGACUGUGGGCCUAUUUUAAGGUCGGUAAGGCCUAUUUAAACAUUGAAAACUAAAUAUCUGUUGUUCUAUUCUGUGCACAUAGGCAUGAGUGAUUUAUCUGUUAAAUGUAUCUGUAUAUACAUGUUAUAUCCGUACAUAGACAUGUAAGCAUGGUUAAUCUGUAUGUUUGAAACUGAAUAUUCUGUAUAUGAUAUAGGGGUUGGGAUCAUAUAUAUGGAGGAAGUGUUCUGAAAGGCAUUUAUUGCCUAUAUUCUGGCAGCUUGGCUGCAGCUAAUCUAUUAUGUGCCGCAUCAGUACAAUGUGGUGUGUAUGGCUGAGUGGGUGUUUUAAACCCUACAUUGUGUAUAGAGAUGGUCAGAGAUGGUGUGUAGAGGAUGGGGGUAGGAUUCUGUUAUCUGAUUUGCAUAUCUGUAUCUAUAUCUACAUCUGAAAUGGGUUGUAGCCCGAAUCAGUAUUUGUAUCUGACAUGGGCCCAAGCCCGAACUUGAAUAUGUCUGAUUUGUGAUAUUCUGUGUGUGUGCAUGCUUAAUUCUGUGGGGUUACACACUGAGUUUACGUAAACUCACUCUUUUCUUUUUGUUCUGUACAGGUAAUCCACAGAGUUAGGUGAAUCAGUGCAGCAGAAGACUCGACGGUGACUACUGACUUUUACUGUUUAAUUUUGUUUUAUGGUUUUAUUUAAGUUAGGCAUUAUUUUUGGAGAGUUUGUAACUUUCGGGACUUUCUAUACUGUAUGGACUUUAACUGUGGUUUUGGUUUUGUUGCUCGUUUUAUACAUGCUUUAACAAAAUGAUUUCUCUUAAAACGAUGGUUUACUUAAACAAGGUUUUCUAAAUCACGAACUAUGUUACUUAAACAUCAUGAUUUUUUAUAAGCUUUCGAACUAAAGGAUUUUAUGGCAAAUGAAUAAAUGUUUUGAAAUAAAUGAAGGCAAAUAAGGGAUUAUAAGCUUAAGGUUUUUAUCGAGUUAGCUUUGUUUUCAAACCCAUUCCAUAUGACAUCACCAGAUUCGGCCAUAACGUCUAGGCCGGGUUUGUAGCGUUACAACUACUAAAUGGCGUACAACAAAUUAAAGAGAAAUCUUAGUAUAAAGUGCCGAAUUCAUUAAUAUAUUGAAUUGUUAGCUUUCAACAAUAUCCAUGUAACAUACGAUUUUCUCAGGAUUUUCAUCAUUCGAUAUUCCAAAUUAUAAAUUACAUUACCUGUUGUAUCAAUAGCUUUCUUAAAAAAACACUCCACCAUGAAGUUAGCUAGUACUUGUCCUUUUAUCACUAUUUACAAAGUGAAGUCUAUUUCGAACUCAGCCAGCUUAAUACCUCAAUUUGUCACCCUUCUUGAAGUGUCCAUCUUAGACAAUACUUGCUUCAUAAGUUGAUUGGUCACAACAACGAUCGAAUGGGCUUAGAAGUAUAGCCGCAACUUGCAAGCUACAAUUAUCAAGGUAAAAAUACACUUUUUCUAUUUUGGGUACCUUAGCUCGUCGUUUUGAAGUACUUUGCUAAUAUAGUACACAGGGAUUAGUGAUCACUUUCUGAUCUAAUUAACACUACCGUAACCGUCUCCUUUGAGGUAGCCAAGUAUAGGUAGAGCGUUUCUCCUAUGUGAGGUGAUUUCAAAAAUAGAGGAGGAGUAAGAUACAACUUCAAAUUUUCAAAGGCUGCAUAACAUCCUUCAGUUCAUGAGAGAGAGGUUCUCAAGGCUUUGAAGAAAGGGAGGGAUUUGUUUUCCAUCUUGGAAAUGAAUUUAUUGAGUGCCACUACUCUACUCGAGAGGCGCUGUAUGUCUUUUAUGGUUCGUGGUGGAGACAUUUCCAUGAUCACCUGGAUCAUGAAGCCUAAAAACCUUCCAGCUCUCUCUAAAUUCAUGAAGUCUAAAAACCUACUAGCUCGCACUCUAAAGGUAUAUUUCUUGGGAUUCAACUUCAUGUUAUGAGCUUUUAAGACUACAACUGUCUUAAAUAGGCUUAGCAUAUGUUCCCUUAUUGACCCACUUUUUACCAACAUGCCAUCAAUAUAGACUUCAAGCUCAUGCCCUAUCUGGUUUCUGAAUACUCUGUUCACUAAUCUCUGAUAGGGCAUGCCCACAUUCUUAAGGUCGAAAGACAUAACCCGAUAGCAGAAGAGUCACUAUUUAGUGAUAAAAUUUGUCUUUUCCUGAUCACCUUGAUAAAAAAAUUUGAUUAUAGCCUGAGAAAAUGUUCAUGGAGCUCAUAAACCCGUGACCUGCAGAAACAUUGACUGAAUGGUCAAUUGAAGGUAGAGAAAAGUUGUCCUUAGGGCACACUUUGUUGAAGUUAGUGAAAUCUAUACACAAUCUCCAUGUUCCAUUCAUUUUCUUCACCAUGACCAUGUUCGAAACCCAAUCUCGAUACUCCGCUUCUCUGAUGAAACCUUUUGAUAGCAAAUUAGAUACGUCUUGCAUUAUUGCUUCCACCACCUACGACAUGAGUUUCCUUAUUUUUUAUUUUAUUAGCUUUGCUUUUGGAAGGACAUUCAACUUGUGAACGAUUAUCCAAGGGUCCACCCUUGGCAUAUCCAUCGCAGACUAGGCAAAAACGUUUGAAUUCUCCUUUAAACACAGGAUCAGCAUGCUUUUGUCUUCCGCCAUGAAUGCUAAUGAGAUUCUGACAGUUUUUUCCUCAUUUCCACAAAAUAGCUGCAAAAUUUCUGUAUGCUACCAACCUCUGGUUUCUUGUUUCUCUCCUCGUCUUUUAUAUCCAAAUUAUUUAAAUCCAAGACUUGAUUUGCUAAUACUGCUCCCCGCAAACUCUGUCUUUCAGUGACGGGUUCUCGUGCCUGAUUAAUAAAUAACAUUUGACACUACCUUAUAGUUUGCUGAUCUGAGCUUAAAAAUCUGACCCCAAUGUUCGUCGAAAACAUGAUUUUCAUGCAAAACAUCGUGACCACCAUAUUUUUCGUCCUCAUCACCGGUCGUCCAAAGAUAGCAUUGUACGCCAUUAAAUGGUCUAUCACAUAGAAUUUGACAUACUCCAUAGUUGUGUGCUCGCCAUCUUUUAACAUUGGUAAGGUGAUUGAGCCUUUGACCUUAACGGGGUGGUUCACAAAGUUAUAUAACGGAUUAACCUUAGACAACACAUGUUUUUUCAAUCUCAUCUUUUGGUAUGCAUCCUAAAACAAAACCCCAAUUGCACUUCUACUGUUUAUGAAUAUCCUUUUGACCUCAAAACCUGAAAUUAUUGUCGAGACAACCAUUGGAUCAUUACCCUCUUCGUUAUAAACUAAUUCUCCAUUGUCACUAUUAAAUCCCACUCUCUAUUUUUCCUACCAGAGUGAUCUCUUGGAGCGCUAUUUGACAUCACGCUUCUCAUAUGUACCCUCUUUUUUACGUUGAAACCUACAUAGUCUUUAUCUGUGCCUACAAGCACAUGGAUGGUACAUUUAACUUUUUGUUAACCCUUAGGGUUGCUACGCGAACCUUGACCCUAUUGAAGACUGCUUUGGUUCACAAAUUUUGAGAGUUCAUCAUUUCGUACUACCUCAUCUAUGGCACCCUUUAACGCGAAACAAUAAUCAAUUUUGUGCCCAAUGUCAUCGUGGAAGGCACAUCUAUGCCUAGAAUUCAAUCUUCUUGCAAUGCUCCUCAUCGAGGGUGACUUGGGUAGGAUACCAUGGCUCUUGACUUGGCUAAGAAUGAAAGUGCAAGUGGCAUUCAACAGGGUGUAAGCUUCAAGUCCGCUAUCAAGAAAGUACCUCAUCGUGUACUCUAGUUGAGAACCUUGAGGGGCCUUGAGAGGGUUACCAUGAGCUUAAUUUCUGUAUGACUUAUCAUUUCUCACUUGUAAUAAUUGGUCAGGAGGGCCUAUCUACUUCAAGAUCCUUCCAUUUUCCUUGAUUGUCUGUUCUCCCUUUGAAAGGUUUCACGGUAUGCCCUAUUGAUUUCUUUCUCCUCCACAAACUUGUAGGUUCACUCGUAUAAGUUAGCCAAACUUUACGGUCUGUUAUAGGUAAAGGAGUAUUGUACAUGAUCAUUCUAUACUCACAUUAUAAAAGCAUCUAUUGCAAAUUGGUCUUCUAAAUUUUUUCUUGUUGAGGGUCAUUACAUGGAACCUCUUCACGUAAUACUGGAGGGACUCACAUUCUCUCUGUUUUACCAAUAUUAACCCCAUAGGUUUGUUCAUAAUUGCUCAAUGGACUCUAAAUCUUCCCAAAAUUAUCUGCCCCAACAGUGAGAAGUUUUUAACCAAACUUUGGGAGGGGAUAUAAACCAAUCCUUGGUGCUUCCCUUAAGCGUCAUUGAAAAGGCCUUGCACUUCGCUACAUUUGAUGCCUCUAGCACAUUCAUAUAGUCAUUGUAUUGCACCAAAUGGGAUUACGGAUCCCUUCCUUCUUUGAACAUAUCUAUUGGGACUUUGAAGUCACGUGAUAAGUUUACUAUUAUGAUCUCAAGGACCAAUAGAUUGUUAGAGUAGAACCAAUCGAUGUUCUGAUAUUUAGGGUGCAGCACCCUUAGACCCCUUUAUAACUCUUCUAUCUCAUUUUGCCAUUCUUUCACCUGUAUGCCUAGGGCUUCAUUCUGCAUGUUUACGUUGUCUUGGAAGCCAAAGUUAUCAGAAUGCAUUUUUAUUUUUAACUCAUCAUUUUACUUCAGCAGCUCAUGUUGGAAAGCCUGUUGUUGAUCAAACCGCACCUCUUGAGCAACCAUCUAUUCCCUUAUGAAUCUUACUUGCUCCUGAAGGGUAGAGAGCUACUACAGUGGUGCCUCUUGGUUAGGAAGGAGCGUCAACCCCUGGCCAACGGAAGUGUUCAGGUCUAGAGGGCCAAAAACUCUUGGAUGAGCUGUAUUGUCGAGGUUCUUCGUUCUGUCAGUAAACCACCCCAACAACAAAUUUGCUUUAUAAUGAUUAUUGCCAGAGCCUGUGGCUCCGACCUAUUCUAUCGAAUGGAUGAAGGGAAAACUCAAAUUUGGGUGAGCCAUUUCGAUUCUGAAAACUUGACAUAAAUAAAAUCAGACUUGUUGAAAUUUAACAAUUGAAAGAUUGUCCACACUCAUCCCACCAAUUUUUGAUAAUAUUUUCCUUAUGUUUUAUUGAUGGGAGCCUUUAGGUAUUUAUACAUGCUAUUACAACUCAUGAUAUGACUCUACUGUUUUGUCUUGACUCCACUACUCCUAGUACUGGCAUUCUCUGUCCCUAGUACUGGAAUUCUUUACGGACUCCGAGCCUACUAGACACGUGUCUAGUUGCCUACGAAGCACGUGGUCCUUUCUGUUUCUGGGACUGACACCCUAAGUAGGCUCUGAGCUUACUGGACAUAUGUCUAGGUUGCUUACGGAGCGCACGUUCCUUUUUGCGAACCCCUAAGGCAUAUGCGAACUAAGAUCGUGGCCUUUCCUUAGUUCUUACGAGUUGGGGUCGUGAACCCCCUUAUGAGCUAGGUUCGUGACCUCGCCUUGCUAUCCUCUCGUAGUUCGCUUCGCACUCAAUCGUCUGGUAGGGCCUAUCCGAAUUACAGGUAAGUAACUCAGAUCCUAUUAAAGACUUGGGUUAGUGUUCACUGGUAUAUAACAAUAGUAAUAAUUAAACUAAAAAUGUUUUAAGAUAAUUGCUUCAUUUAUAAAAUUCAACACAAUAUAAUAAAUCUGUUAUGCUUACCAAAAUUUAAAAAAAAUUAUGGUUGUCACGCUCAUAAUAUAGGUGAAAUUUUAUAUAAAUAUAUAUUUAUAAAAAUAUGAUAUAAAUAACAAAUAGUGAUUUUAUUGAAAGAUAAAAUAAAAAUAUUAAAAAUUGAUAUAUAUUUGGGUUUAAAUUUUAUGGGUUUAUAUUCUUUUCAAUUUUUCCUUAUAAAAGAUAUAGGAAAUGUUUGAUAAAUAAGGUUUUGGAUUUCUUUUAACUGAUUUGGGUACAAAUAGAGGAUUAGGUAGUUAAACCCUCUAAUUGUAGUGUUUGGUGAAUAGAGGUUUAUAAGAGCUUGUUGAGCUAAAACCUCCAAAACAAAAAAUGCAGGGAUCGGCAACGUUUUUCACAGCUGAUUAGGAAUGAGAUAUGUGAAAUGACAUAUCUGUCUGACCAUGCUUGCUAUAAAAUACUCUCUUUGCCAUAUACUCUCAAAUCUAAUAGAUAGAGGUGCCAAGAUAUCAGUAGUCUCCAUUAUCCAAUUUUCACUUUUACCCCCAAAAUUUAAACUAAAACUUCUUAUAUAAAACAUUUAGUUUAUAAUUUUUUUAAUAAAUUUGAUAUAAUUAUUUAUAAUUAUAUCUAAUUAAAUAAAAAGACAUAGCCCCCAAAUAGAGGUGCUCAUGGGCCGGGCGGCCACGCCCGAAAUAUGGGAGGCUUCGGGUAAAAAUAUAGGCCCGAAAUAUGGGUUUGGACAAAAAAAUGAGGCCCGUUUAGAAAACGGGCCGGGCCUCGAGCACCACUUUUUUGGUCCGAGCCCGGCCCGAAUAUAUAAUAAAUAUAUAUUUUUAUUUUUUAAUUUUAAAAUAUUUUUAAAAUACUUUUUUUAUUUUUUAUUUUUAAAAUAAAUUUUUGGUGUUUAUUAAAAAAAUGGGCUGAGACAGGCUCGGGCUUAAGAAUUUUUUCUCGGGCUGAGCCUGAAUAAAAUUUCAGGUCCAUGUUUUGGGCCAGGCUGGAAUUUUUCUGGGCCCGGCCCAUGAUCACCUCUACCCCAAAGCUUGAUUUUAUUUUUAGUAUAAUAAUUCUGUGGUUAGCAUAAUUAGAGAUAAAAAAAAUCAAUGCAGUGGGGCCCAACUUUUGGAGUAAGAGAGGACUUCAAGGUGUAUAAAGUCCAAGGCUUUGUUUGAUCGAAAUGGAGGCAGGUAUCAAGUGAGUGGUUUGUUGAUUUAGAGAAGAUGGAGGCUAAAUCGUUGUGGGUAUUACUCACUACACUUCUGUUCAUCAUACAAGGGUGGCGACAGAUUGAGGGGUGCUUGGAGCAGGAGAGAAUUGCUCUCUUCCAACUCAAAUCUUUUUUCAAUGACAGUAACUGGGUAGAUGUGAAAGGUUCGAAUUGUUGUGAAUGGGAAGGAGUUGAGUGCAACGUCACUACUGAACGAGUAAUAGGUCUCGAUCUUCGUUUCAAACGUCAAUGGGAUAACCGUGAAUGGAUAUCAGAUCGAUAUGGGUAUCUCAAUGUCUCUUUAUUUCUUCCAUUUGAGGAAUUGAAGAGCCUUGAUUUGAGUGGAAAUGAAAUUGCAGAUCUUGUAGAUAACCAAGGUUGGUUGCUUUUCAUCUCUUCGAUGACCGAUUAAUCCUUGAAUUAAUUUAUUCCUUUAAUUUUUUCUAAAUUAAGACACUCAUGAUCAAUAACUUUUUCUUGCAUGCAGUAUCUGUUUCAUCUGCUUUCAACAAGUUAGAAACUCUUGUAUUAACUCAGAAUUACUUCAAUGAUAGUAUCUUAUCAAGUAAGCUUCCAUCUCUCAAAUUCUAUCAAACUAAUUGUAAGUUUAUGCAAAAAAAUAAAAAAUAAAUAAAAUGAAAGAGUAUAAGGUUUGAUCAUACCAACUUACAAUUGAUUGCUAAAUUCUCUAUUAAUUUAUUUCAUAAUACGGUUAUUAAACUUUUUAACUAAUUUUAAUUGACAGACAAUAGGUUGAAAUAAACAAAUUAUUUCCCAUAUGUUAAUUAAAAGUUUGCAUAUAUUUAAACAAGUUAAAGCGUACAUGUACUUAAUGAGAGAAUGUAUUGUAUGAAAUUGUGAUUUUGUGUUAUUCUUAUCUCUUUUAAAUAGGAGAAUGAUAAAUCAGAAUUUUUCUUCUGAUUAAAAAUGCUUGUAUAAAAAAUCCUUGAAUAUUAGAUACAAGUGAGUGCCACUUUUAUAUUAAAAGAUUAAAAUUAAUUUUUUUAAUGUGAAUAAGCCUUGAAAUGUGUUGAUGUUUGAUAUAUUUCAUUGUUCUUGGAUAGAAUUGAAGAGUUUGACAAACUUGAAGACGUUAGAGUUAAACUUCAAUAGCAUCAAAAGCCUCCGACAGUUUCAAGGUAUAUCUAAAUUUGAUGUUCUAUGUACAAUCAACUAUGUCUUCAAGGCGUUUACCUAUAAAAGUAUAUUUAUGAAUAAAUCAAAGAUGAAAUCGAGAUACAAAUAAUUAUUCUUGGAUAUUAUACAAACAAAUCCUCCUUAAAAUUAUUCGACUUAAAUCUUUUAUAGGUGAGAAAGCGCAACCGAUGAUAAAUUUGGAAGUGCUUAAUUUGGAUUAUAAUUCCUUGAACAACAAUGAUUUGGCAUAUCUCAAGGGGUUAUCAAGUUUAAGGUCCUUGAGUAUUGGGGGAAACCAAUUGGAAGGGUCAGUAGGUAUUACAGGUAUGUAAAAUUUCAUAAAAUAAAAAUAAUAAGCUAAAUUUGGAGUUCAUUUUUCGGGUAGUAAAAUAAAGGCAUAAUGAUUUUUUGGUCCUUCAAUUUUAUAAAAAUAUUAUUUUAGCAUUUAAUUUAAUUUUUCACCUCUUUUAAUAUUUAAACUUGCUUUUUUAUCAAAUCACCCUAAAAUGAAUGAAAAAUUUAACGCUUGUUAACUUUGUUAAUGUGGCAUAUAUGUUGAUUUCCACGUAGAUGACAUAUAAACAUUUAAUUAACUUUUUAAAAUAAAUAUUUUUUUCUCUUUAAUAUAUAAAGUAAAAUAUAUGUACCACGAUAAUAGUAUUUCAAUUUCAAAUUUUUUUCUAUGUCUUUUAAAUUCUUUUAGUAUUAAAUUAAAAAAUUGUAUUUAAUUAAUACAUACCAUCAAUCUAAGCAACGCAUUGGAAAGAAACUAGUUAAUAUAUAUAAUCAGCCUUGUAGAUGUGGAAUUAAUUAUCUUUAUCUACUAUAAUAACAACAUUUAUAAAGUAUACAGUAUAUUAUUUACUAAAUUAGUUCUUUAUAACAAUCUGUUGUCUCAAAUUUUAGCACAGCUAAUUCUAUUUCUAAGUGAACUAAAAUUAACAAAUUUUAAUUAAGAUAUUAUUUCAAUAAAUUGUUUAAAUUUUAUAUAAAAUAUAUUAAUCAUAUUUUACGAAAUGAAAAUAGUUUUUAUAAAUGGAGUUACAUUAGUGAAUUUUAUUAAAGACACAAUCUAAAUCUUGUUAAUAAAUAUUUUUAUUAAUAUUUUUAAUUUAAAAUUUUUAUAAAUUUAAAUAUGACCUAAAUAUUAAAUGUGACCACUUACCUAUAACAUCCAAUAUUUUGCAGACAAAUGAAGUUGUUAUAUAAAAUUUGACCACAACUGAAUUUUUGUGAUGAUUACUUUAUUGGACUAACAAAAAAAUGCAUUCAAUUGAUUUGGAUAGUAUUGAAUAAUAUGACAAAGCUAAAGAAGUUGGACUUGAGUGCCAAUAAAAUUGAGAGCCUCCAAUCUCCCCAUGGUACGUGUCGAUAUGUUCUACUUUAUCUUUUUCUUACAUAUACAUACCAAUAUCUCAUUUAAUAUUUCAUUAGUAGUAAAUUUGCUUAUCUAAAUGCUUUGUAGAUGGUGAGAGGCCACUUAAUUUGACCAAUUUAGAAGAGCUUAAUUUGGAUCAGAACUCCUUCACGAACAACUUAUUGGCACAGCUUAGUGGGUUUUCCAAUCUAAAGUCAUUGAGUAUAAGGAAUAAUCAGCUUAAAGGAUCAAUAAAUAUUAAAGGUGGAAAUACUUAACAUAUUUAAUCUUCCUUUAAACAAAACAAAUUAUUUAUUGAAUUAUUGCAUUUAUUCUGUGUGAUUUUAAAUUUAAAUUUUAUUUGUCAAUUUUUACAGAAUUAUUAGAUACUUUAAGCAACUUAGAGGAGCUAGACAUGAGUCGAAAUGAGCUGAAGGAAUUUGUGCCCAUAAAGAAUAAAGGUAUAUGUAUCAACUAAAGAAAGUCUCACUUAUUGUUUGCCAUUAGAUAUCUAGUGAACUGAUGCCAAUUAUUAAUUUGACUCUCAGAAAAUGGAAGUUUAGGAAAGCUAAAGGUUGCUAACUUAAACGGGGUGUUCAACAAUGGAACUGCUUCUCUAAUACAACUCCUGGAGACAUUCUCAUCUGUUAAUACCAUAUAUUUGAGAGACAAUUACUUUAAUGACACCUUUUCUACUCAAGGUAAAAAAUAUGUGUGUGAAUAUAUAGUUUUAAAAAUAUUAUUUACUUAACAUCAAUCAUUUAAAUAACUCUUAUAAAUUUGUAAAGAUCAAUUGCAUGUGUCGAGCAAAAUUGAGGAAUUACUACUAGAUCGAUCAUCUCUAAACAACAACAUUCUUCAAAGCAUUGGUGCAUUGGCUUCUCUUAAAAUUUUGUCUUUGAGUGGUUGUGGGCUGUCUGGGACAUUACCUACCCAAGGUAAAUUAAUAAUUAUGACAUAAUUAUUUAGACAAUCUCUUGAUUAAUUAUUUUUUAUCCUCCUAGAAUAUUUAAAUAAUUUGUACAAAUUUAUUUUACAGGAUGGUGUGAUUUACGGAAAUUUGAGGUGUUGGAUCUUAGUGAAAAUGCUCUUAAAGGAACCCUCCCUUCAUGUUUGGCUAACUUGUCAUCACUUCAUUAUUUGGAUAUUUCCGGUAAUCAAUUCGUUGGGAAAGGUGCCUCCACUGCCUUAGCCAAUCUCACUUUGCUUAGAUUCAUUUCUCUUUCACGAAACCUAUUCGAAGUUCCUUCCAUUUUCAUAUCAUUUGCCAACCAUUCACACCUCAAAGUACUCUCCAGCAAUCAAAACAAGUUAGUCGAAGAGCCUACCAUUCCAACAUGGGUCCCAAAGUUCCAACUAAAAGCCUUCCGUUUGUCAAAUUGCACAACAAAGGAACUCCACACUGAAAUUCCGAAAUUCCUCUAUUACCAAAAUAACCUGGGUAUUAUUGAUCUUUCAUAUAAUAAUUUUGGAGGGAAGGUUCCUUUUUGGUUGUUAGAGAACAAUACAAGAAUAGAAGCAUUUUUAAUGAAGGGUAACUCUUUUAUGGGUCAUCUCAAUCUUCCAUCUCAUCCGAAUCCAAACAUAUCCUUUGUUGAUAUAUCUGACAACAAAAUACAAGGUCCAAUUCCAGCAAACAUUUGUUCAAUCUUUCCACAACUAAAUGGGUUAAACCUAGCAGGCAAUUCCCUUCAAGGUAAUAUUCCUCCUUGUCUGGGUAGUUUGACCACUUCGAAUUUAUUAUUAGAUCUGUCACAUAAUCAGCUAUCUGGAGGAAUACCAGAAAUAUUAGCUCAAAGUGACUCGUUGAGGUUUCUUAGGCUAUCAAAUAAUCAUCUAAGUGGAAAGAUAACCCCAACGAUCUUUUGCUCAACUUCAUUACGAUUGCUAUAUUUAGAUGGCAAUAACUUUGAUGGAAAUAUACCUAGCAUUGAUAUCUCAACUUUCCUUUCAUAUUCCCUUGUUGAUAUGGAUUUAAGUAACAAUAAUUUGUCCGGAGAGCUCCCAAGAUGGAUAUUGAAUGUGUCAAAUUUAAUGGCAUUGGCAGUAUCUAACAAUCAGCUCAAGGGUCUCAUUCCGAUGGAAUUGUGCUAUUUGGAUUCCCUUAGAAUUUUGGACCUUUCAGAAAAUAAAUUUUCUGGCCCAAUACCAUCUUGCUUCGGCACACAAUUUAUCAUACAUCUCCAUUUGAGCAAAAAUAGAUUAAGUGGCACCUUGACAAAUGCAUUCUUUAAUAGCUCUUCCUUGGUGACUUUAGAUCUUAGUGAAAAUCAGUUGAGUGGAGAAAUUCCAUACCAGAUUGGAACUCUUUCUGCUUUGAGUGUUCUCCUUCUAAAAGCCAAUUAUUUUAUUGGAGAAAUUCCCAUUGAGAUAUGCAAAUUAUAUUCUUUAAGUAUCAUUGAUCUUUCUCAAAACAAGCUUUUUGGUCUGAUACCUUCUUGUUUGAGUCGUUUAACUCUUGAUCCAAAUGAUGAAAAAUCUUCAACAAAUAUCUAUGUGGAGGGCUUUGGAGGAAUCUUUGAGCCGGGUAAUUACUUUGGAAUGACUGAAUUUGAAUUUCUCACUUUAAGAGGAUACGAGUCAUUAGAUGUAGAUUUCGAAAUUGAGAAUCAAAUGGAAGAAAAGGUGGAUUAUACAACAAAAAGAGCAUCUUACACAUACAAGGGAAACAUUCUUAAAUACAUGUCGGGAAUUGAUUUAUCAUGCAAUAGAUUAACAGGUGAAAUCCCCAUAGAGAUUGGAAAUUUGAGUGAAAUCCGAUCACUAAACUUGUCGCACAACAAUUUGACUGGACAUAUACCGUCAACGUUCUCAAAGCUCAAGCAAAUUGAGAGUUUGGACCUGUCUCACAACAACUUAAUUGGAAGAAUCCCUGUUCAAUUAACGGAGUUGUACACCUUAGCAGUCUUCAAUGUGUCACACAACAACUUGUCAGGGAGUAUUCCGUCUCCAAAAGCUCAAUUUGGAACCUUUGAUGAAAGCAGUUAUGUGGAGAAUCCUUUUCUCUGCGGGCCUCCCCUGCAUAAAAAUUGCAGCGACCUUGAUUCACCCCCGACAACAGCACCAAAGAGCUCAAACGAGGAAGAAGAAAGUGGUUUGAUGGACAAGUAUGUUUUCUGGGUGACCUUUUUUGUUUCUUACGUGAUUGUGUUACUGGUUAUUGUUCUCAUCCUGUAUAUAAAUCCUUAUUGGCGACAAGCAUGGUUUUCUUUUGUUGAACACUGCAUCAAGACUUGUCAGUACUUUCUUCUGCGAUUUUCCAUCUUCAAAAGGAG
rnacentral:lncRNA from 1 species